rnacentral:lncRNA from 1 species
AUUGUAUUGAAGGGAAAGAGAUGGCCCUUGUAUACGAGUUCAUGCCCAAUGGUACACUUAAAGAUCAUCUUUGCAAAGCUGAUUGUACCUUAUCUUGGUCACAACGACUCAAGAUAUGCAUAGGUGCAGCUCGGGGAUUAGACUACCUUCACACAGGCACAUCAACCCAAAAUGGAGUUAUACAUCGUGAUGUGAAGACGUCCAAUAUUUUAUUGGAUGCAAACUUUGCUGCUAAAAUUUCAGAUUUUGGAUUGGCCAAAGUUGGUCGAAUAGAUCAGACACAAACUUAUGUCAGCACCAAUGUCAAAGGGACAUUUGGGUAUAUGGACCCAUGCUACUUCUAUACUGGAAAUUUGACUAGAAAAUCCGAUGUUUACGCCUUUGGAGUUGUUCUGUUUGAGGUGUUGUCUGGGAGGCAAGCGGUGGAUUCAACCCUAGAUGAAGAGCAAUGGGGUUUGGCAGCUUGGGCUCAAGACCAAAUAAAAGAGGGAAAAUACAAUCAAAUUAUUGACAGAAGACUGAUGGGCCAAAUCUCAAAAAAAAUGCUUGAAGGAGUUUGCAAGCUUAGCAAGUCGUUGUUUACAUACCCAACCAAAAAAGCGCCCUACAAUGGCAGAGGUUGUUGUCAAGCUCGAGUCAAUUCGGUCACAAAAAAGAGAAAAUGUGAAUUCUGUCAUUGAUGAAGGAAGAUUCAUUUACAAGGUAAUGUCUUUUUUCACAGGAAGAGUUGACAUGAUUUUGGAUAAUGCAGUAGGAAGGAAAUCUGUGAUGCCGGAUGAGGUAGUAGGAAAACAAUCUUCUACACCUGAUCAUGCAGAAAGCAGAAAAUCUAUGAUGUUGGAUGGUGAAGUAGCAGGAACAUAUGAGAUGCCCGAUGGAACAGUAGGAAGAAGAUCUGAUUUCAGUGGUCUGAAUCUUCAGUUAUCUAAUAAUCGAAGUGUAAGACAUUUUACAUACACUGAAGUGGUACGUGCAACAAAUAAUUUCAAACACACGGAGCAUUCCUCAAGUUUAAAUGAACUCAUUUACAAAGGCUGGGUUGAUGAAAGAACAUAUGCACCAACAAAAUAUGGGGUUGGUUUGACGAUUUAUGUUAGGAAGAAAUAUAUUGAAACGUGGAAGGUAUUUCAGUAUGUGAUAUGAUGAAGUGGAACUUAUUUGAGCUAGCAUAAUGAUUACACCUCAUGUACUGUAUAGUCAUGGUUUCUAGUCUAUUCUAUAUUAUUAAGUUACUGAUGUACAUUUGACAAUUUAGCUGUGCAGCUCGAACUUGAACUAGAAGAUUUCAAUCAUCCAAACCUUGUCAAACUCUUGGGAUAUUGCUCUCAAUGGGGAGAAUUUUAUUGCUUGUACGAGCUUGUUCGUGACACUACAUGUUUAGAUAAAUAUCUUUUCAUAGGUAAACAUGUCUUCCAAUUAUAAUUUUGCAGAACUCUUCAGACUUACAUCUCACAAAGUUGGUACAUGUUGAUAAACAUCCCCUAAAAUCAACACUAAUUAAUAAGACCCUGCUUUUCGGUUGUUCACGACAUAGUGCAAAAGUAGACUGGCUUUGUUUUCUUCAAGACAUAAAUUAUAUGUUAUAUAUGCAGAGCCAGGUAGCACAUCACUUCCUUGGGUUUUAAGACUGAAAAUAGCAGUAGGAGCAGCUAAAGGCUUGGCUUUCUUACAUCGAAGGAAACAUCCAGCAUAUAGCCAAUUUAAAACGAAUCAUAUAUUGGUGGAUAUGGUAAAUUAGACUGCAUGUGAUGCCCUUGGAUUUUUCAUCUUAGCAUAGCAUAGGUUUUAAUUUCUUUCUCAAGUUUUUUUUUUCAGGAUUUUAAUGCUCGACUAUCGGAUUUUGAAGUGGAAAAUUUAUACGCCACAAAAGAACGGUUUGGUUAUGUACUCGAUGGAUUGGCUGGUAUUUUCAGUUCACUACCUGAAGACGGUAUCUUCUUUUUUAAAAGUGAAUUCCUUUGCAUAUUCUUUACACCACACCAGAACAUAGAGACAUCCACUUGUCUGAGAAAUCAUUUACUCAACGGCUAAAAAGCUUGACUUAGAUGAGAAGAGUGACCAAUCAAACCCCAUUUUGGCAGGUGCUGGAGUGAAGAGUGAGAUCUCUGCUUUUGGAGUGGUACUACUCGAAAUACUAACUGGGAUGAAGUUGUAUGAUGAGAAGAGUCCCUCAGGAAAGCAAAAUUUGGUGGAAUGGGCUACUAUAUUUCUAGCAAAUGAGUUUAAAUUGGGAUUGAUUUUGGACCCACAACUUCUACAUAAUGGUUAUCCUCCAAAUGGAGCAUUCAAGUUGGCUCAACUUGUUAUAAAUUGUCUUCAAUCAACACAAACCGGUUGUCCUUCAAUGAAAGAAAUCGUGCAGGUCUUGUGUGGGUGCUAUGAAGAAGAAAUCAGAUCAUUGUGUAGUCAAACAUUAUAGUGUUUUCUUUUGGCAUAAAUAGAUGUAAAAAAAAGUAAGCUAUAUCAUCUUGGAAGUUGUAGAAGUGUGAAGUCUUGAUCAGCUCUCACUAUUUCAACAGCCUUAGACUAUUCCAUUCAAAUCUAGGGCAGGCUUCACCAAACGGACACAGUAAUACUAUUUGAUUGGCCAAUCAUCUUAAGAGAUUAGGUUGAUUCCCUAAGAUAUAGGAGUCAUAAAUAUCACAUAUACCUUCAUCUCUUUCACUCGACUCUUGUCCACAAUUGUUACCAAACCUUCAAUACUUGACCAGCAUAAGCCACACAUCUGGUAUUCGCAAUAAUGAGCAUUAUAUCUUUGUGUUCAUUAGCCAUUUUUCAUUUAUAGGUAGACUGUGCUUCUGUGAAACUCCAGAUAGGAAGUUUGGUACGUUUAAGCCCUUCAAGUCUUCAACAAAUGAUAGAAUAUUUCACAUUGGGUAAUAACGCAAAACGAAAACAAAGACACAAUCAAUUUACGUAUGUUGCUCACAGGAUCAAGAAUACCGGUUAUGCCAAUGGCUAACACACGAGAAAGACUAUUAUUUUGUCGAAUGGCUUUCUAAUAAUACAUUAGGUUACAUGAAUUCAAUGAAUAUAAACAGGGUAAAUGGCAGAAAAAGUCAUUAACUUUUCACAUUUUUUUGAUUUUGACAAUUCAUUUUUUCUGUUACAAUUAAGGCACUAUGUUUUCAACUUGUUGCAAUUUUGACUAAUUGACCGGUUUACUUUAGGUCAUUCGGUUGCCACUACUGACGUGAUAUGAUGACGUGUCGGAAGGAAAAAAAAAAAGUGGCACAAAAGAUACCAUGUUUUCAUUUUUUUUUCUUUUUUGCAAUUUGACACUAAGUUUUCAAUAUUUUCCAUUUUUGACACUAAGUUUCCAUUUUCUCCAAUUUGCAACAUAAAUAUAUGCAAAGUCAUAAUUGCUCUAUUUACCCUAUAAUAUAAUAAAAUAUAUGUACAAUAGAUUAAAAAUGCAUAUUGAAUUUAAUUCCCAUACAUGGAACUCCGUGAAAUGUCAUUUAAAGAUUUGUGUCUAAACAGUUCUGAUUCGACAGUUUCCGUGCAUUUGAUUUCGCUUUGUGUUAAAAAGAUAUUAUAGAAAGGAAAUCAAAUAUUAGGCCCAUGCCUGAGUUAGGAAUUGAGUAAUCCGCAAGUAAUUAAGGAUAAUAGAACCUUAAUUGCUUAUAAAAAUAUAGAUCAACAUACAAUAUGUCCUAUUAUAGUGGGGUUGCAAUGGUUUGACUAAGGAAAUUUGACCUAUUUUUACCAAUUGUUACAGUGUGACAUCUCGUGUUUAGAUGUGUCACCUAGGAAGCAAGUGUGUUACUCAUGAAGUUGGAUGUACCACUAUGGUGAGAGUAUGCCACUUUGGUGUAUAUGUAACACCUGAUUCCUGGUAUGCCUAUGAUUCCUCGUCGAGUAGAGUCAUGACCCGCGGACAAUUUAAGUAACCUACUCGACGAGUCGGGGGACUGACUCGGCGAGUAGGUGCUGGUUGAGUGAAACCCUAAAUCUGAGGGUUUGCACCCUAUUUAAACACCUUAUCUCAUCCUCCAUCGCCUUUAUUUCUCUAAGAAAACUGUGUAUCGAAACUCUAGUUGUUUUUGUGUGUUCUAAGGCAAUUUUGGUACAUUUGGUGGGUUGUGAAGCUUGAAUAAGAAGAGAGAAGCUUGAGAGUUCGAGUUGGGGCUUAGAGAUUCAGAGAUCCAGUUCCAUUUUUAGCACAAUCAAGGUAAAAUGCCCCUGUCUUGGUCUUCUAUGUGUUUAUUCAUCUUUAGACUUGGGCUUUGGGCACAUUUAGGGCUUUCCAAGCCAUAUUCGGAUUUGUGGAGUGUUAUAUGGGGUCUUAACUUCAGAUCUGAGUCAUUGGAAGGGUCUCAUGGCAUAAAUGUGCCAACUUUAUGGCCAUGAGAGCCCCAUGCAUCUUGUAGAGCACCUUUUAUGGCUUUUUGAGCGAAAGCCCCCAUGUAUGUGCACCAAGUUUCGAGCUUUACGUAUGAAAUGGACAUUAGGGGGCCAGAUCUAUGGUUUUGAGGUGUAAAGGCUCAUCUAAAUUGACUGUAUAGUGUUGUUCAAGGAUGGACUCAAUGAGUUGUUCUUGGGACUCGACGAGUUGCGGUGUAAUGACCACCAAAUCCUUUCUGUGGAUGGACCAGUUAUUAGGGAGGAAAGUCCCAUAGAUGUUUAGAUGCAAAAAGGGACCUGGGAAUCAUGGGACUCGACGAGUGUAUGAAAAGACUCGGCGAGUCCAAGGAAAUCUCCUAAUCUUUGAAGAUGGACUCGACGAGUUGUUCAUACAACUCGGCGAGUCGUAGACUGGGCACAUUCUUAUGAGGGAGAUGAACUUACCGAUUUCAAGGAAGAACUCGGCGAGUCGGAUGAAGAUGGUCCUGGUGGUUUGAAUGAAGGAGAACUCAUCGAGUUCUUGCUAGACUCGACGAGUUGGGGUUGGAUCGGGUUAGUGGAGUAUGGAUUCGACGAGUUGGUAGACUAAAUCGGCGAGUAAGGUCAACUAGGAGUUGACUUUGACCAAUGUUGACUCUGCCUGGUUUUGGUAUUGACCCUGCUUAGGGUUGUAUGUUAUAUUUGAUGACUUGAGGGUUAUCGUGUAGGGAUUGAGGAGUCGAGGAGAGCCGAANAGGAGUCGAGGAGAGCCAACCUUCACGCCGAGGACAGUUCAGACACUACACAACAUCGAGGUGAGUUACCUUCCAGUAGGAGUGGGUCUAAGGCACCAACGCUGGCCCACUGGUAAUUGUUAGUUGGGAUGGUUAUCUUUGUGAUAAUUGUCUGGUUUGUUAUUAUUGGAUAUGUGAGUAUACUAGAAUACUAGAUAUGUGAGUAUGCUAGUAUGCUAGUUGCCAUGUUAUAUGAGAUAGUAUCAGUAGAAGGGGACUAGUCCCCGAUUCGGUCGUUAGGACCAAUGGGUAGGUCGGACACCCUAGAUAUAUCGGACAACAUGAUUAUGAUAUGAUUUUACGUGUUAGUAGUAAGGGUGAAAUAGUCCCCGUAUUCGGUUGAGAUAGACCGGAGGGUAGGUCAGCACCCCAUAAUAGCUUGACAUGUGUAGGUCAGCACCCCAGAAUAACUUGAUAUGGGUAGGUCAGCACCCCAGAAUGGCUUGACAUGGGUAGGUCAGCACCCCAGAAUGGCUUGACAUGGGUAGGACGGGCACCCCAGAAUCGCCUGGUAGUAUGUAUGCUAUGUGAUUGUAUGGUAUGUGGUAUAAUGGGGGAACUCACUAAGCUUUGUGCUUACAGUUUCAGUUUUGUUUCAAGUACCUCUUUGUCCAAGGGGAAGGAGUCGGCGGUGUAGGAGCGCAUCACACACGCACACAUAUGAUUUCCGCUUAUAGUUUUCUGGGAUUAUACUCUGAUAUUUUGUUAUUUCAGAUGAUUUGGUUUUGAGACAUGAUAUUAUGGUUUUAUGUAUUAACAUGAUUUUGUCAAUGUUUUGAUGAACCAUUUUAUAAAUCACCUAAUCAAAAGUGAAAUUUUUGGCCUCUAAUUUUGGGAUGUUACAAGUUGGUAUCAAAGCCCUGGUUUGAGGGAUUUAGACACACCCUCAGGGGUGUCUAGACUCAAACUGAGGGACUAAAAGAUUUUUCACAAAGAAAAUAGUUUCUAAAAUUUUAAGUUAAAGAAUUUUGAGAAAGGACAAGGUGUGUGAUGCGUGCGACCGGACGAGCUCAAGUAGGUUUUCCCCAAGAUACCCAUACUUGUUAUGUUAUGUGUAUGAUUUAUGAUUCUGAGAACUGCAUGCUAGAUUAGGGCUAAGGAUCUCGGAGGAUGCCUUGUAUGCCUGAUAUAUGAUUCUGAGAACUGCAUGCUAGAGUAAGUCUAAGGAUAUAGGAGGAUGCCUUGAAUGCUUGUUGUAUGAGCUGUAUGCUAGGACUGUUUAGCCAACGGUAGGAUAGCCUGAUUAGGCUAUGCCUGGUGUGGUUACUCAUUGCACGAAUGCUGCUUGCUUUGUGCUAAAUGGGUCCUGACUAACUUUAACUAACUAGUGAGCGGAUAUGUAACAGUAUUCGCAAGCUAGUUAGGGAAGGGAAGUAAGGACUCCUACUGUAGCUGAUGACGGAGAGUAGGUCGGAGGGCGCCCUAGGAGAGCCUAGGACAAGAUUAGUGGAAAAAGGUAUCGGUAAAGGGACUUGGUGAAGUUGAAGCAAUCCUUGAGGAAAGUACGUAUAGAUGUGGAAGGUAGUAUGGGCCGGUACUACUGGAAGCAGAGGAUCUGUACUCAAGUCAAGGAGGGUCGAGAUGGAACCAGGGAACUUGGAGAGUGUGUGAGACCUCUCGAGAGCAUGUAUGAUCCUAACGUUUAUGUGUUUAUUUGCAGUAUGGUGACAACACGACAUGGAGCAGGAGGCUCAGGAUCAGGAUCGGGCUCGGGUGCAUGAUUCGAGCAGGUUGAUGAUAGCUACACGAGUUCAUCGCGUCUGAGAUCACGAGAGGUAUCCUUGACUCGACCCCGAUUAUUUUUGGGUCGAUCAAGGAAGGGAUUGUUGAGCUAAUGGAGGAUCACCUUUGUGCAUUCAGGAGUGACUUGGUGUCCAGCCAGUCGGGUACGCACACACUAUCCAUUAAGGACUUCAAAGGGAGUGGUAUGCCGGAUUUUCACGGGGUGAAGGACCCCAUUGCUGCUAGGAGAUGGAUCAUAAACAUUGAGUCUGCGCAGUCGACGAGCUUCUGCCCAGAAGGGUCGAAGGUCUGCUUUGUUGCGGGCUGUCUGAGGGAUAAAGCUAGAGAUUGGUGGGAUUCGGUUGGUGACUCAUUGGGAGCCCCAGCCGUCAAGGCUAUGGCUUGGUCAGAUUUUGUGACCAGAUUCAGGGCUGAGUUUGCGCCGGCUGUAGAGCUUCAGUAGCUGGCCAUGGAGUUUUUGGAUAUGAGGCAGACGACUGAGACAGUGGCGGAGAUCACCGCCAAGUUCAGGGAGAGGGACCUGUUGGUACCCCAGUAUGCGAGGGAUAAAAAGAUGCGGAAGACCCGUUGCCAUAAUAUGUUGAGGGCUAAUAUUCGGGAGCAUGUCAACUAUUAUGUCUACCCGACCCUGGAGUUCAUGAUUUCCAGGGCGCGGGAGAGGGAGCUUGAUUUGGAGCACGUCAGGAAGAGGAAAGCAGAGACUAAGUAGGUGACAGGGGUUUCAGGGAAGAAACCCAAGGGAUCCGACGUUAGGUCGAAGGGCCAGCCGGGCCAAAGCCGUUGUAGGAAAUGCGGCAGGCCACAUGAGGGAGCUUGUAGAGCGGGAUCAUCGGACUACUACAAGUGCGGCAAUAUGGGGCACUUUGGCAGGGAUUGUACUACCCCCGCCCCUACAGUGCAGAUGUCAGGCCUGAUUUGCUUCCAUUGUAAUCAAAGGGGCCAUAAGAAGGCCAACUGCCCUAGAUUGACAACAGCAGGGCCAGCGGCGGCGCCGAACCAGUGUCAGCACAGGUUAUAGAUGACCAGAAGGCCAAGGUAGAGGCUCCAGUGGUGCGGAGCCAAGCAUUUCAGUUGACAGCCGAUGAGGCACGCGCUGCACCCGAUGUGGUGACAGGUAUGAUUUCUUUCUUAUGAUUUUAUGUUAUGUUGUUGUGAUUUUGAUAUGUUAUGUAUGUGCUCUUUUUAGGAUCGUUCCAUGCGAACGGUAUCCCAGUUCAGGUAUUGUUCGAUUCGGGUGCUACCCGAUCGUUUGUCUCUCUUGCGCUUAGCAAGAAGUUUCCUAAGUCUUCGGGCAUGUUGGAUUGCCCUCUAGAGGUCGAGAUUGCGGACAACCGGUCAGUGCGAGCAUCAGAGGUCUACCGAGAUUGUGUUUAGGAUGUUCGAGGAGUGUUACCUGGUAGAUCUGAUUCUUAUACCUUUGUAGGGGCACAAAGUUAUUAUUGGUAUGGAUUGGCUAAGCCCCAAUGGGGCAGUGAUUGACUGCGCGCAACAGUUGGUGCGGAUCAGGACCCCAAGUGGGGAGAGGUGGUGAUUCAGGGCGAGAGGCCAUAGCGAGGACCAACUUUAUGUUCAACAGCGAGAGCUAGGCGCUACCUUUAAUAGGGUUGCGCAUGAUUUUUUGCCGGCGGGUAAGGCGAUAGUGGGUGAUGUGCCCGUGGUACGAGAGUUUGCGGAUGUAUUCCCCGAGGAAUUUCUUGGGAUACCUCCGGAGAGGCAGGGAGAGGUCAAGAUCGACCUAGUCCCUAGUACGGCCCCGAUAGCCAAGGCACCGUAUCGGUUGGCUCCUCCUGAGAUGCAGGAGUUGUCUACAUAGCUUCAGGAACUGUUAGAAGAAGGACGGGUCGCAUCGGAUGUGUAUAGACUAUCGGGAGCUGAAUAAGGUAACGGUGAAGAAUCGUGACCCACUUCCGAGGAUCGAUGACUUCUUUGACCAGCUACAAGGAGCAUCUCGGUUCUCCAGGAUCGAUUUGGGUUUAGGGUAUCACCAGAUGAGGGUCAGAGAGGACGAUGUGCAGAAGACUGCUUUUCGGACGCGUUAUGGCCUCUAUGAGUUCGUCGUGAUGCCUUUCAGGCUCACCAAUGCUCCUGUCACGCUCAUGGAUCUCAUGAGCCGCAUAUGUAGACCGAUGUUGGAUCGGUCUGUGAUAGUUUUCAUCGAUGACAUCUUGGUUUAUUCCAAGACGCGAGAGCAACAUGAGGAGCACUUGCGAGAGGUUUUGGAUACUUUGAGGACAGAGAGGUUGUAUGCUAAGUUCUCCAAGUGUGAGUUCUGGUUGCGCGAUGUGCAAUUUCUUAGGCACCUUGUCAACCAGGACGGGAUUUCAGUUGAUCCAGCCAAGGUGGAGGCUGUGAUGAGGUGGGAGGUUCCGAGGUCUCCAUCUGAGUUUCGGAGCUUCCUGGGACUGGCAGGCUACUAUCAGAGGUUCAUUCAGGACUUCUCCAAGAUAGCCGUUCCCCUGACCCGAUUGACGAGGAAAGCCAUGGUCUUCCACUGGGAGCCAGAGCAGCAAGCCGCAUUUGAGACGUUGAGACAGAGAUUGUGCGAGGCACCAAUCUUAGUCCUGCAAGAGGGCCUAGAGGAUUUUGUGGUAUACUGCGAUGCGUCUAUCUCGGGUUUGGGCACGGUAUUGAUUUAGAGGGGGCAUGUUAUAGCUUAUGCUUUGAGGCAGCUGAAGCCUCACGAGGCGAAUUACCAGACGCAUGAUUUGGAGCAGGGGGCUGUUGUUUUCCCCCUCAAGAUUUGACGCCAUUACCUCUAUGGGGUUCAUUGUACCAUUUACACGGACCACAAGAUCCUGAGGUAUCUCAUGGAUCUGGCAAAUCUGAAUAUGAGGCAGCGUCGGUGGCUUGAUGUGGUGAAAGAUUAUAAUUUCGAGAUCCUCUACCACCCGGGGAAGGCUAAUUUAGUGGUCGAUGCACGUAGACGCAAGGCAACACCAAUUAGGGACAUUUGUCUAAGGAUGACAGUUGUGACACUGUUGUUGGAGCAGAUUCGGGAGGCCCAACAGGUGGCCAUGAAGGAGGAACAUCGGAAGCGUGAGCGAAUUGUGGGUCAGGUUUCCUCCUUCGAUUAUAAUAGUCGGGGAUUGUUGACUUUUCACCGUAGGGUGUAGGUCCCUUAUCAUGGGUGGUGUGCGCCAAGUAUUAAUGGCAGAGGUGCACAAAUUCAGGUUCUCUAUCCAUCCCGGGGUGACAAAGAUGUACAGGGAUCUUCGUCUCGAUUAUUGGUGGCCUUGUAUGAAGAGGGGCAUAGCUUGGUUUGUGGAAAGGUGUCUGGCCUACAGGAAGGUCAAGGCUGAGCACCAGAUACCUCACAAAAAGGUCCAGCCAUUGGAUACCCCACUGUAGAAGUGAGAGGAUAUUACUAUGGACUUCAUUACGAAGCUUACCAGGACCGCACGAGGGGUGGAUUCGAUUUGGGUCAUCGUUGAUCGAUUGACCAAGAGCGCCGAUUUUAUUCCAAUUCAGGAGAGUAUUUCGGCCGAAAAGUUGGUCGACAUCUAUAUCCGUGAGGUAGUGGCGUGGCACGGGGUGCCAGUUUCAGUGAUUUUAGACAGGGACGUGCGGUUCACUUCCAGGUUUUGGAAGAAGUUUCAUGACGAGCUGGGUACUCGACUGCAUUUUAGCACCGCCUUUCCCCUACAGACGGAUGGUCAGAGCGAGCAGACCAUCCAGACUCUGGAGGAUAUGUUGCGGGCCUGUGUUUUAGACUUCGAAGGUAGUUGGGAUACUUACCUUCGGGAUGUUGUAUGGAUGAGUUCUCCUAUAACAAUAGUUAUCAUGCGAGUAUCGACAGUCCUCCUUUCGGGAUGUUGUAUGGGAGUAAGUGCAGGACCCCGAUAUGUUGGGCAGAGGUUGCGCAGAGGGUCAUGGGGAGUAAUGAAGUGGUACUCAAGACUGUGGAGAAGAUCCAGUAGGUUCGGAGCAGGCUUCAGACUGCUCAGAGUCUGCAGAAAAGUUAUGUCGACAAGCGGCGGUCAGACUUGGAGUUUCAGGUCAGGGAUAUGGUGCUCCUGAAUGUGUCACCAUCGAAAGGCGUCUUUCGGUUCAGAAAGCGGGGCAAGUUGGGCCCUAGGUAUAUUGGACCUUUCAGGGUUAUGGCCCGGGUGGGCAAGGUAGCAUAUAGGCUGGAUCUGCCAGCCGAACUCAGUUAGACUCAUAGCACUUUUCACGUCUCCCAGUUACAGAUAUGUCUGGUGUACGAUUCGGCAGUGGUGCCUUUAGAGGAUAUUCAGGUUGAUGACAGCCUGAACUACAUUGAGCGGCCAUUGGAAAUCCUUGACAAGAAAUCAAGGGAUCUGAUGAACAAGAGGGUGGAGCUGGUAAAGUUGUAGUGGCAGCACCGCAAGGGCUCAGAAAGGACCUGGGAGUCGGAGGACGAGACGAGGGAGCAUUACCCCUAUCUUUUUCAGGAUCGAGCAGCAGACUUCGGGGACGAAUUCUAAGAUAAGUGGGGGAGAUUUGUAAAAUGCCCCUCCUCUUUCAAAAAAAAAAAGGUAAAAUGCCCCUGUCUUGGUCUUCUAUGUGUUCAUUCAUCUUUAGACUUGGGUUUUGGGCACAUUUAGGGCUUUCCAAGCCAUAUUCGGAUUUGUGGAGUGUUAUAUGGGGUCUUAACUUCAGAUCGGAGUCAUUGGAAGGGUCUCAUGGCAUAAAUGUGCCAACUUUAUGGCCAUGAGAGCCCCAUGCAUCUUGUAGAGCACUUUUUAUGGCUUUUUGAGCCAAAGCCCCCAUGCAUGUGCACCAAGUUUCGAGCUUUACGUAUGAAAUGGACAUUAGGGGGCCAUAUCUAUGGUUUUGAGGUGUAAAGUCUCAUCUAAAUCGAUUGUAUAGUGUUGGUCAAGGAUGAACUCACUAAGUUGUUCUUGGGACUCGGCGAGUCGCAGUGUAAUGACCACGAAAUCCUUUAUGUGGAUGGACCAGUUGUUAGGGAGGAAAGUCCCAUAGAUGUGUUUAGAUGCAAAAAGGGACCUGGGAAUCAUGGGAAUCGACGAGUGUAUGAAAAGACUCGGCGAGUCCAAGGCAAUCUCCUAAUCUUUGAAGAUGGACUCGACGAGUUGUUCAUACAACUCGGCGAGUCGUAGACCGGGCACGUUCUUAUGAGGGAGAUGAACUUACCGAUUUCAAGGAAGAACUCGGCGAGUCGGAUGAAGAUGGUCCUGAUGGAUUGAAUGAAGGAGAACUCAUCAAGUUCUUGCUAAACUCGAUGAGUGGAGUCGGGGUUGGAUCGGGUUAGUGGAGUAUAGACUCGACGAGUUGGUAGACCAAAUCGGCGAGUAAGGUCAACUAGGUGUUGACUUUGACCAAUGUUGACUCUGCCUGGUUUUGGUAUUGACCCUGCUUAGGGUUGUAUGUUAUAUUUGAUGACUUGAGGAUUGUCGUNGUCGAGGAGAGCCGACCUUCACGCCGAGGACAGUUCAGACACUAGACGACAUCGAGGAGAGUUACCUUCCAGUAGGAGUGGGUCUAAGGCACCAAGGCCAGCCCACUAGUAAUUGUUAGUUGGGAUGGUUAUUUUUGUGAUAAUUGACCGGUUUAUUAUUGUUGGAUAUGUGAGUAUGCUAGAAUACUAGAUAUGUGAGUAUGCUUGUUUUCUAGUUGCCAUGUUACAUGAGAUAGUAUCAGUAGAAGGGGACUAGUCCCCGAGUCGGUUGUUAGGACCAAUGGGUAGGUCGGACACCCCAGAUAUGUAUGACAGCAUGAUUAUGAUAUGAUGUUAUGUGUUAGUAGUAGGGGUGAAAUGGUCCCCGUGUUCGGUUGAGAUAGACCGGAGGGUAGGUCAGCACACAUAAUAGCUUGACAUGGGUAGGGCAGCACCCCAGAAUAGCUUGGCAUGGGCUUGUCAGCACCCUAUAAUGGCUUGACAUUGGUAGGCCAGCAUCCCAAAAUGGCUUGACAUGGGUAGGACGGGCGCCCCAUAAUUGCCCAAUAGUAUUUAUGUUAUGUGAUUGUAUGGUAUGUGGUAUGAUGGGGGAAAUCACUAAGCUUCGUGCUUACAGUUUCAGUUUUGGUUCCAGGUACCUCUUCAUCCAAAGGGAAGGAGCCGACAGUGUAGCAGCGCAUCACACACGCACACAUAUGAUUUCCGCUUAGAGUUUUCUGGGAUUGUACUCUAAUAUUUAUUUAUAUCAGAUGAUUUGGUUUUGAGACCUGAUAUUAUGGUUUUAUGUAUUGACCUGAUUUUGACAACGUUUUGAUGAACCAUUUUAUAAAUCACCUAAUCAAAAGUGAAAUUUUUGGCCUCGAAUUUAGGGAUGUUACAGUCUAGAUGUGCCAUUUGUGAAGGAGGUGUGCCAACUAGAAGGAAUAUGUAUCAACUUGAAGGAAGGUGUGCCAUUUGUUGAGUAGGAAUGCCAUCUUGGAGGAAGAUGUGCCACCCUUGGAAAAGGUGUGGCAUUCCUUGUAGAAGAUGUGACAUCUUAGUGCAAGGUGUGCCACAUGUGUUUCUUGAAGUGCCAUGGUAUCUUUAAUGUGACACAUAUUUUUAUGUUCACUAUAAUACUGAAGAUCGUCUAAGGAUGCUCAAGGAUUAUUGUAUAAUGUGCCACCUUGACAAUUGAUGUGCCAUGGUGAUCUUGAUGAGCUGCUUGUUGAAUCAUGAAGUGACCCUCAAUAGCUAAAAGGAUUCUUAAAAGGAUGCAAAGAGUUAGAGCUUCAUUGAUGCAAAGUUUUUCUUUCGUUUUUUAUGCCAAAUAGUUUAUGAAGACCUGAGAUGAUGGAGACUUCGUAAAUACCUACUGGAAAUUUGCCAUUUUGUGUUUCUGAGGAGAUACUACAUGGAUCAGCUUUUACCGACAUUGAAUGGUUGGUUGUAUGUGUCAAUUUAGGCAUGGCAAGCAUGGCCGCCUAUCCUUAUCUUACUUUUUGUAAUGACCCGGUCAAUACAUGUACUUUUUGCUUCUAUAAAUAGAUGGCCAUGGUGAAUGACAAAAAGCAUGUCUGGAUCUCACUUUCCUUGUAAUAUUUACAAUAUUAAUAUACAAGUCUCCUUAUCUCCAUUAUCUUAUCAUACUUUGUUGUUCAUCAUUUAGUAACUUGUGUUUGCAUGCAAACCAUGUUACGAUUUAACAGUAUCUUGGAACUUGCUUAUAUUUGUUGUUGUAUUUUGUUGCUAUGUUUCCUUUUUAAAUCUGCAAUCUUAUUAUUGUUAAUCUAUCUAAAGAUCCAUGAGAUUAACUUAAUAUUCUGUACCAUAAUCUUCUAAGCAUAGGUUCUUCUCUCAACAACUUAGAAUGGUUGCUUUCUAACUUUUCUAAAAACUUCUAUAAUCUUAUAGAAAGACUCUAAUUUAAAAGUUAUUAUAUACCACUCAGCUCACUUUUUUUAAAAAGCUUAAAGAAAAUAGCACACCUUUACUCUUUAAAUGUAUCUAAUAAUGUUGGAGGUUUAAAUCGAGCUUAAGUACUUGUUUCAAGUGAGUAUCAUCAUUUCUCUCAAAGAAUGGAGAGAUAUUUAAGAAGAAUUAGUAAGGAGGUAUGGAGAUCAGUAGAAAAAGGACCACAUGUACCCAUCCUGUCACACAUUGUGACUGAUAGAACACAAGCUAGACUUGGGGGUGGUUAAGGUUUCAUGACCAGACCUACCAACGAUGACUUAGAUAAGAUGCAGAAAGAUGAAAUUGCUUUCUAUGAAAUCUCUUGUGGUAUUCCUCCUAAUAACUUUGAUCUUAUCAUCAACUACAAUCCUGCUAAUGAAAUCUGGGAUGUUCUCAAGAAUAUACAUAAAGGAACUGAAAAAGCUCAAGACAAGAAGUUAACCACAACCCUGAAUGUUUUCAACAACUUCAAAGCUAUCCCUGGAGAAAUUCUUGUUGAUUCUAUGAAAAGAUUAAAGGUCAUCAACAUGAAACUCGCAAACGUGAGUAUCACUUGAAGUGAUCAUGAAACAAACCUAUAGUUCAUAAAUGCUUUGGGAAGACAGUGGACUACGAGGAUGACAGUAGUUCAAGGAGACAACAAGAUAAAAAAAUAUGCUGCUACAAAAAAUCUAUGGUGAACUACAGGCUCAAGAGUCUAUGUGAUGAAAGAUUGUAUGGAUCUAGGUGGACCACUCGCCUUGUUCGCCCACUCACUAUAGUAUGCCAACUGAUCACCUCAAUAUCCUCAUACUAGAGAAUCCUUAUAUCAAAUCCCAUAUGACGACACAUUGCAGCCAUAUGAACCGGAGAUGGUCAUUAAUGAUGAAUCAUCCAUAUUACAACACAUUACAGUUAGUUCAAACCCCAUAAGUGAGCUAAAUAAGUUGGAUUAGGUGUCUAAGUCAACAACUGAACUAGUAUAUACUUGAACUAUUAGCAAAGUACUGGGUUGCCCUCAAACCUACGAAUUGAAUAGGAUGACUUUUGGAGAGAGAGAGAGAGAGAGAGAGAGAGAGAGAGAGAGAGAAAGAGAGAUAGAGAUAGAGAGAUAGAGAGAGAGAGUUAGAAAGAAAGAUAGAGAGACAAAGAGAGAAAGAGAGAGAAAGAGAGAGAGAGAGAGAGAGAGAGAGAGAGAGACUGAUUUGUUGAUUUAUUAUAUGAUUAAUAAAUAGCAGUAAACGAAUCUGUUAAUAAACUAAUAAUAUAUUAAUUAGAAAUAGUAAUAUUUAAUUAAGAAUUAAUCAGAAAUUAAUUAGAAUUAAUUUUAAGAUUAUUUGUAUCAAUUAAAAGUGGAGGGGUCUAAUUAUAAUUGUUCAAUAUUUGAGCAAGAGGUUCCAAAAUCUUCCUUGGAAGGGAUGUAUGGUUUCUAAGGAUAUUCCAGGGCAUCUGGAAUAUUCUUUGCAGAUAAAUAGGAAGCUGGAUAAUUACCAAUUUGAAUUAAUACUACUUUAUUCAAAUUAGGGUUAUCUAGGGUUUCUUAAUUCAAGUAUAAAUAAACCCUAUGAUCUAAAAUUUUCGAACACUUUUUUUCUAAGAGCCAAGGCCGAAAAUUUGAUCUUCUCUAUCCUCUUUCUUCAAGUCUCCUAGUGGCUAGGGUUGGGUGUGAACCAUCAGAGGCACGAGAUUUCUGGAGCUUGCUUCCAAAAGCUUUGAAGAAUGAUAUUAUGUUCAUUUACUAUAACAAAUAAAGAGGUAUGUAAUCUUGCUUUACGAAUUCUAAUUUCAUUAGGAUUAUUGUAGUUUGAUAGUUCAUAGUAUGUUACCUUUAUAUGAAAGACAUAGAUCCUCUUGAGUUGCAUGUGAUUUAAUCAUUUAAUUGCUAAAUAUUUUUCUGCUUAGAGCAUUGUUUUUGUAACCUGUGUUUUCCAUCAGUGGUAUCAUAGCCUAUGACUAUCUUUCAUCUAAUUACACAUUACUGAAUUGAACAUAAAAACUUUUCAAUUUUUGGAAAGAUUCGAUUUGUUCAGUUUUAUCUUUCUAAUAUAUUUUGGACACUCAUUAUUUGGUAACUAUCUAUUUUAUAUCUGCCAAAUUGGUGGUUGUCGAGGCCAACAAAAUUAAUAUCCUAAAAAUUACACACUAAAAUAGUGUAUAGUGGUAAGGGAUCGUAUCCAUGGAGAUUGGUUCAAUUUAUAACUCUAUGAAGAAAUCUCUUUGUAAAAAUACUUGUAAGAUAACAAUAAAAAAAAUAAAAUAAAAUGGGGGGUGUUUAGUUCUUUCGAGUGUUUGAAAAAAAUUAAAACUAGCUAGGACAAAAAUAUGACAAGUAAGCAAGUAAAAGAUUGGAUUAAAUUCAAAGAAGUGGAAUUGGUUGGUUUUGGGGAACACCUCAUGGAUGAUAUGAUUGACUUAUCAUUAGACCUAAUGGAAUAACACUUGUGAAUUGGUUUAACUUGGCUAUAGCAAUUCAUAAGCACAAAUUGCCUCAAUUCUUCUUAGAAAUCAAAAUGGUUAGAGGAGCUCUUAACACAUUUCUUUAAUUGAAGUCACAAGAUCAAUGAAGCAUAAAAUCUUGUGAAAAUCAAGUAGCUUUAAGUUGUAAGAGUCACCAAGUCCAAAAGAUAAUCAAAUGCUUACAUUAUCAUUAUGGAGGAAACAUUUCCAUGGUCUAAAUGAAAUGAAAACAAACAUAUAAACCAUUUGUGCUUACUAAUUUGAAGGUCUAUUACUUAACCAAGAAAUUAAUCAACAAAAACAAGCAUUCAUUCAUCCAAGCUCAUGAUCAAAGAUAAAUAAACACAACAAGAUGUUUAACUAGAAAACAUUUCCAUAAACAUCAAACACAAAUGUAAUGAUAAGUCUUCAAAGCAAAUAAUCAUCCAUGGGUUAAACCCUAAUCAACCAAAUGAAAAUUUAGCCAAUCAUGGCCAAAGUAAAAGAAAAACAGUAUAGUUUAGAAGUAUCAAACAUUGUCUUAGAUGCAAGAUGAAAGGAAAUUACACUAAUCCUGCAAAAAUUCUUCAAAUAUUCCAAGACCCUUUGAGAGAAUAUUGGUGUAUGUUCUUCAAGUCAUCCCACCCAAGAAUGGCUCUAAACUCCAGUAAAAAGGGGUUAAUUUCCGGAUUCAAAAAAGGUGCCAAAAGUCACCCACCAAACUUCCACAAAUAGAGUCAAUAAGUCAAACCCGAAAUCAGCUCAGGGCAAUUCACACGGACCACGUAUCAGUCCACGCGGACCGUGUGGGUCACGCUGAAUGUGAGAGUUGGGCCUUUAACCAUGCAUUUUAACCCAAACUUCACUUCAUAAACUUCAGCCAACAUUCAUAACUCUUUAGGACCCAUUUGCCAUUCCAAAGCCUUCUAAUGAUUGACCCAAUACUUCUUAAAUUUUCUUGUAGCUCGAUUCCGCGCCGCCUCAUCAUCAUCCAUGCCCACAAAUUAGAUCCAAAUUGAUUUCUUCUUUUACGCAAGCACCUAGCCCAAUCGCACCACUUCAAGUCCACAAGCAAAUCACAUGCCUUCAUAAGUCCCGCAUCCUGCUAAGCCUCCAAUAACAAAUAGUCUUCGGUAAAUCCUGCAAUUAAGCUCAAAAGACUAGAAAGCACCCGGAAAGGAGAAAAAAUGACAAAAAGAGAAAAUAUGCAUGAAGAUUGACUAAAAUGAGAUGGUUUUAACUAAAAAUAAACUAUGAAAAGAAGUAAUAAAAACGAAACUAUCAAAUCACCCCAAGCUUGAACCUUACUUGUCCUCAAGUAAGACAAGACUAAAAUGAACUUGGGACGAACUACCCUAAAAAUAAAAAGAAUGGAUAGAACCAUGGAACCUGUUCAACGUUAGUCAACAUGGUUAGAAUUGAUCUCACUGCUAUCUCACAAAUUUUUCAUCCGAUGACAAUGGGAUCAUAAACCACGGCCAGGACAACUCCUCUAGGUGAGUAAGGAGGGAUGGUCAGUCGCAGCCUCAAUGGAAUAUGCAUACAAUGAAUAACACCUAUAGUAGGGAGAAAGCGACUGGAUGGGAUCGGGUGGAGCUCUUCUUUAAGUGCACACCCUGAUCUCAUGUCUGCCGGCUUCUCUCAUGUGUAACUAGGUUUAAUCGCUCGGGCACUAUUGUAGGAAUCGGCUCACUUAGCGUUGACCCGAACCUCCCGUAAUAUCCGACUCAAGAGCCUCUCUAACAUCACCAAUUUUCGAAAAGAAACAAAUCGAUCUAUAUACAAAUAUACAAUCCUAAAUAAAUGAAUAUCAAACGCCGGAUGACCGAGAUGUUGGAAAAUUUGUUCAAUAAUUGAACCGGCCACCUGUCUAAGACAGUUGCAACUAUUUUUUUUAAACUAGAUACACCAUACUUGAAGGUAAUGUAUUAACAAUCGAAAUCAAGAAAACCCUUUUACUCAAAAUUUGGUUCCCAAAAGUGUGAAAGUGGAACCGAAAGGGUAGUAAUAUAAUCCGAAUGGUCUAAGUGUGAAAAUGACCAUGUGUGGAGCAUGAAGAUGUAAUGUGAGCUCCUUUAUAAACUUGUAAUAUAUAUUUUUUUUUAUUUUUUUUAUAUAAACAAAAAUGAUGAAAAUGUCCAAGUGUGGACUAAAAGACUCUCUAAAGUCCUAAGGAAAUCGCAAAAAGAUAUGGUGAUGUAAAGAGGCCGGAUAUGGAUUCUACUCGGGGACAAGCACCAGUGCUUCAUCCUAAUGGUUCUAACAUGAUCAAGUGUGAUCCUCUCGGCGGUAGUGACCGUAAGGGUAUGACAUUCAAUGCUAUAGUAUAUCCUACAGUCGUUAGUAUUGUAUGCAUAGUUCUUCAUGAAAACUACCUGGCCAUGAUCACUUAUCCCGUUAAGCUACCAGCAUCUGAUCCCAAGUAUGAAAUCUCAACCUGCAGCUAGUGGUCCCGGUUCGAUGGGUGAGAUAGCAACAAGAUCCUGGACCAAUAAUGAUACAAUAACUAUGAACCUGUUCCAUGGCAUCCAAGAUAGGUGAGAAUAAACAGAAAACAAAAAUGCAUGAAUGCUAAUGCCCUAAGCUAAAUGUCAUGCAAAAAUAAAAGAUGAAAAAGAAGAAAAUAAAUUUUAUUUUAUUUUUUUAAUUUUUUUUAUUUAAAUGCAAUUUAUACUAAAAUGCUAUGCAUCCUAAUUUAAAAUGCAUGAUAAAUUAAAAAGAAAAACAAAUACCCCACCCCAAGCUUAGAAAUAAGCAUUGUCCUCAAUGCUUGGGGCGAGGCGAAAGGGUGGGGUGGGGUAUUCCUUUUUUAGACACAGUGUGACCCAAAAUGAGACCUUGACUCACUAUGAAAUGACAUUUCUCAAAAUUCAAAACUAAGUUUUUUUCAAUGCAUCUUUUUAAAAUUUUUGUGAGAUUGGUCAAACAUUCUUGAAAAGAGUUGCCAUAUACUGUGAAAUCUUCAAUAAAAACCUCAAUUAUGUUUUCAACGUAUUCCGAAAAGAUACUAACCAUACAACGUUGGAAAGUGGCCGGGGCAUUACAUAAUCCGAAUGGAAUUCUCCAGUAUGCAAAAGUACCAAAUGGACAUGUAAAUGUUGUCUUUUCUUGGUCCUCCGAUGCCACCGGGAUUUGGUGAAAACCGAAAUACCCGUCGAGACAAAAAUAAUGAGAUUUCCCGGCCAAGCUUUCUAACAUUUGGUCAAUGAAAGGCAAUGGGAAAUGAUCUUUUCGUGUGCUUGCAUUGAGCUUACGGUAGUCAAUACAUACUCUCCACCCGUUUUGCACACGGGUGGGGACCAUCAUACCUUUGUUGUUUUCGACCACCGUGAUUCCCUUUUUCUUUGGCACGACUUGAACCAGACUUACCCACUUGCUAUCCGAGAUUGGAUAGAACAUCCGCGCAUCUAGGAGCUUCAAAAUAUCUUUCUUGACCACUUCCAUCAUUGGCAGAUUUAACAUUCUUUGUGCGUCCCUACUUGGCUUGCAUUCAUCCUCCAUUAAGAUCUUGUCCAUACAAGUGGAGGGACUCAAUCCUUUAAUAUCCACAAUCAUCCAACCCAUGGCUUCUUUAUGUUCCCUCAACACCUUAAGGAGCUGUUCUUCUUCACACUUGGUUAGGUGAGUUGAAAUGAUGACGGGAAGGGUCUCGUUGUCUCCCAAGUACACAUACUUCAAAUGUUGAGGAAGGACCUUCAAUUCUAAUUCUGGCGGUUGGACAAGGGAGGGUGGCAAUCUCGUGUGAGUUUGAGGUAAUUCAAUUUACUUCACACUAAAUUGGGUGGUCUUCUUGAUCUCCAAAAUGUUGACUAAUCUUUCAAUUUCGGGGUCUAGCGAAUAGAACUUCAAUUUCUUGGCUAAUUUUGCACAAUCAAACCCCUUGAUCAAAACCAUCUCUAACAUGUCAUCAUCACACAACUCGAACAAUUCCUAAGUCAAUGGUUCGACAACAUCUAUGAAGCACAAGGAUGAAACAUCACUAGGAUACCUCAUAGCAUCAUAAAUGUUAAAACUUACUGUUUCACCAUCAAAUUCCAUGGUUAAGCUUGCCGCAUACACAUCAAUCUUUGUUCUAGUCGUCUUCAAGAAUGGUCGCCCAAGUAAGAUUAUACCCAAUUUUGAGGAUACUUGUUCAUCUAGGUCAAUCACAUAGAAAUCUGUCGGGAAGACCAAUUAGUUUACUUGUACUAGGACAUCUUCCAAAACACCUCUAGGAAAGACACUUGAUUUAUCCGCAAGAGAUAUUAUGACACCAGUUUCACUUAAGGGUCCGACAUUUAAUGAUUCAUACACCGAAUAGGGCAUGACAUUGAUAGAGGCACCAAGAUCAAGCAUAGCACUACUAAAAGUGACAUCUCCAAUCUUGCAAGGAACCAUGAACAUUCCGGGAUCUUUGCAUUUGGGUGGAAGUUUCCUUUGUAAAACCGCGGAUGCAUUUUCGUUCAUCGAGAUUUUCUCAUUCCCUUUCAACUUUCUCUUGUUGGUGCAAAGCUCCUUCAGGAACUUUGCAUAUCUUGGAGUUUGUUUGAUUGCAUCAAGUAAAGGGAUGUUUACUUCCACCUUUCGGAAGGUGUCCAAGAUCUCUUUCUCCUCCAUAUUCUUCUUUGAAGUUGCAAGUCCGAGGGGAACGGUGGGUGAAUGGCUAUUGGUGUCACUAGAGGAGUAGUCUUCUUUGGGGCUCCGGCUUGUAUGUCAUUCUUGGUUAUGGGAUCCUCAAUGGGGAUAAUCUCCAUUCCUCUUCUUCCCUCGGCUUCUUCUUUGAACUAUUUUCUUCGGCUUGUUUGCCACUUCUCAAGGUCACCACAUUCUUUUCGGUUUGAGAAGGGAGUUUACCACAGGAUUCCAACUUGCUUAUAGAUGUAACUAUAUCUCCCAUUUAUGCUUCAAGGUUGAGAUACUAGUCCUUUUCUCUUUUUGGAAUUGUUGGGUACUAGUGGCUAAAGAUUUGACAAUGUCUUCAAGAGACAUUGUGACAACCCGAAAUUUCCAUUCUGAACAAACCAUAUCAAGCCAAUAGAAGUUAGAACAAUUAUAGUGAAAUUCCCGACUUUGAGUAUAAGUUUGAGCAUUUCAGGUUUAGCACAUAAGGAGAUAUCAGGAGAGUGGAUGCACUAGGGUUUUGUGCAACAUUGUUAUUCCAAUACUCUAUGCUAUUAGAGUUCAUUCCGGGAAUAAAAUAUUUUCUGCCAAAAAUAUCAGGACUAUAUAUAGAAAUCUGAACCAUAUUCAUUCAUUAGUUGCAUUUCCAACUAGAGAAAAGCCGAAUUCUCUCUCACGGAUCUUCGGGUUUUUAUCCCAAACCGUGAGUACUUCUAUCUAGUUAUAUUAUAUAACUUAGAUUGUAUUUUAUAACAUCAAAAUCGGAUCAAAACCCCAAGAUUUGGGAGUUUACCGCCCAAGAACACUUGGGGAGUAAACUCCAUUUUAAGGGCCAAAAGUGUCCCAAUGUCCCUCAAAGCCUUGGAACUCAAACUAGAAGCCACCAUUGCAUGUUUAGGACACCAAAAUCAUUUAGAAACAAGGAUGAAAGUGAGUUCAUGGCCAAGGAAGUUCUUGGGCCGUGAACUCCAUUUUUAGGUGCCAAAACACCCUAAAAACCUUCCUUAAGCCAAGAGACUAAUUUAGACAUGUACCUAAAUGAGUUUAGGACUAGCAAACACCCUUAGAACACCAAGAGUAAGGUGUUCAUGACCCAAAAAGUUCUAGGGUCGUGAACUCCAUAAAAUGGCGCCAAAUAGUGCCAUAAACUCUUGUAAAGCCUAGUACCAAAGCCUAGUUUAGUUCCUAGUUAAUUUAGGGACUUGAAAACACAAUAAACAUCCUCCCAAGGGAGAUUACGGCCGUAAUCUCCAAGGGAUAUGGUCCCAGGGCCGUAAACUCCUAAAAGGAGUUAUAUUAUGCCUUAAACUCUUCCAAGGACCAAGCCAUUAAGUAGAAAUGCUUCUUAGGACCUUAUAGAGCAUCAAACAUCAAAUGGACACAUAAGUAUGAGCUCACAGCCGUAAACUCAUGAGUUUACGACCAUAAACUCACUUAGUAGGGUUAUUAGGGCCGUGAACCUCAUGGUGGAGUAUUCCUUGAGCCCUACACACAAUAGCUUCCCCUACAAAUACUUAGAUGCAAUCCUAGAGGCUAAUAACACUUGAUAAAGGUGUUUAGCAUGUCCUAGGGUAUCUUGACUUGUUUAUUAGUUGUAUAUAGACUAAUUUGUUACAUAUAUGUGAAUUUAUAUGUUAACUAGGACCAUAGAGUGUGUUCAAGACUUCACUUGACACCUAGCAGUCCUACCUCUUCAGUUCAUUCCAAUCACUUACAACAGGUGAGAUCAUACCCUCUUAAUCAAUGUUUUAACUGUUUUUAAAUGUUUUAUAGGGGGGAUACAAGUAGAAUCAUGCUAGUUACUAUAUCAAUCACAUGUGAUUAGUAAGCAGCAUUCAAAUGAUUGGCUACUCAUUAGCCGUUUUACUAAACAGUUUCCUUCAAUUGAUUUUCAUAGACAUUUUAUAUGAUUAAAACUCCUUAUUAAGUUGUGCAUUUUACUCUGUACGCUUCAUUUCAAACUCAUUUACAAUUGUGUUUCAAACAAAUGUUCCUUUAUGCUUAAACUGUUUUAUCAAACCCAUGCUUUCAAACCAUUUUAUAGAUUGACAUCAAGUCGAUCUUUUCUUAGAUAAUAAUUAUGUUCAAAGGUUUUACAAACUUACUUUAUGCUUUUAUAUUAUAAAUUGCAUGCCUAUAUAUGUAUACUUAUGUAAGUAAUGUUUAAAGGACUUAGGAAGGCUAUCCACCCUAUUUCCUUUUCACGCUUGAGAUGUGGUUUGGUGGGAUAUCGGGUACCGUCCGGAGGGCGUUUAAAUAUUAGUUAUAUAUCAUGUGUACAUAUAUAGUCAUAAAGGUUCUUCCAGUUCAUUCAAUACCCUUGGGUAGCAAGGGUAUACAUCCAUGUUCAUACAUACCAGUUACAUUACUAGUAAGCUACCAUAGGGGUAGUUUGGGAAGAUAUUAGAACCAUUACUAGAACGCAAUAUCAUACAAUGAGUCAGUUCAUUCAUGAGUCAAUACUUGCUAGAUAGAGAGAGAACACACAUUACAGCUAGCACACGCAGAACAUUACAGUGCAUUACUUUACAACUACAUGAGUACGUUUACAUGAUUACAUUUACACGAGUAGAUUUACAUUGAUACGUUUACAUAGAGAUCUUGUUAUAAGCAUGCCUAUAUAUGUAUAGUUAUAUAAGUAAUGUUUAAAGGACUUAGGAAGGCUAUCCACCCUAUUUCCUUCUCGCGCUUGAGAUGUGGUCUGGUGGGAUAUCGGGUACCAUCCGAAGGUCGUUUAAAACUUAGUUAUAUAUCAUGUGUACAUAUAUGGACAUAAUAGUUCCUCUCAGUCAGUUCAGUACCUUUGGGUAGCAAAGGCAUAUGUUCAUAUACUUUUACAUGAUUACGCUUACAUGAGUACGUAUACAUAGAUACGUUACAUGAUUACGCUUACAUAUAUGUUAGUAGGACAGACAUCACUAGGUGCUAUAGCAUGGAACGAGUUCAGGAUCUAACUAUACCGAUGAAUCGCAACACAUUGUGAUAGUUAUAUCGGGUAUACAUGAUCAUAGUAAUGUGGAUGUUCACGGCUUGCAUAUACGCAGGGGUGGUGUAAAGGUCCCAAAAUCCCUUUGACAGGGGAGCGUUUAGCCCAGGAUCUAGCCAUCACAUUAUGCCUUAUACCUCAAAUAAGGCAAUAGGAGUACAGAGGCAGUCACUUAUUACAAAUACUGCAGUACUUACGAGAUUACCCUAGACUUAAGGUAAUUAGUACGAUUGUAGUUCAACACUACACCAUAGUACUAUUUCAUUUUCCCAUUACAUUCACUUCGUGAACAUUCACACGAUGCACGGUAAUGUAGAAACUAUAUUUUUGGUUAAUGAUAGUCAGACUUGGGAAAGUACACACUCUCACAAGAGACACACACAUAGAUACUAGAUGCCCUUGUAGAAGGCUACAUAUAGAUCAGUUAAGUCUUGGUAGAAGACUCCCUGUUAUAAUAGUAGGAAUCAUAGGGAUUUCUAGAGUUUUUCAAACGUUUACAGUUGUUUUACAUACAUUUUCAAUACUUACAAUUCUUAUACAUACAAAUUCUUACAUACAAAUUAAGACGCUAAAAUACUUAUGAUCUCACCAGCUUUAAAGCUGAUACUCUCUUUCAAAAUAACUUGUAUCCUCAGGUCAAUCAUAGACAGGUACCGAUGCAAGGUUUAGAGAAGAUGGAGCUCGUUCAAGACUCAUCUUUCAUUUUGAUUUAUGCUUUAGUGUUUAUCAAAAUUUGACAGAACACACUUGUAUAAUAAUUAUAUUAUUAAUGCAAUGGAUGAUGUUGUUGCUUGUUUACUACUUUACAUUGUUGUGAUACUGUACAUGACGUCCUCCGCCCCAGAACGUUUCCGCCGUUCUUGGUUUUGGGGUGUCACAGACAUUCCGGAGCUACUUGGUUGAGAUUGAGGAGGUUGUUGUUGAUGAUCUGGAGGGUGCGGUUUGGGUUGAUAGUGUGGUUAUUGAUGUUGGUAAUGAGGUUGUGGUGGUGAAUAGGAUGGUCUAACCAGUGCAUUUUGAGGCAAUGGUCUUGGAUUGUAGCUCAUGUUGGGAUUUGGCUUCCAACUUGAAUUAUAUGCAUUUUGGUAACCGGAUGGUUUGUUGUGGUAGUUUUAGAACUCUCGAGUGGCAUUCACAUGCUCCGCAUCUUCUUGAAGGAUGGGACACAUAUCCGUAGGAUGUCCCAUUGUUGCACAUAUUCCACAAACCAUCACUUGUGGAGUUUGUCCCAUGGCUAGCUUUUGGACAACGGAGAUUAGAUCUUUAAUUUGAGACUCAAGAUUUGAUGUUCCCACUUAAUUGACUUUGUGUUGUGCGUCUCUCUUCAUUUCUUGGCGCUGGCCAAAAUGUUGAGAAUUCGCGGCUAUGGUGUCGAAAAGUUGUCUUGUUUGUUGUGGAGUUUUACUAAAGACAUCACCACCAUUUGAGGCAUCAACUAGUCUUCUCUCCAUUGGCAACAAUCCCUCAUAGAAGUGUUGAAUGAGGAGUUGUUCCGGAAUUUGGUGUUAUGGGCAACUAUAGCACAAGUUGUUGAACCUCUCCCAAUAAUCAUGAAAAGUUUCAUUUUGACCUUGGCGGAUUCCACAAAUCUCAUUUCUAAGACUUGAGACUCUUGAGGCGGGAUAGAACUUAUCAAGGAAAGCUCUUGCCAUGUUGGUCCAUGAGUUGAUCGACCCCAGUGGAAGAUAGAAUAACCAAUCUUUUGCUCUAUCGGCCAAUGAAAAGGGGAACACCCUUAGCUUGAUUUGGUCAUCGGUUGACCCUUGGGGCUUCAUGCUAGUGCAAAUGAUGUGGAACAUCUUCAAAUGCUUAUGAGGGUCUUCAUUCUCCAAUCCAUGAAAAUUUGGUAGGUGAUGGACUAAACUUGACUUCAACUCCGAGCCUCCUUCCAAAACCGGGUAAUUGAUACCGGUUGGAGUUUGUGUAACAUCGGUCUCCAUCAUUUGCCUUAAAGUUCUUUCGGGAACUUCACCUCCGUCCGCCAUUGCAAUUGGUUCAAUAAUGGGUGGAUUUUGUUGUAGGGGUGGUGUUUCCAGAAUUUCUUGACGAGGGUCGGGACUAGAAUCGGGUUCUAUAUCACUUAAUGAAGCGAUUUCAACCUCAGGGUGCCCGUGGGGGUUAGAAGUUUGACCAUGUUCAACUCGUUUUUCCUUCGCCAAACACCUUGCUUCUUUUUCGAUUUCUGGGUUGUAAAUCAAGUCACCUGUACGCUGAGAUCUGGGCAUAGAGAAACAAAUUGAUUAAAAAUAAACUAAUCCCCGACAAUGGCGCCAAAAAUUUGGUGGUUGUCGAGGCCAACAAAAUUAAUAUCCUAAAAAUUACACAUUAAAAUAGAGUAUAGUGGUAAGGGAUCGUAUCCACGGAGAUUGGUUCAGUUUAUAACUCUAUGAAGAAAUCUCUUUGUAAAAUUACUUGUAAGAUAACAAUAAAAAAAUAAAAAAUAAAAAGGGGGGUGUUUAGUUCUUUCGAGUGUUGGACAAAAUUUUAAACUAGCUAGGAUGAAAAUAUGACAAGUAAGCAAGUAAAAGAUCGGAUUAAAUUCAAAGAAGUGGAAUUGGUUGAUUUUGGGGAACACCUCAUGGAUGAUAUGAUUGACUUAUCAUUAGACUUAAUGGAAUAACACUUGUGAAUUGGUUUAACUUGACUAUAGCAAUUCAUAAGCACAAAUUGCCUCAACUCUUCUUAGAAAUCAAAAUGGUUAGAGGAACUCUUAACACAUUUCCUUAAUUGAAGUCACAAGAUCAAUGAAGCAUAAAAUCUUGUGAAAAUCAAUUAGCUUUAAGUUGUAAGAGUCACCAAGUCCAAAAGAUAAUCAAAUUCUUACAUUAUCAUUAUGGAGGAAACAUUUCCAUGGUCUAAAUGAAAUGAAAACAAACAUAUAAACCAUUUGUUGCUUACUAAUUUGAAGGUCUGUUACUUAACCAAGAAAUUAAUCAACAAAAACAAGCAUUCAUUCAUCUAAGCUCAUGAUCAAAGAUAAAUAAACACAACAAGAUGUUUAACUAGAAAACAUUUCCAUAAACAUCAAACACGAAUGUAAUGAUAAGUCUUCAACGCAAAUAAUCAUCCAUGGGUUAAACCUUAAUCAACCAAAUGAAAAUUUAGCCAAUCAUGGCCAAAGUAAAAGAAAAACAAUAUAGUUUAGAAGUAUCAAACAUUGUCUUAGAUGCAAGAUGAAAGGAAAUUACACUAAUCCUCCAAAAAUUCUUCAAAUCUUCCAAGACCCUUUGAGAGAAUAUUGGUGUAUGUUCAUCAAGUCAUCCCCCCCAAGAAUGGCUCCAAACUCCAGCAAAAGGGGGUUGAUUUUCGGAUUCAAAAAAGGUGCCAAAAGUCACCCACCAAACUUCCACAAAUAGAGUCAAUAAGUCAAACCCGGAAUCAGCUUAGGUCAAUUCACGCGGACCGCGUAUCAGUCCACGCGGACCGCAUGGGUCACGCUGAAUGUGAGACUUGGGCCUUUAAUCAUGCAUUUUAACCCAAUCUUCACUUCUUCAAUUUCAGCCCACAUUCAUAACUCUUUAGGACCCAUUUGCCAUUCCAAAGCCUUCUAAUGAUUGACCCAAUACUCCUUAAAUUUUCUUGUAGCUCGAUUCCGCGUCGCCUCAUCAUCAUCCUUGCCCACAAAUUAGAUCCAAAUUGAUUUCUUCUUUUACACAAGCACCUAGCCUAGUCGCACCACUUCAAGUCCACAAUCAAAUCACAUGCCUUCAUAAGUCCCGCUUCCUUCUAAGCCUCCAAUAACAAAUAGUCUUCGGUAAAUCCUGCAAUUAAGCUCAAAAGACUAGAAAGCACCCGGUAAAGGAGAAAAAAUGACAAAAAGAGAAAAUAUGCAUGAAGAUUGACUAAAAUGAGAUGGUUUUAACUAAAAAUAAACUAUGAAAAGAAGUAAUAAAAACGAAACUAUCACAAAUCCAAAUUUGCCUAUAUAUUUGAUAAUUAAAUAAAAUCCUACAAAUUAACAGAUAAAUCUUUGACUUGAUUAAUUAUUUAAUUGAUUAAUACAGUUAAUUUUUAAGUGUGUCAAUGAUUAAUUUAGAUGUUGAUUAAUUCUAAUAAUUAAUGUCAAAUCUUAAUUGGUUUAUUUAAAUUAAAAUAAUUCUUUAAUUUCAAAAAUUUAAUAAACUUAGUAUUUUAGAAAAGUUUCUAAAAUUCAACUUAUAACAUAUAUAUAUAUAUAUAUAUAUAUAUAUAUAUAUAUGUGUGUGUGUGUGUGUGAGUGUGUGUGUAUAAUUUAACAAUUAUUAUAUGUGUAAGACAAAGUCAGUCAAAUCGCUAGUACGCCUCAUUUAAAUAGCUGAACUAUAAAGGGGGUAUAACGAAACUGAGUAUAAAAUGGUAGAUGAAUGGGUGUUUACUCUCACACAUUGCUUCCUGGUUUGGUGGAGGGUCGUUUGCCGAACGUAUUUGAUAGGAUAUAAUCUCAUUAUUAAGUAUAAUGCUAUAAAAGUAACUAUUUUUUUAUAAAAUCCCAUUCUUAGUUACUUUAGGAAAAAUGUGAAAAGUAUGCUAAUCCAUAAAAUUGCACAUUAUACUUUAUUAGUAUUUAGUGGAGCGUGUGUGUCUAACAGGAACACUAAUAGUUACAAUAAAGAGUAAUAAUGGGCAUUUCGAAAAUUGUCAUUGAUUAGUGGAGCGUGUGUGGCUACCUGACACAUUAAUAUGAGAUGAUAAAUGACAUCGAGAUUGGCAAGCAUAUUUGUAUGGUUCUUCACAUCUUGUUUGUGAUCCCCAGUAUCACGGUCACAAUUAGAAGGGCAUAGUCUAACAGUAAACAUUUCAUUGAUAGAAUCAAUAAAUCUCAAAAGAUGUAGGAAUUUCAAAGUUCGAAAUUGGUAAAUUGCUUUUACCUACUUUCAUAAAUUUGCAAUAAGAUUACGUCAUUCCUCUUAUUAGUUGUUACUUGUUACUUUUUAUCCUAGCCUUACUUAUUUAUUAUGGGUUAAAACAUUAAGGAUUAUUGUCAUCUAACUAAAACUAUUCUUUUUUCAGUAUAAAUGUCUACUCCUGGUGAUGCUUCUGCUCCAUCGUCGUCUACCCACUACUUGGAUUUCUCGCUACUCUAUAUCGUGUCCAAGGUGACCUUUGAUGGCAAACACUACAAUGAUUGGAUGUGAAACAUCAAUAUUGCUCUUCGAUUUGAGGGCAAAGAGUAUGUCCUUGAAGAAAACUCGUUGAAAUCGAUGAAUCAAAAGCUACUCUAGAACAACUAGCCUGCUACAAGAAACACUACAAUGAUUCAACAAAAGUUACUUGCAUCAUGAUCGCUAUAAUGGCUCCUGGGUUCCAGAGGUUCUAUAAGGACUACUAGCCAUAUGAGAUGAACAAUGGCCCUGUGGAAAAGUACCACAAGAGAGCUCAUCAUGAGAAAUAUAAAGUGUUCAAGUCCCUCAUGGCUUGCAAGCUGAAAUAGGAAGAGUCUGUGUGCCACCACAUGCAAAGAAUGCAAAUAUAAAUAGAACACCUUGUUAGGAUCAAUGUGAAUUUUGAUGAGGAGUUAACUAUAGAUAUGGUCUUGAACUCCUUGCCAAGUUGUUAUGAUCAGUUCAUAUUGGCUUAUCAUUUGAACAACACAGAAACCACAUUGGCCUAACUCCACAACUUGGUACACACUGUUGAUUUAGGAAUGAAGGGAAAGAAUCCAACCCUUUCUACUAAUGCUCCUGCUCUUGCCAUCGGUAAAUGAAAAAGGAGGAAAAAGAAGGGCGUUUCCAAAGAUAUGUGGAAGAACAAGACCCAGGUUGGGUCAUCUAGGAAUGACCGAAAGACAAGGCCUAACUCAGACAUUCCAACUGUUAGUGACCCCAAAGUGGAGCUACCCCAAAUACUUGUAAGACAUCAAGGAUGGCAAGGUGAAGCCAUCGGCAACAGGUAUAUACACUAUUCAAACUAAUAAGUCACAAGAUACUCGUUCUUGGGUCUUUCAUAUAGGAUGUAGUUUUCAUAUUUUUUCUGAUUUGCAGGCACUAAAAGCAAGUGAAGAGAUGGAGCAUAGGAGGAUGAAUCUGAUCAUGGGAAAUAGGCAAUCUUCUAUUGUUACCAAGAUUGGAACUUAUCAUCUUUUUCUUAGUAGUGAAGUUAGUUUAGAUUUGAUAGAUUAUUGGUAUUCGUCUGAAAUCACACGAAACAUUAUUUCAUUUCAUGCAUUGUUUAGAAAAGGUGUUCGCUACUCAUUUGAUGAUUUGAAUGGUUCAAUUCUAGUUGGGUGUUUACACUCAAUAGAGGAGUUGUGAGUUGGAAAAGUUCCAAGCAGGAGAUUGUGGCUGAUUCAACACGUGAUUCAAAAUAUAUAACUGCGAGUGAAGCGUCAAAGGUGGCUAUAUGGUUGAAGAACUUCAUUGGAGACCAUGGAGUUAUGCCAGCCAAAAAGGAGCCCAUGUAGAUUUUUUGCGAUAUUGCAGGAGCGGUUUCCUUGACCAAGGAACCAAGGGAUCAUGGAAGAUCCAGACAUAUCAACAGAAAAUACCACUUCAUCAGACAUUAGGUAGAAGAAGGACUCCUCGUCGUCAAGAGGGGAUCGUCAGAAGAGAAUCCUGCAGAUCCCCUCACAAAGGGUCCGAGUAGUAUUAAGCACAUUAAACAUACGAGGAACAUUGGUUUAAAGGACGAUAUUAGUUUUAGUGAUUAGAUAGAUAUUUUAGAAACUUUCAACAAUAUAAAUGUAAUUGCAAUUUGAUGAUUAAGUAGUGGAGAUUUAUUUAUGAGUAUUGUUUACUAUCUUUUGUCAAAUGUUUAUUUUGUAUUUCAAAUUUGAAUGUUUUACUUCCCGAAUAAUUGGAUUAUUCAAAUUAUCGACAUUCGAUCAUACUUUGGAAGUAAGUAGUGAAUUAAGACUGUCAUGAAUUGGCAUGUAGAUUGUCUAAGUGUUUAGGCAUAGCAAUGGUUUGCUACAACGUUCAUGAGUACUCUUGAAAUGGGAAUUUAAGUAUUGGAUUAAACCCACGCUCAUAGAAUUACUUCAUGGAAUUUAUCAUGAGUAAUUAUGAGAUGAUAAUAUCGUAUAGUCUUUAAACCAAGAUAUAUGAGUUGUUGUUUACGAGUUGGUUGUGCAUUGAUAAUGUGUAAACGCGUCAGUAAUUUGAAGUUAUAAAAUGUAUUGUUGUGUACGAUUUGAUGACUAAAUAGUACAAGCAUAUAAGUCAAAGUUUAUAUGUUCCUUUUAUCGCAAGGGGUAAAAGCGAUAUUGUAACACCGUAAUUUUUCAAACAAAAUUUUCAUUUUAAAAUCGCAUACUUUUCAUAACAUAUUGUAUGGAAAUCUUGUUUAUUCUAAUUACAAAACACAAAUCCAUUAAUAAUCCAGGAUCCUCAAAACAUAACUCUUUCUCCGGUAUGUACAAUCAAGUCGGUGCCUUCCCGCGAUCCUCUGAGAUACCUGAAACACAUAUCACAAUACACGGUAAGCACGAAGCUUAGUGAGUUACCCAAAAUACCACAUAUAACACAUAUUAGCCACUCGAGGCUGUAACUAUGUGGACCCUCUGGUCCUAACUCUGUGGACCCUCUGGUCCUAACUCUAUGAACCUUCCGGUUCUAACUCUGUAAACUCUGGAACAUACACAACAUAAAUCACAUAGAAACAAUGCAAUACAUCACAAUCACAUAAAUAGCAUACAAGAUACUCUGUCAUAUAAUUCUAUUUACCACUCUAGGUAAAGUAUAGUGAGAAGACUCACCUGACCAGUAGCAAGUAAAGACCCUGCUCCCGAAUCUCGAACUAGCCUCGACCUAACACAAGGGAUGAAUAUCUCUACGUGAUACUCUAAUCAAAACUCUAAUGACCGAAGGCUAUUCUUCCUCUCUUUGACUCUUUGAAGUGGAUAAAAGACCAUUUUACCCCUCCAUGGUCUCUACUACUUAUGUUGAUCACAGCCCCAAAGUCAACAGAAGUCAAACUUGAGUCAACAGUCCAUGUUUGACCUGACUCGCCCGAGUGCAACCUUGCGACUCGUCGAGUCCACUUACUUUCCUCAGAAAUCUCGUGACAGUCCAGCUCAGCUCGUCGAGUUUACCCCCAACUCAUCGAGCUAUUGCCUGAUUCAGUUCCUCGGGACAAACCCUAACCAACUCGUCAAGUCGGCUCAUCGAAUCGGCGAGUUCAUUCAGACCAAGUGAUCAUUCAAACGAUUUAAGGUAGUUGAAUCACCCAAAACGCUAGAUCUACCAUCCUAAGGGUCGAUUUUCACGUAAAGCUGCAAGCUUUACGUUUAAACAUGGCAUAUAAAGCUCAUAAUGCCAAUAUAACUCUAACAAGGAUGAUUAACUGCAAUAACUCUUCUAUGGUUAACUAAAGCUAUAAUCUUUGGGCUCUCUGGACCUCACAAGGUCCAGAUCUGAAGUCUAGGACUCAUGAGAGACAUUAUGCAUACAAAGUCCCAACAAUGGUGGAAGAAACCCUAAUCUUCUAUAUCUACAAGAUCUAAGCAAAAUAACAAGAAAGGUGAAAGCUUUUACCUCUUAGUCAAGCCCUUGCACGAAGUUACACCAGAUCCACUGAUUCUCUAGCUCCCUUGAUGUGUGAUCUCCACUUCUCCUCAAGAGAUGCACUAGUUUACUCCAAGUUUUAGCUUCUAAUAUUCUUAUGGAUCUCUAUACACGUUUAGGGUUUGCUCUCAAGGAAGGGUAGCCGCAAAUGAGGCUAUAAGUUCCUUUAAAUAGGCCUUAAACUCGGGAAAUUAGAGUUUCUCUGCCCAACACCUACUCGACGAGUCCCUCCUAUGACUCGUCGAGUCCAUUCAUUAAAUUCAAGCGACCAACUCGACUCGACUCGGCGAGUUGGUCCCUCAACUCGUCGAGUCCCUCCUUAAAUAUCAAGAUUAACAUACAUGAUAAUGUCCCUGGAAAUCCGGAUGUUACAAUUCUGUCCCACUUGAAUUAGAUUUAGCCCUCGAAAUCGCUCCUCCACAAUAUAUAGAUCUGAUCAAAUGACCAAACAACAACAUCGAAAGUGUCUCCUACCACACAACUAUCUUCUUUUCUGGAUACCUGAAUCCAAACAUGAACUCCUCCCUGGAAGAGGACAGACCCAUCUGCCAUUAUGCUACCCCUUCUGACUCUCAAGAAUUUUGAACUCUAGUAGCCUGACAUACAGCCAGACCGCCAUCUCCAGGUGUCACCACGUUAUUCGAUCCUUGAAUAACAAACCCCGAUAGCUCACUGCCCCUAUGAUUCUCUAGUGGGGACUGAUAAAACAAGUCCAUGCCCCAAACUGGCUACCGAUCACUCGUCCCAUACAUGAUAAACAAUCCAGAUCACAUACCAAGGAAUGGAAGCAUCACAUAGCACCAGGGACUCAUCCACUAAACUGCAAUCAAACCCCAGCUCCCUUCUCCAAAUCCCUUUGAACACUGAGUACCAGGUCAUCUCCCAACCUAGCAGUUGAUCCUCCGAAGGUUACCCAUUGCAUACCUCAACAUGUCUCACUGACUUCCUUUCCACACUAGCUCUCUUGGCCCAAUGUGACACACAAGUUACGAAGUUCGCUUUUCCUCAUGCGAAUACGGAGUUCGUUUCACACUCGACCUCUGUCGUCUACUACUCAUCAGUCCCAUUCGUUUUGUGGUUUUCUCACACCAACGAAUUGACCCACUCAGGUCUAAGCCACCAGAUGGAAACAAUACCCCCUUCCAAAUGAAAUUCAGCUCUGAAUCCGGAAUCUCAUUCUACCUACUCAUCGCGCUACCAAAGCCAAACUCAAACUCGAGAGUUUGAUCUGACCCAGAGCUGGAACCACUCACCCCAAUGAACCACUCAACUCAUGACUCAUGACCCGCAACCUAUGCGUACCUCACUGAUUCACUUCCCUUGGCCACGAAAACCACUACUCCAUUCAGAAUAUAAUGACUUCUGACAAACAUGGAGACCCCAGUCUCACCCCUGGUUCGACCUCGGGCUUCCACAAGUCAAAUAUUAGGGCUACCAAAGCCUAAAACUCUUCUGUGUUAAGCUCUGAUCAGAGAGCAUUUCAUCACAACAUUCUCCCGCUGACUAGUGGGUACUACGGCUCCCCGUAGUAUCACAACGACCUCUCACUGAAUAGUGAUACUACGGCUCCCCGUAGCAUCACUACACCCCUCACUGAAUAGUGAGUACUACCGCUCCCCGUAGCAUCAGCAUAACCUCUCACUGAAUAGUGAGUACUACGGUUCCCCGUAGCAUCAUCACACCCCUCACUGAAUAGUGAGUACUACGGCCCCCCGUAGCAUCACCACAACCUCUCACUGAAUAGUGAGUACUAUGACUCCCCGUAGCAUCACCACACCCCUCACUGAAUAGUGAGUACUACGGCUCCUCGUAGCAUCACCACAACCUCUCUGCACUGACUCAUUGAAACCGCAGCUCCCUGCAGUCUUACUACAUUUACUCUUACCACUUCACAAUCUCAUCCUGGGGUUGACACUACACUACGAUCAUUAACUAAUGCUCUGCGGCCCAACACAGAUAGGUACACACACACCCAUCCAAGCUAAGCAUCACUACUUCGGACAACCACCAUCGUGACAAAUCCUCUUUUCCUCGAUGCAAUUCACAUUCUCAAAUAAAUCCAUUUGAUGUCAAUUAGUUGAAGGGCCCCCACCCGAACCAUAGACACUUGAUACACCACUCAUCCUUUCAAACUAAAAACUCAAAAUAAUCCGAGAUUUAGGACAUUAAACUCGGAUACCCCGGAAUACCAUCACAACGCCUCGCAGUGUCUUGACUCCACCACUGAUCUCAUACUCAUGGCAUCAUACUCAGAUACAUCAUUGCUUCCUCGAAAUCUCGCAACCAAUCUUUCUCUUGUGUCACUUGUAACCUCGGAAUACUCCAUCUUCCAAAUUAAAACUCAUAGAAAUUGCCAACGAAUCAGAACACGAAGAUGACAAUCUGAAACCUCCUCCUCUAAUGCUCAAAGCUAAUGUAAGAAUACUCAUAAUCACCCUAAAUUUGGUUGCCCAAUCAACUUCUUCCCUUCCCAUAUUGCAUAUAAUAGCACAUACUCUGAACCAGAAAUUCUCAACCGCCGAACUAACCUUGCAAGCCAACCACCUCGAAUUCACCAUUUUAACCUUGAAGGAUUCCUAACCACCACAAGGUCUCCGACCAAUGGCCACUUGCCGUGGAGACACUCAUCCUUUCUCAAACACGUACCACAUGCACUAUCUCGCUCUGCACCUCUCCUUGACCACCAAUAACCCUGGUCUCAGGAAUUCUCACCGCAAGCAUCUCUAUCCAGUUCUCUAACCGCUCUUGAAUAAUUCUCUGAUCUCCUCAAAAGUACCCGGUUCUCCCCCACUCAGGGUUCGAUCCAUCACCAAUUGGUUCGCCAACAAUCUAACCCACAUACUAUUUUUACCAAUAACAUCACGCCUACUCUUGGAAGGUGAUACGUAAUGCUCGAUGAUCUCCCUGAUGGAGGUCAAACAAUUCCAAAUACUCUGAAUCUCCGAUGAAAUCCUCAGAAGCUUCUCAUCAUGACUACCUCUAGUCAUUCAGAAUCUCGCACCAUCCCACUACCGGACAUCUCAAUUGUGCAUUCGUAACCCUGACCCCCAGUCUGAAAAUAACAAACUAACAUGUUCCUCAUCCUCGACUAUUCAACCAACGUUCCAUCACGUGGGUUGUAAUAAGAGUGGAUUCAUCGUUACCACACUCGAUACUCAUCAUAGACAAUAAGAGCGACCGCCCCAAUAUCCUCUUAUUGAUCGUCUUCCGCUGCAACUAAUACAUGCCCCACUAUGCUCAGAUAGGGUGUAUCCUUGUCCUUAACCAUCUCAGUCCCCGCUGACAACCUGCUCAGGCUCUAACAUUACUUUUCAGUAGACAUACUGCCAAAUACUCUGAUGAAAGAUCGUAACCAAAGCUACCCCACAGUGCUCACCCCCAACCUUGGAACCCGAAAAUCUAAAUACCUCUCCUGUUUCCCAUAGGAACGGAAAUAGCACCGCUCAGGUCACAGAAAAUGAAAUCUCCACCAUCGGCCAGUUGCUCAACUCAUGCCAUAAUCCUCCAUAACCGCCAUCUCUACUCAUUCCUGAGUCUUGCGACUCCAAUUGGCAUCUCACCAACAAUCCCUCGGGGCUAACCUAAUUUCCCUUUUAAUGGAUGCUCCACUAAAACUCAUUCAUCAUGGCCCUCUGGCCCCAUACUCUUUUACAUAUGAUCUCGGUCUUACCAAUCACCAUGGAAUAACUGGUAGAACCAAUAACACUAACUGUCACAGGUCAUGGUACUCGAACCAUGUGGCUACCUCUCAAUCUACUAUGAAUCAUGGUACCCGAACCAUGUUAUCUUUUCUCAAUCCGCUACAAAUCAUGGUACUCGAACCAUGACAUCACCUAUCGAUCUGCUACAAAUCAUAGUACUCGAACCAUGGAAUCCCCUCUCGAUUUGCUACAAAUCAUGGUACUCGAACCAUGAAAUCACCUCCCGAUCUGUUGCAAAUCAUGGUACUCGAACCAUGGAAUCACCUCUCAAUCUGCUGCAAAUCAUGGUACUCAAACCAUGGAAUCACCUCUCGAUCUGCUGCAAAUCAUGGUACACAAACCAUGAAAUCACCUCUCGAUCUGCUACUUCAAACCUCCGGAAUGUUCCCUGUAUCGAGUAUGGGUCCUCUUCUUUCAGUAGUAUGGGCCCAUACUACCUGCCACAUCUACCCAUACUUUCCACACGGACCAUCCCCGAGUCCCUAAGUAGCUGCUCGACCUUCUCAAUCACCAACCCCGUCAUGCGUUUUCGCUCCUCUGCGGAUUAUCCAACUCUGUCAGUGUACUCAUCUGACUAGGGUCACCCUUUCCUAGGCUCUUCCUAGGUUCUCACACUUCUCCGCCAUCAGCUGCUAAAGAACUCCUUAUGAUGCCAGCCAUCUACCUCCUGAAUAUCGUCAUAUUCACUUAGUAGCUGACUCUCAUCAUCAAGAGUUCCACAAAGCACGAAGCAAGCAGCAUUCGGGCAUCAAAUAAUCUCUACUAACAUGUAAAACCACUCUAGUCUAUUAUCCUACUUUCUCUCCUCCUACACGUAGGAUACCACCAAACUCAAGCGACUUCACCCCCACGUGGGCAUCUGACUACCCUCUCAGUAGACUCCACAAAUUCUCAUCUAGUUAUCUCUCCUAGAUUACUCCUCUACUCAAAUCCUUCUCUAAAAAGGAUUCCUGCUGGAUACUCUUACUCAGCACAUUACAGAUAACAGUAACUCCUAGGAUAAGGCAUCACAAAUCAGGCCACUCUAGUCCUAACAUAUGAAACACCUAGCCUAUCUCUAACAUGCAUAAUAUCUCAUAGCAUAUCUCAUAAAUAUCUCAUAAUACAAACUUAAGGGUAUUUUGGGAAAUCACCGUUCGGGCUCUGGCUGAUUGUACACACUGAUCCUUCUCUUUUUCUCUUAGAAACUCUUGUCUGCUUUAGAAAAAAUAAUUUCUUUGAAAUUUUUUCUCAAAUCCUCAGUUUGAGUCCAGAUCUACCCAAAGGCGCAUUCGAAUCCCUCAAACCAAGGCUCUAAUACCAACUUGUAAAACCGUAAUUUUUCAAACAAAUUUCUCAUUUUAAAAUCGCAUACUUUUCAUAACAUAUUGUAUGGAAAUCUCGUUUAUUAUAAUUACAAAACACAACUCCAUUAAUAAUCCAGGAUCCUCAAAACAUAACUCUUUCUCUGGUAUGUACAAUUAAGCCGAUGCGUUCCUGCGAUCCUUUGAGAUACAUGAAACAUAUAUCACAAUACACGGUAAGCACGAAGCUUAGUGAGUUCCCCAAAAUACCACAUAUAACACAUAUUAGCCACUCGAGGUUGUAACUCUGUGGACCCUCUGGUCCUAACUCUGUGGACCCACUGGUCCUAACUCUGUGAACCUUCCGGUUCUAACUCUGUAAACUCUGGAACAUAGACAUCAUAAAUCACAUAAAAUAAUGCAGUGCAUCAAUAUCACAUAAAUAGCAUACAAGAUACUACGUCAUAUAAUUAUAUUUACCACUCUAUGUAAAGUAUAGUGAGAAGACUCACCUGACCAGCAGCAAGUAAAGACCCCGCUCCCGAAUCUCGAACUAGCCCCCGCCUAACACAAGGGAUGAAUAUCUCUAAGUGUUACUCUAAUCACAAAUCUAAUGACCGAAGGCUAUUCUUCCUCUUUUUAACACAAGGGAUAAAAGACCAUUUUACCCCUCCAUGGUCUCUACUACUUAUGUUGAUCAAAGCCUUAAAGUCAACAGAAGUCAAACUCGAGUCAACAGUCCAUGUUUGACCCGACUCGCCGAGUGCACCCUUGCGACUCAUUGAUUCCACUUACUUUCCUCUGAAAUCUCGUGACAGUCCAUCUCAGCUCGUCGAGUUGACCCCCAACUCGUGAAGCUAUCGCCUGAUUCAGUUCCUCGGGACAAACCAUAACCAACUCGUCGAGUCGGCUCAUCGACUCGGCGAGUUCAUUCAGACCAAAUGAUCAUUCAGACGAUUUAAGGUAGUUCCUGUUGGAUUAGUGUAUAAGCCCGUAACUAUAUUUGGUAUGUACUUGACCCGGUUGUGCAUGGUCCUUUUGGGUUGCCUUCAUCAAAGCAACUUGACAAGGUAAUUUAAGGAGAAAGAGAGAAUAUUAUGGUUUAUUAAUAUAUUAUAAGAAUAAUAUAUUAAAGGAAAAAUCAUAUUUAUUUAAUUAGUAUUCUUCAUAAAUUAAUUAGAAAUUAAUUUGGUGACUAAAAGAGAUUAAUUAAAUAAAGGGGUAUAAACUGUCAAAUGUAUGAUAGUUGAGUUUUUGGCUAAGGAAACCUUAUGGACUUAAGGGGGCACGAAAUUAUGAUGGGGAUCCAUCGUAUUUUCUUCCAAUGCCUUAUUCCAGAAGGUUCCUUGUGUUGCUUGGUGGUUAAGUUGUCCAUUAGGGUUUAGACUGAAACCCUAGCAACCUGGAAGUAUAAAUAAGACCCCUACGCUAUGAAAAUCGGCUACACCUAAUUCCAAGAGAACCCUAGGGCCGAUUUUAGAAUUUCUCAACCUCUCUCAUAUUGCCUUCUUGCUUGUGGGGUUUGUGAACCAUUAGAGGAGUUACAAUUGUGACUCUAAGCUCAAGAUCAAGAAGACUACAAGGAUUUCAAGCUAUUUGAUAGAGGUAAACACUUAAAUCUAUUUUCAUGAUGUUAAUUUCGAAUUAUAUAUGAUAGAUCUAGGGUUGCAAGUCUUGAAUACAAAGCCUGUACAAUAGAGAAACCUAGAUCCAAGCAUUAGGGUUUGUAUGAGCCCAUAGGGUUUGUUCUUAUGCAUAAAACCCAUCAGUGGUAUCAGAGCCAUGAUUACUUUCAAUUGUAUGUGAUGCUUUAACUGUUUGCUUGCUGAAAAUCUUUUUUCUUGCAUCUGCCCAACUCAACUCGGCGAGUUGGCCCUACUCAGCGAGUCCAGAGCUGACUCGGCGAGUUUGUGCGUCAGGCAGAGGAUAUUUCGGGAUUUAGUUGCUGUUUUGUCAUGGGAUUAUUGCCUAAAUCGUUUUUUGAAGAUAAAAUCCAAAUUUUGUAUGAUAAAUAUGUAUUAUUUAAAGUUAUUCGGUAAUUAUCUCAUGACUAAAAUAAGAUUAGGUCAAAUAUAGGUAAUUAUGAAAUUAAUUGUUUAAUUUAAAUUAUUUGUUAUUUGAUCCCUUGUGUUUUGAAAUAUUCAAAUCUUGCCCUCAAGUUUUGAAAUUUGAAUUUUGUGAUUAAAAGUCUAAUUUUGAAUAAUUUAAAUUUCAAACCCUUAGAAUUUUACAAGUUUAAAAUUCAACCCUAUACUAUUAUAUUAUUACAAGCUUAAUAUAUAUAUAUGUAUAACUUUAAAUGCGAGUCUUACGGUUAGUAGGCCUCUUUCACGAAGUCAGUUUAUAAAGUGGGUAUAAGGUUGCUGCCUAUAAAAUGGCGCUUAAUGGGUGUACACUCACACCCACCGCUUGCUUGACUGGUGGAGGGUCGUUAGCCAAACGGAUAGGGUGGGGCAAUCCUCUCCUCAUUAAAAGUAUAAUGUAAGAUACAAAGUAACUACAAUGUUCUUUUUACAAAUUCCCAAUCUUAGUUACUUUAGGGCAAAAUGUUAAAAUGAUGUUAUUCCAUGGAAUUACACUUUGUACCCUUGUCAAACGUUAGUGGAGUGUGCGUUGUUAACUGGCACACUAAUUUGGGAUUGACAUUGGUGGCGAAGGGUGACUUGAUGUUUGUCAUAGAUCAAUGGAGCGUGUGUGGUUUACUGACACAUUGAUUAGGUGGUAGAGACAUUGAGUGCACCAUGUUCAUUCGCAUGGUUAUUCACAACUUGUUUGCGAUCCUCGACAUCCCAGUCACAAAUUUGAAGUGCAUAUCGAGAUUUAAACAUGCCAUUGAAAAUUUCAAUGAAUCUCAAAGAUCUAGGAGUUUUCAAUACAUUUAAAGCUUAAAUCUUCUUUUUCGUUUUUCAUGGUGAGAAUUAGUGAAUCGUCAUUCACUUACCUUCAAAUUAUUUACUUUUAGAGUACGGCAUCCCUUUCUAAGUUGUAAAUAAUGUUGUUGGGUCCUAGCCCUAAUUUCUCAUUUGGGUGUUUAAUUAGGGACNAAUCAAACUUUAUUCCUUUUCUUUUUCAGAUGUCUGCAAACAACAACAACAACGCUUCUAGGUUAUUCUUGUUGAUAAACCUAUGUCAAAAGGUGACAUCUGAUGGCUCAAACUUCAAUGCGUGGACGAGGUAUAUUCGCAUGAUCACUCGUUAUGAGGACAAAGAAUAUGUCCUCAAUGAAAUGCUUGAGAAGAUCAUCCCAGAUGUUGCUACUCCUGAAGAGUUGGCCGCCUUUAAGGCCCACGAGCGUGAUGAUAUGAAAGUUCAUUGCAUCAUGCUGGCGACCAUGAACCUCGAACUCCAAAAGUCCUAUGAGGACAUGUAUCCGUAUGAAAUGCAUCAGGAUUUGCUGGACCGGUACCACCAAAGCGCGAGGCAAGAGCGUUAUGAGAUCAUUACUAACAUGAUCACCACUAGUAUGGGGAGUGGAGAAUCCCUAACCUCUCAUUUGCAUAAAAUGCAGAGGUAUGUUGAUCGUCUUCUCAAACUUAAUGUUAAGUUUGAUGAGGAUUUGGCUAUCGACAUAAUCCUCUACUCCUUGCCUUCAUGCUACAACCAGUUCAGAAUGACCUACCAAAUGAAUAAGGAAGAGGACUAUUUGAGCAAGCUCCAAGGACUGCUGAGAGCAACCUCAAUGACAAAUCUAUUGCACCAUUGGCAAUUGGUCAAGGAAAGGGAAAGAACAGAAAGGCUCCAUGUAAGGGCCAUCAUAAGGGUAAGACCCAAGAUGGCUCCUCUUCUAGUGGAACCAAAGCUGGUUCGGUCAAACCCUCUUCCGACCCAAAAGAAGCAGAGUGCUAUUACUGCUACAAGAAGGGCCACUGGAAACGAAGCUCCCCUCAAUAUCUGCAAGAAUAAAGGAUGGGAAGAUGAAGCCCACCUUCGCAGGUAUGUAUUCUAUUAAAUCUAAUAACUCAUCAUUUGCUACUUCAUGGGUUCUUGAUACAGGUUGUGGUUACCACAUUUGUUCUUAUUUGCAGGGCCUAAGAAGAAGUACGGAGAUGGAACAUGGGAAGAUAAACUUGAUUAUGGGAAACAGAAGAUCAUCGCCUGUGACCAGAGUCGGAGUUUAUUUUUUAGUGCUGAGUAGUGGGUUAGGGUUAGAUUUAGAAAAUUGUUUUUAUUCGCCAGAUAUGGAUAGAAACAUUAUUUCAUUUCACGGAUUGUUUAGACAAGGUUUCAAAUAUUCUUUUGAUAAUAGUAAUGGUUCUAUUAAUGUUUAUUUGAAUGGUGUCUUUUAUUUCAAUGCAUUACCUUGUAAUGAGAUUUAUGAAUCUGUGAUGGUUGUUGAUAAUUUAAGAAAUGAUGUGUUAAAUAUUGAUUCGUCUACUAGCCUAGACAAAGCAUGCUUGUGGCAUUGUCACCUUGGCCAUGUCAACAAGAAACGCAUAGCCCAACUCCAAAAGGAUGGAGUGUUGGAGCCAUUCGACCUUAGGGACGAUGACACGUGUGAAUCUUGUUUACUUGGGAAGAUGACCAAGUCACCCUUUACUGGCACUUGUGAAAGGGGUGAGGGUUCGUUGGAUCUCAUACACACCGAUGUGUGUGGGCCCUUUAGAUCCACCACAAGGGAUGCUUGCCGCUUCUACGUGACUUUUACGGAUGAUUAUAGCAGAUAUGGAUAUAUCUACUUAAUCAAGCAAAAGUAGGAAUUUGAAAGUUUAAAGAGUUUAAGAAUGAAGUGGAGAAUCAGUUGGGCAGGAAAAUCAAGAUGCUUCGGUCAGACUGAGGAGGAGAGUACCUAAGUCUUGAGUUUCACGACUAUCUAAAAGAAUGUGGAAUUGUUUCGCAAUUCACGCCUCCGAGAAUGCCAUAAUUGAAUGGUGUGGCUGAGAGACGUCAUUAAACCUUGUUGGACAUGGUUCGUUCUGUAAUGAGUCGGAAUUCGUUACCAAUAUCUUUCUGGGGGUAUGCCUUAGAGCCGCCCACAUCCUUAACUUAGUUCCCACCAAGAAGGUUACCAAGACUCCUCACAAUAUGUGGACAGGGAAGCUCCCUCUUUGGCACAUAUUAAGGUUUGGGGUUGCGAGGCUUUCAUAAGACGAGAGAUUCACGACAAGCUCGAACCUUGUAGUGAGAAGUGUUAUUUCAUCGGCUAUCCGCAGAAGUAUUUUGGCUAUCUUUUCUAUAGAUCGAAUGAUAAUGUUGUCUUCAUUGCUAGAAGAGGAGUUUUCCGAGAAAGGGAAUUGAUAAGCCAAGAAGACAGUGGGAGGCAAAUUGAUCUUGAAGAGAUUCAAGAACAAAGCGAUGAAGGAACUUCGAACACUGGCACUCAACCCGAGGAGGAAACUCCUGUUGAACCCGUUGACGAGUCCUUACCUCUUAGACGUUCUAAUAGGUUUAAUGUUCAACCCCAUUUUUAUGGUUUUCAUAUUACUAUUGAAGGGGAUACAUUUAUUAGUGAUGAAACACUAAUGAAUUUGGACGAACCUAACAACUACAAGGAAGCCAUGGCAGGCCCGGAGUCUGCCAAAUGGAAAGAGGCGAUGGACAGCGAGAUUCAGUCCAUGUACGACAACCAAGUUUGGAACUUGGUUGAUAAGGUACCGGGUCGUAAGACAGUUGGGUGAAUGUGGAUCUUCAAGAAGAAGACGAACAUGGAUGGGAAUGUGCACACUUAUAAAGCGCGAUUGGUUGUGAAGGGCUUUACUCAAACUCCCGGAGUUGACUAUGAUGAGACCUUCUCACCAGUUGCGAAGAUAAAGUCUAUUAGGGUAAUUCUUGCAGUUUUCACGUCCAUCUAGCAGAUGGACGUGAAAACUGCUUUCCUUAAUGGGAAGUUGGCUGAGGAUGUGUAUAUGAAUCAGCCAGAGGGUUUUGUCGAUGCGAAGCAUCCAAAUAGAGUGUGUAAGCUUGAGAAAUCCAUUUAUGGAUUAAAACAAGCAUCUCGCAGAUUGAAUCUUUGUUUUGACGAGAAAGUUAAAGAGUUUGGCUUUCUGCGAAGCGAAGAUGAAUCUUGUGUAUAUGUCAAAGCCAAAAUAGUGAGCUUCCUCAUAUUGUAUGUUGAUGACAUACUACUCAUAGGGAACGAUGUCCCAACCUUGUAGGAUGUCAAGUCGUGGCUUGGGAAAUGUUUCGCUAUGAAGGACCUCGAAGAGGCUGCUUAUAUUCUGCAGAUAAGGAUAGUAAUAAACAUGGAAAAGAGACUAAUAGGACUCAGUCAGGAUACAUACUUGGAUAAGGUACUAAAGCGUUUUAGUAUGGAAAAUUCCAAGAAAGGGGAGUUGCAAAUCCAAAGCAAUACCAAGUUGAGUAAGACUCAAAGCCCGAGUACAGAGGCAGUGAUAGUUGAUAUGAGCCAAGUACCUUACGCUUCCACAGUAGGCUCUAUCAUGUACGCUAUGACUUGUACUCGCCCUGAUGUGGCCUUCGCUUUGAGCAUGGUCAGUAGAUAUCAAGGGAAUCCUGGUAGAGCUCAUUGGAUUGCAGUUAAGAAUAUUCUUAAGUACCUAUGAAGGACCAAGGAAUGGUUUCUAGUCCUCGGUUGGAGUGAUGACUUAAGGGUACGAGGGUAUAGUGACGCUAGUUUUUAGACGGAUCGGGAUAGUUACUGAUCGCAGUCGGGCUGGUUUUUUUUGCCUAAAUGGAGGAGCAGUGACUUGGAAGAGUUCCAAGCAGGAGACCGUAGUUGACUCAACAUGUGAAUCAGAGUACAUUGUGGCAAGUGAAGCGUUAAAGGAGGCUAUAUGGUUGAAGAACUUCAUUGGAGACCUUGGAGUUAUGCCAUCUAUAAAGGAGCCGAUGGAAAUUUUCUGUGAUAAUGAAGGAGCGGUUGCCUUAACCAAGGAACCAAGAGAUCAUGGUAGAUAUCGACAUAUCGACAGAAAAUACCAUUUUAUCAGACAUCGGGAAGAAGAGGGACUCCUCUUUGUGAAGAGGGUAUCGUCAAAAGAAAACCCAGCAGAUCCCCUUACAAAGGGGCUGAGUAGGGUUAAACAUUUGUAGCAUGCUUGGAGCAUUGGGCUGAAGGAUGAUAUAAGUUUGGAUUAGAUAGAUAAGAAAUGUGUAAUAGAUAUUUUGUACUUGACAUUUUGAUGAAUAAAUAAAGUUGUGUUAUUUAUGAGUAAAUCUACUAUCUUGUGUUGGUUAUUUAUUUAUUGUUUCUAUUUUGCAUGUUUUGACUUCUUGAAUAAUAAGAUUAUUCAAACGGUCCACAGUCGUUCAUAUUUUGGAAGUAGGUAUGAAUGAAGAUUGUCAUGAAUUGUUUGUAGAAUGUCUAAAAUGUUUUGGGCAUAGCAAAGGUUUGCUGCAAAGUUCAUGAGUGCUUAUGAAUUUGAUUUGAGCAUUGGAAUAAACCCGCGUUUGUUGGUAUCACUUCGUGGUGUUGUACCUAAAGUGAUCGCAAAGCGAUAAUAUCAUAUAGUCUUAAAACUUAGAGAUAUGGUUGUUGUUUGAUGGUUGGUUAUGCAUUGAUGAUGUGUAAACGCAUCAGUAACUUGAUGUUAUAAAACACAUUGUUGUGCAUGAUUCAAUUAGUAAAUAAUAGAGGCAUAUGAGUCGAAGUUGAUCUGUUCCUUUUACUCUAUGAGAAUAAAGGUGAUAUCUUGGCCACUUGAUGAUUUGGUUUGACUUAUAUGUCGGGCCCAGUCAGAAUGAAGUUGAUGUGUUAAACUAAAUUCUAUGUUGAACAAAUCGGAGAUCAAGAAACAAGUGAUGGACAAUAAGCAUUGUCAGCAUGAUAUCUAGAAUAGAGGAUUAUACAAUCCCUUAUCUGAAGGACAAGUUGCAGAUCAGAGUUGACAGCAAAGUAUAAGAGCUACGAUUGCUAAUCGGAUUNGUGAGAUAUAUUACUAGACUUUCCAAGUGGGAGAUUGUUGGAUUAGUGUCUAAGCCCGUAACUAUAUUUGGUAUGUACUUGACUCGGUUGUACAUGGUCCUUUUGGGUUGCCUUCACCAAAGCAACUUGACAAAGUAAUUUAAGGAGAAAGAGAGAAUAUUAUGGUUUAUUAAUAUAUUAUAAGAAUAAUAUAUUAAAGGAGAAAUCAUAUUUAUUUAAUUAGUAUUGGUCAUAAAUUAAUUAGGAAUUAAAUUGGUGACUAAAAGAGAUUAAUUAAAUAAAGGGGUAUAAACUGUCAAAUGUAUGAUAGUUGAGUUUUGGGCUAAGGAAACCUUAUGGACUUAAGGGGGAACGAAAUUAUGAUGGGGAUCCAUCAUAUUUUCGUCUAAGGCCAUAUUCCAGAAGGUUCCUUGGGCUGCUUGGUGGUUAAGCUAUCCAUUAGGAUUUAGACUGAAACUCUAGCAACCUGCAAGUAUAAAUAAGACCCCUAGACUAUGAAAAUCGGCUACACCUAAUUCCAAGAGAACCCUAGGGCUGAUUUUAGCAUCUCUCAACCUCUCUCAUAUUUCCUUUUACUUGUGGGGUUUAUGAACCAUUAGAGGAGUUACAAUUGUGACUCUAAGCUCAAGAUCAAGAAGACUACAAGGAUUUCAAGCUAUUUGAUAGAGGAAAACACUUAAAUUUGUUUUCAUCAUGUUAAUUUCGAAUUAUAUAUGAUAGAUCUAGGGUUGCAAGUCUUGGAUUCAAAGCAUGUACAAUAGAGAAACCUAGAUCCAAGCAUUAGGGUUUGUAUGAGCACAUAGGGUUGUUCUUAUGCAUAAGACCCAUCAGUUCCAUCACCCCAAACACUAGAUCUACCAUCCUGAGGGUCGAUUGUCACAUAAAGCUGCAAGCUCUACGUUUAAACAUGACAUAUAAAGUUCAUAAUGCCAGUAUAACUCUAACAAGGAUGAUUAACCACAAUAACUCUUCUAUGGUUAGCUAAAGCUAUAAUCUUUGGAAUCUUUGGACCUCACAAGGUCCAGAUCUGAAGUCUAGGCCUCAUGAGAGACAUUAGGCAUACAAAGUCCCAACAAUGGUGGAAGAAACUGUGACAACUGUCAAUCCAGGUCAUUCUCGGACUCAUGCAUCUUUAUAAAAAAAAACCAUUCAUGCACAACAUGCCAUGGCCUAGUAGUAAAGAUUAGGUCAAAAUCUUGCAUAAACUAGGAUCCAACUAAGAUCUAGGACUAAUAUACUUGACACUUACGACUCUAGUAAGUUACUUAACUACAAUAGCAAAUGUCAAUGCUAUAAUUAGAAUGAAACUUCAAACUUUGUUACAAUUGAAAAAGGGUGUAAAACCCUAAAAAUAAAUUAAAAUAUUCUAAUUAUAUUUCAAUAUGAUGGUGAAUAUCAAACAAUAUUCCAAAAACCCUAAAGAGCCAAAAAUCCAAAUUUAUAAAUCUUAAAGCUUAAAAACCUUAUAAAAUUUGGCUAUAAACUUCCUAAUAUCAAAUUUUUACUAAUCAAGUUAUGGAUUAUAUCAAUGAAAUAGAAAUUUAAAUUAUUAUACAUUCAUCAUAAUUUAUUAGAUAAAAACAAGAUCUUUAAAUGAAUAGAGAAUUACAUAAAAAAUCAUUUUUAUAAAAAUUAUAGUUUUAUAAAAAUUGAAGAGGGAAAUUAUUUAAUUUGAAUUAGGAGAGAGAGGGCACUUUAAUACCCUCAAAAAUCUGGCACCCCCUCUCCCCCAUGCUUUCAUCUUCCCAAAAAUUCAAUCAUUAAACUCAAACCCUCACUCUUCCACUUCUUUCUUCACUUUCUCUCACACUCCACCCAUCUAACACUCAAGCUCUCUUCCUCUCUCUCUAACUCACGAAAAUCCUCCAUUCUCUGCCAUAAUUUCAAAUUUAAGAAGGCCUUGAAGUGUUCUUGCUUCUCUCAAGAUCAAAACCAAGGUAAACAACACAAUCCUCCCUCAUAGUUUCAUGAUUUUACUUCCUCUUCUUCAUGGUUCUUCUCUACUCUUUGGAUUCUAUGCCCUUCUAUGGCUAGAAAUCCUUAAUUUUUUUCCCUUGUGGUUUGUAGAUUCUCACCAUAACACGAUGCAUGUGUUUGAGAUGGUGAAAAUCCGGGAUCAAACCCAUGCAAGGAGUGAAAAAGAUGCACAUGUGUUCAUGUGACUUCAAAACCGAGUAUUACAUCUUCUUCUCCAUUUCUUUUGUGUUCUUGCAUGACCAAAAGCAUUUAAACCAUUUCUAGUAAAUCUUGGAUGCUCAUUCACUCCAUGCAUGUGCUAGAAAUCGGACCUUAACAGAAGCAUGCAUGUCGUUCUUGUCAAAAUGCCCUAAGAAUGCACUCAAAGCAAACUGGGAAGACAUGCAAUCUGCCAGACUACUUUGUUCAGCUUUGAACAGUCAUAACUCGGUCAUUACUUAACCAAAUCCUGAUAUUCUUUUUGUAUUGGAUAGUUCCACGAGUUAACUUUCAAACCCACCUGGUCUCACUGCAAAAAUAUUAAAUAUCGGAUUUUUGGAAAUUUUUACAAAAUGGUUGCGCGAACAGCUCUUUUUCUGUAAUCACCAUUUUUGCCUUGCGUGAUCAGUGGCCUUAAACCCAACCAUAAAUCUGGGGAAAAAUAAUUUAGAAACUUAACAUAUCCAGUGAAUGAUGGCUGAAAUUUCGUGGCUUAAAACCCCACAGAAUGUGCUACUCAAAUUCAUGAACUUCAGCCACAUUUACAACUCAUGCACUAUAAUGAGCAACAUUUCUUAACUAGUUUGGGUUCAAUACCCCUAUUUUCCCUUCUGAAUAAAUUUUGAACAUUUUUCCUUUUGAAAGCCCUCACAUUCAUGUGAUAAUCUGUAAAAUACCAAGAGCUUUUAUCAUUUCUUUGAUUUAUUAAAAUUAUUGCAAGAGAACAAGGGCAUAAAUCACAUAAAAUACUUCCAGAGGUCUAUAAAUCCGGAAUAAACUCAUGGAUGACCCUUAUGGUGAAUAAUGACCCCUCAAUAAAUUUAUUCGAUUUUUGUUGCUGUUUGGUAUGAUUUCCGAUUUUCUUUUUGUUUGGGUAUAAUAAAUCACAAAACCACUUUAGAUAGUGUAAAAAUUGUAUAUAAAAAUUUUCGCAGCCCUUACCUGUGGUGGGUGACUCAGAAAAAUAAUUUCAUAAUUUUUCAUCAUGCCUUACUAUUUUUCCCGGUUUUUGGUAAUUAUAAUGGCCUAAAAAUAGGAAAAAUAGUUCUGAUUAUCCAAAAUUCAUGAAAAUUUACCAUAACAUCAUGUUGUACAGAAGGAGGUUACAUAAAACUUUUGAUGAUUUUUAUCUACUGUAAACUAUUUUUCUCCUAUUUUCUAAAGUUAAAUACACUUAAAUACACCUAAAUACCCAUAAAUACCCAAAACCGGAUUAUACAAUAUCAAAACCACUUUUGGUAUUUUUCCCAGAUUAAUUACACUGUAAAUGAUGUUAAAAAAGUUUUUGGUAAUUUAUUUUAACUGUUUAAUAUUUAUUCUUCAAUUAAUGAUUAUUUAAAGGAAUAAAACAAGGAAAAAUAGAAAUACCCACUGAAAAAUAUCUUUUAUAUUUUUCCCAGCUUAGUAUUGUGUAAUUACAGUUAAAUAAAAAGUUUGAGAAUUUUUAUCCCUUGAAUGCCAUUUUUCGUGAAUUUAUGUUGUUAUAAAGACUUAAAAAUUUGAAAAAGUGUAACCAAUUAAUAUAAAAUCCAAUACUAAAACAUAAAUUGGCAUUUCACUAUUUGUAGAGUUUAGUAUAUUAGCAUUAGAUUUCGACAUGGAAACUCACUAGUGUGUGCUUGAUGUCGUAGGAUCCCGGUAGUAAGACGUUGGUGCAUCCUGAGGCACUACUUGUACCUACAUGAAACAUUGUGAGUAUUCACGUACUCCCCUAUUUUCAUUUUUUAUGUUUUGGGGUGGAAAAGCAUGUCCAGAAAAUUUAUUAUUUGCAUGUUGUAUUUAAAUUGAUUUGUAUCAAACAUGAUUGCUAUUGUAUUGCUAUGUCUCUCUAUGUAUGUCUAUGCAACACGGAACAUGAGAACUUAUCGUACUAAGGCCCUUCCCUUAUCUCUAACCAUUAACUCUUUGAGCCAAUGGUCAUUAUGGAUAGCGCUAUUAGGAAUUGACAACUCCUCACUCGCCCUAUUGCUGGAGUGCAUGAUACCAUAAUCAUCUAUGGAACGAUAAGCAUGGAUCUCGAUAGGGCUUCAGUCAUAGGUUUGGUUGAGACUCAUUGUUUGCUCAUACACAUACAAACUCGUUUCUCGUUAUAGCAAUAAACUUGUAUUCAUUAAUAGCAAUCAACUUUGUUUCUCAUUAAAGCAAUGUACUUGUAUUUACGAAAAGCCUUAUUUCAAGCUCGAUUUUAUAAACUUGUGAACUCACCAACUAUUUUCAUAGUUGACGCUCGUUUUACAUGCUUUUUCAGGAAAUAAUUAGUAAGUGGAUGUAAAGAUUCAUCAUCAUAGAGCAUGCUGCAUCGUGUUGAAGCUAUUAUGAAGUUAUAUUUUGAANUUUGGAAAAACUUGUAUUUUGUUUCUUUUGAAGCUAUGGGUUGUAAACUUUUAAAUACUGCUAUGGUGAUGUAUCUUUAUAUUUUGCAAUGAAACCGUUAUCGCUGUCAUAUAUUGCAUUUCCGCUUUAGCGGGGUGUGACAGAAACCCUAAUCUUCCAUAUCUACAAGAUCUAAGCAAAAUAACAAGAAAGGUGCAAGCUUUUACCUCUUAAUCAAGCCCUUGCACGAAGUUACACCAGAUCCACUGGUUCUCUAGCUCCCUUGAUGUGUGAUCUCCUCUUCUCCUCAAGAGAUGCACUAGUUUACUCCAAGUUUUAGCUUCUAAGACUCUUAUGGCUCUCCAUACACGUUUAGGGUUUGCUCUCAAGGAAGGGUAGCCGCAAAUGAGGCUAUAAGUUCCUUUAAAUAGGCCUCAAACCCGGGAAAUUAGGGUUUCUCUUCCCAGCACCUAGUCGGCGAGUCCCUCCUCUGCCUCGUUGAGUCCAUUCAUUAAAUUCACGCGAUCAACUCGACUCGACUCGGCGAGUUGGUCCCUCAACUCGUCGAGUCCCUCCUUAAAUUUCAAGAUUAACAUACAUGAUAAUGUCCCUGGAAAUCCGGAUGUUACAGAUAUCUUGGGCCCCUCGAUGAUUUUGUGUUGUCUUAUAUGUCGGGACCAGUCAGGACUGAGUUGAUAUGUUCAUUUAAGUUCUUUGUCAUACAAAUCAGAAAUCAGGAAACAAAUUGUUGGACAACGAGAAUGAUUUUAUUCCAUGUUUUUGUCCACAUGAUAUCUUGCAAAACGGAGGAUUAUAUGAUCCCUUAUCUUAAGGACUUGCUACAAUUUCUGAUCAAAUUUUGAAUUCAUACUUGCAAUUAAAGUUAUUAGACUUAUCUAAGUUAGAGACUGUCAGAUUAGGUGUCUAAGCCCAUAACUAUAAUAGGUGUGUACUUAAUUUGAUAGUAACAUGGUACUUUUGGGUUGCAUUCACUUUAGCAACUUGACAUGAUGACUUUUAGAGAGAGAGGUUGAAUUUUUUAUUUGGAAUAAUAAAUUGAUUAAUCAAUGUAUUAUGAAAAUAAUAUAUUAAUUAGAAAUCAUGUUAUUUAGUUAGUAUUUAAUCAUAAAUUAAUUUGGAAUUAAUUUUGGGAUUAAAGGAACUGAUUAAAACUACAGGGGAUGUUUUACAAAUCAUUGAUAGUUGUGAAACUGGGCUGAUGGACUCCUUAAUUAGGAGUGGAUGAAUUUCUAUAGGGAGGCCCUACAAAUUUCGUCCAAGGACUGUUGAUAGGAGUUGUAACAAACCGUUAUUUAAAGUCAAUGUAAUAGCCUAGGUCAACUUGUAACUCGUUUUAAAGUAAUAAAGAAAUAAUAAAUUAAGAUAAAAUGUUAGAUAAACUCGACAUCUUUGAAGAAAGUUGUAGUGGUCAUGACAAGGAUUUUGGAAAUAUAAAGAACGUCGAAAUUUGAGCUAUAACGAAGAAGUUAUGGCCUAUCAAAUUUUCGCGACAGAAACGGGCACGACACUGUGUGUCGUAAAAAGUGAGUUUACAAUAAAAAGUUUUUAGCCUUAACAAUCUAAAUGAAAGUCGUAGUAUACGUUAAACUGAGAGCGUACAUAAAAAUAACGUCGAAAUCUGACUUCGUAUAAAGAAGUUAUAAAUUUUCUAGCAUUUGGCAUAGCAGUGUGCAGCUCGGAAUUCGAAUUAUAGAUCAAGCGAUUUAUAGCCGACACAGCCUAAAUGAGAAUCAAAUAUCUCAUCAAUAGUAGUUUAACGGUAGAGAGACAGACGAAAACGGACUUCAGAUGAAGAAAUUAUGACUUUUUAACGGAUUUUUCAUGUCCCGGCCUGUUAAAAAUAUAACUUUAAAAAUAAAUUCAAAAUUUGCCAACGAAUUCUAAAUGAAAGUUGUAGAGUAUGGUCUCACCCACGCGUGGAUAUAAAGAAUGUCAAUAUGGAACUCAUAGCGUCCCUCGUAGGAACGCCCAGUGUACCGAGGGUUAGAACCCUUCUAUAAAUAGCAUGUGAGGCCUCUCGAUCCUCUUUUGAAAAUUCACUUUUUCUUUCACUCUAUACACCCUCUUAAGCCGCUCUAAACCCUCCGAAGCUUAGUGAACCUCCCUAACACUAGAAGAAAGCCCCGGAGCACCCGAAGUCCCUGAGAAAAGAGUCUUUUUCGGUUUGAAACUCUACUCGUGCAGAACCCAGAUUUCAGCAGAAACUCGUGAUUUUAAGAAGCGAAGUGUUGUCCGAAUCACCACUUUAUCAAGUGAGUUCAUACCCCUACGAUUUCACUAUUUUUUCAUAUUUUAAGGGAGAAUACAAGUAAAACACAAGGAAAUCUUGUGUUAAUAUCAAAACUUUUUAAAUAGUUUUUAAUUGUUGUUUUUACUAAAAUAAACAUACUACCUUAAUUGUUUGGGAUUCCAUAUAAAAACGAACAUAUAAACUAUAAUAGCUAUAGUUUAUGAGUCAUACAUACGAUUUUAUCAAUAUAAAAUGGCUUUUCUUUAUUCUACAAGUAACCGUCAAUAUAGCUUUGUGAGAUAUACUUCAAGUACUAUUCCAAGUACCAACCAAGCCCUGAAAUUAUAACCAUAGUCUCCUGAAAAGAGAGCAUGAUACUUGUGUAUAGAUCUACAUGGGACUGGCAAUCCCGCACCUUAAUUAUUAUCUACAAUUAGGCUGGUAGGCUAGGGGUGACAAAUGUCGUAUCGAUUGUGACGCCUGAAGAACGUUGUGUUCAGGCCAUCUUAGGUCAUCAAGCAUGGCUAUGAUAACUAACAAUUUGGUAUUGAACAAUACAAUUAGUGUAUGAAUAAGUAAACAACUUAACAUAGUUUUCUUAAAUAAUAAAACUAUAAAACAGUAUUUUACAAGUACAGCUGGUAAAUCCAGGCACUUACAAUUACACAGUUUUUGUACAUGUACAUAUACAGAAUACUAUUCCAGUGCAGAGAAAACAUAUUUUUCAUGAUUAUAUGUGAAUUAAAACUACAUUAUACUAUCUAAGAGUACAAUAACAAUUACACGUUUUGUUCUUAAGGUAUGAAGACUACAACUAAUUUACAACAUAAAAUAUAGAAUUUUAAAGGAAAACAUACUUACAUUUUCAAGGAACAUAUGACAGAUUUCAAUUACAAACGUGCUUAUGAACUCACCAACUUAUUUGUUGACACUCUUUUCAAAACUACUUGUAUUAUUAGGAAAUCAGUAAACAGGUAUCCACGGGUUUUGAGAAGAUCGAGCUUCAUAUAGUCAUGUCUUUUACUUUUUGCUAAACAUUUUGGUGUCAAGUAUACAUUUAUUUGAACACGAAUGUAAAAUUAUACUUUAUCAAUGUAAUGGUUGUUAUACUUUGAUUACUAUUAUGCAAUUCUUGUGAUAUUGAACAUGACGUCCUCCGCCCCCGAAUGUUUCUGUCAUUCCAGUUUGGGGUGUGACAGAUUGGUAUUAGAAACCCGGUUAUUGUGAACUAAGUAUAUCAAACCACAUAUGAAAUACAAACUAUAAACACAAUUGGCCAAAAAGUCUCUGAAGUAACAUUUUUGUACAAGUAUACUUUAAAAUAUUACGAUAUUUUUAUAAAAGUAUAAAUACAAUCACACUUACUUGUUCGUUGUCACAGAAAUAACAAAACAAAAAGUAUUAAAUAAAUUGAACACUACGAGUAGGUCUUGGGGUAUGUAAUCAGAUCUGCGAUGAAUAUAGUCUGAUUAACUAUAUUUAUCCAUGAUGUGAUUAAUGUAUGUCGAGGAAUGUUCGUAGUGAACUGUGAGUCUAUAGUUACCAACAAACCAUACAGAGAACCUUUAUCAUACUAAUUUAAAAUACUAUAGGAGUAUUAUUGUGAUACUAUAAACUACAUGCUUAAAUUCUUUCUAUGCUUCUUACCUCUAUUCUCGCAUAGACAUUAUGGCAAGAUUUGACCUACUUGGAGACCUCUAUUUCCCUAAUCAGUGAAAUGGUGGAUGGAUUGAAGAUGAUCCUGAAAAGGAUCCUGAGGCAGAACAAUAAUAAGAAGAUUCCAAAGAUGAGGGAGAAGAAGACUCGGACGCCGAACCUGAAGUUAUUAAUCCACCAUACAUAUCCCAUGUUUGAGCGUAUCGUUGUGGCUACAAUGGACCCACGCCUCAUUGGGCGGAAAACCUAGAGUAGUGGAGUGGACAAUAAGGCCAGCGGCCCCCCUAUGGUGUGGAAAGAGUUUUUUUAUAAUUUUAUUCAUAGAGGACCUGCAGACAGAGCCCUCCCGGUCAUGGUACAACGAAUCACCCAACUUCGAGAACAGACGAGGGCAUCCGUCAACCAGAUCAUGGACGUUGGCGUCAGCAAAACCGCUUUAGAUCUUGUUCUCCAGUAUAUAUGUUUAAGUUAUAUGUAAUUAAGAUUCUAUUGACUUAGAAAUGGUAGGCCCGCUUUAGGUCAUGAUCCUUGUUUGGUUGCGGACUUAAGGCAGACGCAUUAUGUUCGACAGUCUAUCCAAUCUUAAUUACAUAACACUUGUAUACACCAAGUGAUUUUAGAAGGACCUAAUAUAGAUCAAAUCAUUGAAUUUCAUUUGAGGCAUUACUAUUAAAUUCAUAAGUUUAUUUUAUGUAGACUUCUAUUAUAAAUUACUUGCAAAUACUUUAAUGACGGGACAUAUUACAUACAGAACUGAUAGUAUAGUUCAAUAACAUCUAACUUAUAAUCACUACUGGAGAUUUACCAUAAAUUCAUCUUUAAACUUUAUGGCAGAAAGAUGCAUCCACGCAGACCAAUCAGGCGUGUCAUCAACAACGUGAAAAAAAAUUCACCACCGCCACCACCACCACAGUACGACCAUGUAGUUUUCCAGGGUGCUAUAAUGGCUGCAGUAACAACCAAUAUGACUCAAAUCUACGUAAGUGGUGCUAGCGGAGCGGGUAGUGGUGCCAACAACUCUAAUCAUGGAGAAAGUAACGGAUACCCAAAGGAGUGUUCUUAUAAUGACUUCACGAACUCCAAAUCCAAAUCCUUUGAUGGCACUGAAGUUGUCAUUACUUUAACAUAUUGGUUUAAGAAGACAAAAUCGGUGUUUGAAAUCUGUGUGUGCCCUGAGACUAGCAAAGUCAAAUUUGCAGCUUUCGCUUUCUUGGACAAAGCCCUCUCUUGGUGGAACUAUUAUGUCAAGUCAUUGUCUCUCCCAGUAGCCAAUGCCAUGAGCUGGGAAGACUUAAAGUCCUAAUGUUAGCAGAAUACUACCCGAGGGGCGAAGUGCAAAAGCUUGAACAAGAACUUUGGGGUCUAACAAUGAAAGACUAUGACAUUGCUUCUUAUACUGACAUAUCUAGUGACUUGGCUAUUCUAUGUCCCGGGAUGGUCCCCUCGAAGAGGAAGAAAGUGGAAACAUACAUCUGGGGACUAUCUCCCCAGAUCUAGGGAAAUGUAAUAGCUGCAAACCCACUUGCAUUCGACAGUGCCAAGCGUUUGGCACAAACACUAGUGGAUCAUGGAGUCUGCCAAGGCUUCAUGACAGCCAUUCCUGGUCAACCCAAAGAGAGUGGCAACAAAAAGAAAUUUUGGAACAAAAGAAAUGGGCAACCGUCACAAGAGCCCUCAAAGAAGCAACAAACUAUGGCAGUACACGCGACUACUAUUCCUACUACUUUUCUUACUACCAUUCCUACUGUAAAAAUUGCAACAGGAAGGGGCACAUCGCCCGUUUCUGUAAGGUGCUGACACAACCCAUCUCCCAAGUCCCCGGUGUGGGAGUAAGAUAGGCAUGCUAUGGUUAUGGUGAAAUAGGACAUUUCCAAACAGAUUGUCCUAAGGAAAAGAAUGUUGGCAGUGUAGGAAGGGUAUUGGUAAUUGGUCAAGAAGAACCGAUAGCAGAUCCAACUGUGGUUACCGGUACGUUUCUUCUUAACUAUUCUUACGCAUGCAUUCUUUUUGAUAGUGAUGCGGAGAAAAGCUUUAUAAGCCAUAAAUUUAAACACCUACUUAAAGAAAAUCCCCAAUCAAUAAAAGAUACAUUUACUGGAGAAAUGGCUAAAAGAAAGACCGGGAGCACAAAUGAUAUAUACAUGGGAUGUACGCUUACUCUAAACAAUUAUUGUUUCCAACUCGACCUUAUGCUGGUCUCAAUAAAAAGAUUUGACGUUAUCAUCGGCACGGAUUGGUUGAGUUCUAACCAUGCAGAUAUCAUAUGUUACGAAAAUCCAUUCGUCUUAAUCUGCCAAGUAACAAAACUCUCGUUAUUUAUGGCGAUAAACUCGGUACGAACCUCCAAAUCUUUUCUUGCGUCAAGGCCAAGAAAUACCUUCAUAAAGAAUAUUGUGCUUUCUUAGCACAUGUGGUUGAUAAGACACAAAAAGUGAAGAAUAUCAAGGAUAUCCCCCGUAGCCAAAUCUCUAUAUCGUUUAGCACCGUCAGAGAGGCAUGAACUAUCCAGUCAAUUAAACAAACUUAUAAGCAAAGGAUUUAUAAGACCAAGCUUCUCACCUUGGGGAGCACCAGUCUUAUUCAUGAAGAAGAAGGAUAGAUCGUUCCAUAUGUGCAUAGACUACCAGGAAUUAAAUAAGAUCACUGUCAAAAUCCGAUACCCUUUGCCUCGAAUCGAUGACCUCUUUGACCAACUACAAGGAGAAAGUUUCUUCUCAAAGAUUGACCUAAGAUCAGGAUACCAUCAACUACAAGUUUAGGAAAAAGAUAUUCCUAAGACCGCAUUCUAAACUCGCUAUGGUCACUAUGAAUUUGUAGUGAUGCCCUUCGGUUUAAUAAAUGCACUUUUAGUAUUCAUGUACCUGAUGAACCAUGUGUGUCGACCUUACAUAGACAAGUUCGUAAUAGUUUUUAUAGACGAUAUACUUGUCUACUCCCGGAGUAAGGAAGAACACAACCAUCACUUACGACAGGUCCUGGAAACGUUAAUGGUAGAGAAGUUGUAUGCAAAGUUUUAAAAAUACGAGUUUUGGAUUCGAAAGGUGGACUUCCUAGGUCACGUAGUCAACAAAGAAGGAAUACACAUGGACCCUUCCAGAAUGAAGGGAAUUAAGAACUCGUCAGCACCAAGAACGCCAACAGAAAUCCGCCAAUUCCUAGGCCUUGCUGGCUACUACCGAAGGUUCAUUCAAAACUUCUCAAAAAUCGCCAAACCACUCACCACCCUGACUCAGAAGGGUGUAACCAUCAAAUGGGAGGAGAAACAAGAAACUGCGUUCCAGACAUUAAAGCGAGCAUUAUGUAGUUCACAAAUUUUGUCCCUCCCAGAAGAGGUAGAAGAUUUUGUAGUUUACUGCGAUGCAUCCAAGAAAGGGCUAGUCUGCGUUCUUGUGCAGCGAGGAAAAGUCAUAUAUUAUGCCUCGAGACAACUUAAGAACCAUGAGGUCAACUAUACCACGCAUGAUCUUGAACUGGGAGCAGUAGUUUUUGCUCUAAAAAUCUAGACACAUUAUCUUUAUGGAAUAAAGUGUAUAGUCUUCACAGAUCACAAAAGCCUCCAGCAUAUCUUCGAAAAGAACUGAGCAUGAGACAAAGACGAUGGGUAGAACUACUUAAUGAUUAUGAAUGUGAGAUUUUCUAUCAUCCUGUCAAAGCCAAUGUAGUAAUAGAUGCCCUUAGUCGGAAAGAGUACUCGGGUCACCGAGUAAAGUCUCUAACUAUUUCAAUCCAUUUAUAUUUGUCCAUGCAGAUCAUAGAGGCUCAACUGGAAGCCUUAAACCCUGAAAAUGUAGCAGGUGAAGGCUUAAGAGGAAUGGAGAAGAACAUAGAAAUAAAGGGUGACGAAGUUUGUUAUCUCAUGACCCAGAUCUGGACAUCGGAAUUUUGUGGCUAUAGAUAUGUUGUCAUGAACGAUGCCCACAAGACUCGAUACUCUGUUCAUCCAGGUUCAGAUAAGAUGUAUCUAGAUCUCAAGAAACUUUAUUGGUGGCCGAACAUGAAAGCUGAGAUUGCUACCUAUGUGGGCAAGUGCCUGACUUGCGCCAAAGUCAAUGGAGAAUGCCUGAAGCCCUAAAGUUUACUACAACAACCAAAAAUACCUAAGUAGAAGUGGGAGCAGAUUACAAUGGAUUUCAUAACCAUGUUGCCCAAGACCAUGGGUGGCAAUCACACCAUUCGGGUAAUCAUCGACAGAUUAACCAAGUCCGCACACUUCUUACCAAUAAAGGAAACAGACAAGAUGGAGAAACUAACCAGAACUUAUAUAAGAGACAUAGUCUGACUACAUGGUGUGCCAAUAUCUAUUAUCUUUGAUAGAGACAGUAAAUUCACCUCAAGGUUCUGGCAAUCACUACAAAAACCUCUAGGAACUAGGUUGGACAUGAGUACAAGCUACCACCCACAAACUGACGGGCAGAGUGAGAGAACUAUUCAAACCUUGGAGGACAUGCUGAUAGGUUGCGUGAUCGACUUUGGUAAGGCAUGGGAUACCCAGUUGAUUCUUUUCGAAUUCUCAUAUAACAAUAGUUAUCACACCAGCAUCAAGGUUGCCCCAUUUGAAGCCCUUUUAUGGCCGUAAGUGUAGAUCCCCUCUGUGCUGGGCUGAGGUGGGUGAUGUGUAACUAGCUAGAGGGAAAAUUACUGAUAGAACUCUCACUGGACUGGAGAUCAUAAUAAAAAUGGCUGAAAAGAUCAUGCAAAUCCGAGAAUGACUGAAAGCUUCUAAAGACAGACAAAAGAGUUACACAGACAAGAGACGAAAACCCUUGGAAUUUCAGGUUGGUGACUGCGUUCUGUUGAAGGUCUCACCCUAGAAGGGCAUGACAUGUUUUGGAAAGCGUGUAAAACUAAAUCCAAGGUACAUUGGGCCAUUCGAGAUUCUUGCUAGAAUCGGUCCAGUAGCAUAUAAAGUAAACCUACCGCAUGAACUCAGUAACAUUCAUCCUAUUCUUCAUGUAUCCAAUCUAAAGAAGUGUCUAUCUGAUGAGACUCUUGUAAUCCCAAUCAACGAAAUCAACUUAAACAAGAGUCUACACUUCAUAGAAGAACUAGUGGAAUUCAUGGACAGGGAAAUCAAGAGAACAAAACAAAGUUGUAUACCAAUAGUGAAGGUUCGCUGGAAUGCCAAGUGGGGACUUGAAUUCACUUGGGAACCGGAAGAUCAGAUGAAAUAAAAGUACCCACAUCUUUUCCCUAGUUCAUGAGUACCACUUUAGAAAUAAUUUUGGGACGAACUUCCCUCUAACGGGGGUAUAAUGUAACAAACCGUUAUUUCAAGUCAAUGUAAUAGUCUAGGCCCACUUGUAACUCGUUUUAAAAUAAUAAAGAAAUAAAAAAUUAAAAUAAAAUUUUAGAUAAACCCGAUUUCUAUGAAGAAAGUCAUAGUGGUCGUAACAAGGAUUCCAGAAAUAUAAAGAAUGCCAAAAUUUGAGCUAUAAUGAAGAAGUUAUGGCCUAUCAAAGUUUCACGACAAAACCGGCACGACACUGUGUGUCGUAAAAAGUGAGUUUACAGUAAAAUAUUUUUUAGCCUUAACAAUCUAAAUUAAAGUCUUAGUAUAUGUUAAACCGAGAGCGUGCAUAGAAAGAACGUCCAAAUCUGACUUCGUAUGAAGAAGUUAUGAGUUUUCUAAAAUUUAACAUAGCAGUGUGCAGCUCAGAAUUCAAAUUAUAGAUCGGGCGAUUUUUAGCCGACACAACUAAACGAGAAUUAAAGAUCUCAUUAAUAGAAGUUUAAUGGUAAAAAUACCAACGAAAACGGACAUCGGAUGAAGAAAUUAUGAAUUUUUAACGGGUUUUUCCUAUCCUGGCCUGUUAAAAAUAAUAACUUUAAAAAUAAAGUCAAAAUUUACCGACGUCCGACGAAGUCUAAACAAAAGUUAUAGAGUACGGUCUCAGCUAUGCGUGGAUAUAAAGAACAUGAAAAACAGAGCUCAUAUGAGAAAGUUAUGAAUAUUUGAAAUUCGAGGCCCAAAUUUCGGGGCUGGUCCGAAGGUGAACGCCCCACGUACGAGGGAACGUCAUGCGUUCGCAGCCACCUGUUCUGGAGUUGACCACUAAACCAUUUUGCAUGGAUGACAUGUUUUGAAUCUCGGAUAAUUAGACAUGAGCCUCGCUCCUUCUCCCCACGUACGAGGGUAGGUCUUGCGUACUGGAACGCGCAUUGUCCCUCGCAGGAACAGCCAGUGUACCGAGGGUCAGAACCCUUCUAUAAAUAACAUGCAAGGCCUCCCGAUUCUCUUUUGCAAAUUCAUUAUUUCUUUCACUUUAUACACCCUUUUAAGCCACUCUAAAGCCCCCCCCCCACCACCAAAGCUUAGGGAACCUCCCUAACACUAGAAGAAAGCCCCAGAGAACCCGAAGUCCCCGAGAAAAGAGUCUUUUCGGUUUGAAACUCUGCCCGUGCAGAACCCGAUUUUUAGCAGAAACUCGUGAUUUCAAGAAGAGAAGUGUUGUCCGAAUCACCACUUUAUCAAGUGAGUUCAUACCCCUAAGUUUUCACUAUCUUUUCAUAUUUUGAGAGGGGGGGGGGGGGUACAAGUAAACACAAGGAUAUCUUGUGUUAACAUCAAAGCUAUUAAAAUAGUUUUAAAUUGUCGUUUUUUCUAAAAUAAACAUGCUACCUUACUAGUUUGGGAUUCCAUACAAAAACAAACAUAUAAACUAUAAUAGGUUAUAGUUUAUGAGUCAUACAUACAAUUUUAUUAAUACAAAAUGGCUUUUCCUUAUUCUACACGUAACUGUCAAUAUAGCUUUGUGAGAUAUACUUCAAGUACUAUUCCAAGUACCAACGAAGCCCUGAAAUUAUAACCAAAGUCUCCUGGAAGGAGAGUGUGACACUUGUGUUUAGAUCUAUACGGUACUGACAAUCCCGCAUGUUAACUGUUAACUACAAUUAGGCCGACGGGCCUGGGGUGACAAAUGUCAUACCGAUUGUGACACCUGAAGAACUUCGUGUUCAGGCCAUCUUAGGUCAUCAAGCAUGGUUAUGAUAACUCACAAUUUGGUAUUGAACAAUACGAUUAGUGUCUGAAUAUGUAAACAACUUCACAUAGUUUUAUUAAAUAAUAAAACUAUAAUACAAUAUUUUACAAGUACAACUGGUGAAUCUAGGCACGUAUAAUUACACAGUUUUUAUACAAGUACAUAUACAGAAUACUAUUCCAGUGUAGAGAAAACAUACUUUUCAUGGUUUUAUGUGAACUAAAACUAUAUUAUAUUAUCUCUAAGUACAAUAACAUUUACACGUUUUGGUCUUAGGGUAUUAAGACUACAACACAUUUAUAACAUAUAGUAUAGGAUUUUCUAGGAAAACAUACUUACAUUUUCAAGGAACAAAUGACAAAUUUCAAUUACAAACAUGCUUAUGAAGUCACCAACUUAUUUGUGGACACUCUUUUCAAAGCUACUUGUAUUCUCAGGAAAUCAGUAAAUACGUAUCCACAGGUUUUGAGAAGACGGAGCUUCAUAUUGUCAUGUCUGUUAGUUUUUGCUAUAAAUUUUGGUGUCAAGUAUACAUUGAUUUGAACACGAAUGUAAAACUAUACUUUAUCAAUGUAAUGGUCGUUAUACUUUGAUUACUAUUAUGCAAUUGUUGUGAUACUGAACAUGACAUCCGCCGCCCUCGAAUGUUUCCGCUAUUCCGGUUUGGGGGUGUGACAGGAGGUCCAUGGGUUGCUUAAGCCUUAAACAGGAAAAUAGGGUUUCCUCCAAAAACCCUAGCAGCCCUUAGUUAUAUAAAGACCCCAUAGACUUGGGAUUUUCGGUGAAUGCUUGCUAAGAAGAAACCCUAGUCAGAAUUCUAUGUGCUUCAUCCCUCUCUCCUCUCAUCCUUUUGCUAGUGGUGUUUGUGAGCCAUUAAAGGUGCAACAUUUGAGGCACUAAUCUUUCAAGAGUAAAGGAUCUACAAGGAGUUCUUGUUAUUACUACAUAACAAGCAAGGUAAUCAUCAAAACCCUUUGGUUAUAUGAUUUUCAAAAUUGUAUGCUAGAUCUACGGUUUAUUGCUUUGGUAUUCAAUUGCAUGUUCAACUAGCUCAAAACUUAGAUCCAAAGCAAUUAGGGUUGCAUGAUCACAUAGGAUGUAGUUAUGCUCAAAACCCAUCAAAGCAAACAAAAAAUGAGAACUCAAAUCAAAAGAUUAUAAAAGGUAGACAAGUAUAGAUUAACUUUAGCUAAUACAAAUAUGCUUAAGAUAGAAUAAUAUCAGAAUAAUAAAGGUGACAAACACAAGAAUUAAAGUGUUGUUAGCCUGCUACUUAACUGUACACAUAAAGAUUUGUUGGAUAUUUUCGAUUAUUUAUUGUUCUUCAAUUGUGUUGGGUGACAACAAAACAAGUUAAGCACUUUAGACAGAUAUCAAAAGAAAGUUUGUUGAGCUUGCGGAAAUAUAGUUUCUAAAAAUGUAAAUCAAGUGGACACAAUGUUUAAUGUGGUUCGAUCAAUGUGGCCUACCUCCAUGACCAAACGAGUGAGAGAGAGAGAGAGAAAAUUUUAUUAAAAUCCAAGAACAGUUACAAUGACCCAACGGUUACACCUCAUUUGAGCUCUCAAAACAAAAGAAUAUCUCGUGCUUACUAAAUGCUCCAAGGGAAUGCUCUCAACCCCAUAAUGAUUACUCUCUUGAAAUUUCUGCACACUCAUAAUGAUGGAGAUACGAGCCUAUUUAUAAUUGAGGGAUCAUACCUGAAACCCUAAUAGGCCAUGCUUAUUGGCUCAUACGACAAUGAAUGGUGACACCUAAUCAUAUCCCGCCAUGUAUUAUCUUCUGGAACCUUCAUCCAUGCCAUACAACCCAUGAGCAUCAACAACACACAUGAUGGACCACCUUGAACAUGAUGGGGCAUCAUGAUGCACAGGAGAUGAAUCAUGAACACUAAUGGCCCAACAUCCUUCAUGGUGGCAUAACAAGGUGUAUUUCUUUAGCAAUAGCAACUUCUGAGCAUCCUUGAACGAUCUUAAGCAUCACAAAGGAAUUUAUAGCAUACAUGGCUUGUCAGGGAUAGCAUGGCUCAUCAAGGAUCCAAAAUGACACAUCUUGCACAAUGAUGUAGCAACAUGUGCAAAGAUGGUGCUACAGGAUUUAAGUGCGGCGCAAGAACACCAAGAUUGGAGAAACAACACCACCAUGGUGCAAUAGGAACAGACGUGGCGAAACAAGGCCAUGGAUGGCACAAGAACAUUGCUCAUGGCACAAGAGAGAUCCUCAUAGAAUAAGAGGAAUCCCUCAUGGUGCAAGAGGGAGCAUUAUGGCACUAGAAGGAAUACCAUGGCGCAAGAGCAUCCUUCUUGGAUUAUACCUUUAUCAUCUAGAGCAACAAAGUCUCCUUGUUCCUCCAUAUCCCUCUCAAGUGCUCCAAACCUCUUCUAGGUGUUCCAAACCCCCUUCUAUAUGUUUCGUUCCUUUGGAACUUGAUCUAUUCCUUUGUCAGACGAUCCAUUCCCUUCUCAAAUGAUCCAUUCCUUUGUCACAUUCUCCAUGAACCUCAAGUGCUCCAUUGAAUUCCAAGUGCUCCAAACGCACCAUGAACAUGAUUAAAAUGGUCCAUCUUAUAGAAGACUUCAUACAUCAACAAUCUCCAACUUGAAGGCUUGAACAACUUCAUCUACCGUUCAAGGUCUUCAAAAUUUGCUCAAUCUCUCUCCCUCUCUACACCAACUCCCAUCCUCAAAAUCUUGGAAGGGUAGUUGAGGCCAUGCAUGGAUUCAACUUUUCAGUAGUAAACACCUUAAUAUAUUUAUAUGUUGAGUUCUCCAAACUAAGGACUUUCUUCAGCUUAGUAGCCCCUUGGAUCAUUAUCUUGAAUUCUCUGGUCAGCCGCAUAUUAAUAUUGAGAGAAAAACUUUGAGACACACUUGAACAAAUUUUUAGAACAAGUAUAUAGCGGAAUAGUUAAUCUUGAAUGAUCUAUUAGCUCAACAAUAAUAUUAAGAGUUAGAAGUUAGUGAGUUAGAUGCGGAAAAUUAAAGAAAUGUAAAUGACAACAAUUUUUAUAUCAAGUAUACACAUAAGCAGAUUCGUAACAAGGAAUGCAUUCAAACCAAGUUAGUAAAUGAGAUCUAGCUUAGUGAUUAAGUCACAAGUGACUUGAUCCGAAGAGAGAUAGUGAUUGAUUAAGAGAGUAAGAAGAUUUGAUAAGUAAGAUAGAAUGAGAACUUUGAGAUGUGUAUUAGAAUUUGAAGAGAGAUUCACAUCAGUACAUAUUACAUGAGAAAUGAUCUCUAUUUAUAGAGACAAGUUUACAACUCUAAGAGUAGCCAUGCAAGGCAUACUGGACAUUAGAGUGUUUUACAGAAAAGACAAAAUAAACUAAGUAAAGAUAAACACUGCGGUGCUGAAGACUUUGGAUGACAAGUUGAUGAGAUUGCUUGACUGCGGUGGCUUGGAGGCUACGGUACCUAAAGUUCAAGAGGGUCACUUUUUUUAUUCAGCAAUUUCCCCCUAAGUGACCUCUUUAACUUUGAUCAGUUAUCAAGUUUAAGGAACUUUAUCAAGAUCCACCAAAACUUCCUGACGUUCUCUAACCAGUUGAUUCUUCUCAGUAUUUCAAACUUGACCUCUGCGGUUGUAUGCUUAGAUUUUUCAACUACGUUGCGGCAGAUCUCAAGUUGUUCUCUGGUGAGACGGUGCAUGGCAGUCAUAGGAAUGAAAUAUUUGACGUUGUCAGUCUUCCUCUUGAAAAUGACUCCCAGAUCAGGAUAGUUGGUUGCACCUAAGGAUCUUUCUUCAUAGCCUUCGGUAGGCAUGGGUGCGGGGUCAAGCGGUGGUAAGUCAGCAAUCUUGGAGAUGAUGGGAUGAAUGUCUGCAUCUAUUUUUGCGAAGUCACAGAUUGUUUCCUUAAGAAAGGUACUGGCCCUUUCAAGAGCGAUCUUCAUCUUCGGAUGCUUCUCAGACUUGUGCUAAAGAACCUUGGCAAUGAGAAACAUUUCUUCAGGGUUCACACACAGAAAAUCAGCCUGGGUGUGGAUGUAGUCGUGCUCCCUCCUGGUCAGGGUGUACUAGAUAAACUCAGCCUUCAUGAACUUCCGGAUCUUGUAAUUCUUCACUGUGGAUGGUCUAUCGUUAGACCAUAUGUGUUCAACUGGAGAGGCAUGAUUAGCAAAGAAUUGGCUAAGUCUCUCGAACUCCAUAGGAAGUCUUUUGUCGUUAGGAAGGUUGCGGUCAAACUGCUCAAAUACAAUGAAGUAUCUGGCAUUCGGUGAGAUUGGGACAUCCCAGUAGCCGUCUGAGGGGGGUUGCGCCUAGGUGAGAUGAGGGACAUAGUCAUCAUCAAGAAGUCUUCUAUGUGGAUUGAUCUAAGAAUUUAGCAAGGAUUCAUCCAUAACUGUGUCGAAUCCGCAGAGUCUCCAUACUUCUUCGGCCAACUUGGCUGCCUUCCAGUCUCUUUUUCUUUGAGCAGUGACAGGAGAGUCGUUUGAGCUUCGAGACAACAUAUACUCCUCCAGAUUCUUGAAGUGCGGGGGAGUUUUUGGUUUUUCAGGAGUAUUUUCAACAUGGAGAGGGGAGUUGUGAUGAGAUGGUUGUGGUGAGAGUUGUUUUUCAUGUUGUGGUGAUGGUUGCGGUAUGGGAAUUUUUUCAGUAGAGACUAGGGGAGUUUGGUGAUGUGAAAGUGAUUGGUCGGAGUGAUGUACUUCUUCACCUCCCCCUCUUGAGGAGUUUAGACUCAGAGCCUCUUCAAGCCAUUGACGAAGGCCAUCAACCUUGUCAAACACGGUUUGAAAUUGAGCUUUGAGCUCUUCUGCCAACUGUUGAUUAUUGGGAAUGGAAGGAUUGAAGAGUAGUUUAUGAAUCUCCUUGGUGAGCUGAAGAAUUUCCGGACCAUGGAAGUUGGUCGAUAGAGAUCGUUGCAUUCUGUUGAUAGUAGUUUGGAGAACAGAGAUUGCGGACUCAUAAGCAGUAUGAGUUUCAGCAAUCAACUUCUCAGAAUGUGAGGCCUGAUCCGCAAUUGCUGCUUGAAGGUCGGUUUUUAUUACGGUAACCUCAGAGAUGAGGCGUUCCGCAGCAGCCAUAAACUCCUUAUGAUCAGCUUGAUGAUUGUUGUCAAGUGAUCUGAUUCCUAUUUCAACCUUUAGAGAGAUGCGCUCCACAACCAUUCUCUCUUUGGUUUCCAAACAUUCUAUUCUUUCCAUCAGGGACUGCGGUCGUACACUGUCUUCUGGUUGCGGUUGAUUUGGCUUGACCGCAGCUAAGAUUUGAUCAACCUUAGCCUAAAGACUCAGAAAUUCUUUCCUUGUGACUGGGUGCUUCUUCUUCUUCUUCUUCUCCUUUGGCUUAGAAGUGGAGUGAUGAGAAGUACUGGAUUCUUUAUCUUCAUCAAACAUCAUCAAAUCGUCAUCUGAAGGAGAGGGUUUGUUUACCUCUUGUGGUUCAUUAUCAUCGAAGCCAAAAAUAGGAUCAGAGCUCACUUCGAUUUCAGGUUCUUCAUCUUAUGAACCUGCUGCAGUGGGAGAGGGGGGAGCUUGAUGGACAUGCUGAUCAGCAGCAGCUUGCUGAGCUUGUUGAACUUUGUCUGCCAUUGUGGACAUCCAUUCUUGAACCUUCAGGAUAGUGGCUAUGGUAUUGACUUUGUUGAUGGCAUCUGCCCAAUACUUUGCCACGACUUGAAUCUCUUGUUCCUUGAGCUGUUGUUGCUUGAUUUGCUGAUCCUUGCGAGCUUAAAAUACCCUACGAAAAGCGGCAUAUUUCUUGGCUUCAGCCUCGUUAGAGGGUUGAUGUUUGCUCCAAGAAUCAUUAGAGUCUUCUCCGUCAAUUCCUGUAAAUCGCACCAAGGUGUCCCUUCGGUUCACGGAUCCUUGCACAUUUAUGCUUACCGUGCCUAAACCACCUGAUUGUAAUGUAAGCAGAGUAGGAUUUCCUGAGCUUCCUUGGUCUCCUUGACCCGUGGUCAAGUUUGGCCUCGGCUCAGUUCUGGAAAAGGCGAAAGAAGUGCCUUACGGAUGGGACUGUGUUUGAAGUGUAUGGGUGACAUUCAAUAGGAUGGCGUUCAACUCCUCGGAUGAAAAAAUAUGCAGUCGGGAAGCCCUGGAGACUUUAGGGAGAGAACCAGUAUUAUCCCUUUGGGAAUGUACUAGUGGGGAGUCUCCUCUUUGUUGUGAUUCAGACUCACAAUCUGAGUAUGAAGGGAAAAAGAUGGUGUUGUCAAAUGGAUGUGCAGACAUCCCAAAGACUACCGAAGCCUGUUGAGAGGCUGAGGUAUUGGUCCGGUCAUGCAUUUGGCUAGUCGUUUCUUGAGGAUAGAGAUGGGUUGGUUAUCCUCUUCAGAAUCACUAUCGGAGUCAUGGCGACUCGGUUUAGCAGUUAUGAUAACUGGUGGUGAUUUUCUGUUCUUUGAUGGUUUGGGGGCAUCCUUUUUGGGAGUGCUAGAUUUCUUUGUGGUGCGGGGACCAUGGAGAGAAGAAACCUUAUGUUUGCGUCUCUAAGAGACGUUAGAAAUAGUGGUAGAAGAAAGAACUGCGUUACCUUCAGGGUUUAAGGCUGCGGAUGGAAGAGGCGGGGUAGGAAGGUACGGGUCAAUACCUUCCGUAGCCUCAACGUGGUCUGAGACAUCAGGAGUCUCGAGACCAAGUGAAGUAAGAAUAUGGGUAAGGAGUCUAUGAAUGGGACCAAAAAUACUUUGAUCAGAGGAAGGGUUGUACCUUUUUAAGUCUUUGGUGACGAAGAAAUCGAUGUCGUCACCCAUGUCAAUCUUGGCAUCCGCAUGCAAGUCAGAUAUGCACAGAGACCAAAAUCGUGCAAAAGUAAGCAUGGAUGGGUUCUGCCUCGGGCUCUCCUUGGGAAUGUAUUGGAGAAUAUCGUCCCAAAGAAUCUGACCGUAGUUCACAUUGUGGCCUAUGAAUAUGCUCCAAACCAGUUCUAAAAGCUUUAAUCCCAUGUUGUCCGUGCCUCCGGUUCUGCCGGACAGACUGUGGAUGAUGAAGUGACAGACAAACUGCCAGACCGUAGGCAAUUGGUUUUUCUUGAACUCCUAAUGCCUUUUAUCUUCUUCUGAUAGCCCAUUUGAUACAUUGCAGAGGUGACAUCUUUGAAAAGGCAUCUUUAAUCUUAACAACAUAUUGACAAAAAGGGAUAAAGAUUGAAAUUGGGAUUAACCAAAAAGAACUCUGCAUUUAAUGAUAUGUCAGAUGUAAAAUCACGUGUUGAGAACGUGUGGAGGGGGUGAGAAAAAUCUGUUGGAUAAAUUAGAAGUUGUAACGGAUGGGAUGGUUUGGGGUAAUAGGAAAAGACAUUUUAGAGGAUUUGAUUUGGAAAAUCUUUUAUUUUGUCAUCAUACCUAAAAUAGGUCUGACACAAGGUUUUGGGAGAGAAGAAUGUGACAGUUUCUCAAAGGAAUGUUUUUAUUUAAUGAAGGAUCAUUAAAUAGCACACUAUGUUUUUUUUUGUUGUUUUUUUUAAAGAAUGAACCGUCUGUAAAUAAAUUAAUGUGACUGCGGAUGAACACAUCAUUGCGGAUGGCUUCUUUGGUAUUGUGGAUGACUGCAGUGAGAAAAACUGAGAAGAGUACUUGUACAAAAGUUAAUAAUAACAAACAAGAAAGACCCAUGAAAGAUAGAUAUAAUAUAUGGUUGCGAUACAUUGACUGCGGUACACAAAAUGUUCCAAAACCAUCUAUUAUCAAUAUCUUUCAGUUAGAACCAUAAUGGAGACCAGGAAGGUCUGCGGUGACUGUCAAUUCAAGAAGAAUUUAGGGUCCGGAUUCAUCAUUCCCAACAUUUGUAAGAACACAUUGAGUUUUGUAGAGUCAACUACUUUUGUAAAUACAUCAGCAAUCUCUUCAUGAGUAGGGACAAAAAUGAGUUCAAUAUUACGUUUCAGAAUGUGGUCUUUGAUGAAGUGAUAUCGUAGUUCAAUAUUUUUAGUCUUGGAGUGUUGAAUAGGAUUAUGAGAAAUCGCUAUGGCACUUUCAGAGUCACAAUAGAUUGGUAUCUGCAUCAUUCUGUAUCCGUAGUCUAACAGUUGUGUCUUCAUCCAAAGGAUUUGGGAACAGCUGGUUGCGGCCACGUAUUCUGCUUCUGCAGUAGAUAAUGAAACACAACUUCGUUUUCUUGAGGACCAGCUGACAAGUCAACCUCCUAAAAAUUGACAUCCACCAGAUGUACUUUUUUGAUCAUGUUUACAUCCGGCAUGAUCCGCAUCAAUAAACGCUUAAAGACUGAAGUCAUUGCCUGCGGGGUACCAUAGACCAAGAGAUUUGCUUCCUUUUAGGUACCAGAGAAUUUGUUUGGCUGUAGUCAUAUAUGAUACUUUUGGGUCAGCCUGAUACCUUGCACAUAGACCAGUUGCAAAGACAAUGUCCGGUCGGCUUGCGGUGAGAUACAUUAAAGAGCCAAUGAUACCUCUAUAAGUCUUGUGAUCCACAGAUUCUCUAGAAGGAUCAACAGAGAUCUUAUAUCCGAAGGCCAUAGGAACCUUAGCCGAGGAGUAGUUGUCCAUAGAGUAUUUCUUCAAAAGUUCAGUGGUGUAUUUCUCUUGAUGAAUGAAUAUCCCUUGUUGAAUUUGUUUGACUUGGAGACCUAGAAAGAAGUUAAUCUCUCUAUUCAUGCUCAUUUGAAAUUUGUUUUUCAUGAGCUUAGCAAAUUCAUCCACCAUUCCUUGAUCCGAAGAUCCGAAGAUGAUAUCAUCCACAUAUAUUUGUACAAGCAUAAUUUGAGAACCGAUUGCUUUUCUAAAUAGCAUGGGAUCAAUCACUCCUCUUUUGUAGCCUGAAGAGACUAGGAAUUCAGAGAGAGUCUUAUACCAAGCUCUAGGGGCUUGCUUCAGACCGUAGACUGCCUUUUGAAGCUUAUGGUAGUGAUUAGGGAACUCGAUACUUUCAAAGCCAAGAGGUUGUUGAAGAUAAACCUCUCAUUUCAACUCCCCAUUGAGAAAAGCACUCUUAACGUCCAUUUGGUGUACUUUGAUGUUUUUGUGGGAAGCAUAUGCUAAGAAGAUUCGGAUUCCUUCCAUUCUAGCCACCGGAGCAUAAGUUUCAUCGUAGUCAACGUCUUCCAGUUGACUAUAGCCUUUAGCAACCAGUCUUGCCUUAUUUCUAAUAACCGCACCAGAUUCAUCUAGCUUGUUCUUGACCACCCAUCUUGUACCAAUAAUAGUAUGGCCUUGUGGAAUGGGAACAAGUUGCCACACUUUGUUUCUUUCAAAUUCUUCCAGUUCUUCUUGCAUUGCAGAAAUCCAAUAUGGUUCCAAUAAUGCUUCGUUGAUAGAUCGAGGCUCGACUACGGACAUAAAUGCUGCAUAGUGACAAUGAUCAGAUAAAUCUUUGGCAGAUCGAGUUUGGAUACCUGCGGAUGGGUUGCCAAUAAUUUGACUUGGUGGGUGAUCCUUCGUCCAUACAUGUAGACGAGGCAACAGAUGAUCAACAGCUAUGGUAGAAUGAAUGUUUUCAAUAUCAGAGGUUGCUUCGGAUGGGGAAGGAAGUUCCCCCUGGAUUUGUGAACAGCCUGCGGAAUCAUCUUGACUUGUUGGAGCAAGAAGGACAUUUUCUUGAGUAGUUUCGAGAGGCUCCCCCUGGAUUGCUGAAGGGAGUUCCUUGGGAACCUAAGAAGGUUCCCCCUGGACUGCUGAUGGGAGAGAAAUGAUCCUUGAGUCAGUUCAAGUGACGAUAUUCUCUAUGAUUUCAUCAUCCGAAUCCGAAGAUACGUUUGAAGGAAGUGAUUUUCUGAGAAUGGAAGUUUGAGCAUCAUCAAGUACUGGAACCUCAAUGGUUGUAGUAUGAACCGGAGUAGAGCUUUCCCCCUCAACCGGAGAGGUGAAAGUAUUGAGAGAUGCUACUUCGGAUAGUUUUUCCAUUUCAACAAGGUCAAAAAGAUCAUCAUAAUUUACUUCGACCAGGUUUAGAGGACCNNNNGAAUGUCGCUUUCCAUGAUGGCAGUAGUUUCAGUAGAUGGAGGGGUGUUGUGGAUGUAAGAGUCAUCGAACUUCACAUCAAAACUUUCAAUGAUUAGCCUUGUACGUCUGAUGAGAACCCGAUACGCAACCUUAUUUGUGGAGUAACCGAGAAAGAUGCCUUCAUCAGACUUCGGUGCAAAUUUGUUAAGCUGAUCUCUAUUGUUGAUCACAAAACAUCUACACCCAAAGAUGUGAAAGAAACGAACAUUUGGCUUUCAGUUGUUGAGACCCUCAUAUGGUGUCUUGUUGAGGCGUUUGCACACAAUGCUUCGGGUCUGAACGAAUCAUGCGGUUGCUACAACUUCAUCCCAGAACUAAAGAGGAAGAUGUGCGAAGUUGAGCAUGGAUCUGGCUGCUUCAACAAGGGUGCAGUUCCUUCUCUCUACUACACCUUUUUGUUGAGGUAUAUACGGAGCUGAAAAGUUAUGAGAGAUACCUUUUGACACCAAGAAGUUGUUGAGAGGAUGAUUAGUGAAUUCAGUGUCAUUGUCAUUGCAGAUGCGUCUUACAGGAAGCUUGAUCUAGAGUUCUAUUUCUUUGAUGAAAUUUAUUAGAAUCUACGGUGUUUUGGAUUUGAGUCUGAGAAAGAAUACCCAAGUGAAGCAAGUGAAGUCAUCAACUAUAACCAAUAUAUAUUUUUUUAUGAUGGAAAUUGGCUACAGUUGAUGGACCGUAGAGAUCAAUGUGGAGAAGUUCAAGUGGCUCGGAUAUAGAGGAGUCAAUCACCAUAGGGUGACUUGCUUUUGACUGCUUACCACAUACAGAAGCAGGACAUAGAGUGUUAUUGCUGAACUUGAGAAUGGGUAGACCUCUGACCAAUUCUUUAGCGACUAAGGUGUUCAUGUAUUUGAAGUUAAGAUGAGCGAGCUUGCGGUGCCAUAACCAGCUAACUUCGGAUACGGCUUUUGAGAGAAAGCACAGCUGCGGUUUACCAAUGAUGAGAGAGACAUCCAUAGGAUACAUGGUGCCUUCGGAUCGUGCCUUGAUUAAGCAAGUGCUUCUAUCACUUGUCAUGAUGUAACAGAAUUGAUCAUCAAAUUUCACUCGAUGGCCUCCCUUACAUAGGUGUCCAACACUGAUGAGAUUGUGUUUAAGGCUUUCUACAUAAGCAACCUUCUGUAUUGAGAAGUUCCCCAUAGUGAGUACACCGUAACCUCGGAUAAUGCCAUUCGCAUUGUUGCCGAAUGUAACAUUUCCACCAUUGCAUAUAGGCCUGAAAUCCCGAAGGUAUUAUAACCUUCCGGUCAUGUGCAAGGAGCAGGCACUGUCGAUCAACCAUUCUUCUUCUUGAUCCUCCUUGCACAAAGCCUACAUAAAUUAAGUGGUUAAUUUGGGCACCAAGCGAGUUUGAACCCCGGAGUCACAUACGAUGUAUUAAUCGAUGCAUGAUGUGAGGUGGCAGUGAUAGGUUUUAAGUCAACUUUCAAGCCUAGUCCUGGGUGUUUGAGAUUUUUUGGAGUUUUGUGAGAUUGUUGAUAGUUACGAGUCUUUUAAGAACGAUGAGAUUUGUCAUGAGAGAAGAUCUUUUGACACUGACAUUGACACGUGAACUUUUUGUCAUUUCCCCUGACAUUUGACUUAGUCUGAGGUUUUGAAGAGAAAGUAUGCUUUUGUCCAGUCCAAGGAUUGUGAGAUUUGACCUUUUUGUUUGUAUGUUUUGAAAAGGUGUUUUUUGCAGGUCUUGCAGGUGUGUAGACACGUGCAUGCCUUUUGUGAGGUGAUUUCUUAAACUCUUAAGGUGACCUUUUGAGUGUCGGAGUUGGCAAAAUUCCUUUCAAUUUUUGAGUUUUUGAAAGUAAGAUUGGAAGGGUUGGAGUAGGUAGAAUACCUUUCCAUUUUGGAUUGUCUAAAGAAUAGACCUGAAAACCAUUUGAUCAAAAAGACUUAUCCUUAGAGUCAAAUGAUUUUGAGUAGUGUCAGAAAUAGUGAACUCCUUCCUUUUUGUUUUCUUGGAAACAGUUGAUUUGAAAUGAUAAUUUGAGAAAGCAAGUUUUUCUGGACUCUUUGACUUGGGACAUUUCACAAAUUUCUUUUGUUUUGAAUGAAUUUCCCGUUGCUUCCCACGGGAGGAAAAUUCUUCUUUAAACCUCUUUUUUCUUUGGUCUUAGGAGAACCACAGUCAGUGACAUUUAAUUGCGGUUUCCUUAAAUCUUUUGGAGAUUUUGAAAAACAAGGACUUGAUUCGUCUGAACUGGAGAAGUCAGGAAUUUGAGAACAUUGACCAAAUUCAAAAUUUUCGAUUGGUAAUUCAUGAUUAAUUGGUUCAAUAGUCACAGAACUUUUGACUAUAGUCUGCGGUGUAGUGCUUUGGACAACCACAGAGUAAGUCUUGGUGGACACUUUAGUAGGACAUUUGAUACAAGGUAAUGGGGCAGUGUGCAGUUCAUGACUGCGGUUAGGAACACUGUGGUCAGUCUGCAGAGAUGGGAAGUCUAAUGAGACUUCAGGAUACAAUUUCCUCAUCGGCUGCGGAUGAUGUCUAAGAAUCACAAUGAACUAUGUUAUCAACAUAAUUAGAAAAUUCAGGGAGAAUUUCCUCGAUAACACAAUUAUUACUCAGAUCAUGGAGUUUACCAAAAUGAGCUUGGAUAUCCUCAGGAAAUGUUUUGUCAUUGACUGGGAAUAAGAAGUUGCAGUCUGGAGGGACAUAGGGACGUUUCGGUGUGAACCGAUGUCACACCCCGAAACCAUGAACGGCGGAAAUGUUCUGGGGUGGAGGACGUCAUGUACAGUAUCACAACAAUGAAAAGUAGUAAACAAGCAACAACAUCAUCCAUUGCAUUAAUAAUAUAAUUAUUAUACAAGUGUGUUAUGUCAAAUUUUUAUAAACACUAAAGCAUAAAUCAAAAUGAAAGAUGAGUCUUGAACGAGCUCCAUCUUCUCUAAACCUUGCAUCGGUACCUGUCUAUGUUUGACCUGAGGAUACAAGUUAUUUUGAAAGAGAGUAUCAGCUUUAAAGCUGGUGAGAUCAUAAGUAUUUUAGUGUCUUAAUUUGUAUGUAAGAAUUUGUAUGUAUAUGAAUUGUAAGUAUUGCAAAUGUAUGUAAAACAACUGUAAACAUUUGAAAAACUCUAGAAAUCCCUAUGAUUCCUACUAUUAUAACAGGAUGUCUUCUACCAAGACUUAACUGAUCUAUAUGUAGCCUUCUACCAAGGCAUCUAGUGUCUGUGUGUGUCUCAUGUAAGAGUGUGUAUUUUCCCAAGUCUGACUAUCAUUAACCAAAAAUAUAGUUUCAACAUUACCGUGCGUCGUGUGAAUGUUCAUGAAGUGAAUGUAAUGGGAAAAUGAAAUAGUACUAUGGUGCAGUGUCGAACUACAACCGUACCAAUUACCUUAAGUCUAGGGUAAUUCUUCUAAGUACUGUAGCAUUUGUAAUAAAUAACUACAUCGGUACUCAACUGGCUUAUUUGAGGGAUAAGGUAUAAUGUGAUGUCUAGAUCCCAGGCUAUAUGCUCCCCUGUCAAAGGAAUUUUAGGACCUACCCACGACCCCUGCAUGUAUGCAAGCCGUGAGCAUCCACAUUACUAUGAUCAUGUAUACUCGAUAUAACUAUCACAAUUGCGUUGUGAUGCAUCGGUAUAGUUAGAUCCUGAACUGGUUCCAUGUUAUAGCACCUAGUGACGUCUGUCCUAUGUAUAUGUAAGUGUGAUCAUGUAAGCGAUCAUGUAGUUGUACUCAUGUAACAGUGAUCAUGUAAACAUAUCUAUGUAAUAGUAUAGUAAUGUACUGUAAUGUUCCACAUGUGCUAGCUGUAAUGUAUGUUCUCUCUCUAUCUAGCAUGUAUAGUAAUGUAUUGUAAUGUUCUAGCUGUAAUGUAUGCUCUCUCUAUCUAGCAAGUAUAGUAAUGUACUGUAAUGUUCUAGAAAGUAUUGACUCAUGAAUGAACUGACUCAUUAUAUGAUAUCGCGUUCUAGUAAUAGUUCUAGUAUCUUCCUAAACUACCCAUAUGGUAGUUUACUAGUAAUCUAACUAGUACGUAUGGACAUGGAUGUAUACCCUUGCUACCCAAGGGCAUUGGAUGAACUGGAAGGACCUUCGUGACUAUAUAUGUACACAUGAUAUAUAACUAAUAUUUAAACGACCUUCGGACGGGUACCCGAUAUCCCACCAGACCACAUCCAAAUCGAGGAAAAGGAAACAGGGUGGAUAGCCUUCCUAAGUCCUUUCAACAUUUCUUAUAUAACUAUACAUAUAUAGGCAUGCAAUUUAUAAUAUAAAAGCAUAAAAUAAGUUUUAUAAAACCUUUGAACAUAAUUAUUAUCUAAGAAAAGAUCGACUUGAUGUCAAUCUAUAAAACGGUUUGGAAGCAUGGGUUUGAUAAAACAAUUUAAGUAUAAGGAAACAUUUGUUUGAAACACAAUUGUAAAUGAGUUUGAAUGGAAACAUACAGAGUAAAAUGUACAGUUUAAUAAGGAGUUUUAAACAUAAUAAGUGUUUACGAUAAACAUUUGAAGGAAAUUGUUUGGUAAAACGGCUAAUGAGUAGCCAAUCAUUUGAAUGUUGUUUAUUAAUCACAAGUGAUUGAUAUAAUAACUAGCAUGAUUCUACUUGUAUCCCCCCCCAUAAAACAUUUAAAAAUAGUUAAAACAUUGAUUAAGGGGUAUGAACUCACCUGUUGUGGGUGAUACGGAUGAACUGAAGAGGUAGGACUGCUAGGUGUCAAGUGAAGACUUUAGAUACACACAAUGGUCCUAAUUACAUAUGAAGACAUAUGUAUAUAAACAAUUAGUGAUUAUAACACUAAUUAAACACGUAUAAACAUCCUAAUGCAAGGAAAACACUUUUGGUUAAGUGCUAGGAGGCUAAUGGGUUGCAACAAAGGGGUGCAAGACCUCUUAUGGGAGUUUAUGGUCAAAAGACCAUAUGUGUUGGAGUUUACGGCCCAGGGGAGUAAACUCCAGGCCGUAAACUCUCUAUAGGGUCACUAAAUGAAGCCUAACAUUAUUACAACUUAAGUGGUGAAGUGCUUCUAGGCUUAAACAAGUGUUUGGGUGGGUUUAAGGCCUUAAAAUGGCCUUGCUUGAUGUUCACGGCCCUGGGACCACUCCCCCAUGAGUUUACGGCCGUACACUCAUGGUAAGGAGUACCAUUUCAUGUUUUGAGGUUCCUAACACUUCAAGGAUAUGAUCUAAGUUGGGUUCUAGGCAUAAGGGAGGAGUUAGGGUGUCAUUUGUCCCAUUUAUAGGGGUUUACGGCCCAAGAACUUGUCUUGGCCGUAAACUCCUUUAUCCUUGUGAUUCCUUAUGUUUUCUAGUCUAUAAACACUUUAGGGUACAUGUCUAAAUUAGUCUCUUGGCUUAAGGAAGGCUUUUAGGGCAUUUUGGCACAUAAAAAUCGAGUUCACGGCCCAAGAACUUCCUUAGUCGUGAACUCACUUCUAGCCUUUGAUUCUAGUUGAUUUUGUGGUCUAAACAUGUAAUUGAGGCUUCUAGUUUGAGUUCCAAGUCUUUUUAGGGACAUUAGGCACUCUUUUGGCCCUUAAAAAGGAGUUUACUCUCCAAGUGUUCUUGGGCGGUAAACUCCCAAAUCUUGGGGUUUUGAUCCGAUUUUGAUGUUAUAAAACACAAUCUAAGCUAUAUAAUAUAACUAGAUAGAAGUACUCACGAUUUGGGAUAAAAACCCGAAGAUCCGUGAGAGAGAAUUUGACUUUUCUCUAGUUGGAAAUGUAACUAAUGAAUGAAUAUGGUUCAGAUUUCUAUAUAUAGUNUAUAGUCCUGAGAUUUUUGGCAGAAAAUAUUUUAUUCCUGGAAUGAACUCUAAUAUCCUAGAGUAUUGGAAUAAUAGUGUUGCACAAAACCCUAGUGUAUCCACUCUCCUGAUAUCUCCUUAAGUGCUAAUCCUGAAAUACUCAAACUUAUACCCAAAGUCUGGAAUUUCACUGUAACUGUUCUAACUUCUAUUGGCUUGAUAUGGUUUGUUCAGAAUGGAAAUUUCGGGUUGUCACAAUCGAGGUAAGGACUCCAUUACGAUUGGGUAUCCAUUGGACCAACUCCAAUUAAAAGUGUUAUCAACAUUCCCUUUAUUAACAAGAUUCUCAAUGGCCUCAGUUUCAUUAAAAAGCUUUUCAAUUAACAGAUUUAAGCAUAAAAUUUCACUCUCUGCUAAAUCUCUCUGAUUUAAAGCUAUUUCUAGUUGUGUUUCACUUAACAUCCUAGCAUCUUUUUCUAUCAUCAAGUCCUUCUCUAACAUUGCCAUUUUGAGUCUCUUAUUGUCCAAACGUCCUCUAACGUGGAACAUCUCCUGCGAAGCGAUGUUCUUCUCAUAUAAGGCUUUAUUGUAGACUGUAAGGACGGCAGCACAUGUGUCAUUGAGUGUGUCUAUGAAAGGUUGACAAUCAUGCAUGUUGUAAUUUAAAGUUUGAAUCAUAAGUUUUACCUGUUCCACAAUGCUGAGAGUUCCAUCUUUUGCCAUAUAGCAAUGGUUCUUCUUUAGAUUGGUUGAGCCGUCUUCAUCAGCAGUUGCUACCAUACAGAUCUUGCCUUUUCCUUUACUGUGAUCGUCUUCAUCUUCAUCUCCUGAUGACCACACUUGAUGAUUCCUUUUCACUUGAGCAACAUAGGAUUUUCCCUUUUCUUUGUCUUCCAGUUCUUGAGCCAUUCUGAGAUAGAAGGCUCUAUCUUUCACUAUGUUUGCCUUGCAAUCCUUGGCAAAAUGGUUUUCUAUGUUGCACUUGUGACAUAACAAUGUCACUUUUGUCUUAUAAAGAGGUACUGGAGUCAGAUGAUUGAGACUGCGGUGGUACGUCUUUAGACAGUGUUUGCUGAGGCUACGGUGGAGAGAGAGGAUUCUUGGUGGAACGAAAGUGAUUGUUUUGAAAGUUGCGGUUGAAAGAUGGUUGAUUGUAUUGUUGGUUUUUGCGAAAUGAAGGUGGUAAGCGAUUGAAUUUUUUACUGAUAAGGGCGAUGGCAUUCUGAAACUCUUCUUCAUCGUCAUAUUAUGAGUCAGCUUCAUAUGACUGCGGUGGUGAUUCAUACGAAGUGGGAUAGGUUUGAGUGUGAGGUGAUUAUGCUACUAGUGCAAGUGGACCUCCGAUGUCUGAGCAGUCCUUGAGUACGGUGGACUCUUGAGCUUGCAACUCUCCAUAGAGCUUAUAGAAGGAUAACAAGUGAAUCUUCCUGUCACCUUGUACAAUCGGUUUGGCUGUUGUCCAGUGUCUUCCCAAGCCAUUAAGGAACUGUAAGUUUGUUUCAUGAUUGUUGCAGAUGGUGCUUGCAUUGGACAGUUUUGUGACAAUCAAGUUUAAUCUCUUAAAAGAGUCUUCCAAACUUUCACCGGAGUGUUCUUUGAAGUUGUUGAAUUCAUUGAGUAUCGUAGUGAGCUUCUUGUCUUGAGCCUGCUCUGAACCUUCGUACAAGUUUUUGAGAACAUCCCAAAUAUCCUUUGCUGAUUUGCAGUUUAUGAUGAUGUCGAAGUUGUCAGGAGCAACUCCACAAGAGAUUUCAUAAAAGGCAAUAGCAUCAUUUUCCAUCUUGUCGAGAUCAUCUUUGGUGGGAUGGUUCAAAGCUGAUUGACCUCCUCCUAGCCUUGCUGUGGCUCCAUCAGUUUAGACUGGUGUAAGGACUGGGACAUGGGGGCCUUCUUCUAUGGAUCUCCAAACAUCUCUACCAAGUCUUCUGAGAUAUCUUUCCAUCCUUUGAGACCAGUGAUGAUAUUCAUUCGCAACUAGUAUUGGGCUCGAUUAGAACCACCAACACUGUUAGAUACAUUCAGUGAUAACGAUUGUGCCAUUUUAAAGAUUUUUGUUUUUAGAAAUGAGCUUUAGUGGUAUAGAAAGCUCUUCGAAAAAUCAAAGUUCCAAUUUUCAAAAAGCAACCACUAUGGCUCUGAUACCAAUUGUUGAGAGAAAAACUUUGAGACACACUUGAACAAAUUGUUAGAACAAGUAUAUAACGGAAUAGUUAAUCUCGAAGGAUCUGUUAGCUCAACAAUAAUAUUAAGAGUUAGAAGUUAGUGAGUUAGAUGCAGAAAAGUAAAGAAAUGUAAAUGACAACAAUUGUUAUAUCAAGUAUACACAUAAGCAGAUUCAUAACAAGUAAUGCAUUCAAACCAAGUUAGUAAAUGAGAUCUAGCUUAGUGAUUAAGUCGCAAGUGACUUCCUCCAAAGAGAGAUGGUGAUUGAUUAUGAGAGUAAGAAGAUUUGAUAAGUAAGAUAGAAUGAGAAAUUUGAGAUGUGUAUUAGAAUUUGAAGAGAGAUUCACAUCAGUACAGAUUACAUGAGAAAUGAACUCUAUUUAUAGAGAUAAGUUUACAACUCUAAGAGUAGCCAUGCAAGGCAUACUGGACAUUAGAGUGUUUUACAGAAAAGACAAAAUAAACUAAGUAAAUAUAAACACUGCGGUGUUGAACACUUUGGAUGACAAGUUGAUGAGAUUGCUUGACUGCGGUGGCUUGGAGGCUGCGGUACCUAAAGUUCAAGAGGGUCACUUUUUUGAUUCAACACUUAAGAUCAUUGAUCUUCUACGUGUUUGAACUAGAAAUCAACACAUAAUCAACAUUUAAUAUGAGGAUGAUGCACGAGGAGCUUAACUUCUUCAAGUAACAACUAGCAUCAACCUCACGUCUUCUAGACCCACUCCUCCUCAUGAAGUUAUCAAACUUUAAGUACCGCUCCUUAGAAGUCUUCUUCGUGUCAUACAUGUUUUCUUUCUUCUUGAACACCAGCUUUUUCUUACCAGCUGUAAUAGAACUUUCAGGCUAUACCUUUAAGAUGUCUCCUUCCAAGUUAUCAUAAAGGAGAUCAUAUGUAUUCACAUCUAGGUGUUCUAAAUGGAGAUUUUCAGAGGCCACGACAUUCAUUAUAGAAGUAUUAGUAGUCAUCUUUGCAAUUGUAGAAUCGUCCUCUCCUUUCUAUUGUAUUCCCUUGAUUGCUAGUCUUCCUUUGCAAGUUUUACCACCAUCUAUCUCAUCCUUAACAUGUAACAUCUUAUUGUUCUAUAGUCCACCCAACUUGUCAUCCAUAGUCUUCUCCCACUAUAUGGAGUUUAUCCUCAAGGACUUUGGUUUUGACACAUUCUCACACAUCAAUGUGUCAUUAGUUGAUGGAUAAUAACUUAUUGGAGUACUUUACUUUAUGGUCCUCUAGAUAAUAUGUUGUCUGAUCUUUAAAAUACCUACAACUCCACCCUUAUAACCAUUAUCACUAGAGCUCCCACUAUUUCUAGGUUUAUUAGAGCUCCCACUACUUCAUGAACAUCUUCCUAUCUUUUGACUAGAUAUAGGUUUUGCAUGAUUCUGGGAUCCUCCCACUGAAGAAUCUAAAGUUGGACUGUAAACAACAGAAUAAACUAAACUCAACUUCCCAAACAUGGGCGGAUUUCUUAUCUUCACAAAACUGACUUUCUUUUUCUACCAAUAGAACAUGGCAUAGAAGCAUCAGUCACAUUCUUUGAAUCUGGCAUCCUCCAACUGGAUACAAGCUUCCUCAUUCCCUCCUCAGUCAUAUGAACAAAUCUUUUGUGGCAUAAAGUGGAUAUUCCAACUCCUUUAACAGUGCUUGCCUCCUCUUCAGAAAAACUCCACCAUGUAUAGUGUACCAUAUUUCUGACCCUUGGCAAUAAUCAAAUUUCCCUUCUUCACUUUCCACUUGUGAUCACCAAAUGUAACAUGAUAACCUUCAUUAUCAAGUUAUCCAACUGAUAUCAACAUCCUCUUUAGAUCUGGAAUGAACUUGACAUUCUUCAAAGUCCAAUCCGUACCCAAAGUCGUCUUGAGAACCACAUUUCUGAUACUCACGAUGUAACAUACACUUGUUAUCUGCCAGCCUGACCUUCCCUUGGUAAUGCCCAAUGUUCUACAUCACAUCUUUGGAAUGACUAGCAUGAAAUGACGCACUAGAAUCCAACACCCGUGAUUCUAUUGAGUUUUCAACUGAACAAAUGAGUGCAUCACCUUCAAAAUCUUCUGCCAUAUUCAUCACCUUUUGGCCUUUAUCUGCUAUUAACAUUGGGCAAUGACUAUUGACAUGACCACUCUCUUUGCAGUUCCCACAUCUCGCAUCCCACCUGUGGUUCUUUCCACCUCUCCUUCUCGACUUCGAUCUUCCACUACCCCACAUCCCUUGUUAUACCCCUUCUAAUAUCUUUAGUACUCAGAAGACUAUUGGAAGCUUCUCCAACACUCUAUCUGCAUUCAUCCUCACCAAGGAUUAAAUCGCGAAUGCCUUCGAAUUUAAGCUUAGCACCCCCAGUUGAGAUGGUAAUUGUUGUCACUAUAUCGGACCAACUAUAUAACUAAGAUGAUAACUGUAGCAAUGUCAUGACUUCGUCUUCAAACUUAAUAUCAACCGACAUCAACCUUUAUAGGAUUGAAUUAAAUUCAUUAACAUGAUCAGUCAUUGAGCCACCCUCCUUCAUCUUCAAAUUUACCAAUUUUCGAAUCAAGUGAACCUUGUUCGUUGCUGAAGGUUUUUCAUACAUGUUAGAUAGUACAUUGAUCAACUUAUGAGUAGUGUUCACAUUGACAAUGUUGUAUGCUACAAUCUUUGCCAAGGGUAAUCUCACUACACCAAGUUCCUUACAAUCUAACAUUUCCCAAUCCUAUUGCUUCAUUUAUUCAAGUUUACUUUUGGACAAUGGUUCAUGUACAUUCUUUUGGUAGAGGUAGUCUUCGAUUUGCAUUUUCUAGAAACCAAAAUCGUGCACAUUGAAUUUGUCGAUCUUCACUCUCCCAUCUUUAGCCAUAGCUCUGAUACCAGUUUGUUGGGUGACAAGAAAACAAUUUAAUUAAGCACUUCAGACAAAUAUCAAAAAAAAAAAAACUUUGCUAAGCUUGCGAAAAUAUAAUUUCUAAAAAUGUAAAUUAGGUGGACAAAAUAUUUAACGUGGUUCGGUCAACAUGACCUACAUCCACCAGCAAACGGGAGAGAGAGGAUUUUAUUAACAUCCAAGAACAGUUACAAUGAUACAAAGGUUACACCUCAUUUGAGUUCUCAAAACAAAAGAAUAUAUCUUGCUUACUAAAUGCUCCAAGGGAGUGCUCUCAACCUUACAAUGAUUACUCUUAAAAUUUUUGCACACACAUAAUGAUUGAGAUGAGAGUCUAUUUAUACUCGAGGGAUCAUACCUAAAACCCUAAAAGGCCAUGCCAACUGGCCCAUAGGCCCAUGAAUGGUGACACCCAAUCGUAUCCCGCCAUGCAACAUCUUCUGGAACCUUCAUCCCUGUCAAACAACCCAUGAGCAUCAGCAACACACAUGAUGGACCACCUUGACCAUAGUGGAGCAUCAUGAUGUACAUAUGGUGCAUCAUGAGCACUAAUGGCCCAACAUCCUUCAUGGUGGCACAACAAGGUGUAUUUCCUGAGCAAGGCCAACUUAUAAUGAGCAUCCUUGAAUGAUCUUGAACAUCACGUAGGACUUAAUAUCAUACGUGGGUCAUCAAGGAUAGCACGGCUCAUCAAGGAUCCAAAAUGACCCAUCUUGCACAAUGAUGGAACAACAUGUGCAAGGAUGGCGCAACAGGAUUCAAGUGUGGCGCAAGAACAUCAAGAUUAGAGAAAAAACACCACCAUGGCGCAAGAACAUGCAUGGCGCAACAAGGUCAUGCAUGGCACAAGAACAUACCUCAUGGUGCAAGAGGGAUCCUCAUGGCGUAAGAGAGAAUUAUGGUGCAAGAAGGAAUACCAUGGCACAGGAGAAUCCUUCUUUGCACAUCCCACUAUCAUAUGGUGCAACAAGGUCCACUUGUUGCUCCAUAUCACUCCCAAGUGCUCCAAACCUCUUUUAGGUGCUACAAACCCUCUUCUAUAUAAUUUGUUCCUUUGUUAGAUGAUCCAUUCUUUUCUCAGAUGAUCCAUUACUUUGUCACAUUCUCCAUGAACCUUAAGUGCUCCAGUUAGUUCCAAGUGCUCCACAUGUUCCAUGAACAUGAUCCAAAUGCUCCAUGUUGGAAAAGACUUCAUACCUCAACAAAUUGGACAACUACAGAGUACAAAUACUAAGCCACAACCUCUUCUGGUUCACUUCUUUUGGUAUAUUAACAAAAUCCCUUAGGUGACCAUUGGUAGAGCUGACUAUUUAAGGUCAAGAAAAUCUAAAAUUCUUUGCGAAUAUUUCCUUAUAGUGAACAUCCAAUUCAACUCCAUAAGGAUUGUUUCUUUAACAUCUUUGGAACAGUGCUUUGACUUUGAAGUAGCUUCGAAAAAUCCAUCAAGAUUUGCAGAAUACCACAUAACCAAGUUGGAAGAAUGACUUCUUGUACUUUUGGGUUCUAAUGACAAUCCCUAUUUCCGGAUCGUCAGUUGCACCAUACUGAUGAUUGUCGAUAUCAUCAUUAGAAGUAUCCAUCUCAACAAGUAGCUCAUGAUGAUGUUGCUACUUGUGAAAUUCUCCAUCAAUUCUCCUAAAGUCAGCUGCUAAAUUUCAAGGUGGUUGUUCAGAACAGUGUAGGGGAAAGUGUCUUGAUGAUCUAUCUCUUCUUUAUAUUCGAACCAUAUAUCUCCCCAGCAUCAGGAAGUCAACAGGAUUCAUGAAUGGAAAUUAUGCUUGCGUGACAAUAUUUUUGUUCCAUCACUUCAAAAGAAAAUUCUUAGUUCCUGGAAUUCAUGAACAUCCUCUACUUGAGACCUAUUCACCUUAUGAUUGAUCUGUUGGACCAAAUUUUAUCAGUAAAUUGAGCCCAUGUGUGAUGAUAUCCCAACAAUAGAUUAUGUUCCAUAGUCAGCAACUUAUCAAGAGGACAAUUGAUGCUCAUCCUAUCAUACAUUUCCACCAUCUUGCAUUUGAGGAAUUUGGAAUAUCCCACUGAAAAUCAUUUUCGACUAGGCUUGAUACGGAAACCUAGGAGAAUGUUCUUCAUCUGUAGCAAUGCGGAUAUCAGGGAGCCAUGUGAUCUGAUAAAGGAUGUGCUUUUGAUGUGCUUUACUUAUGCUACUGAUUUUAGGCUCUUUGUCUUAAUCUUCAUCUUUAUCUUUAUCUGGAAAACUACUUUUCACCAUUCCUUCUUGAUGAUAUUCUUCUUGUAACUUUCUACCAGUCAAUUGGUCUUCUUUUACUUGUAGCUUUCUUGCUGCCAGCAUUGCCCUUCUUCUUGUAAUGGCUGUUUGUAAUGUUGGGAGCACCUAACAUUGUCCCAGGUCUGUUUAAUGGGACCACUCCCCUUAGUCAUGUCUUCUAUUUAUUUCUGUCUUUUGGUUUUUUGUUUAGGAGAUAAGAAUUAAUUUGUAAAGAACUUUGUUCUUCUUUGGAGAGUCAAUUCCUCUCAAAUGAAUGGGAUUAUCAUGUCAAUUCCACAAACAAAUCAUUUCCCACCAAAAGUAAAAGUAUGUUCAACCAUUCAAACAUCAUAUUUUAAAGCUAAAAAGUAUCCAAACGAAAAAACCCGGUUUUAUAAGGAAACCGGGCUGUAAUAAGAGAACAAGUCCUAGUUGUAAACCCGAUACUAUUAGAUUUUCAUUCAUAUGACUUGCCCAGAACAGGGUUAUAUAAAGUAUUUAACCGGGUCCUUUUAUCCUUUUAUUAGUAGUGUGGUAGGUGAGGCCAUGACCUAAUAUAAUUGGAGCUAUUGCCUUGAUUAUGGUUUCCAUCAUAACAGUCACCAGUGGCUAGUGCAUCCGAUAUAACUUCUUUAAAGUUCCUCAUUGUCACCAUGUUCUUGAUAUUUCUUCCAUUGUUCGUAAUAAAAGUAUUAAUCUGGGUGUGUUCUUGAACUCUCUCUAGCAUCUUGCAUGCUACUAUUAUUGUUUUUACACAACUAAUACUUCCUACCAUCACUAAUAUUCUUCUUCAAAAAAAGCAUGCAUUUCGUCACUAUUUUGAAUACACACUACACAGAGGGAUAUCAUAAAUUUCGAUACCCUCUAGUUUUUCCAUACCCUUUUUUCUUGUCAAUCCCUUGCAGAUAUGAAAAGAAAAUCCAUAGCCGCUAUGUCAUCCACAACAUUAUCACCUGAGACUUGUCAUGGCCUGAAAUCUCCAACAUUUGUAAGUUCAGGGGAAGAGGUGUGACUUUGUGCCUGCAAGUUCCUUUGUAACAAAAGUGUUACAUCUCUCCUAGAACAUUAGUCCAUAAGUCAACAUUUGUAGUUUCGAACACAAUGAUUAAUUAAAUACAAUUAAGAAGUUUCUUAUCUACUUCCUAUCUGCAGCUUCAUGAUAUUAGGGUCGACCUAGCAAUGAUAAAUACACAUAUCUAACAACCAUGUGGACUAGAAUCAACAUCAAGAGAUGGAAGCAUUCACGAAUUGUACAACUGGUAUAUAUUUUGGUGAAUCGUGAAUUAAGCUAGUGUCAAGAUAAUGGGAAACCCAUAUAGGCAUCGUUUCAUUAGAUAAAGCUUCAGUUUUAAAUUGGUAUGAAAUAGUGUAUGGAUGUUAAUAAUAUUGUACGCCCACAAAAAAUGUGACACAUUAGAAAGCGGGUGGCUACCUGUAACGAAUAAUAUUAAUAAAAACUAGAACAGAAGACAGUACUCUAGCCCAUGAAAGUAGAUAGUAAACGAGUGAGAGGUCAAGUCUUCACAUUUUUAAUAUUUGCAGCAACAUACACUUUACUUUCUUAAAUUUAUUUACAUAAGAAUUAUUGUGUUUGAUAUCUCAGAGUCAAACUGAUGUGAUUUCUUCUUGAUAGCACUGAUACAAGGCUUGGGAGAUUUCUUCAAUUGACAAAUUUUUGCCUCGGGUUGGUUGAAGACACUUUAAAACAAGUUGAGCCAAUUGGAAUGCUCCCUUUGGAGGAUGAUCAUUAUGUUGAAGUUGAGGAUCCAUAAUCAUUCCCAAAUUUACCUCAUUCGCUAGUAAUGGAGUAGACCAUUCCAUCAAAUUUUUCUGUUGGAGAGGUAUCCUUUCAUCAUACUUCUUCAUCCCUGUUAGCAUUUUCAGCAGUACCACUCCAAAAUCAUAGAUCUCACUCUGCACUCCAGAUUCUGCCAAAGAGAUGUUUAAUUGGUUAGUCGAUAACGUUUGCACAAAUAAUUCAGAAUUUUAGUCAAUGGAACACCCUUUUUUUUCAAAAAUACUUAUAAAGGUAUUGUUUUUGGAAGAAAAAAAAAAGAUGCCCCUUGUUUUCAGAAAAUGAAUGUAUACAUAUGCAUAUAAAAUGGUGGUAUAAGUGAAACUCAUAUAAAGGGGUUAGUUAAAAUACUUGUACUAUAAAAAGGACUUAAGAAACUAUAGGGAACACUAAAGGAAUGUUUUUUUUUUUAUUUUAGAAAAAUGUUAUAAACUUCAUUUAAAAUGAAAAGUUGAGAGUAAGCAAACAAGCACACAACUUAAACCAUUGCAACCCUUGCAACCUAACCAUUAUAUUUUUACCUUUUCAUUUUCUGAAGUAAAAAUUCAUAAAGUCUGCGCACCACCUCUGCAAUCCUCUGCGGUAGAAGAGGUGGACCAAACGGCUGCAGACUGUAAUAAGAUGUGUAUUUGUUUUUUUAACAUGUGCAUGCUGCUCCAAAUAUUAAAAAAUUAAAAUAAACUAAUUUUAUAAACAGAAAAUAGUUUUUUUAAUACCAAAAAUUUAAUAAUAUAUGACAUUUUAGCAAGAAUUUUUGAUAUUUCAGCAAAAAAAUAAUGAUAAUUCAAUAAAAAAAAAAUAAAGAUAUUUUAACAAAAAAUAAUUAUAAUUCAUCAAUAAAUUAUCAUUAUUCAAUAAAAAAACGAAAAAACAUUCAACAAGAAUAAACAAAAUAAAACAAAAUAAAAAAAAGGUGAAAUAAGAUUUCAGCAACAUGAAAAAAAAAAACAAAAAGAAGAGGUUGGAAGAAACAAUACAAGUGUUGCGCCAAACAAACAGGCGUUGAAGUUUUUACUCCGAAGACUUUUAAAAAACAAACAACUGCGAGAUGAAAAAUGUUGUGCGUUUGCUGCGCCGUGCAACAAUAAGAGUUCUGAAGAUGUUUUUUCCAAAAUAUAUACAAACAACACCUUAGACUAGGCCAAUAGCUCAAUGGAGUAUUUCAACAUUUUCCCAUAUAUAUUGAUCACUAGAUUAUAGCCCGUAGAAACCACGCUUGGUAUGAUUAAAAAUUUUAUAUAGACAAAAAAAAUUAACAAAAAAAUUUUUUAUCAUGGAAAAAAAAUAUCAUAAAUGACUACUAGAUAAAACUAAAAGCUGUUUUAUUAGUCUUUUAAAGAAUUACCAUCCUAAAAUUUAAAUGGUAUUUUAGAAAUUAAGAUCCAAUUAAAAAAAAAUUGAAAAUUCCUUAUAAAUAGUUCCCAUUUUUGAAAAGUUAUGUUAUAAAUACUUACCGUUUCAAAUAUUUAUGUUACCAAAAAAAUGGAUAUUUGAAAGAUUUUUAGCAAUUACCAAAAAAAAACUGAGAAUUAAGAAUUCUUUAAAAAUUGCCACGUGUCAAUUAGUCUAUCCAGAAAGGGGACAUGUCAGUGGUGCACGCAGACUAUUUUAGUAGGGGUAUCCCUCAUACUUCAAGCGGGUGCACCUAACAGAAAAAAUUAAAUAAAAAAAAAAAAAAAUUUACACUACAAGCCGGAAAAUGAGCAGUGGCCUGGGACCCCCAAUUCUCAACAUAGGUCCACCACUGGACAUGUGGCAUUUAGAAGUUAUGUUUAUUAAAAGAGCUAGAUGUAGAAAACUUUAUUUUUACAAAAGAACAUACCAUCUCCAGGCAUAGAUCCAAAAAUACAAUCCAAUUUGUCUCUUUUGAAAGUAGAGCAGCCAGUGGGGGCAAGUAAAUUGUCUAUUUUAUAAUCCCAAAGCCGAGCAUUAAAAUCCUGAAAAUAUACAAGAGACGAAAAACUGAAAUUGAUGUUACCUUUUCCGUGCAAAAUGCAAGCAAGUCAAAGGCAGUGUACAUUACCCUGUCCACCAAUAUAUGAUUGCCAUCAAAACUAUUAUAAGCUGGAAGAUUCUUCUGAUGGAAGAAAGACAGGCCUUUAGCUGCUCCUUGUGCUAUUUUCAAUCGUGCAGCCCAAGAAAGUGGAGUUCUAUCUGGUGCUGUAUCAAAAUAAUUAACAUGUAUCCAAUCUGUAAGAUGGAAGCCCAAAGGGUUCUAUAGAAGUAAAAAAUAGAAGAUAUGCUUACAGCUUACCUCUGAAUAGAUGAUCAUCUAAACAUAUCCCUGGAAUGAGCUCAUAUACCCAAAACAUAGUUACAUUAGACAAGCAAUAUCCCAAAAGUUUAGUAAUAUUGGGAUGACUGAAUUCUAAUAUUUUCAAGUCCAACUGCACAGCCAAAUUGUCAAUGUGGUUCAGUACCUUAAUAUAUAAGCUAGAAAAAAUCACAAAGCAUGAAGAAUACAAGGUCUAGCCAAAUUGUCAAUGUAGUUCAGUGCCUUAAUAUAUAAGCUAAAAAUUAAAGGUCAAAGAGCAUGAAAAAUACAAGGUCUAUCAAAUUUUCUAUCCAAAGUAAGUCCUACGUCAUCAUUUUACAUACUGAAAUUACCUUCCAGGUUAGAAUCUCCUCCUUCCUAACAUAUAUUGCCAAACCAACACCAGAUUCUGUAGGAGCAUAUGACUUUUCAUCAACCCAACCUUUGUAAAUGGAUCCAUAAGAAGUAGGAGAACCCUCCAUGUCUUUGAAAUCAUUUGUUGCACUUACCAACUCAUCGUACGUAAAUAUUCUGAUACUUCCAGUUGUAGAUUUCGUGAUAUUUUGAGCACUAAAAUCAGAUUUGCUAAGGACUUUAUCAUCCUUCUUCACUGAUUUGCUUCCUCCUGCAACACCAGACAUCAAAGAUUUCCUUCCUCCUGUAACAUCAGGGACCACAAAUUUGCUUCUUACUGCAACAUCAGACAUCACAGAUUGGCUUCUUACCCUACCAUCUGACAUCAUGUCAAAGUUGCAAGUAAAAAAAUCCCUUACCUUGUAAAGUAAUUUUUCUUUAUUAACCACAGAAAUUUUUUUUUCCCUUUCCUGCGACAGAAUAGACUUGAGCUUAAAGACAACCUCAGCCAUGGUAGGGCGAUCUUUUGGUUUAGUACGUAAACAAUGGCCUGCUAUGCUUACAAACUGCUUCAAACAUUUUUUUGAGAUUUGUCUUAUCAGUCUAGAGUCAAUAAUUUCAUUGACUUUUCCCUCUUUGAUUUGGCUUUGGGCCCACGGUGCUAAGCCCCAUUGCUCUUCAUCUAGCGUUCGCUUGCCUCCCGGACAACACCUCAAACAAUACAACUCCAAACGCGUAAACAUCAGAUUUUCUUGUCAAUUUUCCAGUAUGGAAAUAGGACGGGUCCAUAUAGCCAAAUGUCCCUUUGACAUUGGUGCUGACAUAAGUUUGUGUCUGACCUAUCGGACCAACUUUGGCCAAUCCAAAAUCUGAAAUUUUAGCUGCAAAGUUUGCAUCCAACAAAAUAUUAGAUGCCUUCACAUCACGAUGUAUAACUCCAUUUUGGGUUGAUGUGCCUGUGUGAAGAUAGUCUAAUCCGCGAGCGGCACCUAUGCAUAUCUUGAGUCGUCGUAACCAAGAUAAUUUGGAAUCAGUUUUGUGAAGAUGAUCUUUAAGUGUCCCAUUAGGCAUGAACUCAUAAGCUAGGAGCAUCUCAUUUCCUUCAUUGCAAUAACCAACAAGAGACACAAGAUUACCAUGUCGAAGCUUAGAAAGAACUUUAACUUCCGCUUCAAAUUCAUGGGCCCCUUGUGUGGACAUGGAGUGCAACCUUUUUACUGCAACUUCGCUUACUAACCCUAUCUUCAUCCUACAUUUAUACACAUUGCCGAAUCCUCCACGCCCAAUGACUAAAGUCUCGUCAAAGUUGUUGGUUGCCAAUUGAAUCUCGGAAAGAGUAAACCGUUGACAUGCCUGCUCUCCCAGUUGGAGUAAGGCCUUGAGGCGGUUGAUAGAUGCGUCUGACAUUUUCGGGCACCAAGCCUUUGAUUCUUGACGCCUCCACUUCUAUCCGAAACAGAGCUCCACUUCUAUCGUUGAUGGUUUUGUGGAACCAGAAUAAGAAAACUCAAGGAAUUCCAAUUCCAAUCCCAAUCCCAACUACCAACGCUAAGAAUCAUGUGCUUCUAACCCUAAUUAAAGACCUUGUGGUUUUGCUGAUGACUUGUUGUUCUAUAUGUUGUCGCCUGAGCAUCUAUUAACGCUUAUAAAUUAAUCAAGCGAGCUGGUGGAGAGAAGGAAUAGAGCAAGUGAGGAGGACAGGGUCGAAGAAAGGACUAAUGGUAGGUGGUUUGUCUUCUUGCAACGUUGAUGUUGAGAGUAGAGACAACUAGGAGAAAAAAAGGAGAGGAUUACGAGGUGGGUGAACAAUGUUCCAAAACCUGGUUGAACUCGACGGAAACCUAACUCAUGAUUCCAGGCGGCUUUGUUCGUAUGUUUCCUCCCCUCAUCGCAAAAAUUUGGUCAAUUGAUGGUUUCAUCCGUGUGUGGGAGGUAAUCCUAAUACAAUUUUAAAUAAACUAGUAAAUUAUUAUACAGUUUCAUAUGUAGAAAUCGAACUUACGUAAUUAAUUUUUUUUUUUUUGUAUGGAACAAGCCUUUCAAUAUAUUAAAGCCUUGUGAUUAAAGUGUAAAACACAAAAAAUCUACGAAAGUGGCAGUAGUGGGUGGGUUGGUGGGGGAGGACCGGGAGGUGGUGGUUUUAGCUUGGCUAGUGAAACAUAGCUGAAUUUGAAAAUCCUGAAUUUAAGUUUUGAUCUUAAACUUUUAGUUAAAUAUUUACUAGAUUAAUAUUAAUUUCUAUUGUUUUGAGAGACAUAAGUCCAAGUCUUACAUUAUAAAAUUUUUACAAAACUUAAUGUUUCCAAAAGACAGCAUGAUGGCUGUGUUUGGAAAACAUUCAAGUGUCAACUAAUAAGAAACCAACAAUUUUUAUAUGAUUAAAUACUAUCAUUUUCAAGGGUCAAAAUGAGACAAAAGAUAUUCUAAAAAGAAGAAUAAAAAAUAAAAAAAAAUAAAAAAGGUUUAAGUAACUCGCACUUAACUUGCGAUCCUUCAAUUCAGUGGCGGACCUAUUAAGGGCCUUUGGGGUCCCGGGCCACUGCUCAAUUUCCUGGCCGCAGUGUAAAAUUUUUUUUUUUUUUUUUUUUUUGGUUUUUUCUAUUAGGUGCACCCACUUGAAGUACGAGGGACACCCCUACUAAAACAGUCUGCGUCCGCCACUGCUUCAAUUGAUCGAUACUCGUAGUUGCACCUCAUAGGCACCACACACUUUUUCAGUCGGUUUAUGUCUCCGUAUUCAUUAAACUUCACGCAACAAACAAUAUCGGAUAAUGUAUUUACACCUACAAUACAUCGUCGACCACUGUUUUGUUGGGUCCAAAUGGCUAUGCUUCCUCAUAUCUUCCUUUAUUUCUAACUUUUAUAGGCAGAUGGUGAUCUUGAAGACUUGCAUCACACAAGUGAUGUUCAAAUUUUGGCUUGAUCGUGUGUUGGAUUUAUCAGUUGAUCUUAAUGACGAGAAAUUGCAAACCUGAUGCUUUGGUUUUCUGAUCAAAAUCAAAAAACAUGAUGCUUUGAUUUAUCUGGUCGCAAAAACUAAUGAUGAGAAAAGCCUACUGAUUCAGAGGGUGGCACCAGUUGAAAGUGUUGCAUCAAUGGAAGGAGUUACAAAAUUAAAAAAUAAUAAAAUAUUAUGUAACCAAAAUGGUUUAUAAUAUUUGAUAUUUUUAAAUUUUGAAAAUUUUAAUAAAUUUUCAAUUAUGUAAUUUUUUAUAAAGUAUAUUUCAUUUUAUUUUUAUAUUAAAUUAAUUGAUUAUGUAAUAAAAAAUUAUAAUAUCUAAAUAUCAUUGGAUAUAAAAUAUAAUAGUUUACUAAUGUAAGGGUUAAAUAAGAUAGACAAAUAUAAAUAUUAAAAAUAUUAAUAGUUAAUAAGUAUUUGAAGUAAUCUUUAAAAAAAAUUAUUUCCAAUUAAUUAAAAUAGGAAAAAAUAGGAAAAACCUUUUAGAAAAACAAACAUUAAAAAUCCUCUUAUAGUUUAAUUCGUCUUUUACUCGACAAGAAGACAAUCUUGAACCCACCUCGGGUCAUAUUCGAAUGUAUCCGACUUUACCCUUUUAAGUUGCUUGGAUGCUCCAUCCCUCUCUCGCACUCUUUUUCCUAUUACCCAUUGCGUUCGACAAAAACAUAUGGAACAACAAGCCCCGUGGAACUAUGACAGGGCCGGUUUUAAGGGUUUAAAUAUUCUUCAAUGCUUUGGACGAGCCAGAUAAAAUGACGCUUAUCGCUAUUAUAAGUUUUAUAUAUAUAUAUAUAUAUAACAUAAUAAUAAAAAAUUGGCCUAAAAAAAUUGAGCCAUGUGUAGCUGCCCACUUCACCCCUCCAUCCAUGCUCCCAUGAUCAUUAGCUAGGAUUUUUUAAAGAUCAUAAAGUUUUUUCAAUUUAUUAGCUAUUUAAUUAGCUAGGAUUUUUUCAAAAUGAUAAAGUUUUUUCAAUUUAUUAGCUAUUUAAUUGUAUACAUCGUCUGCAUGAUUCUUGCUUUUUUAUUUUGUUGUAGUUUAAAUGUUAAGAGGCCUACUCAUUACAAGAAAUCUUGGCAUUACCGGCGAUACCUAUAGCGGCGACAUGGAGCAAUAGCGGCGACAUGUAACUGACGCGUUACAUGUCACCGCUAAAGGUGUCGCCGGUAAUACUCGCAAACGGCUAUCUGCAUCAAAUUACCCCUAUCCGUCCGAUUUGUUUUCAAUCCAAUAUUUGUAGAAAACGCGUUGACUCUUCCCUCCAAGGAGCCGCUGCUAUUACCCUUUUGCCACCGCAUUAAACAACCCCCUCCCCCCUCCAAUGGUAUGUCACAUGAAAAUUGGGCGAAAAUAGUCGAACAUUUUCAAACGUCGGAAUUUUUAAGGUGUUUGGCGUCAAAAACAGAAUGUCGUGCAAAACAAGUAGUUGUAAACAGAGGGAGGUCCAGCUCAUAUAACAAUGCAUGUUUCAAAGAAGUAACUUAUGCUAUAUUUAAAUAUAUAUUUAAAGUAUAAGUAAUCUAAUUUUUAAUGUUAAAUAGGAUAUCAGUUGAAUUAAAGUUUUUCGUAAAGCUAAUUCCAAAGGGGUAUUUUAUAGCCAUGCAGUCAAGCAACAAUACGUAAGUGGUUAAUUUUUAUUUUCAUAUAAGUGUUUAUAUCGUAGAGGGUAUUUAGUAAUCUAAUUUUUAUGAUUUUUAUUAUUUUUUGAAAUAUAGAAUGUUUUACUCCAGGAGAUCAACUAACGAACCCAAGCUACUUCUGAAGCAAGCGGUCUAACACCCACUGAUAUAAAAAAAAUUGUUUUGAAAGAAUAUUGGGUGUUCAACGCAGACAUAUUAGAGGCAUUGGGCGUAAACCCCCAACUGUUGUGUCCAUGUACGAUCAAGAACAACCAGUCACACAAGAACAACUGCAAUCACAGGUAAUUGUUAGUUUAAGUUGAAAGUAUAAAGAUAUAAUGGAAAAUACAAUGUUAUAAUGGAAAGUAGAAUGCUAUAAUGAUAUGUUGGUUAUGAUUUGAUAUGUUGAUAUUUUGUAGUUUGAUAAUUUUUGAAAAGUAAAUGCUAUAAUGGAAAGUAGAAUGCUAUAAUGAUAUGUUGAUUAUGGUUUGAUAUGUUGAUACUUUAUGGUUUGGUAAUUUUUGGAAAGUAAAUGCUAUAAUGGAAAGUCGAAUGCUAUAAUGAUAUGUUGAUAUUUUCUAGUUUGGUAAUUUUUGGAAAGUAAAUGCUAUAAUGGAAAGUAGAAUGUUAUAAUGAUAUGUUGAUUAUGGUUUGAUAUGUUGAUAUUUUGUAGUUUGGUAAUUUUUGAAAAUUAAAUGCUAUAAUGGAAAUUAGAAUGCUAUAAUGAUAUGUUGAUUAUGGUUUGAUAUGUUGAUAUUUUGUAGUUUGGUCAUUUUUGCAAAGUACAACGCUAUAAUGGAAAGUAGAAUGAUAUAAUGAUAUGUUAGUUAUGGUUUGAUAUGUUGAUAUUUUGUAGAAUGGUAUAAUUAUAAUGCUAUUAUCAUAUGUUGGUAAUAUAUUUUGUUUCUUUGUAGUUGAAAAUGUUGCAAACAAUACUAAAUGACCCGGCCUGUUCUACAGCAUUAGAAGAGUGGUUUCGCUCAUUGCCGCCACUAAAUAAUGAAGGAAAUGAUGAGGACGAGUAGUUACUUUAGGAUUUUAUGAAAUAUUUUGUAAAUUGGAAGAAUAUUAUAGAAUGUGGUAUGGAUUAAUAUUUUGGAUUGGUUGUUAUGGAUUAAUAUUUCUAUAAAAAGUUAUCAGAUUUUAUAAAUGCUAUAUUGUUUUUUUUAUGAAUUUAAUGUUAAAUAAAUAGAUAAAAUAAAAUUUAAAAAAAAUAAAAAAAAACAAAAACGCAUUUGCGGCAACAUCUUUUGUGGCGCGUACAUGUAUUAGUGGCGACAUACUAUUAGCGGCGACUAUCAUCCUUUAGCGGCGACUACAGGUAUAUUAGCGACGAAGCGUUACCGGCGACGCAUUUGCAGCGACGUGCCACCGCUUAAGGUAUUAGUGGCGAUUUCCCGAUCCUUUAGUGACGACAGGCGUCGCCGCUGUUGCCCAGUCUUCUUGUAGUGACCAGCCCUCUUAACUUGCUCCAUUUCGUCCAUUAGUUUGUUCUCUUGACAUAGUGGGUUUGAUAGGUUCGACUUUAUAGAGGCGGAAGCAUAUUGAAAAACGAGAUAGCCAACAAGAGAUCUUUGACUAGGGUUUUCCCAAUAUCAAAUAAAGGAAUAGAGAGUUUCAAAUUAGGUUUCUUGAAAAAUAGUGGAUGAUAUUCAAAAUUGGAAUUAGAAUUUCAAUUAAUAAGGGACCAUAUUCUAGUGAUGUUUUAUGAACUAAUAUCACCGGCUAACCCGAUAAAAAUGGUAAACGUAUUCAAACUGUCGGUAGUUAGGACUUUACAGUAAAAAAAAUAAAGUUUAGGAUUUUUUGUCAAAUCGUUGAAAAUAUCACGACUUUAGUGUACAUAUCCCUUUUUUUUGCAAUUUAGCCAUUGAAACCAGUUAUUAUUUGCGAUUGAGCAUUGUUUCUAGGUAAACACAUACGAUAGCAGGUUUCGAUGGUUUGAUUGCAAAUAGAAAUAUCAAAGGUGUCUUUGUCAUCAAUGGCCAAAAUAUAAGUAAUCUUUUUUUUCAAUGCAUAAGAAUUUUUAACCUUAAGUCUUAUUUAUUUUAUAAUCUAUUUUUUUUAAACACCUAUUACAAUUUGUUUAUUUCUAAUAUAUGAUACUAAAUAAAUAUAAUUUUUUAAUUGUGCUUCUAGUUAAUAAAAUAUAAAAACCGGUUCAAAUGUAAAAAUAUAUUGUUAUGAAAUGUAUCUAUUAGUUUUUAUUGAUGGAAUUAAAACAAAAUUUAAACAGUUUUUAUAUUUAAUUAAAUAGAAGUGUAAGUAAAAAAUAGUAUUUAUUUAUUCUAACAUAUUACAAAUCAACAAAUUGUAAUGGUUGCUUCAAUAAAAAUAGAUUAUAAUUUAGAGAGUGUUUGUGAUUUCAUUUAAAAACUAGUUAUAUUGUCUUUUUGGGUUUUUGAAAUGUAUAUCUACCAAUUUUUAAAAAAUGACUUAUUAACUUUCUAACAAAAAAAGAAAAUCAAAAUAAUUUUUUUGACUAUUAUAAGUCAAUAAAUCAUUUUGCCUAAAACUCAUUUUGAGGAUCAAAAUUAAAUCUCAAACACAGUCUUUUGGACAUGUUUGGAAGUGGUUUUAAAACUCCUUAUUCUCAUAUUUUGCCUAAAAGUCAUUUCGAAUAUCAAAAUGAAAUCUCAAACACCCUCUUUGGAUAUGUUUGGAAGUGGUUUUGAAACUCCUUAUUUGUCUUUUGGAAAAACCAAGUAUUCCUGACUUUUUGAAAACAUAGAAAUAAGUUAAGGACUGAAUUAACAAAUGUGCAAUACAUUGUAGGUUGACAACAACUUUAUUCCCUCAAAAACAUAGAAAUAAGUUAAGGACUGAAUUAACAAAUGUGCAAUACAUUGUAUGCCUACAAUUUCAUUUUCCCUUAUUGGAAUCGGAGAGUCGUUUGAUUUUCUUAAUUUAAAAAUUUGAUGACCCAGUUGGUUAAAAUUUGUGAGGACUAGACACGAAGUGAAUAUUUUGUGACUUGGGAGGUUGAUGAGUGAAUUUUUGUAUCAACUCAUUAGCUGUCGGAAUUGAGGUGUUGAACAAUGUAUGUCGAUUGUGGUGGUGUCGUUAAAUUCUAAAAAGAAUAAAAGAAAGAUUAGAUAGCUAGAAUAACUAGAAGUUUUUAUAGAAAAUCCAAGUCAACUGCAUACUUGAGUCAUUAUAUUUUAUAUCAUGAUUUCUUUCACAUCUAAGUAAACCAAAACUUAAGUAAGUCGUGAACUAUAAUUUAGUAUGCAAAAUAUCUAUAUUAGUAUAAGAAUGGCAAGUUGAUACUAUUUAGUAUUAAAUAUGCAAGUUGUCUUUUAUUAAACAAUUUGGCCUUUUAAAAACUGAAAGAUACCAAGCCAUUCAAUGUUUCCUAAAACGAUAUUAGAUGAAGAACAAUCAAAGUCAAUGGUCUUCAUGAAAUUAUACAAAACAACCACUAGCAGUGCAACACCCAGAUGCAACCAUCGAUUGAGCCUUUUUUAGUUAGAAAAGGAAUCCUGAAGUUAAUUCAAAGGCCCAGGGAAGAGAAGCUACAAAAUGAUGUUAUCAGCACGUAUCGAUGAUACCGGCUCCUCAUUCGUAUUGCCAGAGCACAUAUGUCAACGCUUUACACUUUCCGAAAUUCAGUCGGCCACCCACAACUUUGAUGAAGCAUCGGUCAUUGGCCGUGGAGGAUUCGGCAACGUGUAUAAAUGUUCUAGCAAGAUCGGGUCGAUAAGGGAAGUUGCAGUUAAACGGUUACAUUCCUUGUCCAACCAAGGAGCCCAAGAGUUUGAGGCAGAAAUUAAGCUCCUUUCUAAGUUGCGACAUGCUAAUCUUGUAUCUCUGAUUGGUUAUUGCAAUGAGGGAAAUGAGAUGGUGCUUGUUUAUGACUUCAUGCCGAAUGGGACACUUGAAGAUCAUCUUCGCAAAGCUGAUUCAGUCUUAUCGUGGUUACAAAGACUCAAGAUAUGCAUAGGUGCAGGUCGGGGAUUAGACUACCUUCACACUGGUACGUCGACUCAACAUGGAGUCAUACAUCGCGAUGUGAAGACCUCCAAUAUUUUGUUGGAUGCAAAUUUUGCUGCUAAAGUUUCAGACUUCGGAUUGGCCAAAGUUGGUCCAAUAGAUCAGAUACGAACUCAUGUAAGCACCUGUGUCAAGGGAACAUUUGGGUACAUGGAUCCGUGCUACUUCUAUACAGGAAAAUUGACAAGAAAAUCUGAUGUUUAUGCUUUUGGGGUUGUACUGUUUGAAGUGUUGUCAGGCAGGCAAGCUGUAGAUUCAACACUCGAUGAAGAGCAAUGGAGUUUAGCAGCUUGGGCUCAAGACCAAAUCAAAGAGGGAAACCUCAGUAAAAUUAUUGACUCUAGACUGAUGGGACAAAUCUCAAAAAAAUGUUUGAAGGAGUUUGCAAACAUAGCAGGCCACUGUUUACAUUCCCACCCAAAACAACGCCCUACCAUGGCGGAGGUUGUAAUCAAGCUUGAGUCUAUUCUUUCACAAGAAAGAGAACGCACCAAUUUUGCUGUUGACGAAGGAAGAUUCAUUUACAAAUUAAGAUCUUUUUUUACAGGCAAAGUUGAUGUGAUGUCGGAUGGUGUAGUAGAAAGCAUAUAUCUCAUGCCGGAUAAUACAGUAGGAAGCGAAUCUGAUUUCAGAGCUCUACGUAUUCAGUUAGCUAAGAAUCAACGUUUAAAACAUUUUACAUAUGCUGAAUUGGUAAGUGCAACAAGUGAUUUCAAGCACAAAGAGCAUUCCCACACUUUGAAUGAACCCAUUUAUAAAGUUUGGGUUGAUGAAACAACAUAUGCGCCCACAGAAUGUGGUGUUGGUUUGGAGAUAUAUGUUAGGAAGAAGAAGAUUGAUGCUGCGAAGGUACUUUCAAUCUGUGAAAUGAACCUGAUUUAUUUUUCAUGGUUUUUGGUCUGUUCAAGCUUAUUGAAUUAUUGAAAAUUUGGCAAUACAGCCAGAACUCGAUUUUGAAGAAUUCAAUCAUCCCAACCUUAUCAAACUCUUGGGAUAUUGCUGGCAUUGGCAAGAAUUUUAUUGCUUUUACGAGCUCAUUCAUGGCGCAAGUUUAGAUAAAUAUCUUUUUGGAGGUAAGUAUAUAUUCAGGCUAUAGUUUUGCAGAGCCUGUAGACUUAGAUCUCAUAAAGUGGAUACAUUUUGAUGAAAAGUGCCUUAUGUCAACACUUGUUAAUAGUACCCUGCUUUUGGGUUCUUCAGGCAUAGCCUUGUCGUUACACAUAAAAUAUAUUCUACUAUAUACGCAGAUCCAGGUACAAUGUCACUUUCUUGGGUUGCACGAUUAAAAAUAGCAGUAGGAGCAGCUCAAGGUUUGGCUUUCUUACAUCUGAGGAAGCUUGCAGCAUAUACCCAAUUUAAGACCAAUUGUAUUUUGGUGGACACAGUAAUUUAGACUUCCUUUGACAUGUUUGCAAUUUGCAUCUCAAUAUUACAUCAGUUUUAGUAUCUUUUUCAUGCUUAUUUACAGGAUUUCAAUGCUCGGCUUUCGGAUUACGAAGUAGAAAAUUUAUUUGCCACACCUGAGUGGCACUUUUACCAGGAAUACAGAAUUGAUGGUAUUCGCAGAUGUGAGCCUGAAGACGGUAUAUUCUGAUUUAAAACUAAACUUUUUGUACACUCUCAGUAUAUAUCAUCACAGGUCACUCGUAUGAGUAUUCAUUUCCUCUCCAAAAGCUAUAAUCAUGAAUUAUUUGUUCUUGAGUGAAGAGUGAGAUUUAUGGUUUAAAAUAUGACCAAUCAAACCACUUUGGCAGGUCCUGGAGUGAAGAGUGAGAUUUAUGCUUUUGGAGUCGUACUGCUCGAAAUAUUAACAGGGAUGAAGGCCGAUGAUGUGCAGAGACCCCUCACAACGCAAAAUUUGGUAAAAUGGGCUACUCCAUUGCUAGUAAAUGAGGUAAAAUUGAGAACUAUUAUGGACCCACAACUUCAACGUAAUGGUUAUACUCCAAAGGGAGCAUUCAAGUUAGCUAAACUUGUUUCAAAAUGUCUUCAAAAAAAAUUAGACGAUCGGCCAUCAAUGGAAGAAAUCGUCCAGGCAUUGUGUCGGUGCUAUGAAGAAGAAAUCAAAUUAGUUUGUGCUCCAACAUAAUCUAUAGAUAAGGUUUUUGUAAAUAAUCUAAUAAUGUACAUGUUAGCCGAAUAAAUUUGUUAGGCCCUUUUUAGUUUGGGCCCAAUGCUUGGCCCUUUAGUCAUUUAGAUAGGUUUAACCUAAUUUGCUUUCCUAUUUAUUGAUAUGGUUUAGUAAAUAAAUCUAAAAAUGUACAGUAUAUGAUGCUGGAAAUCUCUGAAGAGUUAAAGCCUUGAGCUUCAUUGUUUCCCUUUACAUUUUUGGUGAAACAGAACCACCCAUAACAUACCUUUUCGAGCGUGUGAUUUAUGUUGUGUGGCAGAUGUUUUCAACAAUCAGGCGCGAUUUGGUUUUAAUACUAUUUGGUUUGUCUUUGUUUGUCAUUUAUCAUAUAGAGAUUGGCCUAAAUUCUCCGAAGCUGCAGUUGUGAAUUACAAUGUGUUGGAACUUUAUAUAUAUAAAGGAAUUGCAAGUUGGCAAUUUCCUUUGUAUCCCACAUUGGUGGGGGAAGAAACUUUUGAGGGUUUAUAAGUUUAUUCCCUCGAUAGGCAUUUAAAGGCUAUAGUGGAUCAAAGGAAUGGGCCAAGCCCACGUCCGCGUCUAGCCUAGCAUUAGCACUAGCCGAAGUCGUGGGUGUGAGAUUUAAGCGCACUUGGCACAACGCAUCGGUCGUUGGGAGUUGAAGAGCUUUUAUUUUUGACGAGUUCGGGUCAAGCCAGUUUGACCGAUCUGGUCAAAUGGUUGACCGUCGUUGACUUCAUGGAGGACAAGUCAGGGCAUUCUAGAAGGAUCAGGAAACGACUUGGUUGGAGAGCAAGUCGUCGCCCUAGGGUUUCUGGGGGCCGUUUCAUGCCUUCUAGGGUUUCGAUACCUAUAAAUCAACAGGCUAAUGGACACUACUGCUAGCCUCCACUUCAUGAACCAAGAGUUUGCCAAACUUGACCAAUUCGAUGGUCAGAACUACACCCGUUGGGCCAAGAAGGUAAAGUUCAUGCUUUAUGUCUUGAAGCUUGCCUUUGUGUUGGACCCAGAACUGGCACCAAUUCCUGCUAAUCCAAUUCCCGAGGCGGGGAAAACUGUGGACCCAGUGGUCAUUGCAGAACUAGAAAAGCAAAGGACUCUGCGUAUAGAGUCUGAGGAACUAUUUGUGGGUCACAUCAAGAACUCCCUAUCUGAUUGACUCUAUGAUAUUUACAUGCCGGUCAAAGAUCCAAGAGAGCUAUGAAAUGUGUUGGAACUUAAGUACAAGGCACAUAAGGAAGGUACUAACAAAUACCUUGUGUCUAAGUACCUAGAGUUUCAAAUGGCUGAUGACAAAUCUAUCAUGGAGCAAGUGCAUGAACUCCAAGUCAUGGUCAACAAGUUGAAUGCACUCUCCAUCUCUAUUCCAGAACUCUUUCAGGUUGGUGCAAUUAUAGCAAAACUACCACACUCAUGGAAAAAUUUCUCUAAGAGAAUGAUGCAUAAAUCUGAGGACUACUCCUUGGAGGAUCUGAUGAAACACCUCUGCAUUGAGGAGGUAACUCACAUCAUGGACAAACGUGGUAAAGUCAAAUCGAGUGUGCAUCACGUGUCAGUUGGGGGUUCUAGUCAUAAAUGCAAGUCUGGGGGACAAAACAAGAAGAACUUGGGACCCAAGAAACAAAGCUUCAAGAAACCGAGUCAUCAGAAUCCUAACUCAAAGCCAAAGAGGACCGGACCUUGCUACGUCUAUGGAGAGAUUGGGCACUAUGCGAGGGAAUGCAAGAUCACAAAUCAGGACCGGUUGCACAUGCAGCCGAGCAGGUGACUGACAUGGUGGCAAGUGUGAACCUUGGAGAGAUUUUGAUGAUCUCCUCCCUUACCCGAGAAAUAUGUGCUCGAGGAUGGUUCGUGGACAUUGGAGCCACCGUGAAUAUUUGUGGGCAUCGAGAAAACUUCCGAACUUACCGCGUAAUGCCACAUGGGACGGUCGUCAUUUGUGCUAAUGGUCACAGAGCUGAGGUUCUAGGAAGUGGUGAUGUUCAUGUCAAGUUCACACGUGGUGAAUGGGUAACCCUUCGAGAUAUUCUUCAUGUUCCUACUAUCUCAAAAGGGUUGGUUUCUACGGACAAGUUUGACAAGGGUGGGUUCAAGAUGGUGCUUGAGAAAGGCAAAAUUGUGAUCACUAAAGGCAGAAGAUAUGUUGGGAGGGCAAACAAUUGUUCAGGGAUGUAUUGUUUAUGCCUUAGUGAUGAGGGUAGUGUGUGUGGUCCUAGUGUUGAGAGUGGUAGUUCUAGUGUUGCAAAUGUGUUAAGUGUUGAUAAUGAUGUAAUUGGUGGAUUGGUUGCUAAUGUGAAUGAAGUGAACUUUUCUGGUUAUUUUGUUUGUUCAAUUUCGUUAUGGCAUAAACGUUUGGCUCAUACUAAUGUUAACAACAUUGAAAAAAAUGCAAACUAAAGGAAUGUUAAAAUGUGACAUAAAAUAUUUUGAAAAAUGUGAAACAUGUGUGAAAUCAAAGUUCACUAAGAAACCAUUUCCAUCAGUUAAGAGAAAGACAUCAUUGCUUGAGUUGAUUCAUUCUAAUAUAUGUGAAUUAAAUGGAAUCCUUACUCAAGGAGGGAAAAGGUAUUUCAUCACAUUUUGUGGGGACUUCAGUUGAUAUAUACAUGUUUAUUUAGUGAGAUCAAAAGAUGAAGCCUUUGAUGCAUUUAAGCGAUAUAAGGUUGAGGUGGAAAAUCAAAUUGAAAGACACAUCAAAAUUCUUCGCUCGGAUAGAGGCGGGGAAUAUUUUAACCAAGAGUUUGACACAUUCUGUGAAGAGAAUGGAAUCAAACAUGAAAGAACUUCACCAUAUACUCCCCAACAGAAUGGUUUGGCUGAAAGAAAGAACCGAACCCUUUGUGAGAUGGUCAAUUGUAUGUUGAACCAAUUGGGUCAACCAAACAAUCUGUGGGGGGAAGCACUAUUGACUGCUUGCUAUGUUUAUAAUAGGAUCACUAGUCGUGUGAUUCCUACAAGCCCUUAUGAGUUAUGGAAAGGUAGAAAGCCUAACCUAGACUAUUUGAAAAUGUGGGGGUGUGUUGCUUAUUAUCGGACUCCAGAUCCUAAGAGAAUCAAAUUGGGAGCACGGGCUAAUAAGAGUUUAUUUAUUGGAUAUGCUCACAAUAGCAAGGCUUACCGGUUAUUAGAUACUGAAUCAGGUGUGGUUGUGGAAUCUAGAGAUGUGGAAUUCUUUGAGGAUAGUUUUUCAAGGGAUGAAGAAAAAUUCAAUCAUACAAAACCUACAAGUACUUCUUGAGAAAUACUCCCACCUCCUCCUAUUGUAGAGGAACCAAGGAGAACUACUAGGGCUAGAAUAGAGAAAAGUUUUGGAGACAAUUUCUAUUCUUAUUUGGUCGAAGGAACGCAAAACAAAGUGAUGAGGGAGGUCACCUUUGCCAUUAAUUUGGAUGAUGAUCCUAAGACCUUUACUGAAGCAAUGACGUCUCGAGAUGCUCCUUUGUGGAAGGAAGCCAUCAAUGACGAAAUGGAUUCAAUCAUGGGUAAUGGAACUUGGGAGUGAGUUGAUCUACCCAAGGGGAGAAAACCUAUAGGAUCCAAGUGGAUAUUCAAGAGAAAGUAUCAUCCAGAUGGAUCCAUAUCUGCCUAUAAAGCAAGAUUAGUUGCUAAGGGCUAUAGGCAGCGAGAAGGUAUCGAUUAUUUUGAUAAUUAUGCCCCAGUUGCUAGGAUGAGUUCUAUUAGAAUUCUCAUAGCAAUAUCAACUUUAAAAGGAUUGUACAUUCAUCAAAUGGAUGUGAAGACAACCUUUCUAAAUGGAUAUCUCAAGGAGGACAUUUACUUGGAGCAACCUGAAGGUUUCGUGAUACCUGGACAGGAAAACAAAGUGUGUAGACUUGUUAAAUCCUUGUACGGGUUGAAGUGAGCUCCUAAACAGUGGCAUGAAACAUUUGACACCACUGUGACUGCCUUUGGUUUUCAGCACAAUAGUGUUGACAGAUGUAUUUAUUCUUAACAUACAUCCAACUACAUAGUAGUUAUAUGUCUUUAUGUUGAUGAUGUGUUGAUCAUUGGCACUCACCUAUAAGGUAUUCUUGAUACCAAGAAAUACCUAUCCUUGAACUUUAAGAUGAAAGAUCUUGGAGAAGUUGAUAGAAUUCUUGGUAUCAAGGUGAAAAGGACAGGCGGUCAGAUUUCUUUGAUUCAAUCUCAUUAAAUAGAGAAAAUUCUGACAAAGUUUCAAUAUUUGAACAUUAAGGAAUUCAACACUCCUUUUGAUUCGAGUGUGAAACUAAAGGUGAAAUCUGGUCGAGCAGUGGCUCAACUAGAGUAUGCUAGUGCAGUUGGAAGCAUGAUGUAUGCUACUCACUGCACUCGACCUGACAUCCCAUUUGAUGUAAGCAAACUAAGUCAGUAUACUGUUAAUCUAGGGACGGAGCACUGGAAGGCAGUGGAUAGAGUGCUAGGAUACCUGAAAAGGACAACUACUUUUGAGUUGACGUAUUUUUCAUCUAAUGGAAUACUUGAAGGUUAUUUCGAUGCCAAUUGGAUUGAUCACACCGGUGAUUCAAAAUCCACAAGUGGUUAGAUUUAUACUCUACCUGGUGGUGAUUCAAAAUCCACAAGUGAUUUGGAGACAUCUAAGCAACGAAGAUGCUGUAAAACUUUGCCUAUAUGAUCUAGAGGCGGUGCCGCCUCAAGUGAAGAUUAGUGGUUUAUCUUCUAAAGGAUCAUGAAAAGGGUUUAUAGCGCAUGUCUAUAUUAGUGCUCAGGGAGAGCACAAAGGUGACUUGUGAUGUGUGGGGUUAAACCAGAGAGGUCAUUAAGGUUCAUGGUUUAAACCUAUAAGGAUACCAUUGAAUCAUUCUCUUCUUAUUUUUUUCUCAUUAAACUAGGGUUUAAUCUUCAUGACACCCAAGUGACAUCAUCUGUCUGAGUGAAAGGAAACUUUCCAACUUGGUGGGGGAAUCAUGGAACUUUAUAUAUAAAGGAAUUGCAAGUUGGAAAUUUCCUUUGUAUCCCACAUUGGUGGGAGGAAGAAACUUUUGUGGGUUUAUAAGCUUAUUCCCUUCAUAGGCCUUCAAAGGCUUUAGUGGAUCAAAGGAAUGGGCCAAGCCCACGCGCGUGCCUAGCCUAGCCUAGCAAUAGCCGACGCAGCGAGUGCGCGGAAUGGCGUGAUUUAGGCGCACUUGGCACUUUGCAUGAUGCAUUGGUCGCUGGGAGUUGAUGAGAUUUUAUUUUUGAUGAGUUCAGGUCAAGCUGGUUUGGCCGAUCCGGUCAAAUGGUUGACCAUCGUUGACUUCAUGGAGGACAAGUCGGGGCAUUCUAGUAGGAUCUGGAAACGGCUUGCUUGGAGAGCAAGUCGUCGCCCUAGGGUUUCUGGGGCUGGCCUUUGGGGGCCCGUUUCAUUCCUUCUAGGGUUUCGAUACCUAUAAAUACUACUCCUUAGGAGCCAUAUUCAUCUCUUACGAAAAAUCGGAGCUCUCUCCCACUCUCUGCGAUUUUCUUCCUGUUUCUAAGUAUUCACCUUGUGUUUAUCGAUCUCUAGUGCUAUUGGUAAAUCGAUAGAUCUACAUUAAUAUUGGGGUUUUACUCUGUUGCUUACAGCCAGUACAAGCGAAGUAAAAACCUUUAAGGAUAGGAGUUCGAUCUGUGCAGUUAUCUGAAGUUCAAGAUCAGCCAUCAAUAUGUCGGUUUUACUUUUCUGUCUUGCGUUUAAUUUCGUCCAACAAUAGGACAAUCUUCUUCUACCUUUCUUAUAAUCAGAUCUAACUGAGAAGGGUUAAUCUGGUUUUGGACAAAACUUGGUAAAUAUAGUAAUAAUAAUUGGAUCUAUUAUUCGCAACUAAUCGACAUAUAAUUCUCCAUAUUAUUUGUCGGUUUCCUUGCGUGUCUAUUAGUUUGUUUUUCAACACAAUCAUAGUGUAUUGAAUUCAAUCACAAGGUCGAGAUAUAUUUCACUUCUUAAUCAAGAAAUCUACUGCACAAGCCAUGCAUUGAUUCAUUUUCAUUGACAUUAGUGACAAACAUGGUGUUCAACACUCAAGUUUAAUCAACCAAUCAAUUAUAUGUUAUAUGUUAGACUAGGCACUUAAUGUAUGGUUUCUUAUAUUUGUCCAGCCCACUUUGAGACGCCAUUCUAACAUAGCAAAGUAUCCGACCUCUUAGCCUUGUAGUAUCAAAUGUAUAUAUGUAAUGUAUUUUGUUGAUUAGUGAGAUAGACAAUUAUUCCCAAUAACAUGGUGUAAACUACUGAAGAGUAGAGAUGAAAGACUAUUAGGGUCUCAUUAUUUAGUAAGAGUGCAUUUAAAAAGAGAAAAUACAACUAUAAAUAAGAAAGUUAUCUAGGGCGGCUAAGAAAAGGCUCAAAACAAAAUAAGUCCGAAAAUUCAAUCAACUAACAUCAUCCAUCAAACUCACAACGCGACAACAAAAAGCAUGGAAAAUUUGUCAAACAAAAAAUAAAAACGAGAAGUGGACAAAACCUUUGUAAAGACAUUAGGAGUCUGUAAGAUUGAUGGAACAUGUGGUAGAGAUAUAGUCCUAUGUUGAAAUGAUGAUGAGUGAAAUGACAAUCAAUCUUAACAUGGUUCGUCCGCUUAUGAAAAACAGAUCCCUUGCAAUCUAUUUCGUGUUGUUCUUGUCACAAUGAUAUGGUAGGCUAGAAAAUGUGAAACCCAUGUUUGCAAGAAGCUAACUUAGCCACAUAAUCUCACAAGUGGUAGCAACGAUGACUCAAUAUUCAUUUUAUGUUAAAGAUCGAUAGACAACAUCCUGUUUUCUUACUCUUCCAUGAAAUCAACAAAUCUCCAACAUACAUAUAUAUAUAUAUAUAUAUAUAUAUAUAUCAAAAUAAAAGACGAGUCUGAAAGUGCUCCGUCUUCUCAAAANNNNNNNNNNNNNNNNNNNNNNNNAACGCAAUGGUGGAUUUAUGAUCAUGCGGAUCACUAUCUCAAUCAACAACACUAUAAGCAUGGAGCUCAACAGAGGACAUGGAAGGAAACACAAGGAUGCGGAAUUGAGUGUCUUGAAGAUAUCUCAAGAUACGACUAACAACUCCCCAAUAAACAUUAGAAGGAGCAGUUACAAUUUGGCUAACCAUACGAACUACAUGAGCUAUAUUCGGCUAAGUAAUACUAAGAUAAACCAAACUCCCCAUAAUGGUUUGAUAUGGAUUCAUUUUUUUUAAGAGGUCACCGUCAGCUAGAAUAUACUUUGUUUGGAACAAAAUAUAACCCUUCGGAGAUUUAGCAACUUCAAUCCCCAAGAAAUAAUGCAAGAAGCCCAAGUUUUUCAUAGCAAAGUCAUAAGCGAAAUCACGCUUCAAAGACUCUAUACCAUCAUGAUCAUCAUGUUGAAGACAUCUCUAGCCCAAUAGAAUCAAUGUUAUUAUCUAGAAGAAGUUAGCAUGUUCUAGAAUGAUCUGGAAGAUUCUAGAACAUUAUGGAAUACUAUGGACGAGUCUAGAAGACGAAGAAAGACUCUAGAGUAUUCUAGAAUGACAUGGAAGACCCUGGAAGGUUAUGGAUCAUUCUAGAAGACAUUGGAGCAUUCUAGACCUCUCUAGAACAUUAUAGAACAUUUUAGAAACAUGUAGAAGUUUGUAAUACAUAUAGAAUACAAUAGAAAGUUCUAGAAUAGUCAUGAAUGUAUGUAGAUCUAGAACCUUCCUAUAUGGAGGUGAAAACACCUAUAAAUAGGUAUGGAGCUCAUUUGCUCCAAACCAAUCCCGACAUCCAAGUAUCCAAUAAAGCCUCAAAGAAAGCAAAGUGUGUAGUAGUCUCACAAAGUGUAAGUUCUUCUUAAGUGUCUUAAUAAAAGUAUUGUUGUUUCCCAUAUAAAGAGUCGUGUUCAACACAUCACUGGUAAUAAUCAUGUAAUAAACAUAUAAAGAUAGAAGGGUCUGACCUGCACUUGUACAUACGAAGGGCUUUUUUGAGACCAUACAUGUAACAUUCCGGAAAUUCAUAAGUAAAGUUGAAGGGCUAAAGGUGUAAAUAAGAAGGUCGACUCGGUGAGUCGAUGGAUAGACUCGGCGAGUCGAGUCGCGUUACGGGUCGCGUGUUAAGUGACCAACUCGGCGAGUCACAUGGGUGGAAUCGACGAGUUGGUGUUGUGUGGAGAAAACCCUAAUCCUGGGGGUUGAGCCCUAUAUAAAGAACAUAAUACCCUCUCCCUAUCCUCUUUACUCUCCCUUGAAGUCCAGAAACCCUAAUAUUCGUUUGUGAGAGAAUUAGAGAGCAUUUGGAUCUUGAAGGAGUGUUGUUGAAGAGAUCUUUGAAGAUUAAGAGGCUUGGAGCAAGGGGCUUUGCAAGGCUUUGGCUUAUUCUUCUAUUGGAGUCUUCUCUUGAGGUAAUGAUUCAUUGCUUGAGCUGUUAUCCAUGUAGAUCUAUCAUUUGUGGGAUUUUUGGGAGUAUAUCUGUAACAGCCCAAAAUCUCAAGUAUUGUUAAAUUGCAUUUUGGGGUGUUUUAAAGGGGAGACUCGGCGAGUUGGAGCCAGACUCGCCGAGUAGGGUCGCAGAGUUGGUCGCGGGUUCGCGACUGGACUCGACGAGUCCAGGUAUGGACUCGGCGAGUCGACGCUGUUCAGCAGAAACCCUAGCCGUUUCGUAUUGGGUCGUAUUUAAGGGUUGUUAUGUCGUCAUUUCACGUCUUUUGGCCGAUUGUGGAGAACCCUAGACGGCUGUGGCAUCUAGAGCAAGCUUGAAGGUCAUUAGAGACUUUGAGGGAAUUGUAGUGCAAGAAGAGGAAGGAUUUUGGCCAGAGGAAGAUCAAGGGGAUCGAGUUCUGAGGUUUGGGGACACAGAGAGUACGUUUUCAGGUUAUGUUUCGGAUCAUUCCUGUUAUUUUGAUGUGUACACGAAUUUAGGGUUUAUGAAACCCAUUUGGNNNNNNNNNNNNNNNNNNNNNNNNNNNNNNNNNNNNNNNNNNNNNNNNNNNNNNNNNNNNNNNNNNNNNNNNNNNNNNNNNNNNNNNNNNNNNNNNNNNNNNNNNNNNNNNNNNNNNNNNNNNNNNNNNNNNNNNNNNNNNNNNNNNNNNNNNNNNNNNNNNNNNNNNNNNNNNNNNNNNNNNNNNNNNNNNNNNNNNNNNNNNNNNNNNNNNNNNNNNNNNNNNNNNNNNNNNNNNNNNNNNNNNNNNNNNNNNNNNNNNNNNNNNNNNNNNNNNNNNNNNNNNNNNNNNNNNNNNNNNNNNNNNNNNNNNNNNNNNNNNNNNNNNNNNNNNNNNNNNNNNNNNNNNNNNNNNNNNNNNNNNNNNNNNNNNNNNNNNNNNNNNNNNNNNNNNNNNNNNNNNNNNNNNNNNNNNNNNNNNNNNNNNNNNNNNNNNNNNNNNNNNNNNNNNNNNNNNNNNNNNNNNNNNNNNNNNNNNNNNNNNNNNNNNNNNNNNNNNNNNNNNNNNNNNNNNNNNNNNNNNNNNNNNNNNNNNNNNNNNNNNNNNNNNNNNNNNNNNNNNNNNNNNNNNNNNNNNNNNNNNNNNNNNNNNNNNNNNNNNNNNNNNNNNNNNNNNNNNNNNNNNNNNNNNNNNNNNNNNNNNNNNNNNNNNNNNNNNNNNNNNNNNNNNNNNNNNNNNNNNNNNNNNNNNNNNNNNNNNNNNNNNNNNNNNNNNNNNNNNNNNNNNNNNNNNNNNNNNNNNNNNNNNNNNNNNNNNNNNNNNNNNNNNNNNNNNNNNNNNNNNNNNNNNNNNNNNNNNNNNNNNNNNNNNNNNNNNNNNNNNNNNNNNNNNNNNNNNNNNNNNNNNNNNNNNNNNNNNNNNNNNNNNNNNNNNNNNNNNNNNNNNNNNNNNNNNNNNNNNNNNNNNNNNNNNNNNNNNNNNNNNNNNNNNNNNNNNNNNNNNNNNNNNNNNNNNNNNNNNNNNNNNNNNNNNNNNNNNNNNNNNNNNNNNNNNNNNNNNNNNNNNNNNNNNNNNNNNNNNNNNNNNNNNNNNNNNNNNNNNNNNNNNNNNNNNNNNNNNNNNNNNNNNNNNNNNNNNNNNNNNNNNNNNNNNNNNNNNNNNNNNNNNNNNNNNNNNNNNNNNNNNNNNNNNNNNNNNNNNNNNNNNNNNNNNNNNNNNNNNNNNNNNNNNNNNNNNNNNNNNNNNNNNNNNNNNNNNNNNNNNNNNNNNNNNNNNNNNNNNNNNNNNNNNNNNNNNNNNNNNNNNNNNNNNNNNNNNNNNNNNNNNNNNNNNNNNNNNNNNNNNNNNNNNNNNNNNNNNNNNNNNNNNNNNNNNNNNNNNNNNNNNNNNNNNNNNNNNNNNNNNNNNNNNNNNNNNNNNNNNNNNNNNNNNNNNNNNNNNNNNNNNNNNNNNNNNNNNNNNNNNNNNNNNNNNNNNNNNNNNNNNNNNNNNNNNNNNNNNNNNNNNNNNNNNNNNNNNNNNNNNNNNNNNNNNNNNNNNNNNNNNNNNNNNNNNNNNNNNNNNNNNNNNNNNNNNNNNNNNNNNNNNNNNNNNNNNNNNNNNNNNNNNNNNNNNNNNNNNNNNNNNNNNNNNNNNNNNNNNNNNNNNNNNNNNNNNNNNNNNNNNNNNNNNNNNNNNNNNNNNNNNNNNNNNNNNNNNNNNNNNNNNNNNNNNNNNNNNNNNNNNNNNNNNNNNNNNNNNNNNNNNNNNNNNNNNNNNNNNNNNNNNNNNNNNNNNNNNNNNNNNNNNNNNNNNNNNNNNNNNNNNNNNNNNNNNNNNNNNNNNNNNNNNNNNNNNNNNNNNNNNNNNNNNNNNNNNNNNNNNNNNNNNNNNNNNNNNNNNNNNNNNNNNNNNNNNNNNNNNNNNNNNNNNNNNNNNNNNNNNNNNNNNNNNNNNNNNNNNNNNNNNNNNNNNNNNNNNNNNNNNNNNNNNNNNNNNNNNNNNNNNNNNNNNNNNNNNNNNNNNNNNNNNNNNNNNNNNNNNNNNNNNNNNNNNNNNNNNNNNNNNNNNNNNNNNNNNNNNNNNNNNNNNNNNNNNNNNNNNNNNNNNNNNNNNNNNNNNNNNNNNNNNNNNNNNNNNNNNNNNNNNNNNNNNNNNNNNNNNNNNNNNNNNNNNNNNNNNNNNNNNNNNNNNNNNNNNNNNNNNNNNNNNNNNNNNNNNNNNNNNNNNNNNNNNNNNNNNNNNNNNNNNNNNNNNNNNNNNNNNNNNNNNNNNNNNNNNNNNNNNNNNNNNNNNNNNNNNNNNNNNNNNNNNNNNNNNNNNNNNNNNNNNNNNNNNNNNNNNNNNNNNNNNNNNNNNNNNNNNNNNNNNNNNNNNNNNNNNNNNNNNNNNNNNNNNNNNNNNNNNNNNNNNNNNNNNNNNNNNNNNNNNNNNNNNNNNNNNNNNNNNNNNNNNNNNNNNNNNNNNNNNNNNNNNNNNNNNNNNNNNNNNNNNNNNNNNNNNNNNNNNNNNNNNNNNNNNNNNNNNNNNNNNNNNNNNNNNNNNNNNNNNNNNNNNNNNNNNNNNNNNNNNNNNNNNNNNNNNNNNNNNNNNNNNNNNNNNNNNNNNNNNNNNNNNNNNNNNNNNNNNNNNNNNNNNNNNNNNNNNNNNNNNNNNNNNNNNNNNNNNNNNNNNNNNNNNNNNNNNNNNNNNNNNNNNNNNNNNNNNNNNNNNNNNNNNNNNNNNNNNNNNNNNNNNNNNNNNNNNNNNNNNNNNNNNNNNNNNNNNNNNNNNNNNNNNNNNNNNNNNNNNNNNNNNNNNUGUAACAGCCCAAAAUCUCAAGUAUUGUUAAAUUGCAUUUUGGGGUGUUUUAAAGGGGAGACUCGGCGAGUUGGAGCCAGACUCGCCGAGUAGGGUCGCAGAGUUGGUCGCGGGUUCGCGACUGGACUCGACGAGUCCAGGUAUGGACUCGGCGAGUCGACGCUGUUCAGCAGAAACCCUAGCCGUUUCGUAUUGGGUCGUAUUUAAGGGUUGUUAUGUCGUCAUUUCACGUCUUUUGGCCGAUUGUGGAGAACCCUAGACGGCUGUGGCAUCUAGAGCAAGCUUGAAGGUCAUUAGAGACUUUGAGGGAAUUGUAGUGCAAGAAGAGGAAGGAUUUUGGCCAAAGGAAGAUCAAGGGGAUCAAGCUCUGAAGUUUGAGGACACAGAGAGUAUGUUUUCAGGUAAUGUUUCGGAUCAUUCCUGUUAUUUUGAUGUGUACACGAUUUUAGGGUUUGUGAAACCCAUUUGGAGAUUUGAUGGAUCAUUAUGUUGUUAUACAAAGGUUUCUACCCUAGUAAUAGGAUGAUUAGAGGUCCAGAAGUCCCAUGAGUGUGUAUCUCGGGGAAAAACAUAUCUCAGGAAGCAGUUGGAUCGACUGCAUGGCGUGGACUCGCCGAGUCGGAUGAUCAGACUCGGCGAGUAGCUUGAAGAUUNNNNNNNNNNNNNNNNNNNNNNNNNNNNNNNNNNNNNNNNNNNNNNNNNNNNNNNNNNNNNNNNNNNNNNNNNNNNNNNNNNNNNNNNNNNNNNNNNNNNNNNNNNNNNNNNNNNNNNNNNNNNNNNNNNNNNNNNNNNNNNNNNNNNNNNNNNNNNNNNNNNNNNNNNNNNNNNNNNNNNNNNNNNNNNNNNNNNNNNNNNNNNNNNNNNNNNNNNNNNNNNNNNNNNNNNNNNNNNNNNNNNNNNNNNNNNNNNNNNNNNNNNNNNNNNNNNNNNNNNNNNNNNNNNNNNNNNNNNNNNNNNNNNNNNNNNNNNNNNNNNNNNNNNNNNNNNNNNNNNNNNNNNNNNNNNNNNNNNNNNNNNNNNNNNNNNNNNNNNNNNNNNNNNNNNNNNNNNNNNNNNNNNNNNNNNNNNNNNNNNNNNNNNNNNNNNNNNNNNNNNNNNNNNNNNNNNNNNNNNNNNNNNNNNNNNNNNNNNNNNNNNNNNNNNNNNNNNNNNNNNNNNNNNNNNNNNNNNNNNNNNNNNNNNNNNNNNNNNNNNNNNNNNNNNNNNNNNNNNNNNNNNNNNNNNNNNNNNNNNNNNNNNNNNNNNNNNNNNNNNNNNNNNNNNNNNNNNNNNNNNNNNNNNNNNNNNNNNNNNNNNNNNNNNNNNNNNNNNNNNNNNNNNNNNNNNNNNNNNNNNNNNNNNNNNNNNNNNNNNNNNNNNNNNNNNNNNNNNNNNNNNNNNNNNNNNNNNNNNNNNNNNNNNNNNNNNNNNNNNNNNNNNNNNNNNNNNNNNNNNNNNNNNNNNNNNNNNNNNNNNNNNNNNNNNNNNNNNNNNNNNNNNNNNNNNNNNNNNNNNNNNNNNNNNNNNNNNNNNNNNNNNNNNNNNNNNNNNNNNNNNNNNNNNNNNNNNNNNNNNNNNNNNNNNNNNNNNNNNNNNNNNNNNNNNNNNNNNNNNNNNNNNNNNNNNNNNNNNNNNNNNNNNNNNNNNNNNNNNNNNNNNNNNNNNNNNNNNNNNNNNNNNNNNNNNNNNNNNNNNNNNNNNNNNNNNNNNNNNNNNNNNNNNNNNNNNNNNNNNNNNNNNNNNNNNNNNNNNNNNNNNNNNNNNNNNNNNNNNNNNNNNNNNNNNNNNNNNNNNNNNNNNNNNNNNNNNNNNNNNNNNNNNNNNNNNNNNNNNNNNNNNNNNNNNNNNNNNNNNNNNNNNNNNNNNNNNNNNNNNNNNNNNNNNNNNNNNNNNNNNNNNNNNNNNNNNNNNNNNNNNNNNNNNNNNNNNNNNNNNNNNNNNNNNNNNNNNNNNNNNNNNNNNNNNNNNNNNNNNNNNNNNNNNNNNNNNNNNNNNNNNNNNNNNNNNNNNNNNNNNNNNNNNNNNNNNNNNNNNNNNNNNNNNNNNNNNNNNNNNNNNNNNNNNNNNNNNNNNNNNNNNNNNNNNNNNNNNNNNNNNNNNNNNNNNNNNNNNNNNNNNNNNNNNNNNNNNNNNNNNNNNNNNNNNNNNNNNNNNNNNNNNNNNNNNNNNNNNNNNNNNNNNNNNNNNNNNNNNNNNNNNNNNNNNNNNNNNNNNNNNNNNNNNNNNNNNNNNNNNNNNNNNNNNNNNNNNNNNNNNNNNNNNNNNNNNNNNNNNNNNNNNNNNNNNNNNNNNNNNNNNNNNNNNNNNNNNNNNNNNNNNNNNNNNNNNNNNNNNNNNNNNNNNNNNNNNNNNNNNNNNNNNNNNNNNNNNNNNNNNNNNNNNNNNNNNNNNNNNNNNNNNNNNNNNNNNNNNNNNNNNNNNNNNNNNNNNNNNNNNNNNNNNNNNNNNNNNNNNNNNNNNNNNNNNNNNNNNNNNNNNNNNNNNNNNNNNNNNNNNNNNNNNNNNNNNNNNNNNNNNNNNNNNNNNNNNNNNNNNNNNNNNNNNNNNNNNNNNNNNNNNNNNNNNNNNNNNNNNNNNNNNNNNNNNNNNNNNNNNNNNNNNNNNNNNNNNNNNNNNNNNNNNNNNNNNNNNNNNNNNNNNNNNNNNNNNNNNNNNNNNNNNNNNNNNNNNNNNNNNNNNNNNNNNNNNNNNNNNNNNNNNNNNNNNNNNNNNNNNNNNNNNNNNNNNNNNNNNNNNNNNNNNNNNNNNNNNNNNNNNNNNNNNNNNNNNNNNNNNNNNNNNNNNNNNNNNNNNNNNNNNNNNNNNNNNNNNNNNNNNNNNNNNNNNNNNNNNNNNNNNNNNNNNNNNNNNNNNNNNNNNNNNNNNNNNNNNNNNNNNNNNNNNNNNNNNNNNNNNNNNNNNNNNNNNNNNNNNNNNNNNNNNNNNNNNNNNNNNNNNNNNNNNNNNNNNNNNNNNNNNNNNNNNNNNNNNNNNNNNNNNNNNNNNNNNNNNNNNNNNNNNNNNNNNNNNNNNNNNNNNNNNNNNNNNNNNNNNNNNNNNNNNNNNNNNNNNNNNNNNNNNNNNNNNNNNNNNNNNNNNNNNNNNNNNNNNNNNNNNNNNNNNNNNNNNNNNNNNNNNNNNNNNNNNNNNNNNNNNNNNNNNNNNNNNNNNNNNNNNNNNNNNNNNNNNNNNNNNNNNNNNNNNNNNNNNNNNNNNNNNNNNNNNNNNNNNNNNNNNNNNNNNNNNNNNNNNNNNNNNNNNNNNNNNNNNNNNNNNNNNNNNNNNNNNNNNNNNNNNNNNNNNNNNNNNNNNNNNNNNNNNNNNNNNNNNNNNNNNNNNNNNNNNNNNNNNNNNNNNNNNNNNNNNNNNNNNNNNNNNNNNNNNNNNNNNNNNNNNNNNNNNNNNNNNNNNNNNNNNNNNNNNNNNNNNNNNNNNNNNNNNNNNNNNNNNNNNNNNNNNNNNNNNNNNNNNNNNNNNNNNNNNNNNNNNNNNNNNNNNNNNNNNNNNNNNNNNNNNNNNNNNNNNNNNNNNNNNNNNNNNNNNNNNNNNNNNNNNNNNNNNNNNNNNNNNNNAGGAGUUGCUAUCUUCCAGUGUCCGCGAGGUGAGUCUUCUCACUAUACUGUACCCGGAAGGGUUUGACUGUGUGACCGGAAGGUCGGAUAUGAUAUGUGAUAUGUAUGCUAUAUGUGGUAUGUUAUAUGUUAUAUGUGCUAUGUAUGUUAUGGGCCGGAAGGCGAAUAUGUUAUGGGCCGGAAGGCGAUAUGAUGUGUGAUGGACCGGAAGGUCGGCGUGGGUAAGGCCGGAAGGUUUACCCAGCAGGGACGGAAGUCCCCUGAGACACAUGGACCGGAAGGCAAAGUUAUGUGGAUCGAAAGAUCCGGGCCGGAAGGCGAUAUUAUGUGGAUCGAAAGAUCCGGGCCGGAAGGCGUAUGUGCGUAAGGUAUAUUGGGGAACUCACUAAGCUUCGUGCUUACGUUGUUUAUGUUAUGUUGUUUCAGGUUCUUACAGUAACGCGGGAUGGCAACGGUUCGAUUGUACACACCGAAGAAAGAGUUGUGUUUUGGAGGAUCCUGGUCUUUUAUUAUAAUGAAAAUGAAACUAUAUUUUGUAAUUCGAAUGUGAAUAAGAUUUUAAACAAGUGUUCUUAAUAUUAAAUUGAUUAAUUAAAUAAAAAUUUUGUUUUUUGGAAAUCUUAGUGUUACAAUAUCUAGUGCUAUCUUGUGUUUGCUGUAAGAUCUGAGGUUGUUACCUCAGAUCUAAGUUGUUAAUGAUCCAGAAAGCCAUAAAGUCUAUGCCCAAGAGUUGCUGGUGAAGUUCUUUUGUCCCAAACCUUAGCCCAAGAGUGUAUUAUGCUUAGAUCUCCUUGGAUUCACGUAAAGUUUGCCAGUUUACAUGAUGGAUGGCUUGUAGAAGAGUAGAUCUAUAGAUUGGAGACCCUGCAUGGCUUGGAAAGCCUCUGUAUGGGUUAAGAGCUAGUGGUACUCGGUGAGUCACAUGGGUGUACUCGGCGAGUUGCUUGAAGAUAGGCAGUAACUCGACGAGUUGGUUGAAGAUAGCCUUGGACUCAGUGAGUCUGUUCUUGGACUCGGCGUGUCUGGUCGUGAGGUCCUCACCUUUCCUGGUUGAGCUGUGAAUCGGUGAGUCGAGGGACGACUCGGUGAGUUGAGCAGGAAGUGACUCAGAGUUCGUGGGACUCGGCGAGUCUUUGGGCGACUUGGCAAGUUGGGUCGCAAUAUGGGAGUUUUCAAAGCCUAGGGACUCGACGAGUCAGCAGGCUGACUCGACAAGUAGAGCCAGUCAGGAAGUUUGACUUUGACUGAGGACUUUGUCUUUGACCAAGGGUUGACCAGCUGACUUCCAGGGGUAAUUUGGUAAUUAUUGGUAUUUAUUGAGUUCAGUCUUUUGGUAUUAUCAGUGGUGGAGUUCGUGUCGGAGAUUGGAGCAACUUGAUCUUAUCUUUUCAGUUAGCAGUUGCGAGGUGAGUUAUCCUCACUAUAUCAACAGGGUCUAAGGCACCAAGGCCGGCCCUUUAUCGGAUUGUAAUCCGGGUAUCAUUGUUAUGUUAUUGCUUUGCUAUGUUUGCAUCCUGGUUGUUAGGAUGGUAUAUGUUAGAGACCUGGUUAAGGUCAGUAUCCUGGUAUAUAGGAUGAUGCUAUGCUAGUGACCGGUUAGGUCGGUAUCCUGGUUAGGAUGAUGUUAUGUUAUGUGAUCUGCUAGAUCGGUUUGAUUGGAUGCGAAUUCUUAUAUGAUUGUAUGUUUAUGUGCACAUGGUUGUUGUACUCGGGUUGGGUUGAGGCGGGUCCUGCUUUGUGCCGCAGGACAACAUACCCAGGGCAGACCUGUUAACCUGAAGGCCCAACGAGUGGUCUGGAUAGGCUGUAGGCCCCGCAAGGGCAGACCAGAUGUGCCGAGGCUCGGAGAGUGGACCAGGCCGACUGAAGGCCCGAUGCGGGCGGACUAGUCAUACUGUAGAUUCAGAGAGUGGACCAGGUGGGUUGAAGGCCCGGUGCGGGCGGACCAACCACACUGCAGACUUGAUGGAUAUGGCUAGACUCAGAGGGUGGACCAGGUGGACUGAAGGCCCGGUAGGGCGAACGAGUCACACAGUAGAACCGAAGUGCAUGGCUGUUCUGUUCGGUUAUGAUAUGUUAUGCGUGGUAUAUGUGGUUGGUAUUUUGGGGGUAUCUCACUAAGCUUUCGGGAUUAUAGUUGUGGUUUAAUGUUUUUCAGGUACUUUAGGAGAUCGUGGCAAGGCGAAGGCGUGAUCGUACCGCUCCUCAUGUUUAUGUUUUACGAUAUGGUUCUGGGAAGACUCUGAUAAUAAUUGUAUUGAAAACCUCUUUGUAAUGACUUAACGAAACUGGGUUGUUUUUGAAAAGUUUAAAUUGGCUUGAAUUUUUGGAGUGUUACAAUAGAAAAGCUUUGUGAUGUAUUGAUAUUUACUUUAUAAUUCUACUAAGAGAUCUAGUCUCCUAAAUAGAAGUUAAUCAUUUCUGAAUAUUAAUGUGAUCUUAUGAAAAAUAGUUUAAGUAAAUAUUCAACAAUCAGAUAACUGAGACAUAUAUUUAGACAUUCUAAGUUUAAAACAUACAUUGUUCAAAACACACAUUGUUUUACAAUACAAGAACUUUAUGUUCUAAGCAUAAAUAACAAACUAAUCUUCUAGAGUACCAUUCCAACUUACUUUUGCUCAGAUGGUUACUCUUCUGCAAAUAUCUGGAAGACCUUUAAAAAUAUUAGAUUUAACAUGUAAGUACCAAGUACUUGAGUGUUAUAUGAAAAGUAAAAAUUAUAUCUAGUAGAAUUGGUAAGUGCAACAAUUGAUUUCAAGCACAAAGAGCAUUCCCACACUUUAAAUGAACCUAUUUAUAAAGUUUAGGUUGAUGAAACAACAUAUGUGCCCACAUAAUGUGGUGUUGGUUUGGAGAUAUAUGUUAGGAAGAAGAAAAUUGACACGCUACAGGUAAUUUCAAUCUGUGAACUGAACAUGGUAUAUUUUUCAUGGUUUCUGAACUUCUCUAGCUUAAUGAUUCAUUCAAAAUUUGCCAAUGCAACCAGAACUCCAUUUUGAAGAGUUCAAUCAUCCCAAUCUUAUCAAACUCUUGGGAUAUUGCUCGUAUUUUCAAGAAUUUUAUCAUUUUUACGAGAUCAUUCAUGAGAUAAGUUUACAUAAAUAUCUUUUUGGAGAUAAGUAUAUAUCCAAGUUAUAGUUUUGAAGACCAUUGAGACUGAAAUCUCACAAAGUGGACACACUUUGGUGAACCCUGCUGAAUAGUAACUUCUUAAUAGUACCCUGCUUUUAGGUUGCUCAGGCAUAGCCUUCUCAUUACCACAUAUAAUAUAUUCCAUCAUAUACACAGAUCCAUGUACAAUGUCACACUACUAGAAAAAAGGCCUUUUACGACGCGCAAACAAUGACACACAGUGAUAGAGGACACGCAUUUGUGCGUGCCCUACAAACUAAUGUUAGUUUUCCAAAAUUUUAAGGAUAAAAGACACGCAUUUAUGCGUGCCCUACAAUUAGUGUCAGAAAAGAAAAAAAAUAAAAAUGCGGAGGGCGCCUUUCAUAAAACGUGCGUCAUCUAAAUUUGUCGCUUUAUAAUUUUUAAGUGAAACACGCCUUUUAGGCGGGAAAUGAAAUCGACCAAAAUUACCCCCGCAUUUGGAUACACAAAAUUAGAACCCCCCGCCUCUUCGACUUAGCAAGAAAAAGCCCUAGGUCCUUCAUCAUCAUCUUCAGUAGUGAGAAUACCUAGGUCGAUUCUUCAGGAUUCUCUCUUCUUCUGCUCCCCAAUCUCCGAUUCCACUCCGAUCGAGAUCUUCAACAACUUUAAACUUCUCUAUGGUCCAUCCAAGCAUUCCUUCCACCGUUCCUUCCUAGAGAAAAAACAGGAACUUUGUGAGUUUGCACCAUUAUCUUUCUACGCUUAAACAACAAUCGAUUUCUAGGGUUUCUCUGACACUUUAAUUUAUGUUAGACUGAUACAUGAACUCUCACGCAAGAAAACCAAGAAUGGAAGACACACCGGCAACCAACAUCGGCGGAGACGCUCACCAGGAAAUGAUCGCAGCAUUCUCAGAAAUUACCUCUACUACCAAAGAAGAAGCCUCUUUCUUCCUCGAAUCGCACAAUUUCGAUCUCGAUUCUGCCGUCUCCACCUGCUUCGAAACCGCUGCUGCCGUAAAAGAGGCUCCUAUGUCUGCCUUACCUAGUCGAAACCCUAACCGACCUUCUGAUACACAUUCCCCUUCAUUUUCUCCGUCGUCUUCUCCGUCUUGCUCCUGAUCAGCCUCCCCACCUCCUGCUAUUGGUUUACAAAAUCCUUACAAUCUACGAUCUAGGAACACCGCUACAGAUAAGAAACCAUCAGGUAGUCGGUCUACUGGACGCAUACGGACUUUCUCAGAUCUGAAUCGACAGGGCGAUGACUCUGGAAGUGACUCCGAUGAGCAGCAGAAGUAUUAUACCGGUGGUGAAAAGAGGUAAAUAAGGUAGGGUUCAUCCGUUUAUUAGGUUUCCGUCCAUGAGUUGAUUGACAACGAAAUUAGUGCAAACAGUACAAGAUCUCUUUGCUAAUAUAAUAUUUAUACAUUCAAUUGGAGUUCCAUAUCAUAAUCUACAUUUGAUUCAUAUUAACGAUGAUGUAUCAUGCAGAUUAACACAUGAUGAUUGAUUAGUUUCUUGAUAUUGGUUCUUUCACGAUGAUUCAUGUUACAAUUAGAUCUUGAUUGUGCUCUACUUCAAUAAUGUUCAAAUGCUUCAUCGAAACACAACCAAAUCCAAUAAUCUGACAUUUAUUAAUGAUUGCAGUGGAAUGCUUGUUCAAGAUCCAUCAAAGGUGAAUGAUGUGAAAUUACAUGAUAUGAGCUUAUUGUGGCUUCAAACUUACAGAAACUGUCAAACUUGCAAUGGAGGGAACGCCUUAAGAUGCACCAUGUGCAGAGGCACAGGGAAGGUCAUAUAUCAGGUGAAAAACUACACAUUAAGAAGGUAUGUUAAAAAAUCUUUUAUACUUUCUUGAUUUCAUUUUAUAAUCUUGAUCUAAUUAUGUUAAAAACUUUCUUCUGAGUGAAAAAGCAACAACUGAAGCUAUUGCAGAGCCCAUUGCUGAAAAUAGAGCAAAGCUUGUUCAUCUUCCAGCCACCAUGGAUCUUAAUGUUCCAUUGCCAUCAAAAGACUGUGAUUCCUGUGAUGGAUCUGUAAGCAAUAAGCUACUAAACAUAAAAAUUAAAUUUUAUAAACUUUUUUACUUCUCUUCAUGUAAACUAGCUUACUAAUUUUUUGUAGGGUGUAAUGAAAUGCCCUAAGUGCAAGGAUAAAUUACAAGUUAGGAUAUCUGCUGAUGAUGUGAGUAUUUGAACAAACUGUUUCUAGGCCAUUUUCAUUUACAUAUUUGAAUAAAAUUCACUAUCAAUAUGUUCUCAUAGUUUAUUUCACAAUUUAUCAGUUAAUGUUAUAUUUUAUUUUUAACGAGACAAAUAAAUAAACUGUGAUUUGUACAAGUUCUUAAACAAAGAGUAAUUUGUUAGUUACUACUUACCAAUUACUAUCAUCUCUUCUAUACAAGUUAUUUAAGGUAAUAAUCAUAUAACACAAAUUAAUAUUUACCAUAUUAAGAAAAUUUUCAUUUUUUUGUUUUUUGACUGUUUGUAUCUUCAAUGACAGUUAUGUAUCAGAAACAGAGAGAAUACAUGUAAUUCCAUCACAAGUAGAGCGCCAUAUAAUUGCNGUUCUUUAAGGUAAUAAUCAUAUAACACAAAUUAAUAUUUACCAUAUUAAGAAAAUUUUCAUUUUUUUGUUUUUUGACUAUUUGUAUCUUCAAUGACAGUUAUGUAUCAGAAACAGAGAGAAUACAUGUAAUUCCAUCACAAGUAGAACGCCAUAUAAUUGCUGGUUUUUCUACAAUAAUAUCUACAAUAAUAUUUGCAAUGUCAUCCAAAUACAAAACAAUUUUCAAAAUUUCACUGCUAUAAUGGGUAGAUUUUUUAAAAUAUAAUUGAAAGUAUGAUGUUAUAACCGAGUAGAUUUUUCUAUAUACAACACCUAAAUAAGUAAAAAGUUGGAAGUAGAAUGUUGUAAUAGAAAGAAAUAAAAGUAGGAUGCUAUAAAACACAAUUCAAUGAAAUUGCAUAUGCUACACACAUUAUUAUGUCUUGUGCUUCUUAUGUAAACCAAAUAUUGCAGUGUAGGUUCUCAGUGAUCCAGCUCAGCGAAUGGUAUAUGAUGAAAUCCAUGGAUAUGCUUUGACUGCAAUAAAUCCAUUUUUUGAUGAUUCCUCUCCUAAGGAUCAUGUAUUUGUUGAUGAGUUUAGCUGUAUAGGUAUGUGUUCAUGUUCUUGCUUUUACUACAUUAUGCAAGAAGGUUACUUUUGACAUUUUGUAACAUAUGACAUGUUUGGUUGCUAAAUGACUGAAAUACCUCUCUCUAAAACCUACUAUUAACAUAUUAGUUUGUUAGUAGAAUAAUAUCUCUACAUAAACAAUUAACUUUACUUGUCUAGAAUAUCUUGACAUAUAGUUAAUUAAUUAAUUUAUUAUUGUUUAUGAUAGGCUGCAAAAAUUGUGCCAAUGUUUGCGGGCAGAAAUUAAAGGACCAUGUGCUCCUUGUUCGGGUAUGCAGCAAGUCUCCUGACCAACCCAAAACAUAUGAAUUUCAAGAUGAUCUUGCUUCAUAGGAACAUAAAAACUCUUUAUUACAGCUAUUCCAGCCCCACCAUACUUGUUUGCGGAGCUGGAAUAUUGUGUUGUUGUGUCCCUGUUGUCAGGAAAGUUUUAUGGAAGACAAACUAAUCAUGGGAAGAUCCACAGAGUAGGAUCAGUUGUGCCAUCUCUUUUGAAACCUUUUAAUUGAUAACUGAUUCCCAAAUCACAUAGUAUUAGGUUAUAUAGUUAGGGAUGAUUAUUUGUAUUUGACAUUUUAGUUAGUGCAAUGAAUUAUCUUUCUUAUUUAUUGUAUUUUAUUUUGUAUUUUGUAUGACAUUAACUUUUGUGCAAUGGAUUGUAUUUUUUGUAUAUGGUAUUUUAUUUUCUAUUAUGAGACAUGAAAUGCAAAUUUAAUCUGAAAAAUUAGUAAAUCUAUAAAUAAUUUUUUUUUAAAAAAAAAUAAAAAUUAUGAUACGCAAAAAUGUGUGUCAUCUUCAUUUAUGACAUGGCCUUUCUUGACAGCGGCUUUAAUGAUACGCAUUGCGUGUCAUAAAUGUGCGUCGUAAAUGCGCGUCGUCUCUCGUUAUGACAUGGCCUUCCUUGACGCGCAUUUGCGCGUCGUCUGAGCGUUUUACGACGCGCAAUGAGCGUCGUAAAAGGCCUUUUUUCUAGUAGUGUCACUUUCUUGGAAUGCACGAUUGAAAAUAGCACUAGGAGCAACUCAAGGCUUGGCUUUCUUACGUCUGAGGAAAUAUCCGGCGUAUAAUCAAUUUAUGACCAAUCGAACUUGGUGGACACAGUAAUUAAACUUCCUUUGAUGGGCUUGCAAUUUUCAUCUCAAUAUUACAUAAGUUUUAGUUUUCUUUUUCAUGCUUAUUUACAGGAUUUCAAUGUCCGACUUUCAGAUUAUGAAGUGGAAAACUUAUUUGCCACACCUCAGUGACACUUUUACCAGGAAUACUAAAUUGAUGGUAUCGGCAAAUGGUUGACUGAAGAUAGUAUGUUCUGAUUUAAAAGCAAAUAUUUUAUACAUGGAGAAGGUCACUCAUAUGAGUACUCAUUUACUCUCCAAAGGCUAUAAUCAUGAGUUACUUGUGCUAGAGUGAAGAGUGAUAUUGAUGCUUUAACAUGUCAAACCACUUUGGCAGUUCCUGGAUUGAAGAGUAAGAGUUAUGCUUUUGGAGUGGUACUGCUCGAAAAAUUAACAGGGAUGAAGGCGUAUGAUGUGCAGAGACCCAUCAGAAUGUAAAAUUUGGUGAAAUGGAGUACUCGAUUGCUAGCAAAUGAGGUACAAUUAAGAAAUAUUAUGGACACACAACUUCAACAUAACGGUUAUACUCUAAAGGGAGCAUUCAAGUUAGCGAAACUUGUUUGAAAAUGUCUUAAAAAAAGUAGAUGAUUGCCCAUCCAUGGAAGAAAUUGUGCAGGUCUUGUGUCGGUGCUAUGAAGAGGAAAUCAAAUUAGGUGUGGUCCAACAUAAUAUAUAGAUUUGAUUUUUGUAAAUAAAUCUAAGAAUAUAAGUGUAUGAUGUUGGAAAUCUUUGAAGAGUUCAAGCCUUCAGCUCCCAUUGUGUUCCUUUACAUUUUUGGUGAAACAGACCCACCCAUAACAUAUCUUUUCGAGCUCGUGUGAUUUAUAUUGUGGAGAUGUUUCAGAAGCCGGGCAUAACUUUCUUAUCAUUCUAGAGCUGAAGCUUCAAAAACAGAAGCUUUAAUACUAUUUGAUUUACCAAUUAUCUUUAUAGAUUCACUUGAUUAAGUAAGAUAUAACCUAUACCUUGAUCUCUUCAGAUUGACCUACAUAUGAUAUGUUUUUCUAUCAUUUUCCAUUUUUCAUAUACAGGUUGUGACCUCAAGUAUCCAUUUUUCAUAUACGGGUUGUGAACUCAAGUACGCUACUAGUAAAAAAUGGAGACAAAAUAAAGCUAGGAAUUCAUUAUUAUGAGUGAAAGUACAAUUACAAAGGGAAAGAUUAAAUAAAUAGCAAAACUAAUUAGGUUAAACCUAGCUAAAGUGCUAAACUUGGGUCAAAUAAAAAACACCCAAAAACUUGUUAAACUAACAUCAGUCCUCAAACUCACAAUGCGACAAAAAUAAGCAUCGAGAGUAGAAAAAUAUUAAAAUUAAGCAGCAAUCAACGCUUCCGUAAACAUAUCAACAGUGUAUAGGGUGGAUGGAACAUGAGGUAGAUAAAUAGUCCUCAAUUGAAAGUGGUGAUGAGUGAAAUGACAAUCAAUCUCAAUAUGUUUUGUUUGCUUAUGGAACACCGAAUUCUUGACAAUCAUUAUCACACUAUGUUGGUCCCAAACCAACUCAACAAGAAAUAAAUAGAAUAUAAGCAAUAACAAAAAAAGGAUUGGAACCAAAGUCUUAUCGACUAAAAGGUUUCAAUAGUCCAGAGGUAAUCGGAUAACAGACUCUGACUAUGUACGCACUCCUGAUCGAAUACCCUUACACAAAGGAGCAUAUAUAUAUAUAUAUAUANNNNNNNNNNNNNNNNNNNNNNNNNNNNNNNAUAUAUAUAUAACACUCGGUGCAUGUAGGUAUUUUAGAUAAGAAUCCUCAUUUUUGCAAAGGGACUCGAUGAGUUGGAGGCCCCAAACUCCUCAAGUAGAAGUGGGAAUUUGGAUGUAGGUAAAGAAACCUACUCAACGAGUUGAGGAGCCCCAACUCGACGUGUAGGACUGCCAGAGUGAAACCCUAAUUUUUAGGGGUUGCACCCUAUUUAAGGACCUUAACACCACAUUAUGGCCUCCCUCAUCACCUCCCUUAGUCCCAGUAAACCCUAAUUCGUGAGCUUGAUCCUCUUGAGUGUGUAGGAGUGAAAAGAGAGUGGUUCUUUGGUAAUCUCUUGAAGAAGUUGAAGUUAGAGGUUCUUGGUUCAUGGAAGGAGCUUUGGAUCUAGGGGUUACUCUGUUAAGGCAACCAUAUUAAGGUAUAAAGUCUAUAUCUUGACUAUUCAUUUGCUAGAUCUCUCCUUGGAGGAUUUUGAGGAUUUUAGUAGCUUGUUGUGGAACCAUUCAUGGAUGCAUGCAUGUUUGGGUUUUAUGACUUCAGAUGUGGACGUCCAUGGCCUUAUGAGACUUAAAGUUGCCAAGUUUAUUGAGUAUUGGCCAUUCUCCGUGCCUUAGAUCUCUUUUGGAGCUUAGAUUUGGUGUUCUUAGCUUCUUGACACCAUGCAUGGAUGUAAAGUUGGUAACUUUACAUGAUAUAUCGACUUUAGGGGACUAGAUCUAUGGUUUGGAAGUGUUAGAUUCAACAGAAAGCGACUUAAUGGAUUAAGACAAAUGGGACUUGACGAGUUGUUCAUACGACUCGACGAGUUUGAUCGUAUACCCCCAACCUUUUCUGUUACUGAGCAAACUCGUUUACUCUAGGAGAUGACUCGGUGAGUUGGCCAGGGUUUUGAGUUUUGAAGAGUUAAGGACUCAACUAGUCCAAGGAAGGACUCGACGAGUUCUAGAGAAGAGUCUCGAUUCUGUUAUAGAGAGGAACUCGUCGAGUUGUGGAAGAAUUCGACGAGUUGGAUCGUAAUUUAGGGUUCCUGAUUCAUGGAACUCGACGAGUUGAUCGACCAACACGAUGAGUUGAGUCAACCAUAACGUUGUGUUUGACCAGAAUUUUGACUUUGAGGUGGACUUUGAACAAGGUUGACUCUUGAAAGGUUAUGAAGUACGUAAUGGAUUCUAGAAGGUUGUCCAAUGUAAAGUUUGGGCCCAAUUUAGAAAAUUGGGCCAAUAGGGGGCCAUUAGUGGGCGUUUAUGGUUUUUGAAGUUUUAGACUUGAUUGGUUUUAGACCAGCGCCUUAGUUUUGUAUCCUAUUGGACCAGGGGUAAAAAGGUCAUUUUACCCCAAAUAUAUUAUGAAUCAUGGUUUAGGACCAAAUUACUAAUUGGGGUGAUGUUGUGGUAUUGAUAGCUCAAGGAGUUACCAGGACAAUAGUAAGGAAUCCUUGCAGUGGACUUCAGCAAUACGAGGUGAGUUACCUUCCAGUAGAAGUGGGUCAAAGGCACCAAUGUCGGCCCACUAGUAAUUGAUUAUAGUUGAGAUGAUUGUCUUUGUGAUAAUUUUCUGGUAUGCCAGUAUCGGUUAUGCUUUAUGUGCUAGUAUGUUAUGACAUUAUGUGGUAGUGGUAGGAAAAGGACUAGUCCCCGGUUAUCGGCUGUAAGGACCAACAGGGUAGGUCGGGCAUCUAGAUAGGCCUGACAAUAUGUUAUGCUAUGUUAUUAUGUAGUAGUGGUAGGGGUGAAAUAUUCCCUGUAACUGGUUGAAAUAAACCAGAGGGUAGGUCGGGCACCCAGAUAUGUCUGGCAGGGUAGGUUGAGCACCCAUAUAUGCUUGAUAAGGAGUAGGUCGGGCACCCUCGCAUGCUUGACAAGGGACGAUUGAGCACCCAUAUAUGCUCAGUAGGGUAGGCUGGGCACCCAUAUAUGUCUAGCAGUAUGUUUAUUGUAUGGUAUGUGGUAUGAUGGGGGAACUCACUAAGCUUCUUGCUUAGGGUUUUUCAGUUUUGGUUUCAGGUACUUUGUUUUCAAAAGAAAGGAACCAGCGGUCACAACGCAUCACACUAUGUUUUUCUCACAUGAGAUCCUUGGGAUUACACUAUGAUAUUGGUUUAUGAUAACAUGUUUUGAUUAUUGACACUUUGGUUUUGACAAGAGAUGUUAUUAUGGAUUUUUUUCUUAUAUUCUUGGUUUUAUCAUAACUUAAUCAAAAAUGGAAUUUUUGGUCUUCAAUUUUGGGAUUUUAUAAGUUGGUAUCAGAGCCUUGGUUUGAGUAAUUCGAGCACAUUCUCAAGUGUGUUUGAACUUAAAAUGAGGACUUGGUAUCAAAAUUUUCAAAAGAAAAAUAAUUUAAUAAAAUAAAUUCUUAAAAGAAUUUGGAAAGAGAAAAAGAACUUUGAAAAGAACAAGAUGUAUGAUGCGUGCAAUCAACCAGGCUUAAUUAAGUUUUCCCCAAGAUACCCUUACAUUUUAUGUUAUGUUAUGUUAUGAUACGAAUUGAAAAUAUGUCAACUACAUGAUAGAUUAGGGCUAAAGAUCUAGGAAAGAUGCCUUAUAUGCCUAUUAUAUGUGCUUGUAGAACUGCAUGCUACUACUGAUUAGUUAGUGAUAGGAUGGCAUGUUUAGGUUAUUUCUGAUUGUAUGAGCUUUAGAAUCUCAUGCCAGUAUAGAUUUCUGAUAAGAGGAUAGAAUGAUUUGAUUGGAUCAUUUUGGUUAGAUUUUCCAUUUUCUGAAUGUUGCUUGCUUUGUGCUUUGUGGGACACAUGGUAAUGUGAGUUAUCUACUAAGUGAAUAUGCUAAGUCACAUAGGACACAUGCUAGAUAAUCUCAGAGUGAUGGACUUGACCGUAUUGUGCAGCUAUCGUUUGAGUCUAACCGUUGUAGGGAUGAGUCUUUUUGCUUGAAGGAUUAUCUGAUCUCUGUUGCAUGUGGCUAUAUUCAUGAGGUAGUUAGUUGACUUUACUGGGAAUCUUUUAGCAGCUGAGGACUGGGUAGGUUUGAGAACAUAAGAAAUACUAGGAUAUGCUUCAGAGGGGUAGUAAUGAGGUAUAGUGAUACUUGGGUGCAUCAAUUUGAAGAAGUGACUUGGAGGAUAUGGGAGGAUUGCUGAGGAAAGUAUGGAUAGGUGUGGAAGGUAGUAUUGGGCCUGUACUACUGAAAGCACAUGAUCCAUACUCAAAUCGGCAAGAGUUUUGGAGAACCUAAGAAGCUUUGGGGAGGAGAAUCCAUGAGUAUGUUUUGAUCAGCGGUUUUGUGCUUUUUCAGUUUGGAGAUGAGCACUCAGGGAGGUGAUUUUGGUUUAGGUUCUGAAACAAAUGCAGGUGCGGAAUCGAUCAGCGAGCAGAUGUGGGAGUUCCUUUCGUUGGAGAUUACCCCCAGUAUGUUGGAGUAGACCCCUAUAAUCUUUGGUUCGGUCAAGGUGGGGAUUUUGGAGGUAUUGGGUAGUCGUCUCAGGGCCUUUCAGGCCGAGAUGGUGACAAGGCAGUUGGGGGCUCAUCUGGAGCCCGAAGCUUGUGGAUCUCAAGAAUCCUUCUGGAUGGAGGAUCCUAUUGUUGGGUCGAGUCAUUUGGGAUCAGAGGUGGAUUAUGCACCUUGUCUUUAGGAGAGUCUACCACAUGAUUGGAUCACUGUGGAUGUUUUGCGAGCCCUUCGCGAGGAAUGGCCUGGUAUCAUUAGUUAGAUCAUUGAUAGAUUUGUUGUCAAAUUAGAGGAGCGGGCCGCACUCUCAUGUGCUGCAAGUGCAACUGGUGGGGCCGUUAGUGAAGGAAAUGUGAGUUUGGAAUCGCGGAUCAGAAAAAGCAAGUGGACACCUAUCUCAGGACGAUUGGAAGGAGGUGGAGGGUCCGACUUGGCCGAAUCAGGUGGGGGAUCCCAUGGGUUUACUUGUCACAAGUUUAGGUGUUUCAAGUAUAGACAAAGAUGGCAUGUGCAUCGAGAUUGUAUGAAGGAUCAGAUACGUUUUCAUUAUCACCAGCCAAGUCAUUUCAAGUCCUGCUGUCUUGCUUGGGUGGCGGAGAGAGUUUAGGUUCCAGUGCCCAUCAUUCAACAGAAAGUCAAGAUCGAGCCAUAAUAGAUCGCAGGUAUGUAAUCUGAACUCCCCUUUCUGUAAUAAUAGUAUUGUACCUACUUUGGAAUCUCACUGAGUUUUAGGUAAGUGUAUCUAUGGGUCUAAAUCCCUGCUUGCAUUUAGAUAUUUAUAUUUUCAAGAAAUGUCAUAUGCCAAUUGCAUACCAUGAAUUAUAAAUAGUUAGUGAAAGGUCAUCCCCUUUUGCUAGAUCGGGAUGUUCCGUGUCGUUGGGUCGUGUUUUGUACUAAGUGUUGCGUCUAUUGGGCUCGUUAGCUAGUCCAUUAUGUAUCUCCGGUAUGGGCUUGUCCAUCCAUGAGUUUUGUAGGGUUUAGUAUAUAUAUAGGUGCUUGCAUGCAUCUUAGAAACUAACGAUAGAAUAGAACGAUCAGAGUAUUAUUCAGCAAGUUUGUUAUUAUCGUUCUUGUAACCCUAAAAUCCUCUACAGCGGAAGUUCUUAGUCGAGCUCUGCUGAGGAUUGUUUGAUCUAAUCAUUCGACACAUCUUGAUCCAUACUUGUGUUAUUUAUUGCUUUUACAUUCAUCGCAUUACCUGUUAAGAAGAUCUAAUCAAUCAUUAAGUUUGUUUAUAACUUAACAAUUGGUAUCAGAGCGGGAGGCUGUGUAAUUCAUACACAUCUUUUCUGUGAAAAAGGUUGCGAUUAGGGUUAUUCUGUAUUAACUAAUAUUUAUUGAGCCGUCAUCCCAUAAUUGACGUAACUCAGCAUUUAUUUGUUUUCCCUAAUUUAAUAUAUUACAAGUCUGAUCUUUCAAACAGGUUAUACGAUCAAGCAUGGAUGAGUCACAAUCAAAUCCCAUUAACAUCUCAAACAGCAUCGGAUCAACAACGAAGAUUCCCAUCCUUUACACCCAGGAUUACGAAGUCUAGGCACAUCACUUUGAAGAUUAUGUCAUUGGAUCUGAAGACAAUGGAUAUCUUAUUUGGGAAGCAAUCGUGUCUGGACCAUUUGCUCAUUCAGCAACGUCAAGAAUCAUUAAAACUCAGAAAGAGUAUAAUGAUCUGUUGAAGGACAUAAAAGAUAUUGCUCAAGACGAAAAAGAUAAAUUUCAGUGCAAUAUUAAAGCAUUGAGACUAAUCAGAUUCACUCUUCAAUCUGAUACUUUUAGGCUAGUGAGUUCAUGCAGCACUGCUAAAGAAAUAUGGGAUAGGCUACGAGAGCUAUAUUCCACAGACGAAGAUCUGGAGCAUUCCAUUCAAACCUUACUUUUGUCUGAGUUUGGUGAAUUUAAGCAGAAUCCCGAGGAAACUGUUACACAUACGUUCGAUCGCUUCAAUCAUCUUCUCAUUAAGAUGAUUAAACACGAUAUUGAAAGGAAGUUGAUUAAACAAAAAGUUACGUUUUUAAAUGGUCUUAGAUCUGAGUGGAGAGCGGUUGUGUCCACUGUUAAAGCACAUGAUCAAUUCAAAUCUUACUCAUUAGCAAAGCUGGUAGGGAUUUUGAAAUCCCAAGAAAAGAUUGUCUUGCAAGAGAAAAAUGUAGUUUCAAGCUUGGGAUCAUUGGCCCUUCUGUCCAAAAGCAAAGGUGUGAUGGAAGAUGAAGACCUUAACUUAGAGGACUAUGACCUUACCUCUGAAGACUAUGCAAUGAUGGUGUCAAACCCGAAGAGGUUCAUCAAGAAAAGGUUUCCUACCAAUAAGAACCGAAAUUGGCAGGGAAGUUAUAGUUCUGAAAAAGUCAGGGAAGAACCGAAGGUAGAAGAACCAAAGAAAGAACCGAAAGUUGAAGGAGAUUCGGGUGUGAACUGUUACUACUGUGGAGGAAAGAACCACUAUGCCAAAGACUGUGUCCUAAAGAAAAUGGCAGAAAAGGAUGAGGAGAAAGAUGAAGAAGCUGUGUUGAUGAAUAAGUUGGAAGAGAUCAAGAGAAAGAAAGUUGUCACUAACCCUUCAAUGAAUGCUUUAAUUGAGCAGGGUUCGGUAGCGGAUGAUGAGUUCGGUGGCGUGGAGGUCUGGUCAACCAACUCUGAGGAUGAUGAAGUCAGGAAGCCAUCUCAUGGAAAGGCUUAUGUUGCGAAAGGCGAAGGAAGCGGUGGAAAGUGCUUGAUGGUGUCGGAUGUAUCACAAAUGAGGGGAUACAACACUGACGGUGGGAAUGAAGACACGAAGGAGCGAGAGGACUUGUGCUUCACAGCAAAACCUCUCAGCAUGCAGUUUAAUGAGCUUGAUGAGUUAAUCAAGAAGGUACAAUCCAUUUUUGUUUCAUUCAAAGUCCCACAAAAUUCAUAUGAAAAAGAAUUAAAAAAUGUAAAUUCAGGAAUCUCUCAUCUAGAUAGCAGUUUAACUCAAACACGGGUCACCAAUUCUAAUCUAACUGACGAAAUAAGCAGGGUGUCUUCAAAGAGUGAGGAACAGAGGAUGUGGAUAGAGCUGAAGGAGUCGGAGUUGAUCAAAUCCAAAGACGAAAACAUUUAUUUACAAAGAGACAAUUUAAAACUUUUGAAACAAAGAAAUGUGUUUUGUUUGAUUGCUAAGCGUCUUUAUUCUAACAUCACUCAACUUCAUCUUAAAUGUGAAAUAGGACAGAAAAUUCAUCGCAUGAUUUUGACCUUCCUUGAGUUUAAGGAAGAUGAAAUCGACGUUGAAGCAUACAAUUGCGAAAGUGUAGUUUCGUCUGAGUAUGUAAAUCCGACUUAUAUGUAUGGUCUAGACAAAAUCGAAUCUUUCAUAAAAUCCAAGGACCAUAAGGACAUGCUGAAAAAUCUUUUGGAUGAAAAUGAUAAACUGAAACUAAGGACCGAAACCAUACAAAAGUUUGACUCAUUGAAUGCCAACUUGAGCUCAGAAAAUAAAAUUGAUGUUGAAAAUGCAUCUGAGCUUAAUGAGGAUGAUGAUAUGAGUGAAAUUUUUGUAGAGGAUGAAGUUGACUGUUCUGAGUUUGUCAAGAGCGAACCCGAAAACCACAAAAAUCUUAUUUCAGAAAAUUCUGUGGAGUUUGCUCGUUUGUCCCAACAAAAGUCCCCGAUCCUUGAAGAAAAGGCUGUUGUAUACCAAAAGGUAAGGACGACUCCAAAUCAGGUGUAUAAGGUCACAGGUGUAACCGAACAUCAGACAGCCGAACUCACAGCCAUUGUACACGAAGAUAAUGCUGAUGGUUGUGAUGAGUUCUUCUGGUCCGCCCCUAUCGACAAUGCUGACGAAACCGUUGGUCUGUCAGAAAGGACGUCCUGGAAAACCAAAGGCAGAUAUGUGCCAGAGCCUUUGAACAAGCCUGAUAACUUCGACAUGCCAAGUACUGGUGGUACAAAAGAUGUUCCUGAAGAAAAAGGAGUUUCUGCAAAAGAAGUCACUCCAUCAAGCGAAACAUCAUCAGUUCAAAGUGAACCGACUGACAAAAAGCAAAAGCAAAAAGGCAAUAUCCAUCGACAGCCGAAGCAAGUGAAGAAUCAAAAACAACAACGGAAUCAUAGAUACAAGAAGAAUCUCUCUAAACGAAAACAAUUUUGGCAAUCUCAAAACGCCCAUUUCUCUUAUCAUGACAUAAAUUCGAAGUCAGAGAAAAGUGCUGUUAGACCGCAAGAAAGUAAUAACAACCAAAAGGAGAGGUUCGGUUCUGAGGAUCAUAACAACCAAAAGAACAAGUUUGGUUCUGAAAAAUAUGACAACCGAAGACAAAGGUUCGGUUCAGAGAACACCAGCUACCGAAAGCAUAGGUUCGGUUCCGAGAGAAAAAGCGACCAAAGUUCUAGGUUCGGUCCCACUAAUGAUCAAAAACAAAAGAGUCACUUAGAACAUCAAGUCAAGAAAACAUCUCAGUCUAAAUUCUCUCGUUCUAAUUCCUCUAAUUCUUCUAAUUCCUCUAAACCUCAAUCUAAAUCCAAUUUUGUUCAAACUCAAAAUCCAAAAUCUUCCAUAGAUUUGAAAGGAAAAUCGAAGAUUUCCUCAGUCAAGACAGAUCAAAAUCAUCCCAUAGUCCAAAUACCUAAACCUGAAUCCAAACCGACAAUAACAAAUCCCAAUAAAAUUAAGGUUUUCACCAUUAAAAAGAAAGAUGAAACAACAUUAAUAAAAAGAACAUAUCUUGUUGACAUCUCUCUUACUAUUCCUGUACCUGUGAAAGGCUCACGUGGACCCAAGAAACUUUGGGUUCCUAAAUCUGCUUAAUUUUUGCAGGUUAUCAGUGACGAGCAGUUUGACGAAGAAUGGUAUAUUGACAGUGGCUGCACACGUCACAUGACAGGAAGGAAGGAAGAGCUGAGGGAAUUUCGGUCUCUUUCAAACGGUGGAAAUGUCAAGUUCGGGAACAACUCUUUCGGCAUGAUAAAAGGCUAUGGAAUGAUAACAAAUGGAGAUUUUUCGAUUAGAAAGGUUGCAUACGUUGAAGGAUUGCAACACAACCUCAUCAGUGUAUCUCAGCUCGUUGGAGGUAUCGGUCUCAAGGUCUCAUUCGACGAUGAGGGUUCAGAGAUAAUAGAGAAGAAAACGAAAAGAGUUAUUCUCAAAUCAGAGCACAAAGGCGAAAUGUUUCCCCUGAAUCUCAAACCCAUAAAAUGAAAUCUAGCUAUCUGCCUCUUAUCCAAAGCACAAUCUGACGAAAGUUGGCUGUGGCACCAAAGGCUCUCUCAUCUCAACUUCAAGGUUAUCAACAAACUUGUCACCGGAGGUCAUGUUCGAGGUCUUCCAUUGCUCAAAUACGAUCGAGAACAUUUAUGUGUUGCGUGUGAAAUGGGAAAGCAGAGUCAUCAAAGUCACCCAUCGAUUAUAAACACUAAAGUUGUUGAACCACUAGAGUUAAUUCACAUUGACUUGUGUGGUCCAUCAUCUAUCGAAAGAAUCGGCGGUAGCAAGUAUAUUCUUGUCAUUGUUGAUGACUUUUCACAUUUUACAUGGGUGUUCUUUCUGAAGCAUAAAUCUGAAGCAACUCUCAAGCUAAAGAUGUUUAUCAAGCAGGUUGAAGUGCAGCUGAGGAGAGUCGUUCGCAACAUUAGAAGCGAUAAUGGGCUAGAGUUCAAAAAUAAAGAAUUCGAAGAUUUCUUGGCCGAAAAAGGAACCAGUCACAACUUCUCAACUCCCUACACCCCACAACAAAACGGAAUUGUCGAAAGAUGAAACCGAUCUUUGUGUGAGGCGGCCCGAACCAUGCUAAGUUUUGCUUCUUUACCUUUAUAAUUUUGGGCUGAUGCUAUUGCUGCAGCAUGUUUUAUGCAGAACAGGUCCUAUCUCAAUAAGUUCUUUAUUCUCACUCCGUAUGAGAUCAUCAACAACAGGAAGCCAAACGUCAAAUUCUUCCAUGUAUUCAGCUCACGGUGCUUCAUCUUCAAUUCUAAAGAACAUCGUAACAAGUUCGACGUCAAAGCCGAUGAAGGAAUUUUCCUAGGAUAUUUUCUCACUUCGAAAGCCUAUCGGGUAUUAAACAAGCAUUCAAGGAAGAUAGAAGAAACUUAUUAUGUGACUUUUGAUGAUAGCUAUGUCAAAAAGCUAAAGGCCACUGAAGACAUAGUUGGAGAAAUUUUUUCUCAAACGGGCCAAGUCACAGCCUCAAUCGCAAAUCUAUUUGAGAAGUUUGUUGAGUUAUUCGAUAAACCAGAGAAGGCUACUCUCUCGGAAGCCAGUGCAGCAGACAACAAAGUAGAUCAUCUGAAGCAACUCAUCGAAGAUGCUGCCAAGCAAAUGAAUGAAGGAGGAUCAAGUCCAAACGACCCUCCACAACACGACACUUCAGUUGAAGGGGAGGAUCCACCUUCUUCAUCACAGCCGGGCUCACAUGUUGAGGGGGAGAACUGUUCUCCAUUUGCUCCCGAAAGCCCAGCUGUACCCGAAAGUCCUGUGGUACCAGAAAGCUCGACACCACCCGAAACUCCUAUAGCUCCGGAAACUCAAGAUACACCGGAAAGCUUAUCUGUUGAGGGGGAGAAUGCAGAUGUCUUAUGACGAUGAUAGUCAAUCUGAACUAGAAGAGCUGGUAAAUGCUGAAUUGGAUCCAUCUUAUGAUCCAAAUUACCCUCCUCUUGUCAAAUGGACCAGAGAUCAUCCUGUUUCACAGGUUGUCGGUAAUGUCUCUGAAAAAGUCCUGACCCGAUCACAACUAAAGGCAAAGCAAACUUCCUUAUUUUCAAAAGUAGAGUUCUGUAUGUUUAACUCCUUCGUCUCAAAAGUUGAACCAAAGACAGUUAACACUACUUUUGAUCACUCCGAUUGGGUUCAAGCUAUGCAAGACGAACUUAAUGAAUUCGAAAGAAAUAAAGUUUGGCGCCUCAUUCCAACUCCUCAAGAUGCCUUGGUUGUUGGUCUCAAAUGGAUCUUUAGAAAUAAGAUGGACAAGGAAGGCAAUGUGAUAAGAAACAAAGCUCGUCUAGUGGUGAAAGGAUACUGCCAGGAGGAAGGAAUCGACUAUGAAUAAACUUUUGCUCCUGUAGCUAGGCUGGAAUCCGUUAGAAUAUUUCUUGCCUAUGCUGCACACAAGAACUUUGAGAUUUACCAAAUGGAUGUCAAGUGCGCAUUUCUAAAUGGAGAACUUGAAGAAACGGUGUAUGUGGAGCAACCUCCUGGAUUCGUCAAUGAAAGGUACCCCAAUCACUGUUAUAUUUUGGACAAAGAGGUAUAUGGACUGAAACAAGCACCGAGGGCCUGGUAUGAAACGCUAACCAAGUUUUUAAAGUUGUCCAUAUUCAAACAAGGUUCGGUUGACUGGACCUUCUUUCGUAAGAAGGAAGGUAACCACCUUAUGAUUGUUCAAAUCUAUGUGGAUGACAUCAUCUUUGGCUCAACGAAUCCUAGCUUAACAGCUGAAUUCAGAAAGCUGAUGGAGACUAAAUUUGAAAUGAGCUCAAUGGGUCCGAUUAACUUUUUCCUUGGUUUAAAUAUUAGACAGGGACCCGAAGGCAUCUUUAUCAACCAGGAAGCAUACACCAAGACUCUUCUUGCUAAAUUUGGCAUGAUGGGAGACUCAAAGGUUAAAGUUCCAAUGGCGUUCGGCACCAAGCUCACACCAUCCUUGGAUAAGCCAGCAGUUGAUAUUACGCUAUAUCGCCAGAUGAUCGGUUCUCUAAUGUACCUUACUGCUAGCAGGCCUGAUAUAAUGUUUUCUGUUUGUUACUGUGCUAGAUUUCAGGCGAAUCCUCGUGAACCUCAUAUGCUUGCAGUGAAGAACAUACUCCGGUAUCUCAAGCGAACUACCUCUCUAGGCUUAUGGUAUCCAUCCAACUCAGGAUUCUUUGUUCAAGCCUACUCCGACGCAGACCUUGGAGGUUGUGGACUAGACAGGAAAAGCACCACGGGAGGCUGCCAAUUCCUUGACGGGAAGUUGGUUAGCUGGCAAUCAAAGAAACAGACUUGUGUAUCUUUGUCUACCGCUGAAGCAGAAUACAUCGCAGCUGCCUCCUGUACAUCUCAAGUGAUUUGGAUCCAAAGCCAGCUCCGGGACUAUGGACUCAAUAUGAAAAAGAUCCCACUAUAUUGCGACUCUGAAAGUGCAAUUAGGAUCUGUCAUAACCCAGUGCAACACUCCAAGACUAAGCACAUAGCACUGAGGUAUCACUUCAUUAAGGAUCAUGUGGAAGAUGGGAACGUCGAAAUUCAUUUUGUUCGAACCACUGAUCAACUGGCUGACAUCUUCACCAAAGCUCUUCCUGAAGCAUCGUUCAACAAAAUUCUACAAGGGCUAGGUAUGAUGGAAUCAGAGUCAGUACCAAAAAUUACCUCUCAAGAUCCAAAGUAAGAAGCGAAAUAGACCGAACGUUCGGGUUCGGGUCUUGUGCUAGUGUACCGAAAUGAACCGAACGCUCGGGUUCGGUUGCAUAAUCUGCUUUUCGCUCAUCACUCAAAGGUAGUUUCCUUGGUUGUAGAUCUUAUGUAUAAUUUUUCCAAAUGCAUUUAUCUUAUUGUCAAAGUUAUUCUCUUUUUCAAACCUAUUUUCUUUGGCAACCAAAAUAAACCGAACGUUCGGGUUCGGUUCCAAAAUUUUUCUCACCCGAAAUAAACCGAACGCUCGGGUUCGGUUCCAAAUUUUUUAACAACCGAAAUAAACCGAACGCUCGGGUUCGGUUCCAACAUUUUUUUGUAUUCAUUUUUUUUAUGUCUUAAUUUUUUUUAUUAUCAAAAAUUACAAAAAUAUUUUUUUUUCAUAAAUUCAAAAACUCCAAAAAUAUUUUGUUAUUUAUUUUCUUUUUGGCUCUAAUUUUUUUGUGUUCGUUUAUGGGGAAAUCGUUUAAUUAGCUCAGUGUCCCUAGAAGCAUGCUGCUGUAUGUGUCCAAAGCCUCACCUGAUUCUGAAUAAUAGCCUUACUGACUUGGUAUAAACAAACCUUGUCUUCCCAAUUAGGCUCUCAUAUUUAUUCUAAUCAUGAGCUACCUAACUCUCUUCUCACAUGAGAUAAGAGUUUUCUGCUUGGUCCUUCUAUUCACAGCAGAGGUAGUUUGGUUUCUUUAAAACAUCUAUAUUACAUUUCUCCAUCUUAUUCGUUUCACCAACGUAACCCUUGAGACUCUCAGACAUUACCACUGUGGUUUAUGGUUACACAAUUUCUGUGUUUAUGAUCUUAGUUUCGUGCCACUACGAGCUAAGUGAAACCCAAAAUUCAUUACCCAAUACGAAUUGACGGUGAACAAUUAAUUUGUUCUAAGUUUCACUAAUGAAUUGAUAGACGUACCUCCAUGAAAUCUCAAAAUUUUCUUUUGUGUGAUUCCUAUGAAAUUGUUAAAUCCAAUAACAUUUCUUCCCUUGGGAUACAGUUUAAAUUUUUGUUGAGAUUUUAUAUAUUUCCUAGCCAAAUUAAAUUAUCUCAUACCUACUUGUUCAACAGACUACAUCGGUCUCACAAGUACUUCGUUCGAUUUCUGUCUUAUUUCAAGAUUAGGAAUUCUGAAUCGAAGCGCAAGCCACCCUCAUAAGCCUAAUUAAAAGAAGCCUUUCAACACUUCUUAACAAGUGUCUGAUCGUUAUUCAACGGGAAACCACACAAACACUUUAAGGUCUCUCUUGACUUUGAAGGAAGAGAUUCGUGCCCGGGAUCCAUUGUUUCGUGUCUUUAUUGACAUCACAUAAUCCCUCAAAUAGUGUUGUUUUAUUUCUUCUUAUUUUUUUUACACACUCAGCACGAAAAUCUUUUUGAUUUUCCAAAAUUCUGGUUUCAUUAAUUUCAAGGAGUUUUCAUUGGCUUGGUUGUUUUAAAAUAUUGUGGUGAAUUUAAUCCACGUGGGGGAAUUUUUAAAAAGAUGUCGUUACAAUUUAAAGGGAUAAGAUUAACAACAGAUGACUCAGGCGGGAGUCCAAUCGAUUUGAUUUCAAACGGCGCAAGAGGGAAAGCGUGCGAAUCAGAACCGUUUCAUCUCCAAACGGCACCUGAUGGGAAGGCAUGUAAUUAGGGACUGACACUCUCUCUCAUGCGUGAUCAUCGCCAGCGCCAACUGUCACGCGUCAGUCUAUUCCGAAAAACCCUUCGUUUUCCGAUCGAAGAUUUGGAAAGAUUUUUCUCUCUCCUUUACCCUUACUAUAAAAGGCAGUGUAAACCACCAUUUACCUCUUUACCGUGCCUAUAUUUCCAGAGAGCCAGAAAUUCUUCACCCUUCACUGUUCAUCAUUUCCUCCACUUUCUUCAAAGAAAUGGCAGAUUCUUCUUCAGGUCACGCAACAUCCCAUAUCUUGCCCAUUCGCCCACAGCAAAGCUUGAUCAUUGAUUUAACCCCUCACUCGUAUGACGCAUUCAUGUUCCCCAUCAUCGAGUGCCUGAAGUUUUCCCCAAUCGCUCCUGCUCUUUCAAGGGCUGAGACUGUUCCAAUGGAGUUCCUGUCACAAAUCUUUGCCACCGCUCACUACGACAAGGUCGUCGACAAAAUCUUCUUCGAUGCCUUUUAGCACAAGGCGUCGAUUUCAAAGCAGCGGUUUUGUUCGUUGUUAGGGUUUGAUGCUGAUUCUUCGAGGGUUAACCUUGAAACGAUUCCGAUGGGUCACUUGUUCAACAUGUUCUACAACAUGGGAUACAUGGAGGUGCUUACUACGGUGGCGAAAUUCAAGAAGUCGUGCCUACCUCCACAGUGGAAUGGGAUGUUCAUUGUUUUGUUCAAGGGUUUAUCUGAACGAAGUGCUGGGUCCGAUGGAGCCAGUCGUUUAUUUCUCUCCAUCAUGUAUGGGAUCUACAAUGGCAUCAACAUGGACUACGGGUCAGUUUUAUGGCAACAACUCAUUCAGAGUCUCUCCUCCACUUCCAGACACUCAGAGAUCUCGUAUGCUUGGUUCUGGACCAUUAACACGAAAUGGGUGAUGGACAAGUACCACGUCUCCAUUGUCGCUGGUGCUCCAAUGUCUUCGAUUGGUACCUUCCAUACCACGAAGAUCAUUGUGUCAGACGCUUCCAAGUUUCCCUUCAACGGGUCUAUCCCGGAAACAAUGUAUGGGGAUGUUCCUACUGAUAGCCGGAUUAUCAAGACGUACAAGGGGUUCAAACGCUCUGGUCCGAGAGAGCUUACUCCGGAGAUGCUGAAAUCAAUUCAUGACACCGACAAGCCUGCUCCAAGAGGCAAGAAGGCUGAUAAGGGAAAACAGGUGGUCAAGGGGGCAAAAGGCCCGUCUCCAAAGAAGAGGAAACCCACCAGGGCUGCUUAGUCUCCAUAGCAGAAGAGGAGAAAAACCCAACCAAGGCGAAAGCUAGUUAUCGCUUCCUCCUCAAGCGAGUCUGAUGGUGAGAGUUCUGAUUCUAAAGGCUCUCAACGUGGUAACACUCCAACAUGAUCUCCAACCCCUGAAGUACAUGUCUCUACUUCUCCUAUUUCCUCUCCGCCUAAAACCAUUCCUACUUCCAUUCCCCCAUAACCUCCACUACACAAAUUCCAACCACUUCCAUCCCAGUACCACCCAUAUAUACUGAAGCAACCAUAACCACCACUGCUGAAGUGCGAACCAACGUAUCUGAUAUGGGGGUUCAUACUAACGCACCCGAAACCACCCCAGCACCCGAACCCACACCUACACCCGAACAAACAACCCAACCCGAACCUACCCAUACUACCGAACCACCAGCUUCACCACCACCAUCUUCUCCUGGUCAUGCAUCAGAGGANUCACCACCACCAUCUUCUCCUGGUCAUGCAUCAGAAGGUGAAGAACCACUUCUUGGCGGGGAGGAUAUGACCUUCGAAUCGGUCUAUUUAAGUCCGUUUCAGGUUCAGAGUGACGAUGAUGAUGAAGCUCCUGUCUCAAAGAGGCAUCUCAAGGAGCUACAUGACAAAAUUGAUUCGCUCAUCGCCUCCUCUUCUACGUCUCAGUCCUCCUUAUCUGAAGCUGCAGUUCAGAAAAUUGUUGACGUUGUCUCCAAAGCUCAGCAAGCUUCUCUUGAUUCAACCACCACUGCUAUCGAUGCCUCCACAAAAUCCUGUCAGGCUGCGACCGAAAAAGUCGAUAAACUAUUUACUGAUGCCUCUUCCCUGUUGAAAUCUUUAUAGGAAAGUGUUGAAGCCACCAAGACUACCGCUCUGAAGGUCAAGAGCAUUCAACUCUCCCACUCUCAACAGGAGAGUGAAUCUCUUCGAUCUGAAAGAGAGGCUAUAAAAUCAUGUGUUUUGGAUGUCCACUCUGCUAUCUCAAACAUCCUUGAAGCACAUGAUCCCAUUCUCAACUACUCUGUGAGGCGUACCCUUGCAGAAAAGCUCGCUCCCGCCCUUGCUAUACUCAGUAAAAUCGAAGGGCUCCUUGAUUUCGUGUCCAUUCCGAAACAAGGGGGAGAGAAGGAAACAAUGUCUCAACCACAUCCUACCUCAACAGCAACUCACACAACCAAACCUACUCCAGUAGGCCAAGCCUCCGGUUCUGGUGUGAAAGACAAAGGCAAAAGAUUGCUGAGGAGAGUGAAGAUGAAAAUAAAGAGACAAUCUCCGACCUCUUGAAGCGUCAAGGUUGAGACAAAGAGGCUGAUAUCAGUGCUCGUGUGGCAAGAGAGGCUGAAGAAGCCGAAUGUAAACAGAAAGAAGCCCACGACCUUCUUGAGAGUAGGAAACUCUUUUUCCUUCUUGGACUCUCGAGAGGAUGAUUAAAGAAGCCAUCGACACACCAAAUAUCUUGUGGCUGGAACCUGUGAUCUCUCUACAUUGUUCCAACACUGUUGACUCACAGUUCGACAUGCCACUGACCCGAAAGGCGUUUAUCUUUCAUGCCUUCUCCAACAUUGCAGAGUUCCCUCAUCCUCAUACACAGGUUGAUCAGUACUUAAUUGAUUUCUAUCUGAAGGCUGCUCAACCCCAAUAUCAGACUUGGAGUGCUCAGAAAAUUGUCAACGUUCGGGUCUUGAAGCCGUACAGUGAAGGUAACUUCAUCAACGUUCGGUUCAAGGUACUUCGGGGAUCUGCCAAAGCCGAACAUUCUAUUUACCUUGCAGAUCUUCCCAACCUUAAUCCCCAUGAUUGGAUUAUCUUGCACAACAUCCUUCUCACCAACGAAGCUGAAUACGGUCCGAUCAUCUACCACUUCAAUAGGAUGCUCGUGUGCUACAUCAUGGAAGUUGCAUUGAUGGAUCAGGAGAUUGCGAGCGUAUUUAAGAAGAAACCUACAAUAUCUCCUGUUGGCUCUGCCAGUGAUCUCAACCUGAUGCAGAUGGGUAAGAUUGACCCAAAGAGGAACUCGGUCAUGUUUACCAGGAACGAAGGACAAAAAUGUCUUUUCGCCUUGGCUGACAAACAUCUAUACACCACUGCCUGUUUAGAGCACGUUUUGGGGAUCAUCCAUCGUUGCAAGCAGAACACAGCGGAUGAUGUCAAGUACGUUCAUGACAUGAUUCAAUGGUACAUUCGGUUCAGACAGACUAUCCUGGCGCUAAUCUCACGUCUGUUUGAUACUACGAAGAAAGUUCCCGCUGCAGGCCCAAGCAAGAAGAAGAAGUAGUCUCGCUCCAAUUUGACGCAAAGGGGGAGAUUGUUGGGUCGUGUUUUGUACUAAGUGUUGCGUCUAUUGGGCUCGUUAGCUAGUCCAUUAUGUAUCUCCGGUAUGGGCCUGUCCAUCCGUGAGUUUUGUAGGGUUUAGUAUAUAUAUAGGUGCUUGCAUGCAUCUUAGAAACUAACGAUAGAAUAGAACGAUCAGAGUAUUAUUCAACAAGUUUGUUAUUAUCGUUCUUGUAACCCUAAAAUCCUCUAGAGCGGAAGUUUUUAGUCGAGCUCUGCUGAGGAUUGUUUGAUCUAAUCAUUCGACACAUCUUGAUGCAUACUUGUGUUAUUUAUUUCUUUUACAUUCAUCGCAUUACUUGUUAAGAAGAUCUAAUCGAUCAUUAAGUUUGUUUAUAACUUAACAGGUGUUCUCUCGGUUCGUUGUGGAGAUUGGCGAGGAGUACUUUGUGGAAGGCCUGCGGUUAGUUUCAUCAAGUUAGUCCACCCGUAUCGAUGGGAUAUAAUGGUUUUAUCAUUUGUUUCAGUAUGAUCAACGAUGGCAUAUGGGAGAACUUCUAGGUUCUAGCACUACCGACACUAGGAAAGGAGUGGUAGCAGAUGGAUACGGGUGUAGUUGCAUAAGUUGUUUGACGAUCGGUUGUUCUAAGGGAAUUGUAUAUUUUGCAUGGGUCGUGGGUGAUUAGAAUUCAAUGGUUCAAUGAGGAUUCGUCAGCGUAAAAAUUAAAUCAAUUCGGAUUUACUUCUGCUCCCAUUAACAUUAUUUUGGUUCUAAUUAAAUAUUCUAAGCUCAGUACAAUCAAGGUUUGGGUCCAAGAACGGAUUUUUGUACGUCAUAACAUAGCAUCCAGGCUAAACACCCCUUCGAGAGGAGUGUACGGCCGCAAACUCGAGUUUACGGCCGUACACCCCCACCCCACCCCCAUGGCCGAAAACUUCCUCCUAUAUAUGGAGUGCUUGUUCUUCAUUUACCACUUUACUCACUUCAAAGGCUUUCUCUCUCUACUCUCUCUCUACAUCCAUCGAAUUUUCUUCAAGAUCUUCAAGAUUUUAAGUGUUUCUCCACCUUGAAUUGAGUUUAAUUCCUCUAUCUGGUGGUAAAUCCAUGUUCCUAUCUCAUUAAUCUCAUCUUUGUCUAGAUCUUCAUCUCUCACCAAGAACACUAAGAACACACACUAGUUGUUGGUGGCUAAAAACCCCAUUUGAAGCUUCCUAAUAAUAAGUAACUACUUCCUAUGCUCGUUAUCUACUAAAAAUGCUUGUUCUUCACCUUAAAAUCGACCCAAAAGACAUGAUCAUGGAGGGUUUACAACCGUAAACCCAUGUGUACGGCCUUACACCGUUCAUUGGCCUUAAACGCUUCCUUAAGCCAUGCAUAGGAAUUAGAACACUUCCGGGAGGCUAGAAAGGACCUUGAAACUCACCAAAUCGCACCUUUCAUUGAGAGUGUAUGGCCGUAAACCCAUGGGCCGUAAACCCAUGGACCGUACACUCUUGGGUCAUAAACUUAUGGGCCGAAAACCCCAUUGGGCCGCAAACCCAUGACCGUACACCCCUUGUGACCGAAAACUCACCUACUUCAAUCACAAGUGAUUCUAACACUUAGUUUCAAGUGUUUCCUAGUCCCUAAGGUGAUUUCCUUCCAUAACUAAUAGUAUUAUACCCUCAUCUAAUACAUAUGUGCUGCUAUAUGUUAAAUAGGAUCCGUUUGUGUCCAAGACUUCAUUUGACACUCAGCAUUCCUAUUGACUCACUUUGAAUCCCAUGACGAACAGUGAGUUCAUACCCCCUACACUUUUAUGAUUUUUAAACAUUUUCAGGGGGAAUACAAGCCAAACAUAAAGGUUUUCAACAAGUUAAAACUUAUGCUAUUCAUACAAAUCAAUGGGUUUCAUAAAGCAUUUAGAUACUUAAUCCCUUUUGUAUUAUGUGGACGUUUUUCCAAAUUAAAUUGCAUAGUUUUUCCGAACAUUUCGUGAACAUAACAUUACAGUCAAACUAUAAUGGGUAUAGUUUGGGGAUUUGAUUACCAGUUUUACAGAUGCAAACUACUUUCACGGUUGAAUACAAACUAUGACAGAUUUAGUUUAUAGCAUACAUUAUUACGAGAAUACAACAGUAAAUAAUUACUUAAGUACAAUUAUUUUUACUCUACGAAACAUACAUUGAAUUCACAUAUGAAAGAACAUUACAUUUUAUAUGUAUUAUUGCUUGUAAAGUCGUUAACCUAAUUGGGAGACAAGUCCUUGGGCGCUUACAACAUUAACUAAGUGGAGGACUACUCUUAUGAACCAGAGUCUCCUCGUGGGAGAACGUGGCUUUUGUGUGUAGAUCUAUACAGGAUUGACUACCCCGCACCUUGCGGCUAGCUACAGUCGGACUGGCAGGUCUACGGGUGACAAAGUCAUAAAGGAUAUUUGUGUCAAAUUCACAUCGUAUCAAGUUUAGUAUGGUCAUAAAACUCGCCAGUAGUAAUGAUAUAUUUACAUAAUAAUAUACUUCUCACGAACAAUUGCUUUAAUAACAUAAUUAUGAUACUUAUGCCUUACAGUUUCAGAACCAUUAAAGCAACAACAAAACACCCAUACAAGGGAAAAUAAGGGAUUUUCCCAUAUCAAACCUCAGACAUUACAUACUAGUGGUAGCCACGGUUUUCAAAACGAAUCAUAUUUCACAUACAUUAUCAAAUAAAUAUGUUAGAAAAUGUUGGACUUUUCUUGGAAAACAUACAUACAUUUUACAGAUCUCUUCACAAGUUUUCAUUCCAAAACAUGCUUAUGAACUCACUAGCUUUAUGAUGAUAUAUUUUCAAAAUCAGUUGUAUUCUUAGGUGAUCAAUAGACAAGUACCUCCUGGAGUUUUGAGAAGACGGGAUAUUUAGAGCCACGUCUUUUACUUUUGUUAUAUUUUUGAUGUAUAAAAACUAUGUUUUCAAACAGAUGUAAAUAUUCAUAUGUUAAUUCAAUGGUUGUGUUUACUUUGAUUACUAUGAUGCAAUUGUUAUGAUACUACACAUGACGUCCUACACUCCCGAAUGUUUCUGCCGUUCUGGUUUGGGGGUGUGAUAAAUUGGUAUCAGAGCUAUUGUUUAUAGUGAACUAGGUAUACCGAAACUUACAUGGUGUACAACUAUAAAUACUAAGGGGCCGAAGGACUCUGAACUAAAAGUAUACUUUAAAAGGUAAGUAUUUUUCAAGAAGUAUACAAGUAUACAUAUGUACCAGAAACAAUAUCAUGAGUAUAGCAAAACAAAAGUAAUUGGAUGUUGGACACUGCGGUUAAGCCUAGGCAGUUAUGUAAUCAUGUCAUGGGUUAAUAUAGCCUGAUCAACUAUAUCUAUUCGAGAUGUGACCAACAUGUGCUUGGGAGUGACUAUGAUGUUGCAGCAGACCUAAAACUUACCAAGUAUUCAUACAAUAAGAUAUCCGUAUAACAAAGCAUACAACUUAAAAUACUAUAGGAGUAUUUUUACUAGAGUCAAACAUACUGCAGAGAUUCAUUUCCAAGUGUUGCUACUCAUUUCUUUUAGCAACAGUUUACUUGCAUUAGUAACUCUUCCUUGUUUAUCGCUUAGUAGAACACUCUAUGUAUCAGACUGAGAUAUAUCUUGCUUCUUAUCUCUUGAUUCAAAUCUAGGGGACUUACCAUCCUCUUCUUCCUGAUUACUUUAGAACAAGAUGCCUCCGAAGAAAAGACCCAGCAAAAAGAACAACAAUCCCCCAACGGAUCCGACGUCACCACCUCCUCAGUUCGAUCCUACCAUGUUCCAGGCAGCAGUUACGGCUGCGGUGGCUGCCUCAAUGUCACAGAUAAAUCCUGGCAGCUCUAACGGGUCGGGAAGUGGUGCCCAACCCCUCAAUCUUGAUGGAAGUCAAGGACACCAGAAGGAGUGUUCCUAUAGAGAAUUUAUGAACACAAAGCUUAAAUCCUUCGACGACAAUGGAGGUGUUAUUUCCCUAACUCGCUGGAUUGAAAAGAUAGAAUCGGUCUUCGAGAUCUGUGCAUGUCCCGAAGCCAACAAAGUGAAGUUCUCCACUUGCACUUUCACAGACAGAGCACUGACCUGGUGGAAUGGUCGAGUCAAAUCCCUAACACUAACAGUGGCGAAUGCCAUGGAUUGGGAAAGUUUGAAGGAACUCAUGCUUGCUGAAUACUGCCCAAGGGGCGGGAUGCAGAAACCGGAGCACAAGCUUUGGAACCUGAAGAUGAAAGGUUCGGACGUUUCCUCCUAUACAACUAGAUUUUGCGAUCUGGUUCUCCUCUGUCCGGGAAUGGUCACCCCGGAAAUCAAGAAAAUAGGGAGGUACAUAUGAGGAUUGACACCCCCAACCCAAGGAAACGUCUUGGCUGCUAGACCUACCACUUUUGACAAUGCCAAGUGCCUGGCGCAAACCUUAAUAGAUCACGGGGUUGAUCUUGAUAAAGUGACAGCCGCUCCCGAACCAACAAAGGCAAGUGCUGGGAAGAGAAAAUUCUGGUAGCAGUGAAAGGGCCAGCCUUUCCAGGAGCCCUCCAAGAAACAACAAAUGGUAGCACUCAACGAUGCUACUACUCCUGCCGUUGUUCCUACAACUCAAGCCUACUUGUAGGUAUGAUGGUACUCUUCCUCGGUGCGACAAGUGUAACUAUCAUCAUAACCCCGACUCAUGUCGUGAAAUGCUGUGCUAUAGUUAUGGCAAGAAAGGGCACACAACACGAGGUUUCAUGACACCAGUUCAACCAAUCAAUCAGUCUUCCGGAGCAGGUGUUGGUCAAGCCUGUUAUGGCUUUGGAGAAGUCGGGCACUACAAGAGAAAUUACCCCAAGGCAACAACUGCUGGCAACACUGGGAGAGUGCUAGCAAUGGGCCAGGAGGAGGCAGUUGCAGAUCCCACCGGUGUUUCGGGUACGUUCCUCCUUGACGACUCUUAUGCAUGUAUUCUUUUCGAUUCGGGUGCGGAGAGAAGUUUUUUUAGUCACUCAUUCAAGCAUCUUUUCAAACAUAAACCUCAACCUUUGACCGAAACAUUUACCAUUGAGAUGGCUAAAGGAAAGAAAGAGAGCACUAACGACAUAUUCAUAGGAUGUACCCUUACUCUAAAUGAUCAUUCCAAUCGACCUUAUGCCGAUUUCAAUAAAAAGCUUCGAUGUCAUCAUCGGCAUGGAUUGGUUGAGACCCAAUCGUGCUGAUAUCUUUUUCUAUGAAAAAUCUAUUCGUCUCAAUAUUCCCUCUAGGGAAGCCCUCAUGAUCUACGGUGAUAAACUCAGCUCGAGCCUUCGCAUCAUUUUGUUUAUCAAAGCCCAAAUAUUUCUACGAAAGGAGUGCCAUGCAUUCCUAGCCCAUGUGUUUAAUAAGAAAUGGGAAGUUAAAGACCUCAAGAGCAUCCUCGAAGUCUGCAACUUUCUUGAUGUCUUUCCCGAAGAGCUCCCGGGAAUCCCUCCCGAGCGCCAAAUCGAAUUUAGCAUCGAUCUAAUCCCCAGAGCUACCCCCGUAGCUAAAUCCCCAUAUCGUCUAGCGCCAACAUAAAUUCAAGAGUUAUCCAGCCAGCUCAAUGAGCUCCUCAGCAAAGGAUUCAUCAGACCGAGUUCCUCGCCCUGGGGAGCCACAAUCUUAUUUGUGAAAAAGAAGGAUGGAUCUUUUCGAAUGUGCAUUGACUAUCGCGAACUGAACAAGCUCACUGUCAAAAAUCGUUAUCCUCUUCGCCGAAUCGACAAACUCUUCGACCAACUUCAAUGAGCUAGCUACUUCUCAAAAAUAGACCUAAGAUCAGGGUACCAUCAACUACGAGUCCAUGAGAAUGAUGUUCCUAGGACAACAUUUCGGGCUCGAUAUGGUCACUACGAGUUUGUAGUGAUGCCCGUUGGUCUAACCAACGCACCGGUGGUAUUCAUGGAUCUGAUUAAUUGGGUGUGCCGCCUUUUUCUAGACAAGUUCAUGAUAGUAUUCAUUAAUGAUAUACUUGUCUAUUCAAGAAGCGAGGAAGAUCAUAUACAACACUUGAGGUUAGUGCUGGAAACUCUAAGGGCGGAGAAGUUAUAUGCGAAAUUCUCCAAGUGCGAAUUGUGGAUUCGAAAAGUGACUUUCCUUGGUCACGUUGUAAGCGAGGAAGGCAUACACGUGGAACUUUCCAAUAUCAAAGCAAUAGAAAAUUGGCCAGCACCGAAGACGCCUAUUGAAAUUCAUCAAUUGUUGGGCCUCGCUGGCUAUUAUCGCAGGUUUAUCCAGAAUUCCUCCAGGAUUGCCAAACCCUUAACCACUCUGACUCAGAAAGGUGUGCCUUUUUGUUGGAGUGGAAAGCAAGAUACUGCUUUCCGAACGUUAAAGCAAGCCUUAUGCAGUGCACUUAUUCUGUCUCUGCCCGAAGGGACGGAAGACUUUGUAGUCUACUAUGAUGCAUCUAAGCAGGGCCUAGGCUGUAUGCUCAUGCAACGAGGAAAGUUUUUCGCCUAUGCCUCAAGACAGCUGAAAGCACAUGAAGUUAACUAUACAACUAAUGAUUUGGUGUUAGGAGGAGUGGUCUUCACAUUAAAGAUAUGGAGACAUUAUCUCUAUGGAACCAAGUGCACUGUCUUCACUGACCAUAAAAUUCUGCUGCACAGUUUUGACCAGAAGGAGUUGAACAUGAGGCAACAACGAUGGGUAGAGUUACUCAGCGAUUAUGAGUGUGAAAUACGCUACCAUCCUGACAAGGCCAAUAUGGUGGCGGAUUCCCUCAUCCGGAAGGAGUAUUCAGGUAGUAGAGUGAAGGCACUGACAACGACCAUCCAUUCCCAUUCAUCCGUGCAAAUCAAAGAGGCUCAGUUGGAGGCCUUAAAGCCAUAAAACAUGCCGGAAGAAGCCUUGAGGGGAACGGAAAAGAACUUAGAGAUCAAGGGAGACGAAGUCUAUUAUUUCAUUGACCGGAUCUGAACCCCAAAAUUCGGUGGAUACAGGGAGGUUGUCAUGAACAAGGCUCACAAGACUGGAUACUCCUUUCACCUUAGUUCGGAUAAGAUAUACCUUGAUUUCAAGAAGUUGUAUUGGUGGCCAAACAUGAAAGCGGAGAUUGCUACCUUCGUGGUCAAGUGCUUGACUUGCACCAAGGUGAAGGUUGAAUAUCAGAAGCCCUCAGGUCUGCUCUAGCAGCAGGAGAUACCUGAGUUGAAGUGGGAGAGGAUUACUAUGGAUUUUAUUAGAAAAUUACCCAAAUCUCCUAGUGGGUACGACACCAUUGUUGGAUUAAUGUCUAAGUCCAUAACUAUAUUUGGUAAGACUUGACCCGACCCGGCAUGGUCCAUUUGGGUUGCAUACCAUCAUGCACUUGAAUGAGAGAAAUAAGACACUUAUGGUUAUUAAUAUAUUAUAAGUUCUAGUAUAUUAAUAAUAAGAAUAAUAAGAUUAUUUAAUUAGUAUUGAUCAAGAAUUAAUCUAGGAUUAAUUAAGUGAUCAAAAGAAGACUAAUUAAAUAUAUGGGUUGAUUGUGUAAAUCAUCCAUACUUGUAUAGUGGGCUAAUGCUCCAUGGAUAAUCAAGUUGGGCUAAAACCCAUAGGAUGGUCCAUGGAUGCUCCAUGGUGUAUUUGUACCCAUGGAUCCAAGGAAAUGGAAAGCCAUGACAAUUAAGAGUUUACCCUAAUUGUGUAACUAUAUAAGCAUCUUAUUAUUGAGGAAAAAUCGGCCACUAGUAGUAUUCAAGAAAGGGCUAGCCGAUUUUGGUGAGUGUAGAAUUCUCUCAAGUCAUUCUAAGUGUUUUGAUGAUUGUGAUUCCAUUUGAGGUGUCACACUUGGGGCACUAAGCACUCAAGCUUCAUGAAGACUUUCUACAUCAAGAGGUAUGUAUUCUAUCUUGUUACAUUAUUGUUUUGUAUGCUAGAUUAGGAUAAUACCUUGGAAGUUCUUAUUUGCAUGUAUAAUAGAGAAAACAUAGAUCCAAGGUAUUUAGGGUUGCAUGUACACUUAGGAAGUGUUAGAAUGCUCAAAACCCAACAGUGGUAUCAGAGCCACGGGUUGUUUUCUGUUAUAUUGAUGCAAAUAUUUUAUUUUCAAAGUUGAAAAAAAAAAAAAAAAAAAACAUGAAGUUCGUCAAAUUUUAAGAUAAUUACUUGUUCUUGUGAAAAACUAAUUAUUUGUAAAAUUUGAAUAAUUUGCUUUAUGAGUUGAAUUAGGUCAAAUUUAAUAAAAGAUAAAAUAAUAUGAUUAUUUUAUUAGUUUUAAAAGUUUGAUCUAAAGAGUUUUAUUUUUUGAAACCUCCAUAAGUUAUGGAUAUGAAAAGGUUUUAAAAAAAAAAUUGAUUCAAAGUUUUUUUGGAGUUACAAAAUUUGGUGUUAAUGUUUUAAAGGAUUCCAUAACUUAAGAAUAAGUUAUGGAUCACCAAAAGUUUUUUGUGUUACCUUGUUUUAUGAGUGAAUUUAGAUUAAUGAAUAAAAUUAUGUGAUAGUUGGUUUUAAUCCAAAUUAAUCUAAGAAUUGAUUCUAAAAUGUGUUUUUGUAACUUGUCCUCAAGUUAUAUGAAAAGUCACAUUUAAGAAUCAUAAAACUCAUAAAAAUUGGCAAAGGUUACAAAAAUGAAGAGUCUAGUUCUAAUUAAAUGGUUUUAUGACUCCAUAACUUGUCCUCAAGUUAUGGAGGACCAAGAGUCUCUUCAUUUAAUAAAAUAAAAUAAAAUAAAAAAAAGGGUAACCUUAAUUAAUUCCAUAAGUUAUAAAAUAAAGAAAAGUUAAUUCUUUUAUUAGUUUAAAGUCUUCCAUAACUUGUCCUCAAGUUAUGGAACUUGAAGAGUUUUUGGAUUAAAACUACUUUAAACACAUAAGUUAUGGAAUUAAUUAGUUUUGAAUAGUUUCAAAACUUGCCCUCAAGUUUUGGAAUUUGUAAAGUUUUCACUUAUGAAUACUUUAAUUCCAAGUUAGCCCUUAGAAUUUUAAAAGUUAAAAUUCAACCCUUAUACUUUAUAAUAUUAUAAGUUAAUAAUAUAUAUAUGUAUAAGAGUAAAGUCAGUCUUACCGCUAGUACGCCUCAUUCACGAAGCCGGUCUAUAAGGUGGGUAUAAGGUUGUUGCCUAUAAAAUGGCAACUUAAUGGGUGUCCACUCUCACCCACCGCUUGCUUGACUGGUGGAGGGUCGUUAGCCGAACGGGUUUGACAGGACUAGAAUUCUCCCUUCAUUAAAAGUAUUAAUGAUAAUACUAAGUAACUAAACUCUUAAUAAUACCCAAUCUUAGUUACUUAGGAAAAAUGUGAAUAAGGUGCUAAUCCAUGAAAUUACACUUUACACUUUGUCUAAGUCGUUAGUGGAGCGUGUGUGGUUAACCGGCACACUAACUUGGACUUAACAAGGUAGGUAAAGGGUGACUUAAUAUUUAUCAUAGUAUCGAUGGAGCGUGUGUGGUUAACCGGCACAUCGAUUGAGGGGUAAUUUAUUAAGGGUACCAAGUGAUUUGCAUGGUUACUUCACACCUUGUUUUGUGAUCCUCGGCAUCCCAGUCACAAAACCUGAAGGGCACACUCGAGAUUGAAACAUGCCUUUGAAAAGUUCAAUGAAUCUCAAAGAUCUAGGAGUUUCAAAACCAAUUAAAACCUAAUAAUACAUUUCGUUUAUCUUGGUGGAAAUUGGUGAAUCGUCAUUCACCUACCUUCAAAUAUUUUAUAGCUUGGAUUACGGCAUACCUCUUCUAAGUUAUAAAAUAGUUUGUUGGGUCCUAGCCUUAAUAUUUCAUAUUGGGUGUCAUAUUAAGGACUUUAAAUCAACUAUCUUGAAUAUCUCCCAAAAGAUGUCUGGUUUAGACACCUAUGAUCUUCCCAAAUCUCUUGAAACAAGGUUUCCUAAUGAAGAUGAUGUCCCAUGGAUAUCAUACUUCUUCACCUCUUCAAAUUAUUCUCCCUAACCCACAAGUUCUUGAAAAGUUUAAGGUCACUCAGGCCCUAUUGGCAAGGCAAGGUCUAGGUGUGGUCACAUCUUGGAGAUGUAGUCACAUAUUGACAAGCCGGGAGAGUUGGGUGUCAAAGUCUUGAGAAAGUUGGUGGUUCAACCACUUUCUAAGUCACAUAGUGAGUUCCUUUGGGACACCUAUGAAACAGACUAUGACAAGACCCUUAAUGAUCUUAUCUAUUUGCUAAGAUCAACUUCCUAAAACUUUAUGGACAUUGACAAUGAUGACAUUGGAUAUCCAGUAAAGCAUUCUCUUCCCAAUGGAAAGGGAUCGGCUAUAGUCAACUCGGUUGACCAAAUGGUAAAGAGAAAAGCUAAGUCUGUGAUAGUCCUGUGUACCAUUAUCAAAGGGUCCAUAUGUUUGUAUUGCCAAAGAAAGGGCAUUGGUUGCGAAGCUGCCAAAUUUACCUAAGGAUGUUAAAGUCAAUAAGUUUGACUCUACUUCAGGUAAAAUCCACUAUCUAACUCUGUUAAGUUUCUAUUCUGAGAUUCUUGAUACAUGAUGUGACCGGGUCGCAUGGUGAUGGUUUAAGAAUCAAAGGAAAGUGAAGAAACUUAAAGGAAGAAUAUGCUGAAUCUGAUCGCAUAGAUGGAUUUCUAUCGCAUAGUUUGAAAAAUCGGAUUCUUGAGCUACUUCUUAGGAGUUAUGAGAUAUUGCUUAGGAAUAGAUAACAACAAGUUUUCAUAUGGAUUGUAAGGAUAGUUUUUCCGCAAAGUUUUAAAAUAAAAGGAAAUUUUUGAUUUUAUUUAUUUUAAAAUAUCCUUACAAUGGCAUCUGUGGAAAUUUUUGUUGCUUAUAAGAUUCCAUUAGUAGCAAGAGUGGAAGUAUGAAAUUGAUUCUUUCAUUUGUGGUAAUGUCUAAAUUUACCAAAUAAGGAAAGAUUCUCAUCACCCAAGUUUCAAUUGGACCGGAACUUGGAAUCAUGCAAGUUGUAUAGCAUGAUGAAUGAGAACUUUCAAGUUUUGGAAAAUUAAGACUAAUUACUUGUUCACAUGGAUGUGUGAGUCAAGUAAAGGACUUAGGGAUCGAGUACACAUUCUUGUGCACUGAUUAAGUCCACCACUAAAGAUCGAUAAGAAGAAUCAAAUAAGGCAGAAGGAUAAAAGUUUCUCAAAUCUGAAAAGAUGGGAGAGUACUUUAGUAUCAGUUUUGUGAUCAUCUUAAUGAUUAAGAAACCAUAUCAAAAUUAGUUCUCUAAGGAAAUCUUAGUGCAUUCUUAUGACUAAGAAGAGGAACUUGAAUUGUUGAAAUGGUUAAAUCAAGAAGAUGAGUCAUACUUCGUUCCAAUACAAGUCUUAGAGUCAUACUCCAAGAUUGUCAUUUGAGUGACAUGUCUUAAAGAAGGUUUAAAACACUUGUCAAAUGUAAGAGUAAAAGUUUUCUACUCUUGUACAUUUGAAAUUGGUAAGUUGUGAUGUUUUGGAUAAAACAAAGACCAACUUAGGCCAAUUGGGUAAAGUGUUUUUCUUGAUUAGAAUCCGCACUAUCUCUUGGAUGUUUGACAAGGGAGUCUUAUAUGUCAAGAGGACAGUGGGAGUCUUAAAGGUCUUGAAAGUCUCAAGAAAUAAUCAAGAAUAAAACCUAAAGUUCUUCACUAGCACACGACUUGAGGUUCAUAACCUAUCGUGUUGACAUAUUCUGUGCCCAUUCCAGUUAAAGUUGGUUUUGCAUAUGAGUUCUUAGAGUUCUCAAUUUGUUGCACAACAACUUGGAAGCAAUGGCAGGCCCUUGAGCUGCCAGGUGGCAAGAAGUUAAGAUUGAGUUCAAUCCAUAUGGUUUUGGAUUUGUCAUUAUCUUUGUCUUGUGAUUAUGGUUUGACAAAUUCAUAUGGGUAGGAACUCAUACACCAUAUAAAUCUAAGUGUCAUAAGGUUUCUCUCCGAUUCAUGAAAAUGAUGGUGAGGAAACGCUUUCACUAAGUAGAUUUUACGAAGAUAUCAAUUGUGUUAUUUGCAUUUUCAAAAGUCGUUAGUGGAGCGCGUGUGGUUAACCGGCACACUAACAUGGACUUGUGAGAAAUGGCAAAUGCCUAAGCAAUUGAGACCAUGAUUACGGUAUCCCUUUUCAUGGUUCUUGAAAUUGCUUAGACACACAGGUGAGCUAUCUACGGAAAGGGUGUAUGAAUCUAAAUUUCAGACUGUCCAGCUGAUUUCUGAGUACAUGUCAAAGCUAGUGGGAGCAUAAGUGUUAUGCUAAUAAUCAUCAUGUUAGUGGGAGCAUGAUAAUUAUGAUAAGUAUUGCAAGUUAGCAAUGUUAAUUAUAGAAAACAAAAGUUUCAAUUGGGAAAAAGUUGUUUUGCUAUAAUUAAGGGAGAGGAAAUUAUGCUUCAUCUCAAAUCUAUAAGCUUAGAUCGUGAGGUUUUAAUCAUUUAGUCAAGGAUAUAUAUGAAUUUCAUGUUGGAAUGGCUCAACAUAAGGAAAUUCUGUAUAUGGGUCCAUUAUUUGCGUUCUAAAAUUCGAUUAUGAUUACGGCAUCCCUUUUCAUAAUCUGAAUUAUGAGAACUUGGCAAAUUGAAAUGGAAAUAUUAUAGCAAAAGACUGGUUUAGUCUUUAUGUAAGACAUCAUGAAUCGUGUCCCAUAUGCUUCGGAUAUAGGAUCGAUUACAUGUGCUAUAUUCAUCCGUUCUAAAAUUUUCCAAAUGCCUGGGGCAUUAAGAAGGGAAAAGGUUUAGAACUGGAUAUGACUAAAAGGAUUAAACAAUUGUCGAGGACAAUCUAAGGUUUACCAAAGAUUGGUUACUCAAGGACAAUUGGAAGUAUAGUGAUAAUUCUGGAAGGACCAUAUUGACAUAAUCUGUAAGGAGGCAACUCUUGUUCAGAAGUGAUAGUCAAAAUGGAAUCUGGAAAUGUUUCAAAGUUAGAAUUUUCAAUCUGUGUAAGAUUAAGGAAACUUAAUGCAAGAAGGAUAUUUCCAAGGAGUUGAUCUCCUUUGGAAUACUCUGUAAUGAUUGUUGCCAAGUCUUUGUGACUUUGUGCAUAAUCAUUACAAGAGGAUCAAUGCAUAUAAGUUUAGAAUCUAACAGAUUUCAGUAAAUGGCAUGAAUUUGGAAUUCUUGCAUUUGCAGUAAGGAUUUGGGAGUGUGAAAAGAGAAUCAUUGAAGUUAUGUUCAAUUGAUCUAGUUCACAAAGUAAAGAUCAUAGACAAACAUAGUAUGCAUACUUGGUGUGUGGCAUGACUAGUGUUUAAGAAAACAUAGUGUACAUGCUUGGAGCAUGGGACAACUAUUGUUUUAAAUUCAAGAAUAAAGUUGAUAGCUGAAACAGUAUACAAUGAAUAAUGUGUAAUCAUAUGGUGAUAAAUAAAAGGUGUUUUAUUUAUGUUCAAAGGGUUGAUACCAUAUUGGAUUCAAUUAUUAUUGUGUUUCAUUUUGCAUGUUUUGACUUCCCGAAUAAACUGGGUUAUUCUUCCGGAAUGACUAAGUUAUUCAAACCAUCCACAGUCGGUCAUAUGUUGGAAGUAGAUAUGAAUUAAGACUGUCAUGGGUUGGCUUGUAGAGGUCUAAGGUGUUGGACAAAGGGCUACAACACUCAUGAGUGCUCAUAAGUUCUGAGUAUUGGAUUCAACCCGCGCUCAUUGGAAUCACUUCAUGGAUUUUAUCACGAGUGAUCAUGAGACGAUAAUAUCUUAUAUUCUUCAAACCUAGAGAUAUGAGUUGUUACUAUGAGUUGAUAGUACAUUGAUUGCACGAAAACGCAUUUGGUAACUCGGUGCUAUAAAACGUGCCUUUGUGUAUGAUUCAACAAGUAGUAGAACAAGCCAUAUGAGUCGAAGUUUAUCCAUUCCUUUUACCUUCGGGAUAAAAGCGAUAUCUGUGGGCCCCUCGAUGAUUUGAUGAUGACAAAUGGAAGUGCUCGGCCGGGCCAGGACUGAUUUGAUUUGUUCAAUUAGUCAGUCGUCAUAAAUCGGAAAUCGGGAAACAACAAAUGGACAGAGAGAAUGAUUAUAAUCCAUGUCUCAGUCCAUAUGAUAUCUAGAAUGGAGGAAUAUAUGAUCCCUUAUCUAAUGGACAAGUCAUUGACAAAGGUCAGAGUUCAUCUACAAGGUCAGAGUUCGACAGAAGCUUUUGAGAGCUACGAUUGCCAGUUGGUUCCUGAAGUCAUACGCAAUAAUAGUUUUAGACUUAUCCAAGUGGGAGACUGUUGGAUUAAUGUCUAAGUCCAUAACUAUAAUUGGUAAGACUUGACCCGACCCGGCAUGGUCCAUUUGGGUUGCAUACCAUCAUGCACUUGGAUAGACUAUAAUGAGAGAAAUAAGACACUUAUGGUUAUUAAUAUAUUAUAAGUUCUAGUAUAUUAAUAAUAAGAAUAAUAAGAUUAUUUAAUUAGUAUUGAUCAAGAAUUAAUCUAGGAUUAAUUAAGUGAUCAAAAGAAGACUAAUUAAAUAUAUGGGUUGAUUGUGUAAAUCAUCCAUACUUGUAUAGUGGGCUAAUGCUCCAUGGAUAAUCAAGUUGGGCUAAAACCCAUAGGAUGGUCCAUGGAUGCUCCAUGGUGUAUUUGUACCCAUGGAUCCAAGGAAAUGGAAAGCCAUGACAAUUAAGAGUUUACCCUAAUUGUGUAACUAUAUAAGCAUCUUAUUAUUGAGGAAAAAUCGGCCACUAGUAGUAUUCAAGAAAGGGCUAGCCGAUUUUGGUGAGUGUAGAAUUCUCUCAAGUCAUUCUAAGUGUUUUGAUGAUUGUGAUUCCAUUUGAGGUGUCACACUUGGGGCACUAAGCACUCAAGCUUCAUGAAGACUUUCUACAUCAAGAGGUAUGUAUUCUAUCUUGUUACAUUAUUGUUUUGUAUGCUAGAUUAGGAUAAUACCUUGGAAGUUCUUAUUUGCAUGUAUAAUAGAGAAAACAUAGAUCCAAGGUAUUUAGGGUUGCAUGUACACUUAGGAGUGUUAGAAUGCUCAAAACCCAACAACCAUAUGGGUAAUAGUCGACCGAUUGACAAAAUCCGCUCACUUCCUGCCAAUCAAAGAAACUUUCAAGUUGGAAAUACUUACACGGAUCUGUAUCCAAGAGAUAGUUUGUCCGCAUGGUGUGCCUGUGUCCAUUAUCUCCGAUCGAGACAUUAGAUUCACCUCAAUACUUUGGCAGUCAUUACAGGAAGCUCUCGGAACUAAGCUGGAUAUGAGCACAACUUACCAUCCCCAAACAGACGGACAGAGUGAGAGAACCAUUCAGACCUUGGAAGACAUGUUAAGAGCAUGUGUCAUAGAUUUUGGUAAGUCGUGGGACCUCCAUUUUCCCUUUGUUGAGUUCUCCUACAACAACAAUUAUCACACCAGUAUCAAGGCUACGCCUUUUGAAGCCCUUUAUGGUCGCAAGUGCAGGUCCCCUAUGUGCUGGGCCGAGGUGGGCGACACACAACUAGCCAAGGGGAAAGUCCUUGACAACACUCUCAUAGGCCUAGAAAUCAUCUGUGAAACCACAGAAAAGAUCGUACAAAUCUAGGAACGACUAAAGUCUUUGAGAGAUAGACAAAAGAGCUACGCCGAUAAAAGAUGAAAACCCUUGGAGUUCCGGGUUGGUGACCAUGUUCUUUUAAAGGGAUCACCCUGGAAAGGCAUGAUACGCUUUGGAAAGCGUGGAAAGCUAAAUCCGAGGUACAUAGGACCAUUCGAGAUCAUUGCUAGGAUCGGUCUCGUAGCGUACAAACUUCGUUUACCCUAAGAACUUAGCAACAUCCAUCCCGUCUUCCACGUCUCGAAUUUUAAAAAGUGUUUAUCCGACGAGACCCUUAUGAUCCCUUUCGAUGAGAUUGAAAUCAACAAGAAUCUUAACUUCGUGGAAGAACCAGUUGAAAUCAUGGAUCGAGAGAUCAAGCAAACAAAACAUAGCUGCAUAUCAAUAGUGAAGCUUCGCUGGAAUGCCAGGCGGGGACUUGAAUUCACUUGGGAGCGCGAAGAUUCUAUGAAACAGAAAAAUCCGCAUCUCUUUUCGAGUCCAUGAUUUGUAUCUUAUGUUUAAAUUUCGAUAUGAAAUUCCCUCUAACGGGGGAUGAUGUGACAACCUGUAAUUUAUUUUAUUCAAACCGUUUCAAAAAUAAAUCAAUUCAGAUUUAUUUCUGCUCCUGUUAACAUUAUUUUGGGUCUAAUUAAAUAUUCUAAGCUCAGUACAAUCAUGGUUUGGGUCCAAGAACGAAUUUUUCUAAGUCAUAACAUAGCAUCCGGGCCAAACACCCCUUCGAGAGGAGUGUACGGCCGUAAACUCGAGUUUACGGUCGUACACCCCCACACCACCCCCAUGGCCAAAAACUCCCUCCUAUAGAUGGAGUGCUUGGCCUUCAUUUACCACUUUACUUACUUCAAAGACUUUCUCUCUCUACUCUCUCUCUACAUCCAUCAAAUUUUCUUCAAGAUCUUCAAGAUUGUAAGUGUUUCUCCACCUUGAGUUGAGUUUCAUUCCUCUAUCUGGUGGUAAAUCCAUGUUUCUAUCUCAUUAAUCGCAUCUUUGUCUAGAUCUUCAUCUCUCACCAAGAACACCAAGAAUACACACUAGAUCUUGGUGGCUAAAAACCCCAUUUCAAGCUUCCUAAUAGUAAGUAACUACUUCCUAUGCUUGUUAUCUACCAAAAAUGCUUGUUCUUCACGUAAAAAUCGAACCAAAAGACAUGAUCAUGGAGGGUUUACGGCCGUAAACCCAUGUGUAUGGCCGUACACCCCUCAUUGGCCUCAAACUCUAGUUUUUGGUCGAUUAUUGGCCUUAAACUCGCCAUGCAUAGGACUUAGAACACUUCUGGGAGGCUAGAAAGGACCUUGAAACACCACAAAUCGCACCUUUCAGCAAGAGUGUAUGGUCGUAAACCCAUAGGUCGUAAACCCAUAGACCGUAAACCCAUGGGUCGUAAACCCAUGGACCAUACACUCUUGGGCCAUAAACUUUUGGGCCGAAAACCCCAUGGGGCCGCAAACCCAUGAUCAUACACCCCUUGUGACUGCAAACUCCCCUACUUCAAUCACAAGUGAUUCUAACACUUAGUUUUGAGUGCUUCCUAGUCCCUAAGGUGAUUUCCUUCCAUAACUAAUAGUGUUAUACCCUCAUCUAAUACAUAUGUGGUGCUAUAUGUUAAAUAGGAUCCGUUUUUGUUCGAGACUUCAUUUGACACUCAGCAUUCCUAUCGACUCACUUUGAAUCCCACGAUAAAGAGUGAGUUCUUACCCCUACGCUUUUAUGAUUUUUAAAUGUUUUCAGGGGGAAUACCAGCCAAACAUAAAGGUUUUCAACAAGUUAAACCUAUGCAAUUUAUACAAAUCAAUGGGUUUCAUAAAGCAUUUAGAUACUUAAUCGCUUUUGUAUUAUGCGGAGCAUAAGGGAGGUUUUUCUAAAUUAAAUUGCAUAGUUUUUCCGAACAUUUCAUGAACAUAACAUUACAAUGAAACUAUAAUGGGUAUAGUUUGGGGAUUUCAUUACCAGUUUUACAGAUGCAAACUACUUUCACGGUUGAAUAUAAACUAUGACAAAUUUAGUUUAUAACAUACAUUAUUACGAGAAUACAAUAGUAAAUAAUUACUUAAGUAUAAUUAUUUUUACUCUGCAAAACAUACAUCGAAUUGACAUACGAAAGAACAUUAUGUUUUAUAUGUAUUAUUACUUGUACAGUCGUUAACCUAAUUGGGAGACAAGUCCUUGGGCGCUUACAACAUUAACUAAGUGGAGGACUACUCUUAUGAGCCAGAGUCUCCUCGCGAAAGAACGUGGCUUUUGUGUAUAGAUCUAUACGAGAUUGACCACCCUGCACCUUGCGGCUAGCUACAGUCAGACCGGCAGGUCUAUGGGUGACAAAGUCAUAAAGGAUAUUGGCGUCAGAUUUACGUCGUAUCAAGUUUAGUAUGGUCAUAAAACUCGCCAGUAGUAACGAUAUAUUUACAUAAUAAUAUUCUUCUCACGAACAAUUGCUUUAAUAACAGAAGUGUGAUACUUAUGCCAUACAGUUUCAGAACCAUUAAAGCAACAACAACACACACAUACAAGGGAAAAUAAGGGAUUUUCCCAGAUCAAACCUCAUACAUUGCAUACUAGUGGUAGUCAGGGUUUUCAAAACGAUUCAUAUUUCACAUACAUUAUCAAAUAAAUAUGUUAGAAAAUGUUGGAUUUUUCUUGGAAAACAUAGAUACAUUUUAUAGAUCUCUUCACAAGUUUUCAUUACAGAACAUGCUUAUGAACUCACCAACUUUAUGCUGAUUUGUUUUCAAAAUCUCUUGUAUUCUCAGGUGAUCGAUAGACAGGUACCUCCUGGAGUUUUGAAAAGACGGAAUAUUUAGAGCCACGUCUUUUACUUUUGUUAUAUUUUUGAUGUAUACAAACUAUAUUUUCAAACAGAUGUAAAUAUUCAUAUGUUAAUGUAGUGGUUGUGUUUACUUUGAUUUCUAUGAUGCAAUUGUUAUGAUACUACGCAUGAUGUCCUACACCCCGAACAUUUUCGUCGUUCCGGUUUGGUGGUGUGAUAGUCAGCCAGAGUAAAGGUUAAGGUUCCUAGUUGCCAACAUGGGAACAUAGGGAGUUGUUAUAGUAGCAUGAGAAGUGGAUUAAGGUAUCGGAUUGGACUAGAAUUCAAGAGUACUCUUCAAGAUUUUAGAGGAUAGAUGAUAUUAGGGUUUGACUGGGAAUUGAUAGCUAACAUGGGUAAGCACAUGUUGUCAACAGUGGACUAUUAGGGAGUAAGAAGGAUUGGGAAUCCUUUAAUUCUCACAUGUCAUGAACAAUUAGUCAAAUCUAAGUGGGGGAGAAUCAAUCAUGUAUUUAGGAGCAGAAACAGGGGUGAAACUAGGACAAUUUCCGCACACUUUUUAGGAAGAAAGACGGCCUAAGAGGCUGUAUGGAUUGAGGAUAGGGUAAGUUAGAUGUCUGGAGACUCACCAACAUUGAGAUCGCUUUAUGUUGAUGGUUGAUAGCAUGCGCUAGGAAACUAGGUCAGGGAUUCCAGUCAGGACAUGAGUUCAUCUUGGGAUAUUAGAUCGUGUAUGUAUGCUCAACUUUAGGUGGGUUCGAAUUAGUAAUCAGCGAUAAGACAAUGGUCAGCAUCUAGUCAAUGUGGGAAGUGUUGUAGGACUAUGGGAUAGUCGUAGCAUUCACAAGGUUGUCAGAUAGUGUUGGGAGUGUUGUAUGUUUGUGAGAUAGUCGUAGCAUUCAUAAGGUUGUCAGAUAGUGUUGGGAGUGUUGUAAGUCUACGAGUGUAGCCGUAACAUUCACAAGGUUGUCAGAUAGCGAUAGAAGUGUUGUAAGUCUGCGGGUGUAGCCGUAGCAUUCACAAGGUUGUCAGAUAGUGUUGGACGUGUUAUAAGUCUGCAGGUGUUGCCGUAGCAUUCACAAGGUUGUCAGAUUGUGUUGGAAGUGUUGUAACUUUGCGGGUGUAGCCAUAGCAUUCACAAAGCUUUCAGAUGGUGGUAGAAGUGUUGUAAGUCUGCGGGUGUAGCCGUAGCAUUCAUAAGGUUCUCAAAUAGUGUUAGAAGUGGUGUAAGUCUGUCGGUGUAGCCGUAGCAUUCUCAAGGUUGUCAGAUAGCAUUAGAUUGUUGUAAGCCUACGAAGGUAGCCGUAGCUUUCACUAGGUUGAUAGAUAGUAUGGUAGUGAUGUUAGAUCACGAGAAGAAGAGUAGUACCCAUCAGUUUGGGUGCAACAGUGAGGGCAUGGCAAUCCACAGAAUGGGUUACAGAAUGGCCUAGAUGGGUUAAGACUGGAUGAGCCAGUGAUAAGACCGUAGGAACACCACGACAGUCAUGGUAUCAAGGGAACGAUGGACCACAUAAGGUUGUUUGUGAUAUAAUGCUAUCUUCAGUCAUGUAGAAAUCACUUUUAGCCUCGGAUUUAGAAAUGUCUGGAUACGACAAAUGGAUGUGAUCUGUUGGAUUAGGAGUUCAUUUGGGCCAUAGUGGUAAGAUAAUUGAUGGCGACUAUUGACAUAUGAGAAAUUCGUUCGAAAGUUGCUUAUGACAGCUGUAUGGGAGCCUUUAGCUCAGUAACCAGGUAGGAACCUAGUAUCCUAGAUGAUUGGCAAAAAAAUUGAGACUAGGAGGGUCUCAGUGUAAUUUGGAAAGCAGACAGGAGGUAGUUCACUGUUUCAGGCAGUUCAGUAUUUUAAGCAGUUCAGCAUUCAGGCAGUUCAGUGUUUUGGGGCAACUUCGAUGUCUCAGGCAGUAUUAGUGUUUUAGGUCUGCAAGUACAGACGGAGUAACUGAUCGAUUGAGAAGCGAUAAGUCACUUGCAGUGGGACUAAAUAAUCUUAGAGUAGUUUAUUUGACUUUGAUGAGCAUCUCUCGUAUGAGUCUAAUCAUUGUAGGGAUAAAUCUUCUACUCAAAGGAUUAUCUGAUCCUUCUGUCAGGUGUAAGUGUUUUGUAGCCCUUUAUGGAUAGUGACUUUUCUUUUUCAGUAGCAGUGUGAUGAGUGACAGUUUGGUCUGAGGGGUCUGAAAGGGAGCCAAACCACUCAGACCUUAGGGUUCGGAUUUCAGGGAAGUAGGAUCGGUUUUAUUUGAGAGAUCGAGGAAUUGUUCUUCGUCGAGCUUGAAGAACUACUCUAUGGAUGGUUUAGUAGAUCGAGAUAGGCCGAUUUAUGAUCAAAAUUGGAAGGUUUUUCUAUCAGAUGAGAUAUUGAUAGAGAGUGGUUUCGGUAUGAACAAGCUUUCGGGAAGCCAAACUACGAUAAGUGUCAGGUCAAAGAAGGUAGAAGUAGCUUACAAGGGUUGAAGGUUUGGGUGAUAUUUCCUGGGUAGAAGUUUCUGUUACCUUGGGAAGGCCAUUAAUCGCAUUGGGUGAUGGUGUUGGGUUUUGAGCAUUCUAACACUUCUAAGUGUACAUGCAACCCUAAAUACCUUGGAUCUAUGUUUUCUCUAUUAUACAUGCAUAUAUGAACAUUCCAAGGUAUUAUCCUAACUAGCAUACAAAACAUUGAUUCAUAUGUAAUAAAGCAAGUUAGAAGACAUACCUUUUGAUGUAGCUUGAUUCCAUGGAGCUUAAGAGCUUAGUGUUGGAUUAAUGUCUAAGUCCAUAACUAUAAUUAGUAAGACUUGAACCGACCUCGCAUGGUCUAUUUGGGUUGCAUGGCAUCGGGACAAUUGAAUAGACAAGAUGAGGAAAAAGGAUACUAAUGAUAAAUAUUAAUAUAUUAUAAGUUCUAAUAUAUUAAUAUAUAAUCAUAUUAUUUACUUAGUAUUGAUCAAGAAUUAAUUUACAAUUAAUUAAGUGAUCAAAAGGAACUAAUUAAAAAUGGACUCUUAGAUAUAUGUGUGGUGGGCCAAGUUCAUUUAGGUUGGGCUAAGCUUUCAUGCAUAGUCCAUGGAGUGUUUAACCCAUGGAUAAUAUGAAAUGAAAUGUCAUGGGUUUAACCCUAGUCUCCACCUUGUAAAGUUCAUAUUUCCAUGUAUAAUAGAGAAAACAUAGAUACAAGGUAUUUAGGGUUGAAUGUACACUUAGAAGUGUUAGAAUACCCAAAACCCAACAGUGGUAUCACAAACAUGGGUUGUUUUCUGUUAUAUUGAUGCAAAUGUUUUAUUUUCAAAGUUGAAAAAAAAGAAAAAAAAAACAUAACAUUUAUCAAAUUUUAAGAUAACUACUUGUUUUUGUGAAAAACUAAUUAUUUGUAAAAUUUGAAUCAUUUGCUAUAUGAGUUGAAUUAGGUCAAAUUUAGUAAAAGAUAAAAUGAUAUGAUUAUUUUAUUAGUUUUAAAAGUUUGAUCUAAAGGUUUUUUUUUGAAACCUCCAUAAGUUAUGGAUAUGAAAAGGUUUUAAAAAAAUUGAUUCAAAGUUUUUAUGGAGUUAGAAAAUUUGGUGUUAAUGUUUUAAAAGAAUUCCAUAACUUAUUUGUAAGUUAUGGAACAUGAAAAGUUUCAUCAUAAAACAAGCAUUUAACUCCAUAAGUUAUGGAUUACCAAAAGUUUUAUGUUUCCUUGAUUUAUGAGUUGCUUUGAUUAAUAGAUAAGUUAAUUGAUUAUGUGUUUUCAAUCCAUUUUAAUCUAAGAGUUGAUUCUAAAAUGUGUUCGUGUAACUUGUCCUCAAGUUACAUGAAAGGUCACAUUUAAGUUUCUUAAAAACUCAUAAAAGUUGGAAAAGGUUACAAAAUGAAGAGUCUUGUGCACUUAUGAGUGUUAGAAUGCUCAAAACCCUACAGUGGUAUCAUAAUAUCGAUGGAGCGUGUGUGGUUAACCGUCACAUCGUUUGAGGGGUAAACAUUUAAGGGUACCAAGUAAUUUGCAUGGUUACUUCACUCCUUGUUUUGUGAUCCUCGGCAUCCCAGUCACAAAACCUGAAGGGCACACUCGAGAUUGAAACAUACCAUUGAAAAGUUCAAUGAAUCUCAAAAGAUCUAGGAGUUUCAAAUCCAAUUAAAACCUAAUAAUACAUUUCGUUUAUCUUGGUGGAAAUUGGUGAAUCGUCAUUCACCUACCUUCAAAUAUUUUAUAGCUUGGAUUACGACAUAUCUCUUCUAAGUUAUAAAAUAGUUAGUUGGGUCCUAGCAUUAAUAUUUCAUAUUGGGUGUUAUAUUAAGGACUUUAAAUCAACUAUCUUGAAUAUCUCCCAAAAGUUGUCUGACUCAGACAUCUAUGAUCUUCACAAAUCACUUAGAACUUCAAUUCCUCCAUCUCAUCCAAUUAUUCUCCCUAACCCACAAGUUCAAGGUCACUAAAGCCCUAUUGGCAAGCAAAGUCUAUGUGUGCUCACAUCUUGGAGAUAAAGUCACAUAUUGACAAGCCGGGAGAGUUGGUUGUCAAAAUCUUGAGAAAGUUGGAUGUUCAAUCACUUUCUAUGUCACAUAGUGAGUUCCUUUGGGACUAAUACGGAAUAGACUAUGACAUGACCCUUAAUGAUCUUAUCUAUUUGCUUGGUGCUUCUAAAUCAGCAAUGAUUAGGAGGACUAGUAAAGCAAAUUUGAUUUGAAGAUCAACUUCCCAAACUUCCAUGGACAUUGAAAAUGGUACAUGGUAAGGGGCAUUGGUUACGAAGCUGCCAAAUUUACCUGAAAGAUCUUCAGGUAAAGUCCACUAUCUAACUCGAUUAACUUUCUAUUCUGAGAUUCUUAUUACAUGAUGUGACUGGGUCAUAUGUUGAUGUUGUAAGAAUCAAAGAAAAGUGAAGAAACUUAAAGAAAGAGUAUGCUGAAUCUGAUCGCGUAGAUGGAUUUCUAUUGCAUAGUUUGAAGAUUGGAUUCUUGAGCUACUUCUUAGGAGUUAUGAUAUAUUGCUUAGGAAUAGAUAACAACAAAGUUUUCAUGUGCUUUUGCACUGUAAGGAUAGUUUUUCCGCAAAGUUUUUAGAAUAAAAGAAAAACAUUUUGAUUUUAUUUAUUUUAAAAUAUCCUUACAAUGGCAUUUGUGAAAAAAAAAAUUGUUGCAUAUAUGAUUCCAUUAAUAGCAAGAGUGGAAAUAUGAAUUUGAUUCUUUCAUUUGUGGUAGUGUCUAAAUUUACCAAAUAAGGAAAGUUUCUCUUCACCCAAGUUUCAAUUGGACCGAAACUUGGAAUCAUGCAAUUUGUAUGACGAAUGAGAAUUUUCAUCUUUGGAAAAUUAAGACUAGUUACUUGUUCACAUUUAUAUGUGAGUCAAGUGAAGGACUAAGCGAUCGAGUACACAUUCUUGUGCACUGAUCAAGUCUACCACAAAAGAUCUUUUAGACUAUUCGUCAUGAUUUAAUAAAAUUUAGUAAAUAUGGUUACACUUACAAGUUCAAGUGUAAUUCUGAUACAUUGGAAAAUUUUCGAUGUAUGGCAGAACGAAUGAGAAGAACCAAGUUAGGCAGAAGGAUAAAAUUUUCUCAAAUCUGAAAAGAUGGGAGAGUACUUUAGUAGCAUGUAAUAUGAUUAUCUUAAUGUUUAAGAGACCUUAUCACAAUUCAUCCUCUAAGUGCAUCCUGAUAGCUAAGAAGAGGAGCUAUGAAUUGUUGAAGUGGUCAAAUCAAGAAGAUGUCAUAUCUCGUUCCAAAGACAAUUCUUAGAGUCAUACUCCAAGAUUGUAACAUGAGUGACAUAUCUUAAAGGAAGGUUUAUUAACACUAGUAAAACAUAAGAGUAAAGUGUCUCCUACUCUUGUACAUUUGAAAUUGGUGAGUUGUGAUGUUUUGGAUAAAACAAAGACCAACUAAGACCAAUUGUGUGAAGCGUUUGUCUUGAUAUAGAAUCCAAACUAUCUCUUGAAUAUUUUGCAAGAUAUUCUUAUAUGUCAAGAGGACAGUGGGAGUAUUAAAGAUCCUGAAAAGAAUUUCAAGAUCUAAUGAAGAAGAAAAACCUGUAGUUUAACACUAGCACAAGACGUGAGGUUUAUAACCUAUCGUGUUGACAUAUUUCAAUUUCUGUGCCCAUUCCAGUUAAAGUUGGCUUUGCAUAUGAGUUCUUAGAGUUCUCAAUUGGUUGCAUAACAACUUGGAAGCAAUGGCAGGCCCGUGUGCUGCCAGGUGGCAAGAAGUUAAGAAUGCACAAGUUUAAUCCAUAUGGGUUUGGAUUUGUCAUUAACCGUGUCUUUUGAUUUAUGGUUUUGACAAAUUCACAUGGACAAUAACACAUAUACCAUAAAAUCUAAGGGUUAUAAGGUUUCUCCCCGAUUCAUGAAAAAUGAUGGUCAAGAAACACUUCCACCAAGUAGAUUUGAAACAGAUAACAAAGCUCUAAAAAAUUGAAACUAUGAUUACGACAUCCCUUUUCAUAGUUCUAAAAUUGUUUAGCCACACCUGUGAGCUAUCUAAGAUAAGGUGUAUGAUUUUGAUAAAGUCUUAUCAAGGCAAUCUCGUCUCAGAAAUCUGAACUUUGGUAAGAAAGUCAGUAAAGUACUGACUUUUACAAUUCCAGUUGAUUUCUGAGUACAUGUCAAAGCUAGUGGGAGCUUAAGUGUUAUGCUAACAAUCAUCAUGUUAGUGGGAGCAUGAUAAUUAUGAUAAAGGUUGCAAGUUAGCAAUGUUAAUUAUAGAAAACAAAAGUUUCAAUUCGUGAGGUUGCAUGGGUUGAAAAAGUUGUUUUGCUAUAAUUAAGGGAGAGGAAAUUAUACUUCAUCUCAAUUCUAAAAUGCUUAGAUUGAGAUUUUAAUCAUCUUAGUCAAGUGUGUGUGUGUGUGUGUAUAUAUAUAUAUAUAUAUAUAUAUGAAUUUUAUGCUGGUUUGGUUCAACUUAAAUUCAAUUAUAAUUACGACAUCCCUCUUCAUAGUCAAAUUUUGAGAACAUGCAAAUAAAAAAUAUUGUAGCAAAAGAAUGGUCUAGAAGCAUGUCUUUAUGUGACACAUCAUGAAUCGUGUCCCAUUUUUUUUGGGUACAAGAUCGAUUACAUGUGCUAUAAUAUUUGUCGUUUCUAAAUUUUCCAAAUGCCUGGGGCAUUAAGAGGGAUAAGGUAUAGAAUUGGAUAUGACUAAAAUGAUUAAGCAAUUGUCGAGGACAAUCUAAGGUUUACCGAUGAUUGGUUGCUCAGGGAAAGUUGGAAGUAUAGUGUUAAGUUUUUGAAAGGACCAUAUUGACAUAUUCUGAAAAGAGGCAACUCUUGUUCAGAAGUGAUAGUCAAAAUGGGAACGUUUCAUAGGUGGAAGUUAUUAAAUCUAUGUAACAUUAAAAAAAGUUAAUGCAAGAAGGAUGUUUCCCAUGGAAUUGAUCUCCUUUUCGAUGUAGCUUCAUUCCAUGGAGCUUAAGAGCCUAGUGUUGGAUUAAUGUCUCAGUCCAUAACUAUAAUUGGUAAGACUUGACCCAACCUGACAUGGUCCAUUUAGGUUGCAUGGCAUCGGGACAAUUGGAUAGACAAGAUGAGGAAAAAGGAUACUAGUGAUAUAUAUAUAUAUAUAUAUAUAUANNNUAUAUAUAUUAAUAUAUUAGAAGUUCUAAUAUAUUAAUAUAUAAUCAUAUUAUUUACUUAGUAUUGAUCAAGAAUUAAUUUACAAUUAAUUAAGUGAUCAAAAGGAACUAAUUAAAAAUGGACUCUUAGAUAUAUAUGUGUGGUGGGCCAAGUUCAUUUAGGUUGGGCUAAGCUUUCAUGCAUAGUCCAUGGAGUGUUUAACCCAUGGAUAAUAUGAAAUGAAAUGUCAUGGGUUUAACCCUAGUCUCCACACUAUAUAAAGAUGUCAUUGGUUGGUGAAAUUGGCACUAGCAUGGGUACACUAAGAGGGCUAGCCGAAUUCACUAGAGAGAACCAAAGUAUCCUUAUUAUCAAGCUUAUUCCAAGUGUUCAUGGUGUUUUGUAAACCAUUUGAGGUGUCACACUUGGGGCACUGGGCACUCAAGCUUCAUGAAGACAAGUUACAACAAAGAUUUAUGUAUUCUAACUUGUUAUAUUACUAUGUAUCAAUGUUUUGGUAUGCUAGUUAGGAUAAUACCUUGUAAAGUUCAUAUUUGCAUGUAUAAUAGAGAAAACAUAGAUCCAAGGUAUUUAGGGUUGCAUGUACACUUAGGAGUGUUAGAAUGCCCAAAACCCAACACCUAGUGCCUCAAGUGUGACACCUCAAAUGGUUCACACACACUACUAGAAAAACAGCCUUUAAUGACGUGCAAACAAUGACACACAAUGAUUUACGAUACGAAAAAGUGUGCGUCCGUAAAAUAAUGUCAUCUCUUAUAAAAUUUGAAGGAUAGAGGACAAGCAUUUUGUGCGCGCCCUAAACUUAGUGUCCAAAAAAAACACGGAGGGCGCAUACGAUAAGAUGUGUGUCGUGUGCGCACGUCGCUUUAUAUUUUUUUUCAUAAACACGCGUUUUAGAAGCUCGCGGGGAAAUAAACUUCCAAAAGUUUGAAAAGCCACCAUGCUCUCCUCUACCUUCUUUCAAUCGUUCUUAGCUCUCUCUCUCUCUCUCUCAAUCAAAUACCAAAAAUCGACUAUUGUUGGAACUAGGGUUCCAGUUCUUAGUGAAAUCUAAGGUUUUUUGGUGACCGGGCCAUGAAAUUGAUCAAAGGGGUAAAAUUGUUGGAACCACGACUAUUGUUGGAACUAGGGUUUUAGUUCAUAAACCCACCAUCUACUUCUCUCGAUCUUCAGUUCCUCAAUUAUUUUCUCAGCCUCUCAAUCAAUAGAAGAGAGCUGUAUCACGAUCGCAAAUUUAGAGUGAUUUCCAUAUCAAGUAGAACAACAACUCCAUUACAUUCAAGGUCUCGAAACUCCAUGGUCAAUCACCAUCAACAUUCUGCUUCUUUAUUUGUUCUAGAGGUUCGACUUCCUUUAUUACGAGUUUUAUCACCUUUUUAAUCGAACUCGAUUAGCCCUCGAUACCUAAUGUUAUCUUUUGCAUUGUUGCUUCUGCUCCGUUCUUCUUGAAACCUCCCCACACUCUAAUGUCAAAUUCGACACUUUUGUCGAAACAUACUUUAUGAUAUCAAGUUGGAAAUCAAUAGAAAUGGCUAUGAAUGCCGGUUGGGUUGGAGGAUUCUCUGGAGGACGAGAGAGAUUUGGAUCAGAUUAUGGCAGAUCGUAGGGCUGCAGAGAUUGAGCUUGAUACCAUGGAGGGUGUUGUGUCAAGGGAAAAGCUCCCCCAUCAUCUCAACGAUCAACAUCGGUUAGGGUUUCUGUUUUUUUUUUUUUUUGUUGUUUUAUUUCCAUACCUUCACCAUCACCAAUGUUACUUUGUGCUUCAUCUGAUGUACGAUUACCUUCUCCUUGUUAUGGUUGCAAUACUCCUAUGGGUCGCUCUGAUUCUCCAUGGGAUAAUUUUCCCCUUCUCCUAUUCCAAUUAGGGCAAUAAUGAGAGUGUGAUGUUAGAGAUGGAGUACAACUCUGAGAGUAUAAAGGUUGUUGCAAUACAUCUUUGCAUCAAUUAUUCCAUUAGACUCUUUGUACUGAUGUCCUCAAAAUAGGGAGCUUAGACAUACUCUCAAGUGUCAACAUUAAAACAACAGAUUGAAUUCUUCAUUUAAUGUAGAAAAAUUUGAAAGUUGUAAUAAAACUUUAUAAUGAUGUAAUAAGGUAACAUUAGUAUUAUAGCUGCAGCAAAGUCUACAGCUGGUGUGGAAUUUCAAAAUGAUUAGGUUUCAUCUCAGGAAUCAUGGAGCUUAACUUUAUUUCAGGAAUCAUGUACAUCCAUCUUGGGUCAAAUCUGAAUUACUAAGCUAUAAACAGGUUUCCACAUCAAUGGUACAACACAUGCUUGAUUACAUUUUGGAAAAUUCAAGUUCAUUAACUGGUACCCCACAUGGAAAAAAGAAAAACAAAGUAACAACCCAUUUGAAACCUGAUGAUGCGGGCCAUACUCGAUGCAUCAUUUUGUUACUAAAGAGCGACAUAGACAACAAGUCUGAUCUUAAAUUCUUGGAUAUCUCUAAUUUUUUUUCUUCUGACUCAAAUCAACAAAGAAAUGACAUCCCCACAGAGUUGCUAACUAUUCCAGCAAUACGAUCACAUCUGUGAUUUGUUACUGCAGACUUGCUAACUAUUUAAGCUAAUCACAUUUUUUUUUUGAACUUGAAACUGUUAAAUCUUUAUAUAAAAAAAUGUUACAGAUAUGAAUCUUAAUAGUUUAAUAAGGAAUUGGGAUAUCAAGUGGAGGAUGCAAUCUGAAGUGGGUUCUCAAGUUACACAAUCGCUCCUGAUUACUGGCUUUUUGUGUCGGAUUUAUCAUGGGGGUGGACCCAACUUUUUGAUGAGAUUGCUGAUGGAUCAUGGAAUAUAAUUAGUGGUACAGACCAUAAGUUUUUUAGGCCAAUGACAUGAUAUCCUUUUCAUAGUUAAAAUUAGAUGAGCUGUACAUAGGAUUAAGUUAUCCUAUUUAUCUUUUUUGCUUCUAAAUGUUGUUCUGUCUUCAUGAUCCUUGAUUUUCAUAAUUACAAUUAGAUAGCAAUAUGAAAUGUUGGAUAUUACUUGUCAAACUUCUUUCCGUUGUUCAUUUUUUUAAUGGUAGUUGUAAACGUAUGUUUCAUUUUGUCUUGUAUGGAGAUAAAGAAAGGUAGAUGAUUAGCAGAUAUAUAUAAGUAUUUAUAAUGUAUAGAAUGUUUUUGUGUAUACAUCAUAUAGAUAUUCUGGACAUAAUCCAGAAAUCUAGAAAAAACAGUUGCAUAUGACUUUUCCGGGUUUGGGGAAAUAUUAUAUUGAACUAAUGAAAACUUCAUCAUGCAGGUGUUCUUCUUGGGGUAGGCUUAUAUGGAGAAAAAAGUGCAUUAAGUUUAGCUGAUGGGAUCAAGAAUCAGGUGGAUGGUAGUUUCUACUUUAUAAUUUCACAUAAUUAUGAGCCAUAAAGAAAAUAGAAGGUCCUGGUACAUUUUAUUUAUUUAUUUUUGAAACAGGGGGAGGUAAAUGAAAAGAUCCCUACAGAUGUUCAAUCUUCUUCUUCUUCUUUUUCUUCUUCACCAUCUGGACACCAAAGGAAACCACUAAAGCCUCUGUCUCCUUGGAUCACUGAUUUAUUGCUUGCUGCACCUUUAGGUAUCAGAAGCGACUACUUUCAUUGGUAAGUGCUUGUUUAAUUUUUAAAAAAAAAAGUUCUUUUUGUGUGUUUUCAUGACUAUUGCCUUUUCUUACUUAUUUAACAUUUGUAGGUGUGGGGAUGUUAUGGGAAAAUACGCUGCAGGUGAACUGAAGCCACCUUCUCUUGGUAAGUGGAAAAGUUUUUUUUAUACAACUUUUGCAAGAAGGAUAAUAACGAUUAACACAGUAGUAAAAUUUUGUGUUUAGUAAUGGCUUCUACAUGUGGAUCUGGAAAGCAUCCAUAGUUAAUGCCAUCUACACCAAGGUAAAUUGGUUAGUAAUCAUCUGUAAACUAACCUAAUUUAUAUAUAUGAACUUGGUGUAGAAUUAUACAUUAUUGAAAUAUUUUUCUUUUUCAGUGGAUUAAUCAUGUUGAAGAUGUUAUCAGACAUUCGACAAUGUUGUUGAGCAUCCAUUUCACUUUACACACACAUAUAUUUUAUAUAUAUUACACAAUCUCUCCCACCGGCCCCAAUCAUCCUGAGCUCAAAUCUUUCUAGGUAUUUGUUACCAAAUAAGGAAAGAAUGGAUAGAGUAAGAACACCAAAGUUGCAUAGAUACAUAGCAAUACUGUGUGUCAUUCUGUUUCUAAAUAUAUAAUGUUCAGGGGAGGUAGACAUAACCAUCAUUGAAAGUGUCGCGUCUAAAGGAGCUGGUAUGUAGUAUGUACUAGUUGAUUCAUUAGAUUAAACCUACGUUUCAUAUCAUUAUUUCUAAUAAUAGAAAGUCAUAAAUUUAGAAAGAUUUGACGAGUCUAAUUGCUUGAGGUGCAGUUUGUUUAGAUGGAAGCCCACCUGCUUACCAGCUUGAUAGAGGGUUUGGAGAUGGUGUCAAUAAUUGGUUGGUUCAUAUAUAGUUCUGUCUUCCUUAAUUUGUUAAGUACUCAUGACUUUCUAUUUUUAUUUUAAUAAUAAAACGUUCUUAACUUAGAAAGAACCUAUACAUAUUGCUUUUCAUGAAGCCCAAAUACUCGGUGGUCAAUCCAAUCUCAAUUUGCGCAUUCACUAUGAUAAGAGAAACAUAUUUUUAUUUGCAUAAAGUAUACACGUGUUACGUCUAUACAGUGUAGUCAUACAAUCUAGCAAUGGAUUUACAUCAUGCAAAACACCAGAGCAUAUAGACAUGGGUUUAGGCCAUAAUAUGUUUCAUCUAAUCGAGAACUUCUUGAUUUCCCUAAUUUGUUGCUGAUGCAGUUGAAUAUCCCACCAUCCAUUGUUAAUUUAUCCAAUCUUUCAGGGUUGGAUCUAAGUGAUAACAAGCUUCAUGGACCCGUUCCUGUCUCUAAUGAAACAUCCCCUGGUCUAGUCUUGACAGGUUAAAGAAUGCAAAUUUUUGCCGAUCAAGGUGGUGAUUCUCAUUGGAUUUACAAGGAGCAAAGUUAUUAUUGGUCAAAUUUUUUAUGUUAUGUUCUAUACUUCUUAUUCUCACCUGAAAUUCUAUCAUAGGGGCCAUAGUAAGGUCAUGUUAGAUGAAAAACAUUUUCAAUACCUCACUAUUUUGAUAUUCAAUCUUCCAUUCAAGCAGAUGAUUCAUUGUACUUUCACUAGUAAAUGACUGUGUUGCCCUUGUGUCUUUUAUCUUUUGUUUAGCUGAGAAAUUUAAUUUGUAUAUGAUUCCUUUGUUUUGUUCGUAAGGUGGUUUUGAUGGUAACUCCAUGAAGGUAGCCGAGUUAUUGUUCAACAAUGGGUUCAAAAGCUUCAGAGUAUAUAUCCAUUUGCCAAAUCCAAAAUCCUCAUUGUAAAAGUCAACACAACUACUGGAUAAGGGCUGCCAUUUUCGUAUUUACCCUGGGCGAAACAAGUUGCAGAGUAAAGUGCAUAUGCAGCACCCUUACACAUACAACACUUUAUCCAGACAAAUAUUAUCACCAUUCAAGACUUAAUUGGAAAAAAGAAAGAAACAACCUGUAACACUCGUGUUUCUAGCCUAGGCAUUUAUAUUGAGUUGAUAGUCUAGGUUAACCUUUGUAACUCAUUUUGAAGAAAUGAAAAAGGAAUUAUGUGAAUUAUGUGUUUUAUGCUUAAUUAUUAGGGCUUAAUUAAUUAAGAAUAAAAAUAACCAUCAAAAUUAAAGUGUGAGAUAAGCCCGAUAUCUUUACAUAAAGUUGUAGUGGUCGAAACAAGGAUUUCGGGGAUAUAAAGAAUACCAAAAUCCGAGUUAUAACGAAAAAGUUAUGACCUGUCGAAGUUUCGCAACAAAACUGGCACGGUGCUGAAUGUCGUAAAAAGUGAGUUUUCGAUAAACUACUUUUUAGCCUUGGUAAUCUAAACGAAAGACGUAGUAUUCGUUAAACCGAGAAGUUCGAUAAAAAGAACGCCCAAAUCUGACUUCGUAUGAGGAAGUUAUGAUUUUUCGAAGUUUCAGCGUAGCAGUAGACAGCUAAAAACUCGAAUUUUAGAUUGAGCGAUUUUUAGCCGACACAACCUAAACGAGAAUUGAAGGUCUCGUCAUUAGGAGCACAACGGUAAAAAGUCUGACGAAAACGGACGUCGGAUGAAGAAGUUAUGAAUUUUUAACAGAUUUCCUGUCCAGGUCUGUUAAAAAUAAUAAUAUGAAAUUUAAACAAAUUAGCCGACGAAGUAUAAACGGAAGUUGUAAAUCGUAAUUUUAGCUACGCGUGCAUAUAAAGAACGUCAAAAACGGAGCUCAUAUGCGAAAGUUAUGAAUUUUAGAAGUUUUGGCGCGAAAACCGAGAAAUUUCGCAUAGUCACACUUUGCCACGUCACCCUCGCCUCGCAUGUGACACGUGUCCUGCUGAGUCACCGAAGCUGCUGAGUCACCAGGCUGCUGAGUCACGAAGCCACCUGGCGAGGCGUGUCAUGUCCUUCCGAGUCCGAGCUGCGGUCCAAUCCNCGAAGCUGCCAGCCUUCUGUCCGAGCCUCGCACCCAGCUCCGAGCCUCGCAUAGCCUAGCUCCGAGCCUCGCAGGUGCGCCAGUAAGCCGCGGUCCACUUAGAAGCCGACAGCGAGCCCUCGUAUGUGUGAGCCAUGUGCGAGCCAUCCCCCCCUGUGAAGCCUCUUAGCCGUCGGAUCAGGAGACUUCUCAGCCCUUGGAUCAGAACUUCGGACCCUAUAAAUAGAAGGGUACCUGCGAAGGCUCCCGGGUACUUUUGGAAUUUUGCCAUUUUUAGCCCGUCUCUUCAUAUUUUCUUCAUCUUAGAAUCCCCCAAAGCCCCGGUAUCGAUUGUAAAGCCUGGAAUACCCUACGAAGUGCUCGAGAAGCCCGGAAAAUUUAUCAUUUCGGUUUCUAAGCCCGACUUUUGCAGAGCCCGGUUUCUCAAUAAAACUCCCGGUUUGAUUAGAAACGAUCGUUUUAGGAAACGAAUUGCUGCCCGAUUUUCACCAAAAUACGUGAGUGUGUAGUUACUUUCAAUUUACACAUAGAUAUGAAGUAUUUACCUUGAAAUACGUGUUAUGUGUAAAUAUGCUAAUUGUUUAUUCGAGGUGACUAUGGAAUUGAUGUUUUUACAAGUUUUAAAUCGUAUAUGCUUUUUAUCUACAAAAUGUGUUGGGUAGAACAUGGGUAGAUAUAAUAGUUGCUGUGUGAUAAAAUGAAAUAAUGAGAGGCCUCGUUAUAGAUGAUAUUGAUGAUCUAGUCAUCUAGCGGAGUAUAGAUGACGACCACGGACUUUCUAGAUAGUCCAGUGGAACACUAGCAGGCUCGCAACCUGUAGGUGUUUAUUCGAACUGUGUGUUUAUUUGAACUGUGUGCUCACCAGAUGUACUCCAUCCCCCACAUGGUUGCCUUUAGGACAUUUAUUGCUGAGGAAUCCCCUUAGCAGUAGUGUCCAUCCCGAUGAUAAUCCUUAGGCUAGGUCCCUUGUGAUAGGUGUUUAGGGACGUAAAGUGAGGACAACGGGAAUGGGUAAUCAGGGUUAUUGUUGAUUGGUGAACUUAAUAAGUAUAUUAUUAUUGUGGGUUGAAAACCCUAUAUGCUCACCAGGCUCCCAAGCCUGACCCACUCAGUUUUAUGAUUACAGGUAGUGGACCCCGAGCAUAGUCGGAGGACGACGAGAGAUUUUUGGAUUAUAGGCCAGUAGUUGUAAAUAACUGUUGAAAGGCUUAUAAUGUCUUGUUUAUGCUUUUGAUCUGUAUCGGAACAUGACAUCCCGAGGUUUUGAUAUAUAUAUGGAAAAUAUAUACCUUCUUAAUGAAGGAUUUUGAUAAACUUUUAUCAUAUAUUGUUUGGGGACCAAUUCCGCAAUAUCUUAUAAAAAGAUUUCUCUGAUUUUAUUUUAAAAAGCAUAAAUUAAAUCGGUCUUUUCUGGCCGAGAAAUAUGGGGAUGUCACAGUUGGUAUCAGAGCAUUAGUUUAAGCGAACUAAGAAAUUGUAGAAUUUCUAGACUUGAACUUAGAAUGCUAAGUGAUGAUUGUGAGAUGAGUGUCUACCAUAUUUUAGACACGAGCACUAGUUUAUUUUAGGGAAGAUGCCUAAAAUGCCCUUAUGUGCUAAAUGCUAUGUGUUUGCCAUGUGUGCCAUUAUUUGUUCGGAUCUAUGGUCUGUUGCCGACCGGAUCUGGAAACCUUAUGUGUGUAGGAUUCUAAGCGUAUGAAUACGAGAUUAGAACUAACAUGUAAACGUUUCGGAGUGAUAAGGGAAUUGACAUGUCUAACAAGGAUAAAGACCUAAAUUUCGCCUUAUUCGGUAUAUAGAUUGUAAUGGCAAGAACUCGGAGUGGAGCUGGAAAUGCAAACAGAAACCAACAACCUCAACCUCCAGUGGUGGAACAGGUGCCUAUAGUAGGAGCUGCACCCGAACCCAUCACCAUGGCUGGAGUACGAAUUAUGAUUCAGGCCAUGUUGGCUGAACAGAGAGAGGAAUUGAGGCAAAUGUUGCUGAACGACAGGGAUGAACCUUCAGUUCCCGUUGAUCAACGUGAACUAAAUGACGAUCGAUUUGAAGAAGGGAAAAAUAGCAGAUCGGUUGGUCAUAGUGAACCGCUUGUGGUUGGGAGGAAUAACCACAAGGGUAGAGUGGAAAGAAAUGGGUGCAAGUAUAAGGACUUUAUGACUUGCAAGCCAUCGACCUUCAAUGGAAAAGAAGAUCCUGUCGGAGUAAUGGACUGGAUCUCGGAAAUGGAGUUGGCUUUCAUGACUUGUGAUUGCCAAGGCAAGUUACAAACUACGUUUGCAGUACGUCAGUUCAGGGGUAGUGCUGCUCGUUGGUGGAGCACUUUGGGGAAAACCCUAAGCCCUAAUGAGCCACUGCAAUUAACUUAGGCAGAGUUCUUGGUGCACUUCAAGCGCAAGUACUGCUCGGCCCAAAACGUACUUGAGUUAGAAAACCAAUUUCUAACGUUGCAGAAUGGGAGUAUGACCGUUGACGAAUGUACGAAUAACUUCACAGACAAAAUGGAUUUUGCUUUGCGUAUUGUCCCAGAUGAGUUGCCAAAAAUAGACAGGUACGCAAAGGGGCUUCCAUGGGAGUACGCAGUGCCAGUGCGUCAGGCACUUACUUUGGAGGCAGCUAUCUGGGGCGCCAAGUCUGUUGAAGAUAUGAUAAAAGGGAGAGCCGCCAGCAAGGUUGAAGUUGGCGAAAAGAGAAAGUUUGAAGGAACUUCAGGUUCCAAUAAAAAGAACAAAUUCUCGAAGACUGGUUCGAGAAAGUUUGGAGGAGGAAGCGAAGCCAAGUGGUGUGACAAGUGUAGGAAGAAACAUGCUGGGAAGUGCAGCGUGGAAGUCACUUGUUACAAAUGUGGAAAGCCAGGGCAUUAUGCCAAUGAAUGCACCUUCAAUAAGAACGUAUGUUUUGGGUGCAAUGAAGAAGGGCAUAUUUUGAGGGACUGCCCGAAGAAGAAGGACGCAGCAAAACCCAAUCUACCACCAAAGCCGAAGGCGAGAGCCUUUCAGAUGACCCUCGAAGCUGCGAAAGAAGAAGCCGAUGUCGCUUCAGGUACCUUUCUCGUAAACGAAUUGCCUGCCCAAAUUUUGUUUGAUUCUGGAGCCAAUUACUCCUUUAUAUCGCAUGAAUUUGGUAGAAAGCUAGCUUUGCCUGUAGAUAUGCUAGUUAAUGCUAUAAUAGUCGAGAUUGCUAGUGGCAAGUUUGUACCUGUUAGCCAUCGUAUGAAAAACAUCCUCAUUGACUUGGAUGGGAAUAAGUUCCAAGAGGAAUUAUUGCCUAUCGAGUUAAAUGGAUUCGACAUAGUUUUAGGAAUGGAUUGGCUUAGCGCCAACGAUGCAGAAAUACUAUGUAGAAAGAAGAUAGUAAAAGUAAACCCACCAGGGAGAGAGUCGUUUAUGGUGUACGGAGACAAACGCAGAGUAAACUCUGGAAUCAUUUCCCUAAUGAAAGCCAGAAAGUGUUUGGCCAAGGGAUGUACAUCAUAUCUAGCAUUCGUGAUCGAUGCCAAGAUGGAAAAGAAGGAGGUGCAGAAUAUUCCGGUGGUGUGUGAUUAUCCGGAAGUCUUUCCCGAAGAUCUUCCCGGAUUGCCCCCUGAUCGACAAGUAGAAUUUCGUAUCGACUUGUUACCAGGAACGACGCCGAUAGCGAAAGCACCUUAUCGAUUAGCGCCAACCGAAAUGAAAGAACUUAUGACACAACUUCAGGAGUUAUUGGACAAAGGUUUCAUUCGACCUAGUUCAUCACCCUGGGGAGCCCCUGUGUUAUUUGUAAAGAAGAAAGACGGAAGCAUGAGAAUGUGCAUCGAUUACAGAGAGCUGAACAAAGUGACGAUAAAGAACAAGUACCCGUUGCCAAGGAUCGAUGACUUGUUCGACCAGUUGCAGGGUUCGAGCUAUUUCUCGAAGAUCGAUCUUAGGUCGGGAUACCAUCAACUAAAGGUGAGAGAGCAGGAUAUCGAAAAGACUGCUUUUAGAACGAGAUAUGGACACUAUGAAUUUUUGGUUAUGUCGUUCGGACUAACCAAUGCCCCAGCAGCUUUCAUGGAUUUGAUGAAUAGGGUUUGUAAACCAUUCUUAGAUAAAUCCGUGAUAGUAUUCAUAGAUGAUAUCUUGAUUUAUUCGAAAAGCAAGCAGGAGCAUGAAAAGCAUCUGCGUGAAGUGCUAGAAGUCCUGAAAAAGGAGAAGCUGUAUGCAAAGUUCUCCAAGUGUGAAUUUUGGAUUCAAGAAGUCCAAUUUUUAGGUCAUGUGGUUAACCAAGAAGGGAUAAUGGUCGACCCAGCAAAGAUUGAAGCUGUAAUGAAGUGGGAACAACCAAAAAGUCCUACGGAGAUUCGAAGCUUUUUAGGAUUAGCUGGAUAUUACCGAAGGUUUAUCCAAGGCUUUUCUUCGAUUGCUACUCCAUUAACAGCUUUGACCCACAAAGGAGCCACUUAUGCUUGGAAUGAGAAGCAUAAGGAAGCCUUUGAGAAGUUGAAGAAGAGAUUGUGUGAAGCACCGAUUCUUUCAUUGCCUGAAGGAGUUGAUGACUUUGCAGUUUAUAGCGAUGCAUCCGGAGUUGGGUUAGGUUGUGUUCUGACCCAAAGGGAUAAAGUGAUCGCGUAUGCAUCGAGGCAAUUGAAGGAACAUGAAAAGAACUACCCCACUCAUGAUUUGGAGUUGGCAGCGGUAGUAUUUGCCUUGAAGAUAUGGAGGCAUUAUCUUUAUGGCACCAAGUGUAAACUUUUCACUGAUCAUAAGAGUCUCCAAUAUCUCUUUAAUCAGAAGGAAUUGAACAUGAGGCAACGACGCUGGCUAGAGUUACUCAAGGACUACGACUGUGAGAUACUUUACCACCCUGGUAAAGCAAAUGUUGUUGCCGAUGCUCUCAGUCGGAAGGUAAACCUUGAAAAGAAAAGGCCAAGAGCGUUGAGAAUUGAAGUUGUCUCGACAAUUGUGGAAAGUAUAAAGAAAGCUCAAGAGGAAGCUUUAGAGAAAAAUGACCGAAAGGAAGAACGUUUGGGCAAAACGUUAGUGUUCGGUACAAACAACCAAGGGUUGAAGGUAUUUCAAGAUAGAAUUUGGGUACCUAAGACGGGCGGAAUAAGAGAUCUUCUGAUGGAAGAAGCUCACAAGACCAUGUACUCAAUUCAUCCCGGCAGUACGAAAAUGUAUAGGGAUCUAAAACCCUAUUAUUGGUGGCCGACGAUGAAGCUCGAUGUUGCUAAGUAUGUGGCCGAGUGUGUAACUUGUGCUAGGGUUAAGGCACAACAUCAGAAACCGUAUGGGAGUUUAGAACCUUUACCCGUACCCAUGGGUAAAUGGGAAGACAUCACCAUGGAUUUUGUGACUAAACUGCCCAGAACAAGGAACGGUCACGACAUGAUUUGGGUGGUCGUUGAUCGCUUCACUAAGAGUGCGCAUUUCAUAGCGGCCAAAGAGAAAUGGUCUAUGGAUAAACUUGCGAAUUCUUACGUGAAGGAAAUUGUGAGGCUUCACGGUGUUCCGUUAACGAUUGUGUCCGAUCGUGACAGCCGUUUUACCUCAAGGUUUUGGAGGAGUCUACAAGAGGAAUUGGGUACCAAGUUGUGUUUGAGUACAGCUUACCAUCCGCAAACCGAUGGUCAGAGCGAGCGAACGAUUCAAACAUUGGAGGAUAUGCUGAGAGCAUGUACCCUAGAAUUCCAAGGUAACUGGGAUGAACACUUACCUUUAGUAGAAUUCUCCUAUAAUAAUAGUUUCCACUCAAGCAUUAAGAUGGCACCUUAUCACGCUUUGUAUGGGGAGAAGUGUCGAACGCCAUCAUGUUGGCUGGAAGCUGGGGAAAAGCAGUUUAUGGGACCUGAAAUAGUCCAUGAGACUGCUGAAAAGUUGAAAGUGAUAAGGGAAAGGAUGUUAGCUGCUCAAGAUCGACAAAAGAGUUAUGCUGACAAGAAAAGACAACCGAUAUCCUUCGAUGUUGGAGAUUCGGUUUUACUUAAAGUCUCGCCGUGGAAGGGACUUAUAAGAUUUGGUAAGAGAGGGAAGUUGAGUCCAAGGUUUAUUGGACCAUUUAAAGUUCUUCAGAGAAUCGGGAAUCAAGCUUACAAGCUAGAGUUACCGGAAGAACUAGAGGGUAUUCAUAACACCUUUCAUGUGUGUUAUUUGAGAAAGUUCACAGGAGAUGUGCCCGACAUAAUUCCGAUUUCUGAGUUAAGGUUGGAUGAAAACAAGAGGUUGAUCGAAGAACCUGAGGCAAUCGUUGACCGUAAGACUAUGAAGUUACGACGCAAGAUGGUCGAUUUAGUGCUUGUGCGCUGGAAACAUACGAAUGGACCAAAUCUCACUUGGGAAACGGAGAGUGACAUGAUGAGUCGCUACCCGCAGUUGUUUGGUGAUAUGUGAUUCCGGGGACGGAAUCAUCCUAAGGGGGAGAGAAUUGUAACACUCGUGUUUCUAGCCUAGGCAUUUAUAUUGAGUUGAUAGUCUAGGUUAACCUUUGUAACUCAUUUUGAAGAAAUGAAAAGGAAUUAUGUGAAUAUUAUGUGAAUUAUGUGUUUUAUGCUUAAUUAUUAGGGCUUAAUUAAUUAAGAAUAAAAAUAAGCGUCAAAAUUAAAGUGUGAGAUAAGCCCGAUAUCUUUACAUAAAGUUGUAGUGGUCGAAACAAGGAUUUCGGGGAUAUAAAGAAUACCAAAAUCCGAGUUAUAACGAAGAAGUUAUGACCUGUCGAAGUUUCGCGACAAAACCGGCACGGUGCUGAAUGUCGUAAAAAGUGAGUUUUUGAUAAACUACUUUUUAGCCUUAGUAAUCUAAACGAAAGUCGUAGUAUUCGUUAAACCGAGAAGUUCGAUAAAAAGAACGCCCAAAUCUGACUUCGUAUGAGGAAGUUAUGAUUUUUCGAAGUUUCAGCGUAGCAGUAGACAGCUAAAAACUCGAAUUUUAGAUCGAGCGAUUUUUAGCCGACACAACCUAAACGAGAAUUGAAGGUCUCGUCAUUAGGAGCACAACGGUAAAAAGUCUGACGAAAACGGACGUCGGAUGAAGAAGUUAUGAAUUUUUAACGGAUUUCCUGUCCCGGUCUGUUAAAAAUAAUAAUAUAAAAUUUAAAGUCAAAAUUAGCCGACGAAGUCUAAACGGAAGUUGUAGAUCGUAAUUUUAGCUACGCGUGCAUAUAAAGAACGUCAAAAACGGAGCUCGUAUGCGAAAGUUAUGAAUUUUAGAAGUUUUGGCGCGAAAACCGAGAAAUUUCGCAUAGUCACACUUUGCCACGUCACCCUUGCUUAGAAUGUGACACGUGUCCUGCUGAGUCACCUGGCUGCUGAGUCAUCAGGCUACUGAGUCACCGAGGCUGCUGAGUCAUGCGAAGCCACGUUUCAUCUUCUGAUUCGACCGAGGUGGAGGCCUAAUCCGAAGCUGCCAGCCUUCUAUCCGAGCCUCGCACCCAGCUCCGAGCCACGCAUAGCCUAGCUCCGAGCCUCGCAGGUACGCCAGUAAGCCGCGGUCCACUUAGAAGCCGCCAGCGAGCCCUCGCAUGUUUGAGCCAUGUGCGAGCCAUCCCCCCCUGCGAAGCCUCUUAGCCGUCGGAUCAGGAGACUUCUCAGCCCUUGGAUCAGAACUUCGGACCCUAUAAAUAGAAGGGUACCUAAGAAGGCUCCCGGGUACUUUUGGAAUUUUGCCAUUUUUAGCCCGUCUCUUCAUAUUUUCUUCAUCUUAGAAUCCCCCAAAGCCCCGGUAUCGAUUGUAAAGCCCGGAAUACCCCACGAAGUGCCCGAGAAGCCCGGAAAAUUUAUCUUUUCGGUUUCGAAGCCCGACUUUUGCAGAGCCCGGUUUCUCAAUAAAACUCCCGGUUUUAUUAGAAACGAUCGUUUUAGGAAACGAAUUGCUGCCCGAUUUUCACCAAAAUACGUGAGUGUGUAGUUACUUUCAAUUUACACAUAGAUAUGAAGUAUUUACCUUGAAAUACAUGUUAUGUGUAAAUAUGCUAAUUGUUUAUUCGAGGUGACUAUUGAAUUGAUGUUUUUACAAGUUUUAAAUUGUAUAUGCUUUUUAUCUACAAAAUGUGUUAGGUAGAACAUGGGUAGAUAUAAUAGUUGAUGUGUGAUAAAAUGAAAUAAUGAGAGGCCUCGUUAUAGAUGAUAUUGAUGAUCUAGUCAUCUAGCGGAGUAUAGAUGACGACCAUGGACUUUCUAGAUAGCCCAGUGGAACACUAGCAGGCUAGCAACCUGUAGGUGUUUAUUCGAACUGUGUGUUUAUUUGAACUGUGUGCUCACCAGAUGUACUCCAUCCCCCACAUGGUUGCCUUUAGGACAUUUAUUGCUGAGGAAUCCCCUUAGCAGUAGUGUCCAUCCCGAUGAUAAUCCUUAGGCUAGGUCCCUUGUGAUAGGUGUUUAGGGACGUAAAGUGAGGACAACGGGAAUGGGUAAUCAGGGUUAUUGUUGAUUGGUGAACUUAAUAAGUAUAUUAUUAUUGUGGGUUGAAAACCCUAUAUGCUCACCAGGCUCCCAAGCCUGACCCACUCAGUUUUAUGAUUACAGGUAGUGGACCCCGAGCAUAGUCGGAGGAUGACGAGAGAUUUUUGGAUUAUAGGCCAGUAGUUGUAAAUAACUGUUGAAAGGCUUAUAAUGUCUUGUUUAUGCUUUUGAUCUGUAUCGGAACAUGACAUCCCGAGGUUUAUAUAUAUAUAUGGAAAAUAUAUACCUUCUUAAUGAAGGAUUUUGAUAAACUUUUAUCAUAUAUUGUUUGGGGACCAAUUCCGCAAUAUCUUAUAAAAAGAUUUCUCUGAUUUUAUUUUAAAAAGCAUAAAUUAAAUCGGUCUUUUCUGGCCGAGAAAUAUGGGGAUGUCACACCACCCUUAGUCUACUUGCAGUUAUGUUUUCUGUUCAAAAAUUCUGAGAAAAAUGACUACUUUUUGAACAAUGAUUUAUUCACUAGUUUUUGGUUGUUGAUGGUUCUGAAUGGGAUAACCAACUUAAGAAGCAACAUUAGAAAUGUCCAUCAUCGAUUCAGAUACUAAAUAGAAGACAAUGUCUCAAAUUGGGAAUAGAUUCGGUUAGUUCUACUUCCUCCAAUCAAUUGUCAUUUGUCCUCUUUGUGAAAAAAAUCAAAAAUGUAUGUUUGAUUAAUGAUGAUGUUUCCUCACUUUCUUCUUACAGUCAUUACUAGAUGCGGAUAAAGUUAAUGCUACACAUGUAUCACCAUGUGACAUUGUUGCUGUCAUUCGUCCUGCUACUUAUAAGUCUGGGAUUGUGUGUGAAGAAUUAGAUCAAAAAUAUGUGAUGAAAGAUAACUUUGAGAUGUCAUUAUCAAUUACAUUUUCUGAAAAUGGAAAUGAAACCAAUAUCUAUUUAGGACGUGUAAUGCCUUCAUCACGAAAGGACCUGCAUGGUUUGUAUAUAUUUCAACCAAAAUGUAAUUCCCAUCCUCUGUUUCAAAAAGUUGGAAUUUAUACAUUCACCUUUUUCGUUGUGAAUAACAUUGAAUUGCUUUAAUGUAUAUAUAAUCACAUGGUUUUACAAUCAUAUGAUUUUGUUAAUGAUUAGCAUUUACAUAUUUCUAUCAUCAGAGAGAUUCAAGAUGUAAGAAACAUGUGGUGAAGGUCAAAGUUGAAGCGUCGUGUGAGGUCCACAAAUGGGCACUUGCCAAGAAGGUUCCUGAUUAUAAUGUCACGUAAGAAAAAUAUAAUUUAUGUGUGCAGUUUUAUAAAAUCUCACUACUAGAAAAACAGCCUUUUACGACGCUCAUUGCGCGUCGUAAAAGGCUCAGACGACGCGCACAUGCGCUUCAAGGAAGGCCCUGUCAUAAAGAGAGACGACGCGCUUUUGCGCGUCAUCUAUAGACGACGCGCAAUUACGACGCGCGUUUACGACACACAAUGCGUAUCAAGGAAGGCCCUAUCAUAAAGGAAGACGACACGUAUUUGCGUGUCGUAACCUUACGACGCGCGUGUUAAUGACAUGCAAUGCGUAUCAAGAAAGUCCCUGUCAAGAAAGGUCAUGUCAUAAAUGAAUAUGACAUACAUUUUUGCGUAUCAUAAUUUAAAUGUUUAAAAAAUAUAUUAUUUAUAGAUUUACUAAUUUUCAAAUUAAAUAAUAAAUUAAAAAUCUCAUAAUACAAAAUAAAAUACCAUAAAUAACAAAGAUAAUUCAUUUCACUAAUAUGUCAAAUACAAAUAAUUAUUCCAAAAGUGAAUAAAUCAUAUAAAAAAAUGAACUCAUUUAUAUACAAUUGAACUUAAAUUCACUUGUUCCAUGUAAAUGUUAACUCAAGUUUCCAUUUUCAAUGAACUCAUACACCAAAAAAAGGGAGCCCUCCACAAAAUAUCGUAUUAAACGCACCUGCAAAUAUAAAGUCAAAUGUUAAAUAAAUAUGGCCAACUCAAAAUCUUGAUAAAUAUAUUUAUCAACUGAAAUACCGCAUACCUGGUUUAGAUGAUGAACAUGUGUUAACAGAUAAAAUAAUAUAAUUAUGUCUAAAACUAAUAUUCCAAAUCUCGCCUAUGAGUUCUACAUAAAUAACUGGCAACAGUUAUGGAAGAAGGCCCUUGAUGAGAUUUGGCUUGUUGUGGCCAGCUAUACUCAAAGCCAAAACAGCUGCACGCCUAACAUGCUGCCCAUGUUUAUCAAAAUUUAACAGAUCAUGCUAAUAACUCAUACAUAUAGAAUUAUAAGGAAAAAAAGAGUAGGGUUUUCCCCAUUCCGUUGAAUUAGACAAAACAAAAUGUUUUCUUUCUAUUCCAAUGGAAUGAAGAAUUCCAUUCCUCCCCUGAUUCCAGCAUAUAUAGAGAUACUUACCCUGAUCAAUUAAUUUAAUCAAAUAUGCAUAAAAAUACCAAUCAACCCACCAACACUUUUGUUAAAUCAACACAAUAACACUAUUAUUAAAAAACUAUGACUCAAAUUUUGUUAAGGAGCUGUGUUUUAAAUAUUAAGCAUGUGAAAGGAACCAACGCUUCAUGUGAUUUAAGUUUGAAGCAACUCCAUUAUUCUCUAAUGAGGAAGCAUCCAGUUCUUCUGUCACAUCCAUUUUAUCACCCGAGAUACUUGCUGCAAAAAAUUGUACAUUUUUUGUCAUUUUUAAAACAAUAUUCAAAUAAUUUUCUGUCAUGUUUUCACAAACAUCAUUUAUCUAGAUAGCACUUUAUCAGUGUAUCACUUAAUGAGGAAAAAAAUCAAUUUGAGAAGGGAAUAGCAAUAUACGAAAAGGAAAAAAAAUAAUAAUAAGAAUAAGUGUGCAGAAAGCAAUGUGGGGACCCAUAUAUAGAACAAAAGUGUGCAGCCUAGACCCUGAUCAAUUAAUUACAAAUACAACUUAACCAAACUUCAAAAACUUUGGUUUCCAAAAAAGAACAUAAUAAAUGAAAAUGCAUGAAUAUAAUUAUCUAAAGGGAAAAAUACAGAACAACACUUGUACUUUCACCAUUUUAUUGAUUUAGCCACUGAAGAAGUAUUAUUUUUUUUAUUAAAUUAGCUAUUGAACUAUUAUUAUAAUAAUAAUAAAUGAUAAUGGGCAUAAAGUUGAUUGAGCUGACCAAGACCAAUGGAAGAUGCAACACCAAGAGCUACCCACCACAGUCCAAACCUUGCAUAUUCAAGAAGCUCUUCAACAUGCUACAAGAACACAUGUAUCACAUAUUCAUCAUUAUAUAUUAAUACGUAACAUAUAAUCAUGAAAACCAAGGAACUUACAACCUCAUCGAUAAUUUGAAGGAACUUUGAGUACGAUGAAUCAUAGGCAAAGAAUUUGUUAACAAACAUAAUACCUAUUGAAGAUCAAUGUACAACUGAUUUUGGGUUUUGGUUUGAUUUUAUGCUUUUCUUGGAAAACAACUAAUAAAGAUCUAUAAAUAGAGACCAAAAAAUGGUAUUUACUCGGUUUUAUGGAUGAUCUCGUGAUCAAUAGAAGCUUUCAUUUGAGAGAACUCGUAUACAUCAUUAUUUCAAAUAAAACUACAGAAAUAUGUAGUUUUAAUGGCCUAAUGUAAGUAAUAGGCAAUAAGAUGUACCUUUCCAUGAGGACCAUCCACAGACAGAAACAAGAGUCCAGCUGCAACUGUGAGUGUGACAAAAAGCAUAAGCCAUACAACAUGUGUCAGAAGGUAUACAAGUGAUCUUGUUAUAUACUGAAGAACAACCACUAUAAAAAGCAUCAAUGUUUUGAAAGGUUUUUCUAUUAAUGUCAUAUUCUCGAGUUCUUGUUUAUGCUUCUCACGCAGUCCUACAGUUACAAACAAGAAAACCGAUUAGCCAAGGAAACAAGGCAUCCACUCACCAUUACAAAAAUAUAAACCCAAAAUUGGAAAAAAAAUCCAAAUGGUAAAAUGAGAACUUCCAUAAUUAAGGUUGUGUUUGUUACACGAGACAAAAAAGAUUACAAUUUUAUCAAAUUCACAUCAGUCCACUCAAUGCACACUAGACACAGAGCAAUGCCAUUGUGUUGUGUCAUGUCUUAUGUAUAUAGACAUAGACUAUAGAGAGAUGAUAAAUUUUUUCAUAAGAAAAGAGUGAGGUGAUCUUAUUAGAUCAAUUAUACACACACAGAGAGAGAGAGAGAGAGAGAGAGAGAGAGAGAGAUACAGGAAUAAACACAACCAUGGUUCCAUUGUGUUAGUUUGAUAUUAUUACAUUGUCAUAUUAGCUUCAUGUAAACUCGAGUAACCUAGAGCAAGUUAUCCAACAAACUCAUUUCACAUCUUCAAUGGCAUUUAAUCAAUAUUGUUUCGAUUUACCAAAUUAAGUAGGUAAAACUUUCUUAGUCUGAAAAAAGAAACAAUACAAAACCUCAACGGAAAUACAGUAAGUAAAGAAGACUAAAAAAACCCUUGCGAAAGUGCAACAUACAAAAGAUAUGAAUCAAAUAAAAUAAGCCAAUAAGGCAUGGAGAAAGGGAUAUAAUAUGUCCCUUGAUUUUAUAAGGUUAAGAAGAGAGCAAGAAUGGUAGCAAGAAUCAGCUUGUCACAAAGUCAAAUCAAUUAACCAAUGAAAAAGGAUAAGAUUUUAAUCUAUUAGACAACCAGAUCAAAAAAGUUGUGGAUUUGGACGGAUUGAGCCACCCUAGUUAUGUCCAUGGAUUACAGCCAACAACAUCAAAUGUUAGAAGAUUUGAUUUAAACAAUCCCGACAUCUCAAAAAUCAAAAGAGUUACCUAAGAUCGGCAUCUCGAAAGCCUGAGAAGACAACAAGAUUUAUGAUUGCGAUUGAAGUUCAUCUGCACUCACAUGCUAAAACGAAAAUACAUCUUUUGAAUCAAUUUAAAUUCUCGAUAAAAUCUCAAAUCAGUGACAAUCGGGAUCAAUACAAGUCCUAGAAAAUCUGAUAAACUCACUAUUCAAACGGAGCAGGCUAAGAUCAGUAACAACGCGAAAGCAAAUCUUUGUUGUUGUUACGGGAAGAGGACUCCAGGAAGAUAUGAGAUUCACAGCAUUCACUAAUUGUGCGCCGUCUCUCUAUGGAUAUGAUUUGUGCUCGUUGUUGCUUGCUUUUCUUGGUCUCGAGUUAGAUGUUAAAUCAGACAAUCCAGCCAACAUUGGGACAAAAAAUAAAAAGUGUAGAAAAUCUUACAUACAUCUGGUUGGGAUCGAAGAUGGAUUUAGUUAUUUCUCCGUUUCUUUUUCCUUAUUCUCUAUACAUUGUUCUUUUCUUUUCUCCCUUUUUCCAUCUGAAAGUUUCUUAAAAUUUUAGGGCUUCUACACUUGGAGUUUGCUGAAAUUUGUUAAUCAGUCACACAAACACACCCUUAUUUCUCCAUUACCGAACAAUCACCAGCCAUCAUCUCCUCACAACCCCUUGACAACCUUCGAACGCCACCUCACACCCUCACCUGUAAAUCGAAAAAAAAGAAGAAAUAAUAAGAAGGGAGAAGAAGGGUUGUGAUCAAACCAGAGGAAGAAAAGGGGAAGAAAAGGGGAAGAAAGAGGAAGAAAAGGCACAUCUUUUCUUUUUUUUUCUCUCUCAAACUCUAGCUGUAAAUAGGAAAGCACGAGAGAUAUUGGGAGAAUAGAUACAAGAGAGACAGAGAUAUCCAUUCAGGUACGGUUGAGAGGUAAGAACAUAUAAUCAUUUGAAGUAGAAGGAAUUUGGAUGGGUGAGGGUGGGGACGAGGAAAACCUAUUUCCUGUGAGAUCCAGCGCACAAAAGCCCUAGUUCUUCCAAUUUUGGGAUGGCGUGUAUUUAAUGUCUCAGAGGGAGAAAAUGGUAGAUAAAAGAGGAUAGUUGACAUCGUUGACCACUAUAUCGCUGCCAAACUCCAAAAAUAUGAAAGGGAGGAAGAGGUCUAGGGUUUACAGAGAAAAGGAGAAGCAGAGAGUGAAGGUUGUCGGCUGAUGGAGAGGAUGAAUUCGUUAUUCCUUCCCGAACAGCAACAAAUUGAUCACAGAACGAAACCUGCAAAUGAGGUCUAGGGUUUACAUGGAAACCCUAAAAGAUGGAAGAAAAGCGGGGUUUUUAAUUUUUUAGGAUUUCAUUUCCCCCUGCUAUUAAAGGAUGGAACGCGCGUUCCAUUAAAAUUUAUAAAGCGACAUCCUUAGAUGACACACAUGUGCCCUCCGAGUUUUUUUUUGUUUAGAAACUAAUUUAAGGGCACACAAUAAUGCAUGACCUAAAUCCUUAAAUUUUUUGAAGAGAUGACUCUUUUUUAAUGUCACUCUCUUUUGCGUAACAUAAAUCAAUGAGUGUCGUGGUUUGCGCGUCGUAAAAGGGUCUUUUUCUUGUAGUGUCUAAUACCUCAUAUAUAUGUGUUUCACAGGUAUUUACCAUUUCAACUCAUGCCUUUUGACUUCAAGGGUGUUGAUAUUCUCAUAGGUUCAUACUUCUAACAUUUAUAUUUAUAUUUGUUAUGCAGCAUGAAAGUAUUGGUUUAAUCAAGUCAAUUUCUUAAUAUAUUAAAAGAAUUUGUGGUGUACUAUAAUAGAUGACGAGGUUGCUGGACAUUCUAGAAAUGGUAUUCAGUUCAAAGGAUAGUACAAUCAUAGAUGAAGAUAUCGAUAGAAUCAUUGCUAAGGGAGAAGAGGCAACUGCAUAACUUGAUGCCAAGGAGUCGGCUUAAACCAGCCCCAGCCCCUGCCACCGAUGAACAUGAGCCCUUAAACCCAGACUCUGACCGUGGUUUACUUGUUAUGAAGAAGCAACGAGUGAGCCUCAGCCAAGGGGUCGGCUUAACUCACCAAAUACUCGACUCCAGCUUAAGGCAAGAUCCGAUUGUGUAUGGAAUGUCAGUUAACAAUCAAGAUUAAAAAUUAGGUUGAGCUAAUUGAAAUUGGAAUUUGUCCCAAGGAGAUUGUUUUCUACUUUGUGCAGUUUCUUUAUAGAAAUAUAUAUAAUAUAAUUUAUGUUUCAUUAGGUGGGAUGGGUUUGGGUGUGGUAAUACUCUUAAAAAUUGUAAUUCAUGUUAUGAUGCCAAAACAGAUUGGAAGACAAAGCACAGAACUCCAUCAAAUGUGUGAAGUAAGAUUCUUAUCUUAAUUCAUAAAACAAUAGUCUUUUUAUUUCUUUUCUUUUCUUUCUUCUAAGUUCUCAUUGGCCAAAAUCUGUGAGAUACUAAUUCUUUUAUUUAUUUAUUUGUAAAUCCCAUCUCACCUUUUAGUUUUUGUGUUUUUGUUGUUGUUGGCAGCUUCAAAAAUAGUCUACACCAGAAGACAUUGAUGAUUUGGAUGAUGUGGAUGCAGUUAUAAGCUACAUGCCACAAGAUUUCUGAGGAACAUUAAUCAGACAAUAAUAAGAAAGGUCUGAAAGAAAUAAGCAAUCAGAAGUUGAUGCUUUGGUAAAUUCAGGUGGUACCAUACGUGAUAAUGGAUUGUAUUUUUUGUAUCUAAUUCGUUUGUAAAUUUUUGUUACAACUUCUAUUGAUUUGUUUUAUAUUUCCAUGGAACGAUUAUUUGUAUGACAUUAAAUUUAUGCAAUGGAUUCUAUUUUUUGUAUAUGAUAUUUUAUUUUAUAUUAUGAAACAUUAAAUAAAAAUUUAAUUUGAAAAUAAGUAAAUCUAUAAAUAAUAUUUUUUUAAACAUUUAAAAUUAUGAUACGCAAAAACGUGUGUCAUCUUCAUUUACGACAUGGCCUUUCUUGACAGGGGCUUUCUUGAUACGCAUUGCGUGUCAUUAACACGUGCGUUGUAAGGUUACGACACGCGAAUGCGUGUCGUCUUCCUUUAUGACAGGGCCUUCCUUGAUACGCAUUGUGUGUCGUAAACGUGCGUCGUAAAUGCGCGUCGUCUCUCUUUAUGAAAGGGCCUUCCUUGACGCGCAUUUGUGCGUCGUUUGAGCCUUUUACGACACGCAAUGAGCAUCGUAAAAUGCUGUUUUUCUAGUAGUGACAACAUCACCAGUAUCUUGGAAUAACUUGAGAGAAAAGGUUCUUAUGCUCAAAUUGGCUAGCCUUCAUGUGUAGACACACUAGUGCCAAUUUCUUGAGCCAUGCAGUCCUUAUAUAUGGUGGCUAUUAGGGUUACACUAUCUAACUCAUGUCUUUCCAUAGUCUUCAUGCUCCAUGGGUUAAAACCUCCAUGGAGUAUCCAUGGGUUACUUCAUGGGUUUAGCGCAACAUGAAUAACUAUUGAUCAUAAGCCCACAUAUAUAAGAAUGAAUGAUUUACACAAUCAAUCCCCAUAUAUUUAAUUUGUCUCCUUUUGAUCACAAUAUUAAUACCAAAUUAAUUCUUGAUCAAUACUAAUUAAAUAACAUGAUUUCAUAUUAAUAUAUUAGAACUUAUAAUAUAUUAACAAAUCAUAAAUAUCGUUUUCUCACAAAAGUCUAUCCAAAUUGUUCCGAUGCCAUGCAACCCGAAUGGACCAUUCCAAUCGGGUUAAGUACAUACAAAUUAUAUUUAUGGACUUAGACACUAAUCCAACAGUCUCCAACUUGGAUAAGUCUAAAACUAUUAUUGUGUAUGACUUCAAAACCUGACUGGCAAUCAUAGCUCUUGAAAGUCGUUGUCGAACUUUGAACAAAUCAAUAACGCGUCCAUUAGAUAAGGGAUCAUAUAUUCCUCCAUUCUAGAUAUCAUAUGGACUGAGACAUGGAUUAUAAUCAUUCUCUUUGUCCAUUUUUUAUUUCCCGAUUUCCGAUUUAUGACGACCGACUAAUUGAACAAAUCAAAUUAGUCCAGGCUUGGCCAAGCACUUCGGGGUGUCAUCACUAAAUCAUCGAGGGGCCCACAUAUAUCGCUUUUAUCCCUUCAUGGGUAAAAUGAAUGGAUAAACUUCGACUCAUAUGCCUAUUCUACUACUUGUUGAAUCACACACAAAGGGACGUUUUAUAACAUCGAGUUUCCAAUGCGUUUUCGUACAAUCAAUGUAUAACCAACUCAUAGGCAAUAACUCAUAUCUCUAGGUUUGAAGAAUAUAAAAUAUUAUCAUCUCAUGAUCACUCGUGAUAAAAUCCAUGAAGUGAGUCAAAUAAGUGUGGGUUAAAUCCAAUACUCAGAACUUAUGAGCACUCAUGAAUGUUGUAGCAACUCGUGUUAUGUCCACUACUCUGGACAUCUACAAACUAGCUUCAUGACAGUCUUUCCUUAAUACCUACUUCCAAUGUAUUAUCGACUGUGGAUGGUUUCAAUAACUUAGUCAUUCAAAAAGAACGACCUAAUUAUACUGGAAGUCAAAACAUGCAAAGUGAAACACAAGAAUAAUUGAAUCUAAUAUUGUCUUAGAACAACUUUUAUUUAUCACCAUAUUGAUUACACAUUAUUCAUUGGAUACUGUUUCAAAUCAUCAACUUUAUACUUGAAUUAAAACAACAGUUGUCCCAUGCUCCAAGUAUGUACACUAUGUUUUCUAAACACUAGUUAUGCCAUACACCAAGUCUGCACACUAUGUUUGUCCAAACAUUAGUUAUGCAAUACACCAAAUAUGCACACUAAGUUUGUCUAUGAUCUUUAUUUUUGAAAUAGAUCGAUUGGACAUAAUUCCAAUGAUUCUCAUUUCACAGUCCCAAAUCCAUACCGCAAACGCAAGAAUUCCAAAUUCCUGCCAUUUACCGAAAUCUGUUAGAUUUUAAACUUAUACGCACUAAUCCUCUUGUAAUGAUUAUGCACAAAGUCACAAAGACUUGCCAAGAGGCAUUAAAGAGUAUUCCAAUGUAGAUCAACUACAUGGAAACAUCCUUCUUGCAUUAAGUUUUCUAAUGUUACAUAGAUUGAAUAAUUUCUACCUAUGAAACAUUCCCAUUUUGACUAUCACUUCUGAACAAGAGUUGUCUCUUUUUCAAAAUAUGUCAAUACAGUCCUUCCAAAAUUAACACUAUAAUUCCAAAUGUCCCUGAGUAACCAAUAUUUGGUAAACCUAAGAUUGUCGUCGACAAUUGCUUAAUCAUUUUAGUCAUUUCCAGUUCUAGUACUUUUCCCUCUUAAUGCUUUAGGCAUUUGGAAAAAUUUAGAACAGAUGAAUACUAUAGCACAUGCAAUCGAUCUGAAGCAUAUGGGACACGAUUCAUGAUGUCUCACAUAAAGACAUGAUAGUAGACCAGUCCUUUUGCUAUAAUAUUUCUAUUUUUAUUUGCCAAGUUCUCAUAUUUCAGAUUAUGAAAAGGGAUGCCGUAAUCAUAAUCGAAUUUUAGAACGCACAUAAUGUUCCCAUAUAUAGAAUUUCCUUAUGUUGAACCAUUCCAACAUAACAUUCAUAUAUAUACUCGACUAAAUUUGAUUAAAAUCUCAUGAUCUAAGCUGUUAGAUUUGAAAUGAAGUACAAUCUCCUCUCCCUUAAUUAUAACAAAACAACUUUUCCUAAUUGAACUUUUGUUUUCUAUAAUUAACAUUUCUAACUUGCAACACUUAUCAUAAUCAUCAUGCUCCCACUAACAUGAUGAUUAUUAGGAUAACACUUAUGCUCCCACUAGCUUUGACAUGUACUCAGAAAUCUGUUGGACUUCUAGAAAUCAAUACUUUAUUGACUUUCUUACCAAAGUUCAAAUUUCUGAUACGAGAUGCUUUCAUAAAACUUUAUCAAAAUCAUACACCUUUUCUUAGGUAGCUCACAUGUGUGUCUAAAAAAUAUUAGAACUAUGAAAAGGGAUGUCGUAAUCAUAGUAUCAAUUGUUUAGACGUUUUCCAUUUCUCACAAGUCUAUGUUAGUGUGCCGGUUAACCACACACACUCCACUAACGACUUUGAGAAUGAAAAUAUCACAUUUGCUAUCUACUUAAAAUCUAAUUAGUGAAAGUGUUGCCUCACCAUCAUUUUCAUGAAUCGGAGAGAAACCUUAUGACACUUAGUGAAAGUGUUUCCUCACAAGGUUAGUGACAAUUCCAAAUUCAUAUGGACUGAACUUGUGUAGUCUUAUCUUCUUGCCACCUGAUAGCACAAGGGCCUGCCAUUGCUUCCAAGUUGUUAUGCAACCAAUUGAGAACUCUCAGAACUCAUAUGCAACGUCAACUUUAACUGGAAUGGGCACAAAAAUAGGAAUAUGUCAACACGAUAUGCUAUAAACCUCACGACGUGUGCUAGUGAUAAACUACAGGUUUUUAUUCUUAAUUAGAUCUUGAAAUUCUUUUAGAAUCUUUAAGACUCCCACUGUCCUCUUGACAUAUAAGAAUCUCUUGUCAACUAUUCAAGAGAUACUAACAAUUCUUUAGCAAGACAAACACAUCACACAAUUAGCCUUAGUUGGUCUGUGUUUAAUCCAAAACAUCACAACUCACCAAUUUCAAAUGUACAAGAGUAGGACACAUUUUACUCUUACAUCUGACAAGUGUUAUGAAUCUUUUUUAAGAUAUGUCACUCAAGAUACAAUCUUGGAGUAUGACUCUAAGACUUGUUUUGGUACGAACUAUGACUCAUCUUCUUGAUUUAACCAUUUCAACAAUUCAUGACUCCUCUUCUUAGCCAUAAGAAUGAACUAAGAUGUCCUUAGAGGACCAACUGUGAUAUGGUUUCUUAAUCAUUAAGAUGAACAUAAAACAUGUUACUAAAGUACUCUCCUAUCUUUUCAUAUUUGAGAAACUUUCAUCUUUCUGCCUAAUUUGAUUCUUCUUAUUCGUUCUGCCAUACAUCGAACCUUUUCCAAUGUUUCAAAAUUAUACUUAAACUUGUAAGCACAACCAUAUUUACUAAGUUUUAGUAAAUCAUGACGAAUAGUCUUAUCGAUCUUCUGUGGUGCACUUGACCAGUGCACAAGAAUGUGUACUCGAUCUCUUAGUCAUUCACUUGACUCAUAUAUACAUAUGAACAAGGAAUUAGUCUUAAUUUUCCCAAAGAUGAAAAUUCUCAUUCAUCAUACACUUCAACUUGCAAGAUUCUAAAUUUCUAUCCAAUUGAAACUUGGGUGAUGAGAAUCUUUCCUUGUUUGGUAAAUUUAGACACUACCACAAAUGAAAGAAUCAAAUUCAUAUUUCCACUCUUGCUAGUAUUGGAAUCAUAUAAACAACAAGUUUCCACAAAUGCUACUGUAAGGAUAUUUUAAAAUCAAUAAACUUAAAAACCCUUUUUUCCUUUUAUUUUAAAACUUUGAGGAAAAAGUUAUCCUUAUAGUGCAUAUGCAAAUGAAAAACUUGUUAAUUAUUCCUAAGCCAUAUAUCAUAACUCCUAAGUAACAACUCAAAAUUCUGAUCAUCGAACCAUCUGAUCGAGACCCAUCUUCGCGAUCAGAAUCAGCAUAUACUUCCUUUAAGAAUUCCUAAUGAAGAUGAUGUCCCAUGGUUGGUUCAUGGAAAUCAUACUUCUUUUCUUUCACCUCCUCCAAUUAUUCUCCCUAACCCACAACUUCUUGAAAANAGGUCACUCAGCCCUAUUGGAAAGCAAAGUCUAUGUGUGCUCACAUCUUGGAUAUAAAGUCACAUAUUGACAAGCCGGGAGAGUUGGGUGUCAAAGUCUAAAGGAAUUUGGAUGUUUUAUCACUUUCUAAGUCACAUAGUGAGUUCCUUUGGGACUACUAUGAAACAGACUAUGACAUAAACCUUAAUGAUCUUAUCAAUUUGCUUGGUUCUGCUGAAUCAGAAAUGAUUUGAGGACUAGUAAAGCAAAUUUGAUUAGAAGAUCAACUUCCCAAACCUUCAAUGGAUAUUGACAAUGGUAACAUUAGAUACCCAGUAAAAGAUUUCUCUUCCCAAUGGAAAGGGAUCCGCCAUAGUCAACUCGGUUGACCAAAUGGUAAAGAGAAAGGCUAAGUUUGAGAUAGUCCCAUGUAUCAUUACCAAAGAGUCCAUAUACCACUAUUUGGUUUUGAGCAUUCUAACACUCUUAAGUGUACAUGCAACCCUAAAUACCUUGGGUCUACGUUUUCUUUAUUAUACAUGCAUAUACGAACAUUCCAAGGUAUUAUCCUAACUAGCAUACAAAACAUUGAUUCAUAUGUAAUAAAGCAAGUUAGAAGACAUACCUUUGUUAUGUAGGUUGAUUCCAUGGAGCUUAAGAGCCUAGUGCCUCAAGUGUGACACCUCAAAUGGUUCACACAACAUCACCAACAUAUUGGAAUAACUUAAGUGAAAAGGUUCUUAUGCUCAAAUUGGCUAGCCCUCAUGUGUACACACACUAGUACCAAUUUAUUGAGCCAUGGGGUCCUUAUAUAUGGUGGCUAUUAGGGUUACACCAUGUAACUCAUGUCUUUCCAUAUUCUUCAUGAUCCAUGGGUUACUCCAUGGGUUUAUCCUAACGUGAAGAACUAUGGAUUAUAAGCCCACAUAUAUAAGAAUGAAUGAUUAACACAAUCAAUCCCCAUAUAUUUAAUUAGUCUCCUUUUAAUCACAAUAUUAAUACCAAAUUAAUUCUUGAUCAAUACUAAUUAAAUAAUAUGAUUUCAUAUUAAUAUAUUAGAACUUAUAAUAUAUUAACAAAUCAUAAAUAUCAUUUUCUUAAAAAAGUCUAUCCAAAUUGUUCUGAUGCCAUGCAACCCAAAUGGACUAUGCCAAUCGGGUCAAGUACAUACCAAUUAUAGUUAUGGACUUAGACACUAAUCCAACAGAUGGUUGUACCCUCCGAAUGGCAAGUGUCAAUUCUCGUAAGAAAUGAUAGUCGGUUCAUGGAAAAUCUAGGUAGCCAUGAGUUUAGCGCGUGAGUCACUUCUGGGUUUGGUGAUUGCGGUAGACUUUAAGGAUGGAGUUUAAAAUAUGUGGUGGGGAUUUGUAACGCUCGGUUCUUGGUAGGUAUUUUAAAUAAGAAUCCUCAUUUUUGUAAAGGGGCUCGACGAGUUAGAGGCCCCAAACUCGUCAAGUAGAAGUGGGAAUUUGGACGUAGGUAAAGAAAUGUACUCGACGAGUUGAGGAUCCCCAACUCGACGAGUAGGACUGCCAGAGUGAAACCCUAAUUUUUAGGGUUUGCACCCUAUAUAAGGACCUUAACACCUCAUUAUGGCCUCCCUCCUCACCUCCCUAAGUCAUGUAAACCCUAAUUCGUGAGCUUGAGACUUUUGUGUGUGUAGGAGUGAAAAAAGAGUGAUUCUUUGGUAAUCUUUUGAAGAAGUUGAAGUUGGAGGUGCUUUGUUGAAAGAAGGAGCUUUGGAUCUAGGGGUUUCUCUGCUAAGGAAACCAUAUUAAGGUAUAGACUCUAUACCUUGACUAUUCAUUUGCUAGAUCUCUCCUUGGAAUAGUUUAGGGCUUUUAGUAGCUUGUUGUGGAACCAUUCAUGGAUGCAAGCAUGUUUGGUGUUAUGACUUUGGAUCUGGACAUCCACGAAAUAAUUAGAAUCAAAGUUGCCAACUUUAUUGAGUCUUGUCCCUUCUCCAUGACUUAUAUCUCUUUUGGAGCUUAGUUUUAGUGUUCUUAGCUUCUUGACACCAUGCAUGGACGUCAAGUUGGUAACUUUGCGUGAUAUAUCGACUCUAAGGGACCAGAUAUAUUGUUUGGACGUGUUGGACUCAACAUAAAUCGACUUAAUGGAUUAAGACAAAGGGAACUCAACAAGUUGUUUAGACGACUCGACGAGUUGGGUCGUGGUCCCCCAACCUUUUUUGUUAUUAAGCAAACUCGUUGAUUCUAGGAGAUGACUCACUAAUUUGGCCAGGGUUUUGAGUUUUGAAGAGUGGAGGACUCGACGAGUCGAAAGAAGGACUCGACGAGUUCAAACGAAAAGUCUCAAUUAUGUUAUAGAGAGGAACUCGUUGAGUUGUGGAAGAACUAGACGAUUUGGAUCACAAUUUAGGGUUCCUGAUUCAUGGAACUCAAGGAGUUGAUGGACCAACUCGGUGAGUUGAGUCAACCAGAAUGUUGACUUUGACCAGAAUGUUGACUUUGACAUGGACUUUGACCAUAGUUAACUCUUGAAAGGUUAUGAAGUACGGAAUGGAUUCUAGAAGAUUGUCCCAUGUAAUGUUUGGGCCUAAUUUGGAGAAUUGGGCCAAUAGGGGGCCAUUAGUGGGCGUUUAUGGAUUUUGGAGUUUUAGACUUGAUUGGUUUUAAACCGGUGCCCUAGUUUUGUAUCCUAUUGGACUAGGGGUAAAAAGGUCAUUUUACCCAAAUAUCGAUUAUGAAUCAUGGUUUAGGACCCAAUUACUAAUUGGGGUGAUAUUGUGGUAUUGAUAGCUCAAGGAGUUACCAGGACAGCAGUAAGGAAUCCUUACAGUGGACUUCAGCAAUACGAGGUGAGUUACCUUCCAGUAGAAGUGGGUCGAAGGCACCAAGGUCAGCCCACUAGUAGUUGAUUAUAGUUGAGAUGAUUGUCUUUGUGAUAAUUUUCUGGUAUAUCACUAUCAGAUAUGCUUUAUGUGCUAGUAUGUUAUGAUAUUAUGUGGUAGUGGUAGGAAAGGAACUAGUCCUCGAUUAUCAGCUGUAAGGAUCGACAGGGUAGGUCGGGCACCCAGAUAUGCCUGACAAUAUGUUAUGCUAUGUUAUUAUGUACUAGUGGUAGGGGUAAAAUAGUCCCUAUAACUAGUUGAAAUAAACCGGAGGGUAGGUCGGGCACCCAGAUAUGCCUGGCAGCGUAGGUCGAGCACCCAUAUAUGCUUGAUAAGGGGUUGGUCAGGCACCCUGGUAUGCCUGACAAAGGUAGGUUGAGCACCUAGAUAUGAUCAGCAGGGUAGGCCAUGUGCCCAUAUAUGCUUGGCAGUAUGUUUAUUGUAUGGUAUGUGGUACGAUGGGGGAACUCACUAAGCUUCAUGCUUACAGUUUUCAGUUUUGGUUUCAGGUACUUCGUUUUCAAGGGAAAGGAGUCGACGAUCGCAGCGCAUCACACUAUGUUUUCUGAACAUGAGAUCCUUGGGAUUUCACUCUAAUACUGGUUUAUGAUAACAUGUUUUGAUUAUUGACACUUUGGUUUUGAGAUGGGAUGUUAUUAUGUAUGUUUUUUUAUAUUGUUGGUUUUAUCAUAACUUAAUCAAAUUAAAAAUGAAAUUUUUGUUUUUGGAUUUUGGGAUAUUAUAANNNNNNNNNNNNNNNNNNNNNNNNNNNNNNNNNNNNNNNNNNNUAUAUAUAUAUAUAUAUAUAUGUAUAUAUCUUAAAAAACCUAAGAUUUUAUCCUAACAUACAAGAUAUAUAAAUAGGGAAAUGUAAUCCGCUAUCAAGAUGGUGUCUUCUAUUAUGGUAACCCAAUCUCAUAUCAAUCCAUGACACAUAAGGAUAAUAUCUUCAAUCGUCAGGGCUUGGACAUUACAGAUCUUCAUGAAGCUUACUGAUGUCAUGUGGGCUGCAACCCUUGAUGAUCAUCAGCGAUACUAAUACAAUCGUUGACAAACAACAAUUAACUUAUCAAAUCCAACCUAGAUCCUAACAAUUUAUACUAUUUGAUAAUGUAAAUAAUAACCACCAACUAUAAUAAUUAUUUAUAAUAAACAAAAAAGUAAGUAUAAAUAUACAAAAAGAUACAAAAGCUUCAUAGGAAAACUUCAUCAGCCUUGUUGUCGUAUUCAGCAGCAUCAAUCAUAACUUUUGGCUUGACGAGUACAAAAUCUCUAAGAAGUUCCUCUCUUUUAUUUCUAAGUUCAACUACAAGAACCAAGUGGUAUCCUUUUCAACUUAUUUUCCAUUGAUCAAUUGAAAAACAUAAAUAAGAUGUUGAGGAGGAUACAUGUGUAGAUCAGGAGAAGGUGUUAGGGCAAUAGACUUAAGUUUUUGAACCUUUUCCGUGAGCUUCCUAACUAUAGUUCUUAAUUGCAAAUAAAGUCCAUUUUUUCUGUUAGAGACAACAUUCGUUAUCUCCUCCCAUUCAAAAUAGCCAUACUCGGUGAGUUUUAAACCUUGAAUUACUUUAGAGUUAAAAUCAAGACCUCAUUCUCUUAUAAGGUGAAUAGUUAGCACCAUGUUACAUUUGCGUGUGGAGCACCCUUCAGGUGGUCGCAUCACCGUAUGUGUCCUGAUGGGCCCUUUAAGGGGCUUGCACAAGUUUUUCCCUUCUAGUAAUAACUUGACAAACAUUUAGCUGAAUAAUCUAUUGUUCAAAAACCAGAACAUGUGUAAUAAGAUCUUGCAAGAAAUCUUCAUUUUCUUUAUAUCAUUUCAUUCAUUUUUAUAAUGUGUUGCUCCUUUGAAAAAACCUCAAGAUCUUCAAUUGAACAUGCAAGUCAACCAGCAAGAGCAGAAAUAUCACCAAAAUCUAUAUCCCAUCAUCAUUCUUUUUGGACCUUUUGGAAAUGGAUGAUGUUGAAGGAUCAGAGCAAAUCUCUUUUUGAAGAGAGACCUAAUAGGAUUAUCAUCAUCACCAAUACAAGAUUCUUUAGAGGAGGAUUUUUUGAGAGGAAUGGAAUUAAAGGGAAUAUCUGCCACUGGUUCAUUUAGGAAAUCUACCUCAUACAUGGUUAGGUCAUUAUCAAUUUUAGAUUCAUCAUUAUGGUCCACUUCAUCAUCUUUAUAGAUAUGCCCCUUAAGAAAUUGGUCCCCCCCCNNNNNNNNNNNNNNNNNNNNNNNNNNNNNNNNNGAACUAGAUCUCACAUGAGGUCUUGAACUUUCCCCCUUAUUGACAUUAUCAUUCCAAAUACUUGCUAAAUGAAGAGGAGUUGGAACAUUAUUACCCACAGUAUGAGUAGGUUUACUUCAAGCAGCAAUGGUUGAACCUGGUGUAGGAGAUGAUGGAUUAGGGCUUCAAGAUCUUCAUCCUUGUGAGGUUUUUUAGUAGAAGAUGGUGAUAAAAUGGACUUGAUAGUAGCUAAAUCUUUGUCUAUGUAAUCAAUCCGAAGACUCAGAGCAUCCACUGAAUCUUUUACAGUGGAAGAUAUUACAUUGAUGGCUUCAUUAUUUGAGAAAGAGUGACAUGAGAAACACUCUAGGGAGUAGCUUCAAACCGUAGUACCUGUUCACUAAUAGUAGUGAAUAAAAAUCUUUGAGUUUGAUGAAUGUUGACAAUCUUAGUAUCCAAUGUUUGAUGUUCGAGAGAGUUAGGAAUAAUAGUGUCAUCAUUGUAGAAAGAUGUAGGAGAUGGAGAUCUUUGGAAACCAAUGAUUGCAAAUCUUGUUUAAGGGUUAAAGAGCUAUGAAUAGGAGAUGGAGUGGUUAAUUUAUGUGUGGACCAUGAUUCAGAUUCCCAGACACAUCAUCCCUAGAAAUAGAGUUUUAUUCUUGAUUUUGCCCUAGGUUUUGCAAUUUAUCGGGGUAAUCGUCAUCUGAGACACAAAAGAUUGUGUACCUUUUAAAUGGAGGAGGGAAAAUAUGGAAGCAUUGUCACUCGCAUCAUGAAAAAUAGUUGGUGGGGAUUACACUGCCUCGGGAUAUAAGUCCUCAUUGGACUCUUGAUUUAUGUCUGUAUCAUCUUGGUCCUCAUCAUUAUCAUCAUUGUUAUCAUCACUAUCAUCAUCUUCAUCAUCUUCCUUGUCAUUGUUUUCGUCAUUAUCUUCUUUUUUAUUAGGCAUUUAUUGAAAUGGUUGCUCAAUCCAAAUUCUCAUGGCAGGGAUGAUAGUGCGAUCAGUAGGACAACCGGCUGCUUCAAAAAUCUUGGAAGUUAAAUGCCUUGACUAAAUAAGUGGUCCUGGAAGUUCUGCAUAUGCCUCAUAACCCAUGGAUUGUUCCAUGGUAAAAUCCUUGGAAAGAGAACAAUCGACUAUCUACAGGGAGACUUAUGCAUCAAGGAGAUGAAUUAAUCAAAGACCAUUUAUGAAUAGUCCAUGUGGUGACCAUUAUACAUAGCAAAAAAAUAUUCAUCUCCUAAAGAUUUAAUUGAUCCCAUGCAUUGAUUUUGUGAGAUAGGUACAUGUUGAUGAGGCCAGUAAGAUAUUUCCAUGUAUAUGUCAUGCAAGCUCUUUUGAUUAAAAUUUAGGUGUGGUCCUUGUUUGGUGAAGUAAUUCCCAAUAGCUAGAAGGAUAUGACACAUAUAUUGAUCUAACUGAAGGGGAAAGAGCUCAUCAACAACAAGAAGAUAAAGAGUAAUCCAAAAGUGAUCAAUGUUGAUGGUUACUGGAAUACUUUCAUUAGUGAUAUUUCCUUUGAUUGACUGACCAUAUUCAUCAUCUUCCACAAUGUACUAGAAUUCACACAGUUCCUUAGAAUUAAUUUGAAUGGACUCACGAGUAAGUGUAAUGGUGAAAGUGAUUGAUUGAAGAUAUUAAGAGAAAUCUUUGAUACCCAUUCCCAACUUUUUGAGGAACAUCAAACAAAGUAACUUGAUUUGAAUCCUUUAUGGUGACAUGUAAUAGAGGGGUAUUGAAUGCAGGUCCUAAAUCAAAUUCAGGAAAAUGGGUGAAGGCGGCGACCAUGGUGAUCAAUGAUUCUUUGAGAUAAAGAAGUUCUUGGAAGAGAAGAGUUCUGGAUAUGUUGUUGAAAGGAAUUGUGAUUCAAAGAUACUUUUUAUGAUACAAAUAUAGAGGGUUUAGGGUUCCCCAGAAGAUAAACAUGAACUCAUCGGUAGUAUAUUGUUAGUGGAAAGAGGAAAUGUUGACAUUGAUUACACUAAUACUUGACUCAGGACAAAGUUGCAUACUAGAAAGCCUCACACAUUGUAUGUUAUAAUACAGAGGUACCUAGACAUUACGACCUUUUGAUAUCUCAUAAACCAUGGGGAUGAUAGCAGAUCAAAAAUAUUACGGAAUGUGGAUGACUCUCUUAGACUAUUGGGUCGAUAGAAGUUCUUAGACAACAAGGGAUGGUGAUAUUCAUUAAAUAUUUUUUUCAUAGGAAAUCAUCAACAUUAAGUGCAUGUUAUGUCUCACUUUGAAUUUUGUUUUAAUAGAACGAUCAUAGAAAUUGAAGUAAAAAUCUAGACCAUCUAUGCUCUGUAAAUUCUUUGGUACAAGGUAAGGUGUCAUACCUCAGUUUAUGGUAACAAUAGAUGAGGAGCAAGGAUACCAAGUGCAUUUUAUGUCUCACAUAACCUAUUGUUAUUUUAUAAGAGAUCGUAGAUGUCGCAUCCAAAAUUUUACAUCAAAUUUAAACUUUGUCAAUCAUAAGCAAAACCAAAUAGUAUUUGUUUACAAAAUGUUUUCAAAUCAUUAUUCAUCAGAGUGUCCCAAUAACUAGAUCGAAAGGAUGAGGAGCAGGUACGAUCACGCCUUCGCCUUGUCAUGAUCUCAUGAAGUACCUGAAACAAUAAAUUGAAAACUGUAAGCCUAAGGGCUUAGUGAGCUACACCAAAAUACCAAUACCACGCUGAUAAUACCAUAUCAGUAACAGACAAUCAAUAACAUGCAUAUUGGGCCAUAGGCUUGACUGGACCACCCUGCAGGGCCUUCAGUCUAUCUGAUCCUAUCCCGAUCUUUCGGCAUGACUGGACCGCCACGUGGGCCUAUAGUCUCCCCGGACCGCUCAUAGGGUAUGUUGGCCUUCAGCACAAAGCAGGACCGCCUCAACCCAACCAACAAGCAAAUAACAAAGUGCGCAUAACUAUCAUAUACUGGCAUAUACAAACAUCAAACAUAUCUAUCUCACUGAUCAUCAAUCAUAGAAAUCUCUCGUAACUAGAGCACCGACCAAGCAGGUCACUAACAUACCAAUCCCUACGGAUCAUAAGAGCAUAAUAUACUGUCUAUCCUGAUUCCGAUCUAACAGAUCAUAACCACAUGAAGCACACCAUAACAAUAGCAACUUAAGGGUCGGCCUUGGUGCCGUAGACCCUAUUGAUAUAGUGAGGAUAACUCACCUUGCAGAUGUCGACUCGGUAGCUGAACUCCAACUCUCGGAUCACUGUCAAAAACUCCACCACCUAUUACCAUAAUAUAGUUAUACGUAUAAGUUCCCAACCUUUCAAGGUACCCCAAAAGCCAACUAAUCAAACCCUGGUCAAAAUCAAAGUCAUCAGUCAAGGCCAACAGUCCAUGUUGACCCUAACUCGCUGAGUACCCUCGGUUACUCGCUGAGUUCCUUGAAGUACUUGCCCACUCGCCGAGCCGCGGAGUGACACGUCGAGUUCCUUUGGUUUACGAUUGAACUCUAAGGCCACUCAUCGAGUUUCCUUCUUGCAACUCGAAUGUUACACACGCAUACAAAAAUUGGGGAAAACCUCAAUCGACUCGCCGAGUGGUUCAUGCAACUCGUCAAGCCCUAUGGCAAUCUUCAUCGGACUCGCCGAGUUGUUCACCCAACUCGUCGGGUCCAUGCCUAUCUUCAUAUGACUCGCCGAGUCGGCCUUGCAACUCGCAGAGUUCCUUCAGUCCUUAAGCCAUACUGACUCUUUUAAGCCAUUUAGUGGCUCCAAAUUACAGAUCCAAGCUUCUAAGGCAUGCAUCUCAUGCAAAGUUGCAAACUUUACGUGCAUGCAUGGCUAAAAAGGCUCUUAAUGUCAAAUCCAAGCUCACAAUGGGGGGUUUCAUACUCAAGGAGGCUUCAUACAUGACCAAGCUCAGAGCUUUAUGACUCUAGAACCCAAGAAGGGUCCAGAUAUGAAGUUACAACUUUAGAUCUAGCUCAGAUCCUACACUAUCAUCUCAAUCAAACCAUAAAAACCCUAAAUCUCAACCAAAUGAGGUCUAGAAGGAAAAUGAAGUAAAGGUGACGAAUUGAUACCUCUAAAUGAUGCUAACUAGGGUAGAUUUUUGAUUCCCACGCCUUCCUUGCUCCUAGUCUCUUGCCCUCCAAGUUCUUCCGUUCCAAAAACCUCCUUUCUAAAGCUUAAGACACACAAGGAUGAAACACCACACGAAUUAGGAUUUUCUGAGCUCUCAACGACUGUAAAUAGAAUUAAGGAGGAUUAUGCUUCCUUAAAUAGGGUGCAAAACCCCAGGAUCUAGGGUUUCUUCGGCCAGCUCCUACUCGUCGAGUUCUUCAUGGACUCGGCGAGUAGGCCACUAAACACGAGAUCCCACCCCGCUGCUACUCGACGAGUAGGCCACUAAACAAACUUGCAUUACAAUUUUGUGACUUUUGUUUCCCUUACUUAUUCCAAGGACAAAAUCUUCCUUAAUGGGUGGAUAAUUGUAACAUCUUGUUCUUAGGACUAGAAGUUUUAGACUUUUUGGUAAAAAUAAAAAAAACUUCUUUAAUUUAAAAUAAAAUAAAUUCAAGUGAAGUAAAGGAAUAAAUGAAAUGAAUAUUUUAGAAUAAUAAUAAUAAUAAUUUUUUCAUUACUUUAGAUUAAUAUAUGAUAGGGAAUCUGGCAUUAAAUGAGACUUUUGUAAGAAAGGGACCAACAAUCUCAACAUAUAGAAACUUGUGCUUGGCUCGAUAGUUUGAAUAAAUAAGCACCCCGUGCUAAAUUUAUAUAUGUUAUGAUGGAUUAGGACUACUUAUGGAUAUAAUAUAAGUUAUCAUAAAGUUUUAGCUGAGUCAUGGAUCAUCAUUGCAAAGAUUUUAAGGGGAGGGACCAAAAUUGGAAAGUUGGCAAAACUUGUGUCCCUGCUCCGCGCUAUGUUUUUGGAACUAGCAGAUUAUAAGCAAUGAUUUUCAGCCUUGUUUCCCUCAUUUCUUUAAAGCUUUUCUUCUCUACUCGAGUUCAACCUCUUUCCCACAUUCAUAAUCGAUUUUUUAGUUAUAUCCAUGUUGUUUUAGUGAUUGGAAUUGUUAGAUGUAUGAUUACUCAAAUCAUGUCAAGGAAAUGGAAUGAACCAUGUGGAGAUCCUUUCUUCUGUUCUUUUGAAUUUUUAUAACUCUGAAUUGUUCUCUUAGGUCAUUUGAUUCGUUUUGAAAUUGUAUUGAAACUUGGAUGCUUAAUGAGAAACAAAGCUAAUUGAUGCAUUCUAUUAUACAAUAUUCGUGAAACAACUAAAGGGAGGUUGCAACGCAUUGCUUGAACUAUUUUUUUAGCUUCAUGAUCUUAUUGUGUCUUGGUGUUAGUUCUCUCCUUUGAGAUUCUUUGGUUUCCUUAAUGCACAUUAGAACAUUUUUGGAGUACUUUUAUAUUAGAUUGAGGAGUUGACUCGUAGAAGAGUAAUUUAGUCAUUUGACAACUUUUUUUCGUACUAGGUGAUUAACUUAAGAUGUUUGAAGUUCAAGGUGUGUAUUUCAAGUGUAGGAGAUCUUAGGUGCUUAUAUCUUUUGUAAUGUCUGGUUCCAGGUCUGUAUUUGAAUUAUAAUUAUUCAUUUUUAUAGAGGAAAUUGACGAGUUGGGAGCCCUAGACUCGUCGAGUAGAGAUGAUUUGGGACGCGGGUUAAGAAACCUAGUCAACAAAAUUGGAGGCCUCAACUUGAAAAGUAGGCUGGCAGAAAUGAAACCCUAAUCUUCAGGGUUUUUGUACCCUAUUUAAAUGCCUUAUUGUUGCAUUUUGUCCACCCUCAUCGUUCCCCUAGUACAGUAAAACCCUAAUCGUGCCUCUUUCUCCAUUUUGAAUGUGUGAGAGUCUAAAGAGUGUUCUUUGGUGCUUUUCUUGAAGGAGUGUGAAGUUAGUGGUGCAAAGUUGAAGGGAGAAGCUCUAGAUCCAGGAUUUUCAGUGUUGUUACAACCAUUUGGAGGUAUAAAGUCAAUACCUUGACUAUUUAUUUGCUAGAUCUCUUCUUUGAGAAAUUUAUGGCCUUUAGUAGCUUGUUUUCGUGUCAUUUACGGAUUUGAACAUGUUAUGAAGCUAUGACUUCAGAUCUAGACAUUUCAUAGCCAAUUGAGACUUAAAUUUGCCAGCUUUAUCAAGUCUUAGUCCUCUUCCAUGCCAUAGGUCCCUUAUAAAGCUUAGUUUUAGUGUUUUUAGCCUCUUGAUACCAUGCAUGGACAUAAAGUUAGCAACUUUACGUGGUAUCUCAGCCUAAGGGGACCAGAUAUAUGGUUUGGAGGCAUUAAACUCGCUUAGAAGUGACUGAAUUAGUUAAGACUACAGAAACUCGAUGAGUGGUUUACCUAAAUCGGUGAGUUGGAUCGUGGUCCCCAUAUCUUUUCGAUUACUGAGUAAACUCGACGAGUUGAAGAGAUGACUUCGCGAGUUGAGUAGGACUUUCAUUGUUUUCUGAAAAAAGAAGGAACUCGAUGAGUCCAUAAAGAGACUCGACGAGUUGUACUGGAAAGUCCCGAUUUUGUUAAGAAGGAGGAAAUCGGCGAGUUGAAGGAAAACUUGACGAGCUGGACCGCGAUUUCACAAUUCUACGAUCUAUGGGAACUCAUCGAGUUGAGGAAUGUACUCGACUAGUUGAGUCAACUCAGAGUAUUGACUUUGACUUUGACCACAGUUAUACAUCCCAAAAAUCAUGACCAAAAAUUUCAUUUUCAAUUACUAAAUAAAACAUAGUUAUCAAAAUUAUUUCAUCCAAAAACAUAAGUCAUCGUAUCAAAUCAUAGUAUCAUAUCAAAACACAUAUCAAUAUAUUAGAGUAACACAUCCCAGGCUAAACAAAAUGGUGUGUUCACUGCAGUCAUCCCGAGCUCUACCCUUUGCUACUGGAAGUACCUGAAACCAAAAUUGAAAAUUGUAUGCACAAAGCUUAGUCAGUCUCCCCAAACUACCACAUAACAUACACAUAAUCAUAUAAUAACAUCAUAACAUACAUGCGCCUUUCCCGCUUCAUCAGGCCCGGCCUGGCAUCAGACAAUGUACGGCGUCAAGCCUUGCCCGACAUCGAGCAAAGUACGGUAUACAUAUAAUCAUAUCAACAAUUACAUAUAAAUAAUCACAUAACAUAAGCAUAUAAUCAUUCCUCAGGCCCCGCCCAACAUCUGACCAAAAUCCGGAAGCAUACUAACAUUCCUCGGGCAUUGCCCGACAUCAUACUGAAAUCCGGAAACAUACAAAUAGACACACGAAAGAAUCAUGAAGACAUCAAGCAUAAAAACAUUCCUUAGGCACCGCCCGACAUCGGAUUGGAAUCCGGAAAUAUAUAAACCUACAUCAAGCAUUGCUCAACAUCGGUCAUUAGCCCGGAACAUACUAUCAUACACAUACAUAUCGUCAUUGGUGCCUUCGAUCCGUUCAUACAGGAGGAUACUCACCUCCUGUGUCAAAUGAUGGCUGAAACGUCUCUGCCUUAAAUCAGCUCCACUCAUUGCCUUAAUCAAAACAACCCCUCUGCCUAGAAUUAGCUCCACUCAUUACCUUAAUCAAAACAACCCCUUAAUUACCAUUCCAUACUCAUAACCCUUAAGGUUCAACUUUGGUCAAGUUAAAUUCAACGCUCCGAGUUGACUCAACUCUUCAAGUUUAUCCUUCAACUCGUCAAGUUCUCAUCAAUCACGGAAUUGUGAAAUCACGAUCUAACUCAUCGACUUUUCCUCCAACUCAUCGAGUUCCUCUUUCUUAACAGAAACGGGACUUUCCUAGUAUAAAUCGUCGAGUUCCCUUGUGGAAUCGCCGAUUUUCGUUAACAGAAUCGAGAAUGUUCAACUUAACUCGUUGAGUUCCCUUAUGAACUCACCGAGUUCCUUGCAUUUCUAGUCUAUUCAGCCAUUUCCUCAAAUGAAAGGUUCCAAAAUAUAGAUCUACAUUAUUUCCAUGGUAUAUUUUUGUAAGGUUAACAACUUGAUUACUGUGCAUGCCUAAAAUGGACCCAAUCUCGAGAUAUAGCAACCUACUUCUAUAGACAUGGUCUUUUCAUGGAUAAAAAUGGGUUUAGGAUCCCUUUUUAUGAAUCUAAUGGCCAAAUAACAUUAAGAAUGGGAGUGUGUAGCUUCAGGGCCAUCAAGGUUAACAUAUUUCCAACAAUGGGGUCAAAAAGGCUCAUAAAACAAGGCUAAGAGAGAUCUGAGUUAUGAAUCACCAAGUUAGGGACUCUUUACCUUAGAAAGUUGCCAAAGAUAGACGAGAUCCUUGAUCUAGUGCUUCCCCUCAAGCUCAAUGACCUUCUAUUUCUUCAAAGUGUACAUCCCCGAUGAACCCUAGCAACUUGUAUUGUCCUAUCUUCCACGAUCUCUACAUCAAGAGGACAGUCUAGCUCUCUUGGAGCUCCAACAAAUCACUUGCUCAGCGCGAGUGAUACAAAAGAUCGGGUAGCCCCUGAAUCAAAUAAUACCAGAGCAGUUAUACAGUUCACAAGGACCGAUCCUAUAAUGAAAACACAUGAACAUAAGCAAUAAUCAACAUAAGUAAAGAGAUAAGGAGAAGUUACAUACCCAUCACAACAUCAGGAGUUGCACGUGUCUCCUCUGUUGUCAGCUGAAAGGCCCUGCUCUUCGCCAUAGGCGCCUCUGACCGGAAUUGAUGGCUAUCGGUAAUCCUUAGUGUAGCAGGAGGGGUACUACCACCCGUACUGUCAUUGCUAAACUCGGGUAUUGGGACCACAUGUGUCCCCUUUGAUUGUACUGGCAACAAAUCAGAUCUGAUACUGUGGUGGUGAUGGUGGUAGCAGUACAAUCCCUACUGACAUGACCUGUUUGGCCGCACUUAAAACAGCCCGAACUACCCGCCCUGCACGCCCCCUCAUACAUCUUGCAGCACUUACCACAACAGUUGUGGUCCUGCUGGCUCAUCGAUCGAUAAUCCAAUACCUUGGGUUUCUUUCUCGCACUCCCUACCUGAAGCCCCUCUAGUUUCCUCUUCUUCUCCAUCUCUAAAUCCAACUCCAUUUCCCGAGCCCUCGCAAUCAUGCCCUACGAUGUCUUGUAGCUAGAUCGACUCACAAACUGGCGGAUAUCACUACUCAACAUCUCAUGGUAUCAGGCCUUUUUCAUCUCCUCGUCCGCCACAUACUGCAGAACAAGAAGGGACCCUCUCCCUGAACAUGGCGGUGAUCUUAGUCACCAUCUCUGUAGUUAGCUGGAGAUCUUGGAACUCCCAAGCAAGCUGGUGCACCUUGAUCACAAGUGAAAACUCGGCCCUAAACCUGGUUAAAAUGUCAUUCCACUUAAUCGCAUCAAGAGUGGCAUCAUCUCCAAUGGCAUGUCCAACCUCCUCCUACCAAUCACAUGCCCUGUCGUUCAGAAGGCAGGAAGCAAGUUGGUCCUAGUCCCCAUUGGGACAACGGCUGGUGCGACAGGCAUUGGCGACAUCAGCCAAUCAACUGCUGCUAGCAAUGGGGUCCCAAGCCCUAUGAUAGUCUGGAGCUCCACAAGCUCGGAACUCCCUGAAUGUCAUCGUUCGUGCCUCUAACAUGGCCGCCAUCUCGGUGCAGAAAGUACUCAGCCUCUCAUCAAGAAUCUCCAAGAUGCCCUCCUUGACCGUAGUAAAGAUUACAGGAGUCUAGUCCAAAAUAUUAUGCGUGAUAUUAGAAGAAAUUAACUCCCUCUUCUGAUCAUAUAGCUGGCCAACUCCAAAGCCCGAGCCUGAUCCUUCUUCUACUGCAGAAUUGCCAACUACACUCGCGCGUAGCAUCACUAUACUGAAAAUACACCAUAAAAAUCAUCAAGUACUCAUCAUAACUCGAGCGAUCUCACAUACUACAAGUUCCCUGGGUUCAUCUCAGCCUUCCAUGAUUUGAGCAAGGAUCCUCUACUUUUAGUAGUAUGGGCCCAUACUACCUUCCAUAUCUAUCCGUACUUUCCUCAAGAACUGCCUUGAUUCUACCAUGUCGCUUUCACUACUACUGUUUUUCAUGCUAAUCUCAUCCUAGGCUUACCCUAAGGUAAUCUCCAACCCACACUCCGCCAUAAGCUACAUAAGAAUCCCUGCUACCUUUCCCUAACUAGCUCGGGAAUACCAUUACAUAUUACUAAGACCAGAUAAUUCUUCGAAUGAGAGGUCUCUCCCUACAAUGGUCAAACUCAAACGAGAGCUGUGAAAUAAGGCUUAACCUAACCUUUUGAAAUUAUUUAGUGCUUGUAAUAUAUAAUUUAACAUAUUCAUUUACUAGUUAGUUGAAGAUAACUAGAACUCCUAUAAGCAAAAAGCAAGCAGCAUUCAGGCAUUGAGUAAACAAAAACCAAUCAUAUCCUAAUCAGACCAUCAUAUCACUAACAAAUCAGUACUAGCAUGCAGUUCAUAAAGCUGAUACAUAUAAUAGACAUACAAGGCAUCAUUCCUAGAUCCUUAGACCUAAUCUGGGAUGUAUUUCUCAUAAUCAUAUCAUAGCAUAACAAACAUGUAAGGGUAAUUUGGGAGAACUUACUUGAGCUUGGCUGAUUAGAUGCACCACACUCGUUUCUCUUUUCAAAAUCCUUUUAUAAAAGUGGUUUUAUUUAAAAAAUUUAUACCAAGUCCUCAGUUUGAGUUUAGACACACCCAAGACUGUGCCCGAAUCCUUCAAACCAAGGCUUUGAUACCAACCUGAAACAUCCCAAAAAUACGGUCCAAAAUUUUUGUUUUUAAUUAUUAAUAAAACCAUAGUUAUCAAAUCAUUAGAUAAAAAUCAUAAGUCAUUGUAUCUCAAAAAUCAUAAACAUCUAUCAUACAUAUCAGAGUAAAAACAUCCCAGGCUAAAAUCAUGGUGCGUGCACUAUAGCCAUCCCGAGCUCUUCCCUUUGCUAUCAGAAGUACCUGAAACUAAACCUGAAAAUUGUAAUCAUGAAGCUUAGUGAGUCUCCCCAAAAUACUACAUACCAUACACAUAAUUACGUAAUCACAUAAUAACAUAUCAUGGGCCUUUCCCACUUCAUGGGGCCCCGCCCCGGCAUCGUGCCCCGUUUGGCAUCAGACUGAAAUCCGGCAUCGAGCCCCACCCGGCAUCGAGCAAAGCUUGGUAUACAUAUAAACAUAUCACAAAUACACAUAAAUAAUCACAUAACAUAAACAUAUAAACAUUCCUCGGACCCCGCUCGACAUCGGACCAAAAUCCGGAAAAAUACAAAACAGACACAUGCAAGAAUCACGAAGACAUCAAGCAUACAAACAUUCCUCGAGCACUGCCUGUCAUCGGAUCGGAAAUCUGGAAACAUAUAAACCUGCAUCGGGCACUUCCCGACAUCGUACCUUGGUCCGAAACAUACUAGCAUACAUAUACGAGCUGACAUUGGUGCCUUCAACCUGUUCAUGCAUGAGGAAAACUCACCUCGCAAUGCUGAAUGUUGAAUCUCAUGGUACAGAAUCCCCAAUAGCUGCUUCGACGACUCCCGAGCUAUCAAUGUAACAUAACACUUAGUUAAAAUCCAUAAAGCCUUCUUAGGGUAAAAUGACCAUUUUACACCUCGUCUAAUUAGGACCAUAACCUAGGCCCAAAUCUAUAACAUCAAUGGUCCAAUUUUUAUAAAACCUUUCCAAGCCCACUAAUGGCCCGCUUUUCUAAAUUGGGCCCAACUCUUCAAAUGUGCCUUCCUUAACACCAAGCAUGGUCUAAGCCUAAUAAAUGACUUUUAAUGGCCCACCAAGGCCCAACAACUAAGAAAUCCAAAGAAUAGCCCAAUCCAAGGCCCAAAUGACAAAAAGCCCAAAAUCAGCUAGUACACGGGGCGUACUCCUUUGUACGCUAAGCGUACAGGCUGCAUAGCUUGUACGCCUGACAUACUGGCUUGCACACCCAGUGUACUAUCUUGUUAAGCCAUUUUCCUCAAAAGUGCUUAAUCCCUUAAGAACUAAAGCUUAAAACACAAAUCUGAGACCACUAACAUGUCUUAACCCAUAAAGUCGAUUACUUGGUGGCUUGCAAUCCACCAAAUGGACCCAAACUUGGAAUAUAACAACUAUUUUCCAUGUAAAUAACUAGAACUCAUGCAUGAUCACAAAAGGACCUUCAAGAUUGAAACUUUUCUGCUCUUGGGACUCAUAUAGCACUAAGGGUGGCAACCCUAAGCCUAGAAACGGAUUGGAACCAUAAAAAUCCAUUCUUGGAACAUAAAUAGGUCUAAAACACCAUUAACAUAGAUCUAAGCAUUCAUGAAGCAAGUUGAGAUCUUUUUACCUCAAAUGCAUGCCAAAUGGUGAUGUUAUGUUAGAUCCUUGAGCAUAAGCUACUCAAGUUCUUCUUCUUCAACUUCUUCCUUCUCCUUCCAAGCUUCAAAUCACCAAAAUAAGCUUCACAAGGCCAAAAACACACAAGGAUGAUUUAUGAAAGGUUUUUAGGGUUUUUGAAUUGAGGUGGCUGGUAAGGAGGCUAGGUUUUGGAACAUAAUGUUGUAUUUGUAUGGCUUAAACACUAAAAAUUAGGGUUUUGAGUCUGCUUGCGUAUGUUGCGCGUACGCACCUCCGCCCCCACAUUUGAUGCUACUUUUACGCCACGCGUAUGCCAAGCUUACGCCCAGCGCACGUCUUCAGGCAGCUCAAUCUUGUCGGCCUACUUGCUUUGGCCCAACUCAAUAGUCCACUAUUUCUUUCAUAGUCCAACAAUUAGUUACAAAAAUAUAAAAUAAUUAUUAUUACCUCAAGUCACGGAUGUUACAGAAAUAGUAAAUGCCUUACCUACCUAAAAUAGAUUCGAAUUUAAUUACGACAUCCCUCUACAAUGUUCGAAUUGAAAAUAUGCGUCGUAGCCUUAAUUUAAAUUUAUGGCUUAAUAAUUAAGGAUUAAAAUCAACUAACUUGAAUUCUCUUUUGUACUUUUAUAGAUGUCGAGUCAAGACAUCAAUGGUCUUCCUCAUUCUUUUGGAGAUGUUUUUCCACUUCCUCCAGAAGAUGAUCUUCCACGUUUAGAUCAAUGUCAAAAUGUUUCCUCUUGUUCAGGAAAUGGUAGGAAUAGUUAUCAUGCUUCUCCAACUCUUCCUCCUCCUCCUACAGUGACUCUCCCUACAUCAGGUUUUCCUCAAGUCGAAAGAUCUGAAACCACUCAAUUUCUAUUGGCAUAUAAACAUCAAAAUGGAAAUUUUGUGUCAAUGCAUGCUUUGGAAAUGACAUUGUACAUUGACAAAUUGGAAACAUUGAGUGUCAUUUUCUCAAGGAAGUAGGCCAUUGAUUUGGUUCUUCUUUUGUUUCUUGAGUCAUACAGUCAUACAGUCUGUUCAUUGAGUCAUACGUGAUCCUAAUUGAUCUGACACAUAUAUUGAUUGUUGCCGAAGCAAAAAGUCUUAAGAGCACAAGUGAAGUUAAAGUGUUUAAAGGAUCUAAUUCCAAAAUUUCCAUGGAUGUUGACAAUGGUGGCAACGGUGGUCCAGAAAAGAUUUAUCUUCCCAAUGGAAACGGAUCGACCAAUAAUUAAACUCUCUGAUCACAUGGUAAAGAGAAAGGUUAGUUCUAAGAUAGUUCCAUGUGUUAAUCCUAAAAGGUCCAUAUGUAUCUAUUGCCAAUUGAAGGGACAUUGGUUGCGAAGCUUCCCAGACUACAUGAAUGAUAUUAAAGAUGGUAAACUUAAGUUGUGUAACUCUACUUUAGGUACAUCCAUUAUCUUAACUAGUUCCUAUUCAUAGAUUCUUAAUACAUGAUGUGAUGGACAAAUUUUGUUGGUAUUGCAAGAUCUAAGAGAAAGAAUGAAGCUUAAGAAAAGCGAGCUAAUUCAGAUCGUGAGAAAAGGAUUUCAGUCACAUGGUUCGAUGAUCAGAAUUGGAGCUACUACUUUGAAGUUAGGAUAAUUUAAUAGAUUGCUUUGGAAAUGUCUAGAAACAUAGUUUUGCAUUUCAUGCAUUGUAAGGACAAUUUCCAAAUUUUUGCCUAUUAUCAAUAAAAGUUAAAUUUUGGUUUAUUUGGUUGCCUUGCUUUAUAUUUUCUUACAACGACAUUUAUGAAAGUGUUUGUUAUGUUUUUCUAUUAUUAUCAAUGUUAAUUAUGUAUUUAGUUUUUGUUAUAUCGCUUGGGGUAAUGUCAUAAUUGACUAAGUGAUUACGAACUCCCAUCACCUAAUUUUCAAUUGCAUAGAAACUUGGAGUCAUGCAAUUUGAAUUGGUAAUGUAUGAGAAUUUUGAUCAUUGGAAAAUUAUGAAUAAUUCAUUGAUCACAUGUUUAUGUGAUUCAAUGUGAAGGACUAAUGGAUCCAGUACAUGUUGAUAUGGACUAUUCAGAUCUACCACAAAGGAAGAUAAGUGUACUUGUCAUAAUUUAUUGAUGUUUUAGUAAGCAUGGUUGUGUUUAUAAGAUUAAGCAUGAUUCUGAUACUUUGAAAAGAUUCAAAGAGUAGUAAAACAACUAAGAAGAAUCUAUUAGGAAUAAAGAUAAAAGUUUCUCCAAUCUAAAACGAAAGGAGAGUACUUUAAUAUUGUAUUUUGUGAUAAUCUUAAUGAUUACGGAACUAUAUCACCAUUGAUCAUCAAAGAACAUAUUAGUCCAAUUGUUUGACUAAGAAGAUGAAUCAAAUAUUGUCAAAAUGGUUCAAUCGAGAUAUGAGUCAUACUUCAUAUCUGAUCAAGUUUUGAAGCGAUGCUCUAGUUACUACAAAUCGUAUGUUGAAACUUAUUUCAUACGAAGUAUGUAACAUCCCAACUCCUAAGUAUAAUAAUUAAUUAAUUUACUUUCAUAAUUUCAAAGCAACUCGAUGAGUUCGAUGCACCAAAUCGCCAUGUAGCUGAGUUAAUGGCCGCAUAAUUUUUAGUGUCUACUCGAUGAGUAGGUGCUGAGUGAGAAACUCCUAAUUUUCAGGGUUUGUGUCCUAUUUAAAGGACCUUAAGCCUUCAUACCCACCUCCCUUGUCACCUUCAAACUUUGUGAGAAACCUAAUCAAGCUGCAUUCGUUGUGUGUGUGUGUGAGAGAGAGAGAGAGAGGGAGAGAGUAAAAUUAUGUAUUCUUGUGCACUUUUAGAAGGAGGUUAGAGAAAAACAAGGCUUGGAACGAAGAGGGACUUUUGGAUACAGUUCUUCAGUGUUAGCUUUUGUUUGGAGGUAAAAAGCUACCACCUUGAUCAUUUAUUUUGUUAGAUCUCAUUCUAAGGGGGUUUUAGGGCUUUCUUCCAUCCAUCUUUUGGUUAUUGAGACUUUUGAGCAUGACAUCAAAUUGAAACAUCAGAUAUGGACUGUGUGAGGUCCUUUGAGCCCAAAGAUCCAAGCUUUAUCAAGCUAGUGACAAGUGUUUAUGCAUUAAACCCCAUAUAGAGCUUAUUAUGGCAUUUCGAGCCUUAGAUGUCAUGCAUAGAUGUAAAGCUUGUAGCUUUACGUGGUAUUUCAUCCUUAGGAAGCCAUAUCUAGAGUUUGGGACAUUAUUUAUGCUUGGAAUUGUCUGAAUGAAUAUUGGGCUAGAGGGACUUGAUGAGUGCAUGAGCCAACUCGACGUGUCAGCUAGGGUUUUUCCUAAUAGACUGGACACGCUACAACUCGGCGAGUUGAUGAGAUAACUCGAUGAGUUGAGUUGGAUUUCCCCCACUUAUGAGAAAAUGAAGGAACUCGAUGAGUGGCGUAGAUGCACUCGACGAGUUUAGUCAACAUGGACUGUUGACUUUCGUUGACUUUUAGGCUUUGGUCAACUGUGGAUCUUAGAGACCAUGGAGGGGUAAAAUGUUCUUUUCACCCUUUUUGAGAUUCAGUGGAGAAGUUAUCUUAGCAUCUCGGAGUGAUUAUUAGAAAUUUGCUAAUUAGGGAUAAUUAUAUUAUUUAGGCGGAGUCUAGAAUGUUCGUGGGGGGUGCUAGGUCUACUUGCUUACUUCCAAGGUGAGUCUUCUCACUAUACUUACAUGAGUGGUAAUACUGUGUGACUAAAGGGUCUUAUUGAGUUAUCGACUGGAGGAUCAUAUGUGCUUAUACUGAGUUAUGUGAUAUUAUGCAUUCAGUCUUUGUGAUAUAUGCUAUAUUAUUCUGUGCUUUACUGAGUUAGGACCGGAGGGUCCAAACCGAGUUGUAAGACAGGAGGGUCUUCACUGAGAUAUAGGACUGUAGGGUCCAACCCUAGUUGUGAGACUGAAGGGUCCUCACUGAGACACAUGACCGAAGGGUCCACACCGUGUCGUGAGACCGGAGGGUCUAUGCCGAGUUAUAUCCUUGAGAGGCUUAUUAUUUGAGUAUAUGGUAUUUUGGGGAACUCACUAAGCUUCAUGCUUACCAUGUUGUGUGUUAUGUGUUUCAGGUACUUCUCAAGAUCGCAGGAGCGCAGCGGCUUGAUUGUACACACCUGUUCGAGACUAUGUCGAGGAUUCUAGGAUAUUAUCAGUUGUUUUGUUGAAUUGUGUUUUUGACAUUUGAGACAUUAUGGUUUUGAGACAAUGUGAUACUGAUUUUAUAAUAUUUAAAAAUGAAAAUUUUGUUUGAAAUUCUAGAGUGUUACAAAGUAGGUUCGUAACACCUUAUGAAAUGUGGAGUAUUAAUGUUUUCUUACUCUAGCACAUUUGGAAUUGGAAAGUUGUGAUGUUUUGCUUAAAAUAAAUGAUAAACUGAGACCAAUUAUAGGAUGUGUGUUCUUGUCGAGAAUUCACACUAACUUUUGAAUAAUUGAUUUAGCUCGUCAAGGAACGUUCCUUGAGAAAGAAAAUCUUAUAUGUCAAGAAGUCAAUGGGAGUCUUAUUGAUCUUUAGAGUUUCAAGAGUCAAUCGAGAAUAAACCUUUUAGUUAUCAUUAGUAUAAGACCAGAGGUUGAUGACAUAUCAUGUUAAGAUGACAUAUUUUUGUUUUUGCGCACCAACCAGUUGAGUUUGCAAUACUAUGAUUUCUAUGGUUCUCAUUUGAUUGCAAAAAGCAGAGCAUGUUGGCAAGUGAGAGUACAUUGAUCGAUAUGGGUGAGCCACGUAACAACAUGGAAGCACCGGUAGGCCUUUGUGCUACCGGAGAGCAAGAAAUUUAGAAUAUGCAAAGUUCAGUUCAUGAAAGGAAAACUAAAGUUGAGUUUGGUUUUAUCCUAAACCUUAUCUUAUGAUUGUAGGAUGGAAAUGAUAGAUUCACAUGGAUGGGAACAUAUACACCAUAAAACCUAGGUGGCAAAAGGUUUUGUUCUAAUUCAUGAGAAUGAUUAUGAGGAAACAAUUUUGGUAGUAGAUUUUAAAGAUAUGUUAAACAUCAUUAUGGUUAGUAAUUGUGUUAAUUGCAUUCUCAAAUUCGCAAUAUGAUUACGACAUCUCUUUUCAUAGUUCAAAUUCUGAGAAAUGACAAGGAAUUGUUUAAAUUUUCAGGACAUAUGCUAUAAGUUCUAAAAGGGUUUGAACACACGCGCAUAUGAUAUUUAAUAAAGGUGUAUAAUCUUGAGAAGUCUAGUUGAAGACUUAUCAAAGCAUCACGUAUCAGAAAUCUACACUUUAGUAAGAAAGUCAAAGAGUAUUGAUUUCUAAAAGUCCAGUUGAUUUCCAGGUGCAUGUCAAAGCUAGUGCGAGCAAAUUUUUUGUAAUACUAUGAACAUAAUUUUUAUGGUAGUGGGAGAAUAAUUGUUAUGCUAAGUAUUGCAAGUUGGUAGUACUAUUCAUAGGGAAAAAAGUUUUUGAAUUUGCAAGUUGCAAAGCUUGGAAAUUGUUUCUCUAUGAAUAGACUUAAGGGAGAGAGCACUCAUAGUUUGUUUCAAAUAUAAAAGUUUAGAUCGAAGGGUUUGAUAGAGCUUAAUCAUGGACAUAUAUAAAUAUCAUGUUGAAAUGAUUCAACAUAGGAAAUUCGAUAUAUGGAAAUAUUAUAACAAGAGACUGAACAAAUAUUAGGUCUUUAUGAAAGACAUAAUGAAGCGAGUCCCAUAUGCCUUAGAUAUAAGAUUGUUUUCAUAAGAUAUAAUAUUCACUUGUUUUGAUUUUUCCAAAAAUGCCUUGGGCGUUGAGAGGGAAAAAGGACUAUAACUUUGUAAGACUAAAGUUGUUAAACAACUAUUAAGAACAUUCUGAGGUUAUACCAAAAGAUUGGUUACUUGUGGACAGUUGGAAGUAUAGUAUUGUUUGGAAGGGCCAUAGUGACAUAUUUUAGAUUGAGAUAAUUUUUGGUCAAAAUUGAUGGUCAUAUGGGAAUAUGGAAAUGUUUCCGUAGUGAGAGUUGAUUAUUAAAAUCAACAUUUGAAUUGGAAACUUUAAUGCAAGAAAGGUGCUCAAGGAGUGUAUCUUGAGUUUGAGACUUCGUUACCAUGAAAAUGUUUUUAAUUAGAAGCAAAAUUCCAAUGCAACAUUUUGGAAUAUCAUUGGCUAAGUCUUUAUGACUUUUAAGCCUCGACAUCACACAAGGACAAUGUAUGUAAGGUUGGAAUUCUAACACAUUUAGUAGUGACAAGAAGUUGGAAUUUUGAAAUGAGCAUCAUUGGAAUAAUGUCCAGUUGAUCUGUUCCAAACGAAUGACCAUAAAGAGACAUAGUAUGCAUGUUCAUAACAUGGCUUCUAUGCAGUUAUAGCAGUUCAAAAUAAAAUAUCGGUCAACGACCGAUAUUCGAUAUAUAGAUUAUCGUGGUGGGAUAUCAGUGGGAUAUCGGUAUUUUUAUGUUAUGUAGGGCCUUUGUAACCUUGUGUUUUAUUGAAUGAAUACAUGGUCAUUAACUAAAACAUAUAGUAAAUUAGAAAAUGUUUGAACCAAAUGUUUAUCAAUCUCAUAAAACGGCCACCAUAUAUCUACGUUUUAAUAAUAAAUGAAGUGACUUAAUAAAAUAUUUAGCUAUAAACGCUAUUUCACCACUAUCCCACCGAUAUUUGUCAAAUAUCAGUCAAAUAGUGGUCAAAUAUCGGUCACUAUCGCCGCUAUUUGCGGUACCGCUAUUUUGGACGCUAUUUAGUACCGAUAUUUUACCACCUGUCGAUAACCGCUAUCCCACCGCUAUUGACUGCAUAGCAUGGCAUGACUAAUGUUUAAUUCAAGUGGUUAGUUAAUUACUCAAAACAUUAUACAAUGAAUAAAGUCUUAACUAAUAUGGUGAGUAAAUAAUAAGAGUUUCAUUUAUAUUCAAUACUUUUGAGACCAUAGUUAAUUAGGUUAUUAUUGUGUUUCACUUUGCUUGUUUUACUUCCUAAAUAAUUUGAUUAUUCAAAAUUCCACAGUUAAUCGUACUUUUGGAAGUAAGUAGCGAAUUAAGACUGUCAUGAACUAGAUUGUAGAUUGUCUAAGGGUUUAGACAUAACAAUAGUUUUGCUGCAAUGUUAAUGCGUACUUAGUAAUGAGGAUUUUAAGUAUUGGAUAAACCUACGCUCAAAGAAUUACUUCAUGGAUUUUAUUACGAGUAAUUAUGAGACGAUAAUAUCUUAUAUUCUUGAAGCGGAGAUAUAUGAGGUGUGGUUUACAAGUCAGUUGUGCAUUGAUAAUACAUAAAUGCAUCAGUAACUUGAUGUUAUAAAAUGUAUUAUUGUGCAUGAUUUGAUAAGUAAUUAGUGAAAAAAUAUCAGUCAAAGUUUAUUCGUUCCAUUUUCCCUAGUGAGAAAAGCGAUAUCUUUGGGCCCCUCGAUGAUUUGAUGUUGACAUGUGAAGUGCUUGGCCGAGCCCAGAUUAAAUUGAUGUGUUCAAUUAGUAGUCUAAGUUCAGUCGUCAUAAAUAGGGAAAUCAGGAAACAAAAUUUUAGACAAUGAGAUUGAUUUCAAUCCAUGUCUCGUGCCCAUAUGAUAUCAUGUACAACGAAAGAAUAUUUGAUCACUUAUCUUAGGAAAUGUAAUUGUCUGGGUCAGAGUUCAACAAUGACUUUUGGUAGCUACAAUUCGCUGAUCAAUUCGGAAGUUAUAAUGGCGGUUAUAGUUAUAGACUUAUAAAAGUAGGAGACUAUUGGAUUAUGUGUCUAAGCCAUUAACUAUAAUUUGUAUAAACUUGAAUUGAUGGUAGCAUAGCCUUUUGGACUGCCCUCAAACCUAGCAAUUGACUAGGAUAACUUUUAGAGAGAGAAAUUGAAUUAAUAAUUUAUUAUAUGGUCAAUAAAUUAAGUAGAAAUCAAAAUAAAUAAUUUGUUAAUAUAUUAUGAGAAUAAUAUAUUAAUUGGAAAUAGUAUUAUGUAAUUAAUAAUCCAUCAAAAAUUAAAUGGAAUUAAUUUUGAGAUUAAUUGUAUUAAUUAAAAUAGGAGGACUAAAGGUAACAAUGUUUAAAAGUUGAUCAUUGGGCAAUUCUAGAAGCUCCCUAGGUAGGGGACGAAUUCUAGAAAGCCUUCUAGGGUUUCCUUGGGCAUUAAGUGUGUCUUGGAUGUCUUAGGGAGGAAGUUAAGGGAUUAGGGUUAUCUUGGAGAUACUUGUCUUAUCCAAUACCUUCCUAGACUCAUAUAUAAACCCUUAAGGGUUUAGAAUUUCGUCCAUGCAUUCUUUAGAAGAAUGGGAAAGAAAUUUCUACUCCUCUCCUCUUUUCUUCAAGUUCCUUGGUUGCUAGGGUUUGUGUGUGAACCAUUAGAGGCACGACACUUGUGGUGCUUGUUGCCAAAAGAUUUGAAGAAGGAUUCAAGGUUGUUUGCAAUAACAAUCAUCAAGGUAAGUUUCUUGUUCUUAUGAAUUAGUUUUUCAUAGAAUAGUUUUGUAGGAUAAUAAGUCAUAGUAUGUUGCCUAUAUGAGAAAGACAUAGAUCUUUGUUAGGUUGCAUGUGCCCUAAUCAUUUAAUUUUUUAAAUGUUUUUCCGCUUAGUGCAUUGUAUUUGUAACCUCCAUAACCCAAUAGUAUUGUCUUCUUAAACCUUUGUGUUGAUAUUUGGUGUGACACACUCACAUGAAAGGUUUUAUUAAACCUAAAUUGUUUCGGGAAUUAUAAUUUGAGACCGUUAUCAACAUUUGAACAAUGAAAAUGUUUUAAAUUAAACUUUGGGAGCGAUUUCCGCAAACAAAUACUACGAGAUUAUUUUAAAAGAUUUGAUUAUUUAUUUCAAAUAUGCUCUUGCGAAGGGUUUUACAUAAACCAUGAUUAAAGGAGGUAGUCAAGUUUGAGUAUAAAGUACUUUUAGUGAUAUGAUUCCAAUCACUUUUUCCAUAGUUUGAUUUGUGUAUGCUUUUAUUCAAGAUAUGCAUUUAUAAUCAAAUUCCCCUUCUUUGCUGUAUGUGUGUUCGUUUAACCUUUAAUCAAAGAUUCCAACGUUAAUUUACUAGCGUUCCCUUAGAAUUUAAUAACUCAAUCUUACCAAAGCUAUAGUGUCGUACACUUGUCCAGUUGUGUAAUAGUCCAAAACGUUUGUGAUAUCGAUCUAUAAAUUUAAGAUUAGAUUUAUCACAUUAAGUUUUUUUGCGUUGUUUUCGGGGAAUGAUUUUCAGUUAAUUUAGUUUAGUUCAAAAUUUGUUAUGUUUUCAUAUUUUUUAUUUAUUUUAUUUUUUCUUUAUUUCGAUAACAUGACACUUCUCGGAAAGGUUUCUACUGUUUUUUUUUACCAUAUUUGAAUUAUGAGAAUGCACGCGAGGAAACCAGAAGCAAAUAUAUUAAGAUACUAAAGUUUGCACUUUGUGUCGCGUCCGAAUAGAAUAUGAACCACGUUUAGUUAAAGGAUCACAAUAUGGCAUCUCGUGACCACAUCCAAUAUAAUGUGUACCAUAUCACAUUUGCUCGACUGUUUCGAGGAUUUCUUCCAAAAAGCUCCGAUUUUUUUCGUUAUCUUUUGCUUAAUCUCCACUAAAGGUAAGCUUUUGGAAACCAUGUUUCUUAAUUGAUGGUUUAUUUUGAUAAUUUUGCUACAUUAUGCUCUCGUUAACUUGUUUAGGGUUUGUAGUAAUACCUACGAUUUUGAGCCAAUUUUUUGAAAUUUAUGAUUUGUAACCCUUAUACGAAUUGAUAUGAACUCAAAAUGCAUAUUCUUGAUGAACCAUGUUAAAUAUUUGUCUUUGUGUGUGUGAGAGAGAGAUUAUUGUAUUAUGAAAUAACUAAAGGAAAUAAAAAAAAAAUGUUAAUCCAAUAAAAACAAUUAUAAGAAUUAAAAAAAGAAAAGCAAAAGAAUCAUUUUACUAUAAACUUUACAUCAAAACUAUAUUUUUAAAAUGAAUGUUGGAACAAUAAAAACAAUUAAAAUAAUAAAAGAAGCAAAAAGAAUCAUUUUACUAUUAACUUUACAUGAAAAUUAUAGUUGUUGGAAAAUUAUUUUGAAUGUGGACUGAAACUGUGAUAAUCCGACAACAAAGGACCAUUUCUGUAAUUUACAAUCGCGCCCGGAUGAAACCAUCCGUUGGCUAAAUUUUUGGAUGAGACGGAAACAUAUGAACGUCGUUCACUCACCUCGAAAUCCUCUCUUUAUUUGCUCCUUGUUGUCUCAACUCUCCAACACCUACCAAUAAUCCCUCUCUUCAACCCUAUAAUCCUCACUUGCUCCAUUCUUUCUCUCCACCAGCUACCAAUAAAAGCGUUGAAGUCAUCAGGAAAACUAGAGGUGUUUAAUUAGUGUUCGUUAGACUCCAAUUUAGAAGCAGUGGGUUAGAAAACAGGGUUUUAAAACCACCCGUUGCAUUAGAAUUGGAAUUCCGUGAAUGUUCUGAUUCUGGUUCUAGAAGUUAGGCGCAGAGCAUAGAAACUCAAUGGUCAUCUACUAGUAGCAAAAGAACCACACAAAAUCAUUGGUUAUUCAUCCACAAGUCUGGAGCUCUGUUUUGGAUAGAAUUGUUAUCGUGAAGAAUCAAAGGCCGGUGCCCGAGAAUGUCAGAUGCACCUAUCAAUGAUACCAACUCCUCAAUCCUACUGGGAGAACAGACAUGUCAACAGUUUACUCUUGCUGAGAUUCAACUGGCAACCAACAACUUUGACGAGACUUUAGUCAUUGGGCGUGGUGGAUUCGGCAAUGUUUAUAAAUGUCCCAUCAAUAUGGGGUUAGUAAGGGAAGUUGCAGUUAAAAGGUUGCACUGCAUGUCCACCCAAGGGGCCCAUGAAUUUGAGGCGGAAGUUAAGGUUCUUUCUAAGCUGCGACAUGGUAAUCUUCUAUCUCUGGUUGGUUAUUGCAAUGAAGGAAAUGAGAUGCUCCUAGCUUAUGAGUUCAUGCCUAAUGGGACACUUAAAGAUCAUCUUUGCAAAGCUGAUUCCACAUUAUCUUGGUUACAACGACUCAAGAUAUGCAUAGGUGCAGCUCGGGGAUUAGACUACCUUCACACAGGCACAUCAACACAAAAUGGAGUUAUACAUCGCGAUGUGAAGGGGUCCAAUAUUUUGUUGGAUGCAAACUUUGCUGCUAAAAUUUCAGAUUUUGGAUUGGCGAAAGUUGGCCCAAUAGAUCAUACACGAACUUAUGUCAGCACCAAUGUCAAAGGGACAUUUGGCUAUAUGGACCCGUGCUACUUCUAUACUGGAAAAUUGACAAGAAAAUCUGAUGUUUACGCGUUUGGAGUUGUAUUGUUUGAGGUGUUGUCCGGGAGGCAAGCGGUAGAUUCAACGCUUGAUGAAGAGCAAUGAGGCUUAGCACCUUGGGCUCAAGACAAAAUCAAAGAGGGAAAAGUCAAUCAAAUUAUUGACUCAAAACUGAUGGGAUAGCAAUCCAUUGUUUAGGUACCAAACCAAAAGAACGCCCAAC